UGUGAUAUCAUUGUAACUUGAAAUGAGAAAAAGUUAUCUUCAAGAAGUUGAGAACUACAAAACUCUGCCAAAAUAUAAAAGUUUGUAUUAUAUUUCGAUCAUCGUACCAUUGAUUUUGUGGUGUAAAUUUAUCCCACUUGAUGCGGCUAACUUUUUUUUUUUUUAAGUGCAUGAUUCAUCUGUUAAAAAAAUUUCAUCAGGAAAAUGCAUGUUCUUUGUUUGUCCCAAAACAAAAAAGAAAAGAAGAGCUAUGCACGAAAACCUACUUCAUUAGCCUUUGGGUUAGAUACCUUGUGUAAUUUUUUAUUUCAUUAAUUUUAAUUUUGAGUACACUAAAUUAAAAUUUCAAUUAUGCAUUUUAGUAAAUGAAACUGAUAUGCAACUUUUUUUUAUAACAAAAAAAUUGAUAUGCAUCUGGUGUAAGAAAAUUUUUAUAAAAAUUCAAGAUUUUAUGUAAAAGCUUAUAAAUUAUAAGAUUAAGGCCAAGAUCCGAAUAUGUUUCCACACUCAACAGGAUCAAUUUACUCCUAUAGAUCCAUCCUGUCCCCGGAUCUAGUUUUGGUAGUAUUAGUUAGGUCCAGGUUUGGAUCAUCUCAUUCUGUCCUUUGUUACAAAUUCUUGCCAAGAACUGUCGAUUGUGUAAAAAGCUUGAACAAAGCACUCCGUGUGUUGAAAGAAGAACAAGUGACCAAGAGUGCAAGGUUAUUAUGUUAUCUAUUUUAUAUUCCACAUAUAUAUAUAUAUAUAUAUAUAUAUAUAUAUAUAUAUAUCAUUUAAAUUAUUGGUAAGGUAGAGUGCAAGGUUUUCUUCCCCAUCCCUCACUCCAUUUAAGGUUGCGGGGAGAAAGUGCCCCCUCUCUUCUCCUCCCCCACCCUUCCUUCUCGAUGCCUUAAUCCUUGUUGCCCUCAUGGCUAUCUCUAAAAUUACUAAAAUUAUUAGGUAAAAUUAGAAUUGAAUUUAGUUAUUUAACAAUAAAAUAAAUAGUUGCUUUACUUCGUAAGUAAUAACCCAUGCCCCAGUUACAAAUUUGUAAAAUUUACAACCUACUUAUAGAUUCUUAAUAUUCCUAUUGUUUUUUUUUUCAAAUUUCCACAAAUUAUUUUGACGACAUCAUACUAUUCUGCUCGAUCAUGCCGUAUUGCCAAUUUGAUGACUUAAUGAAAGGAAGCAGGGGACAUUUGCAGGAAAUGGUGCGGCAAAGACUUCGAUGACUACAGGUUCUGACACACGAAAAAGGGGAAGUAAACUGUAUAUAUAGUCCAUUAUAUAGCAGCCAGAAUUUCUGAGACUUGAAAAAGGGGGAAAAAAAGGACAAAAUGCCAGGCUGGAGGCGGGGCCAUCUUCUAGAUAUUGUGGAAAAAGAAUUUCUGACACACGAAAAAGGAUAAGUAAACUGGGUUGCUUCUACGGUGGAAAGUGGGAUGAACUUCCCACCGUAGGCAGAAUGCCCACUAGAAGUACAAGUCAGCAUGAGCAUCUUUGUCCGUGUUUUUGGGACCCAAUUGAGGGAAGGUAACUGGCAGAGGCUGUUAUCAUCUUAAGGGACUAACGGCAAAUACCAAUAUAAACUGUUGGGUCGUCAAAUGAAUAAAGAAUGUCCCAGACAGGACAGUAAAAGUCAUUAUUAAUUUAUGAUAUGAAUAGAAUCAAACGAUUAUAUAGGAUUUUCAAAAUAUUAUUAUUUUAUUAUUUUAUCAAAAUUAUUAAUUUAACUCGUUAAGCAAGUCGAAAUCAAAAUUUAAAUUGAAUUCUAAUAUGAGUUUUGAGUCAGUGGAUUCGAAGGACUCAUUUAAAUCUAAACGCAUAUUAAAACUUAAUUAUUCAUGGGGUUAAGUAAAUCCACUAAGUAUUUUUAAAAUUUGUUAGACACAUUUACUAUUACAGUAUUUUCUUUUACUUUUCCCCUUCUCUUUCUUUCUUCUUAUUUUGAAAAUUAAGGAAUCUUUUCAAUUGUUGUGUAAAUGAUUUCUCAUGUUAAUACACAAAUCCAUUUUAACUCUUGUAAUAUUUCAUCAACUGAAACUCGUCACAAUUACCAUUUAUAUUAUGGUACAAAUUUUCAUUGGGUCUUUUCCUUUUGAUUUGGAUAAAAAAUUUAUUUACUAAAUUAAUGUUUUUAAUUUAAUAAAAUAUUAUUACUUAUGUUUAAACAAUAUACGUGAACCUUUUUUUUUUUUCCUUUUUAGAUCAGAUGGUAGUGUAUAUAUGAUAAUUUAUCAUUCAAAAUGCAUAAUAGGCAGAUAAGGACCAUAAGGUUGAGGCCCAAGAAUUACAGAUUUUAGAUUCAAAUUCCUCUACCCACCCACUAUUUCUUAAAUCCUACCUCUUCCCUAUUAAAUUUUUUUAAAUGUAGGGACUUAACUCUUACAUGCAUAAGCAAAAUCUAAUUUUCAUCCAAUUUCUAAUUAAAUAUUUAUUCAUAAUACUAACAACUUAUUGCUUUCGUCAGUUGUUCAUAUACCAUGUCUUCCUAGUCGAGGGAAUCUGGAAAUUCUGAUGCAAUUAAUAACUUUUUUGCUUCAUGAAAUACUCAUCUCAUUUCAUUCUCCAUUUCUCUAAGAUUAUGUGAUUUAUAUACAAAAUGUCAUGCGAGAGUAGGAUAAACUUACAUGUAUAUAUAAACGUGUGUGUGUGUCUAUAUAUAUAUAUAUAUAUAUAUGCUGAUGAUAAGUCAAACAAUCCUAAGGCUCUAGCAUUUAGAAUACAAAGUUUUAAUUUAAAGGCGCCAUCAUUUAAAUUCUAAAUUUUCAGUUUAGAGUCCGAAUUUUCAAUCCAAAGAUGUCAACAUUUAAAAUAAAAAAUUUCGAUCUAACCCGCAACUACCAAACUUCAAAUUUUCAUUGAGAAGGCAGCAACUACUAGUCCCCCAAAACUUCCAUUGAAUAUUGCAUAGAUUGAGAAAUAAUUAAACUCCAUUAUUGGAAAUACAUAAUCGCUAAUUUUAAAAAUUUAUUUAUAAUGGAUACAUAUCACCCCUUAGCUUGAAAUAAUAAUAAAAAAAUAUAAAUACUCUUUUGUGUAUAGCUGGCAAUUGGGCAGGUUGGGUGGGUUAAUAAUGGAUUUUCACUUAAAUGGGUUAUACCCAACCCGUCCAACUUUAGAUUGGGUUGAUUUUAGAUUGGAUCAUAUUGGGUAAUCUCAAAUCCAUGACCCAAAUAUGACCCAACAUAUUAAUUAAUACAUUUUAAUACAUAAACUUUUUCAAAUACAUUUUAACACACAUAAAAGAUUUUUUAAAACAUAUAAACACAUUUUCACAUACAUAAAUGUAUACAAACACACACUCACUUUCUUAAGUUCCUUGGAAACAUAUCAUAAACAGAAUAAUAUUUUAUAUUGCUUGUAUUGUGAAUUUUAGAUAAUAAAUUGUACAUUUAACGAAGAGCAUAGCGCCCUCCCCCCCACACAAAACACCACCUUAAUCUUUUCAAUAAUCUCUUUCAUUGAUCCACUAUCAAUUUUUGUGUCCCUUAAAAACUUUGAUUUGUGAUUUAUAGUUUGUCAUGUCCAGUAUAACUAGUUGCAGAGUUAGAAUUUAAAUUCAUAACCAUCUAGUUAUUUUAAUAGUUCAAACGUUCAAUCUUUGAAACUUUUGUAUUAUGUGAUUUAUGUUUAUGAUUGUUUUAUCUACAAUCUCAAUUCUAGUUUCUUGGUGUAUUAUGUUAAUUAUAUUUAUGAUUACUCAUCUACAAAUUUGAUAUCGAUUUGAAAGUUACCAUGUUACGUAUAAGAUUACUUAUCUAAUUUUUAAAUUAAAAUUAAAAUCUACCAGGUCAAUUAUGUCAUGAUUCUGGUUUUUUGUAACACUAUGUUAAUUAUGUUUCUAAUUAUUCAUCUACAAUUUUGAUUCCAAUUAAAAAAUCACUAUCUAUGAGCACUUACUUAGAGGGAUCGCUGUUAGUAUAAACUUUUUAAAAUCAUUUUCUAAACUUUCAAUUUUAUCCUUAGGGAAAAACUUUUAUUUUUUCCUCUAAUUGCUUAAUCACAUUUUGCCAAUAUAACUACCCUAAGUAUUGUAAUUACCAAAUUACUAUAACCUUAUGAACCAAAAUUCUUCAAUAAAUUAUUGUGAAAAAUAAAAUUUUUAUACAAAUUAAUUCCUUUUAUUUAUUUAUGUAUAUAAUUACUCAUCUACGCGAACUAACAAUUAAAUUUAAUCCUUAAGAUUGAAGUACACAUAAAUACAUUUAUGGGCUUUUAACUUACCAAGGGUAAAUGCAAUAAAGAAAAAUCGCUUUUGAACUAAUGAACAGAAUUAAAAAAAUUGAAUGGCAAAAAUUGGAUAAAUUACUUUUAAAAAAAGGGAAAAAAAGAAGAAGGGACAGCAAAUGUGAAGAUUGUGCAAAUGUAGAUACAUUUUAGUAUAAUAGAAUACUUAGUGAAUGUAGGUGCAUUGUUAUCUAUACUAUAUAUAAAGUUUGAGGAAGGGAUUUGGAGUUAACAUUUUAUGAACAUUUUUUAUCCUUAUAAAAAUUAAUUUUACUUUAACUAUCUAUAACUACUCAUCGCUACUUUUACUUCUAACUAUUUAAGCAUAUGUUUUUAACAUAACUACCCCUAAAUAUUAUAACUACUAAUAUAAAUUAUUUUAUGAAAAUUAUUUAAAACAUUAAAGUUUGUUUCAAUAAUAAAAAUUUUAUUUAAAAUAUAUUAUCAUAAAUAUUAUAUAUUUUUUGAUUGCACGCACAUUAUGAAAAACGAAGCUGAAUAUGAUUAAUAGUCCUAGGAUUAAUAGUCCUAUGAUUAAUAGUCCUUAAAUCAAUAGGACUAAAUGCGCUUAAUCAAUAGUCCCAAGGAUUAUUGCAUCUGACCAAUUUUUCCAAAUCUUCCAGCUCUUUGCAGCUUGUUUCCUGCUAAUUAGGCAUGGGGAGCUACUCUCCAAUUAAUGAUAAUUCUUUAAUGCAUACAAAUGCACGCAACUUGUUUCCCGCCAAUCAGGCAUGGGGAGCUACUCCAGAAUUAAUGAUAAUUUUUGGGUGCAUACAAAAGUCCAUAAGUUGUUGAGGGGCAUAUAUGUUAUUUAUCCUAAAAGUACAAGGUACAUGGUGAAACUUCUUCUACCAGGUUCCGGUCACUACUUUUAAUAACCUUUCUUCACCCAGGCCCACAGUGCUGUGUUGUCCUAAUUUCCUUGGCUCUUCCCACCGUGCAUAGGCAGGUCAGCUUUCCACCAUAGAUGGAACCAAGUAAACUGUAUAUAUAGUCCAUUACAUAGCAGCCAGAAUUUCUGAGAAUUGAAAAAGGGGGGAAAAGGGCCAAGAUGAUAGGCUGGAGGCCGGGGCCAUCUUCUAGAUAUUGUGGAAAAAGGGUUUGUUAUCUGCUAAAAUGAGCUUUCCGGAAUCAUACAAUCAAUUUGCCAAGAAUGAGCAAAUUUUCUUGGCAAGAGGGCCUACAUGAUUGACACAAUCAAGUAGAUACUUAGAAGGAGCUGUUGUGGAAAAAGUUGUUUGUUUGACAGUUUGUUUUCUGUAGGGUCUGAGUAAUUACUUGUGUGGUUCCCUAUUUUUGGGUAGUUAUCGUAAUUUUUAUAGGCUAAUGUAAUUGUUCCUGGAAAGUGCAUAAUAGGUGCAAGAUAGGCUUUUUUUAUAUAUAUUUAAGUUGCAGGAUAAACUUAUCAAACUUUUAAAGUGAAAUUAUCGAGUAUUUCCUUUUAAGUUAGAUUUUUUUUGGGUAUAUAUCCACAUUAAAUGGAUAGUUUAGAUAAAAUAUACUCUUUUUUUUUUUUUUUUACGAUUCCUCUCACCUUAAACCUCCUCCAUUAUCAACAAGUUGAUGUUAAUGACAAUGACGAGCGGAAAAAUCCAACAAGUUGCAGGGAAGGAUAAUACAAUGGUCGAAACCCUAUCCCCUCACCCACGCCUCAGAAACAACAAUCUCCGCCACGCACUACUGGUAUCCUACUUAAUGUAAUUUUUUUGUAUUUUUUAAAACUUUUGGAUGCUUCAAAAUAUUACCAUCAUUGAUAUUUUAAACAGCAUUUAUUUUUUUUAAAGCAGGCAAAAAAUAGGCCAUCCAAAUAGACGUCCUUAGGCCACCAGCCCCUUGGCAUGAUAGUCAUUGCUAAGCACUUAAGUCUUGGUGGCGCCAACCCUUACCUCCUACCAAAUUAUCACUAUAUAUGCCUGCUCUUACCUCCCAUCAAAUUGUCACUAUAUAUGGCUGCCUUUAGUGGCUCCCCCUAAUGGAGUUUUCACUCUAAUUGGCUGCCUCUUCCCCUAAAUUAAGAUAGUUUAGAUUAUAGAAAUAUUACUGUUAUAAUAAAAUAAAAAUAAAAAUAAAAAUAGACGCCCUAGCCCAAUAUGUGCCUAGACAGUCAAUCGACUAGUACUAGUAGAGAACCAGCAUUGAAAAGAAACGACUUGGCCGUUGACAAGAAGUCAACAACGACUCAAGGAAACUUCCAGGAAAUUGCGAGGAAGGCUGUUCAAAAUGCGAACUGGAAAUUGAGUAAAACAUUUAUACAUCUCGCAGGUGCGACUAUUGGCAAAAUAAAUAGUUUGGUGUAGUAAUAAAACUAACAAAUGGCGUUAGUUUUUAUGUCAAGUUCCUCCUUUGUCUAGUCUAAAAUUUGAUCUGUAAAAUUUUCUUACCCGAGCAAAUAAGACAUGGACAUGUCUUGAAUUUUUAAAAGGGAGAAUUAUAAUUUUGGUCCCCAAUCUAUAGUGUAUGUGCAGAAUUAUCCUUAAUCUAUUUCGAAAAUCAAUUUUGGUUCUCAAUCUAUUCAAUUUUGCAUUAAAGUAGACAAUUGACGGAAUCUCUUCAAUUUCAAUUGGAACUAAGUCACGUGAGAUCACGUGCCGACACCUAAAAUCCCUUUUUCAAUUUUUUAAUUUCUAAAACACGUUUUUAAAUAUUUUCAGCUUUUUCUUGCCUUUUGUCUUAUUAAACAAAAACAUGAAAGGGGUAAUCUCACAAUUCAAAUUACUCCUCUUGUUGGCCGCCGCCUUCAAAUCUCCAGAACCCACAGCACUAGUAAAAAGCUCAGCUUGGCCUCCAAGUCCAAGUCUCGUUCUUGCCUCCAUUAGUAAUGGAGAUAAUCUGCAAUCAACGCCAGAGACGGAUCCAGUUCAAUUCUCCUACUCAAACAACAGGAGCAGCAGGAGCAGCAGCAGCAGCACUACUUCAUAAGCAAGCAAGCAAGUAGCCGAGAGAGAAGAGCGGAUGAUAAUAAUUGGAAAUCAAAGGGAUUAUACGGACCAAAUCAUCAAAGGGAUUAUAUUGGUAAGUAUAUUCUUUCUCUAUUAGCCAUUCUUCACCGUUGAAUUGGAAUGAGCAUUCAAUUGAACCACUAGUAUAUUAUUGGUAGGUUAUGCUUACGGCUGGAAUAGACACUUCAUCGGUGACUAUAAAAUGGAUCUUGUCUCUUUUGCUCAACCAUCCCGAGGUGCUAAAGAAAGCUCGAGCUGAAUUGGAUGCUGAAGUAGGGAUUGAUCGAUUGGUCGAUGAAUAUGAUCUAUCCAAUCUUCCUUAUCUUCAUAAUAUUAUUUCAAAAACACUUCAGUUAUACCCAGCAGCACCAAUGCUGGUGCCACACGAGUCGUUCGAUGACUGUAAAAUUGGGGGAUACAAUAUUCCACGAGACACAAUUUUGCUAGUUAAUGCAUGGGCAGUUCAUAGGGACCCAAACAUUUGGGAUGAUCCAACAACCUUCAAGCCAGAGAAAUUCGAAGGCUUGCAGGUUCAGCCAUCAAAACUGAUUCCAUUUGGGAUAGGAAGGAGAUCUUGCCCUGGUUCUGACCUAGCAUAGCGGGUGGUGGAUUUGGUCUUGAGAUCUCUAAUUCAGAGUUUUGAUUGGAAAAGAAUUGGCGAGGAGGAGAUUGAUCUGGUUAAAGGGACAGAAGUGUCCAUGUCGAAAGCCAAGCCACUAGAAAAAACAUGUUUUAGAAAUUUAAAAAUUGAAAAAGAGGUUUUAGGUGCCGGCACGUGAUCUCACGUGAUUUAGUUUCGAUUAAAAUUGAAAAGAUUCCGUCAAUUGUCUACUUUAACGUAAAAUUGAAUAUAUUGGAGACCAAAAUUGAUUUUUGAAAUAGAUUAAAAAUAAUUCCGCAUAUACACUAUAGAUAGGAAAAAAAAUUACAAUUCUACCUUUUUAAAAUCAAAGUUCCAGUACUCUUUUAUGGUUUGUACUUCACACCACUAUGAAGUUUUCCUCACCUCACCGACACCAAGUUCCAGUACCCUUCUUUUGAUAAACACAGCUGUCACACCUUAAACCACUACAUAGAUAGAGAUUCAUAUUUAUCUUACAGUCCCAUACAAAAUUUCGGUGAAGUAAUUAUCCUUUUUUGUCCAAUUCGCAAGAACAUAUCAGUAAACAAUGGUAAAAAAAGAAGAAAACAAGUAACAUGGAUUAUUACCAAUCAAAGCCCAAGUAACCUGUCCCUGCAUCCACCGAUAGCAAUGCACCCUUUCGAAUGCUAUGUCCUCCACCUUCUCAUUGAACUUGCCAAGCAGUCAAUACAUUUCAGCUGUAACCGUCGUAAUGAUACUCAAAAUGACAAAAUUACCCUUGUUUAAAAAGUAAAAUAAAGUGAUGAAAAUAUAUAAACAUAAUAUUCCUGGCACUUUAAUCCCGUAUAAUUUUAUAGUUUACUAUAUAACACUCGUAUAAUUUGAUAUUUUAUUAUAUAACCCCCUUAUAAUUUUUAAAAUAUAUACACAACUCUCCGUGGUUAAUAACUACUUCCUCAGUCCCAAUUAUUUAGUCAUGUUCCGAGAAUCCAAUUUUGCAAGAAUAGUAGUUUAAUUAUGAUGUUUGUGUAUUUCUUUUCAAUUUUACCCCCUCAAAUUCAAUUUUAAAUUUGAAUGGUAACAUACAUCUGAUUAGAAGAAGGCACUGUAUUAAAAAAGAGACUAAAAAGUAUUUUUAAUUUCUCACCAGGAUAAAUAUUUUGAAAUAUUCUAAAAUUGUUGUAAAACAAAAUAAACUACUAUAGUAUGAAUGGAGAUAUUAGAGGAAAAGUAGAGCAAUGGAGAAUGAUAUUCUUGUAUUCCAACAAAAUACAAAAGUCUUUCAAAAGGGUGUCAAUGUACCUCUAUAUAUAGGUACUACAAGAUUAAAAGAACAUUAAUCCUAUUAAACACCCACUACUACAAGAAUAUGAAGAAACCUAUGAAACGGUUCUUCCACUACAUGAAUAGAUUUAUGGAUUGUAACUUCUAUACAUAAUGUAGCCAUAAAUCAAGAAUUAAUCUUCUUGGGAAUACAAAGGGACAUCCAUACUUUUAAUUGUUUCAUAACACUCCCCCUUGGAUGUCCAUUAUACAAAGAAUAUGCCUCGUUAAAACCUUACCAGGAAAAAUCCAUCGGGACAAAAACCCUAGUGAAGGAAAAAGAGUACACUAUUCUUGUGUAUUAAUUUCUCCCUCUGAUGCAAACAUUAUUUGAGAUCUUUUAAUCGUCGCAUUCCAAUAUUCUUCGCCAAUUGCACUGAAAUAUGGUACUUCAGGACCAAGUAUCUCUUCAUAUUUCUCUUGCGAUCUAAAAGGAUCCUUAUUAGGAUCUAAUGAUCUGACAACCAUUGGAGUACUUAAUGUAUGUGUUUUAUCCAUAUAAAACCGCUUUAAUACCUUCCGGGUAUAUGCAGUUUGGUGGACAAAAAUUCUACCUUUCAAAUGCUCAAUUUGUAAACCAAGGCAGAAUUUUGUCUUUCCAAAAUCUUUGAUCUCAAAAUCCUUCUUCAAAUAUUCAACAUUAUUUUGAAUCUCUUCAGGAGUUCCAAUUAAAUUAACAUAUACAGCAAUUAUCACAAAAUUUGAUCCAUUUUUCUUGAUAAAAAUACAUGGACAUAUUGGAUUAUUGGUAUCCAAAUAUUUGUGAAAAUUCUUGGGCUACUUGCUUUACACCUUUAGGUGUUUGGACUACAAGUCCAAAAACUUUUCUUUUAACCAAUAAAUCCAAUUCAGAUUGGAUCGUAUCUUUCCACUUUGAACAAUCAUUUCUAUACCAACAUUCAUCAACCGAUCUAGAUUCAUGAUUCUCAUCAACUUCUAUAAUAUCAAGUGCUAUAUUUUAUUUGGCUCCAAUUAAAUUUUCUAUGAUUUCAUUCUCUUCAGGAGUUGGCUCCUCAGGACCGACCUCUUCAAGAGGUUAAAUUUUGUCAUGACAUUUAAUCUUCGGAAAUAUUUGAAAUCAAUUUAUACCUAAUUUAGAUAGGCCGGCCUUAAAUUUAUUUGUAGCACUUGUGCAUGUCCUUCAGGGACAUUAAUUUUAAUCAGAAUAUUUCCUGCAGGAAUAGUUGAUUUAAUGACUCUUCUGGAGUCGAUAAAUAUAACUUUCUACAAAUGAAGAAUUUCUUGAACGUUUGGUUCAUAUUAUUUUGUAUGAGGAUCGAGGAAAUCCAAUUUUUCAGGUGAUUUCCUUUCGGUUGAUUUCUUCCUGUGCACUAAUGUAUCUUGCUAAUUGUACAAAACCACGAGAGGAAAAUGAAGAAUUUCUUGAACUUUUAGUUCAUAUUAUUUUGUAUGAGGAUCGAGGAAAUCCAAUUUUUCAGGUGAUUUCUUUUCGGUUGAUUUCUUCCUCCCCUAAUGUCGGGAAUCGUAACUCAUCAGAAUAAAUAAAUCAUUUAAUAGAUCACCCAUCAAAUAUUUUAUGAUAUUUAAUCGUAAAAAGUGAUUCAUACCCGACAUAAAUUCUAAAUUUCUUUUGGAGCCAUAUAUAAUAUAAAGGGGUAUGUAUGAAUAUUUGUCGACUCUCAAAUAUUUUCACUUUUACCAAAUCAUAUAUCCAUUGGGAUCAGUAAACUUCUGGUUUACUGCAAGUGAUAAUUAUAAAUCAAAAUGAGAAUGAAGACAACUAUAUCGAUAACCAUUUCUCUCUUGAAUGGUUAUUAUAAUAUAAUUAACCUUUAUCUCACUUGAUUUCUAAACAUGAUCUCAAUUAUUGUCUCAUUUAGUGUCUCAAUUUGAUAUCCAUUUCAACGGAUAUUCAAAUUCAAUAAUUCUUUCGAGACAUGGUAAAAAGUAGUGCUUUAUUUAUAAUAAACUUUUCUCCUACAGGGAGAAAUAUAGUAGUGGCUCUUCUGGAACUUUCAAUCACUUAAGCACUACCACUAAUUGUGUUUGUCUCUUUUGUUGAAAAAUAGUAUAUAUAGUAGCAUUUAUUAAUGAGACACAUAUCAUUAUCAUCAUAAUUCUUAUGGGACAAUAUCAUCACCAUAAUCCUUUGAUCCCAAAUGUUUAACAUCCAUUUCUUCUUCAGGAAAAAAUUUAAUUAAAUUAAUCAUCAUACACCUUCAGGGUGUUUAAAAAAAUUGGCCAUGUGAAGAUGAUAUUAUAAUUUUGAUUCGUCAAAUGUAUUUCGGGACAUUUAUGUUCAAGAUUCUUAUUUUCUUGUCCUCAUCAAUAUUAUCCCACUUCAAGUGGUAAUUUUUUCUUUUGUCAUGGUAAAAUAUAUAUUUACCAAAAUCAUAGUCAUGGCAGCAACCAUAACUAAUAAAUUAAAAUUUAGUCGCAUUCACUUCUAGGAAUGGACUAGAAUUACUAUGCAAUAAGUACAAAAUACUUCUCAAAAUUUCUCUCAAUAUUGCUACUACAAGAGCAUAUUUGAGAAAUAUGUAAAGAAUAUUAUUUUCAACUAAGAAAUAAUUCUAAACAUAUCAGAAUUAUGUUCUUGUAGCCAUAGGUAAAUUUAUCAUACCAUGCUUUUGAAAUAAUGACCAUCUUCUAGUGGUCAAAUAUUUUCGUUAAAGAACGACCAUCUUCAGGUGGUCGAAUCUUUUUCUUUAAGUAUUUCAAAGGACAAAUGAAUCCUCAAAUAUAAUUGAUUUUCUAUAAUAGCAUCUCCAAAAUUCAAUGCAUCAGAAUAUAAGUAUCUAUAACGAAUAAUUAUAAAUGUAAAUAAAUAGAAUUAAAAGAAGAAAUAUUACCUCAAAGGUGUCAAACAGUAUAUGUUUGUGUUUAAUGGUUGCUUAGCAAUAGGCACUUGUAUUUUUCGAUCAUUCAAAUGUUAGCCAUAAGAAAUUGACAUAAGUUUGUGGGUCAGAGAUUUACCUCAGAAGUUACUUGAAGAAAUACGGGCAGAAUUUUGGCAAAACCUUGUGUUUCACUUUUGUUCACGGUAGAGGCUCCGUUUUCACCUUUUGCUCAAAAAUAGAGACUCGUGCUGAUAACGUGUUGUAAAACAAAAUAAACUACUAUAGUAUGAAUGGAGAUAUUAGAGGAAAAGUAGAGCAAUAGAGAAUGAUAUUCUUGUAUUCCAACAAGAUACAAAAGUCUUUCAAAAGGGUGUCAAUGUACCUCUAUAUAUAGGUACUACAAGAUUAAAGGAACAUUAAUCCUAUUAAACACCCACUACUACAAGAAUAUGAAAAAACCUAUGAAACGGUUCUUCCACUACAUGAAUAGAUUUAUGGAUUGUAACUUCUAUACAUAAUGUAGCCAUAAAUCAAGAAUUAAUCUUCUUGGAAAUACAAAGGGACAUCCAUACUUUUAAUUGUUUCAUAACAAAAAUGAAAAAUAGGACACUUUUAAUGGAACGGAGGGAGUAAUUUUCAACUUUAUAUAGGGGUAUUUUUUACAGUUUAGUUGACUCCGUUAUGGAAUGUUUGAUACUUUAAUCCAAAUUAUGAGAGAGUUAUGUAUAGUUUUUGAAAUUAUAAAGGAUUAUGUGAAAAAGUGCUAAACCACAAGGGGAUAAAAUACAUUUUGCCCUUAAUUUUAUAAUCAACAAAAGUUAUGUAACUUCUCGUGAUUUUUCGGGCUUUCAUUCUCCAUUUGGAUUUUCCUACUUUGUAAAAAUAAGUUUUUUAAAUACAAUAUUAUAGUAAUAUAUAAAUAAAAAUAAUUUAUAAAAAUCUCAAAAAAAAAUUUUCACAUACACAGCCAAUCCAAACGGAUUCUAAGUCCCUUAAAAUGCCGGCUUUGUUUAGGUAAUUCGUCCAUUUGAUUUUUCGCCUUUCUGAGCACCAAUGACUAAGCGUUCAUGACAGUGGGCCCUCGAGAAGGAAGUUCCGGAAAGGUCGAAAGAAAGGCCACUGGAAUUGCAGUGGUUAAAUACCUCGACCAUCAACCAAUUUGCUUGAGGUUAGUUGGCCACCAUGCAAAAUAUAAAAUACAACUUUAGUUACAUAUCAAGAGCUCAAACUUUACUACUUAGCGUCCAAAGAAUUGUACAUAUUUUUAAAUUCAGAGAGUGUGUUCCAACUCUAGAGAAUUUCACUUACUUUUAAAUCUAAAUAAUGUGCAGUGGUAUACCUUCGAAAGUUUAGAUAGACUGUCUAUUGAGUAGAGCACGCUCUUUUCAAAAAAUGUCUAUUACGUACACUAAAUGCUAGGAUAGAAACAAAUUUAACUUAAAUGCCAUCGGUGGUUUCCGUAGUAUGUAAAUGUGUAUUUAUCCUUUUGCUUAUGCAAUAUGAUUUCUUAAAAAUUAUUUCCAAGCUAUGAGAAAAUUUAAGAUAGUGUGCUCCAAUUAUAAGAAACAUUACACGACUACUUAAUUCACAUGCAUAUUGAUUCAGCACUCAUGUUAAGUAAUUAAGUGGUAGCAUCUUUUAAUUGUAUACUAUAUUUUGUUCGGAAGCUAUUUGAAUAGAGAUUAUUGUUCAUGUUAUAUAAUUCUCAGACAAAUUGAUCGGUAGAAAAAUCUAAGUGACCACAACUUAAUAAAAACUUUAAAACAUAAGCAUGAGGCAUGAGAAUGCAAUGCUGUCACCAUUGUUUUUUCAUUUUCAAAUAAAACUUUGAAAGGGCUUUUCUUGGGUUUUGUAUGUGGACAAAUUUUAAAAAAUGAGUAAAAUGCAAUUUUGGUAUCUAAACUUUGACCCUUGAGUGCUUCUAGCACCCAAAUCACGUGUUGUCACAUGUGCAGCAAUGAAAUUGUAAAAAAGGUUUCAUGUUUAUACUUAAUCGAAGGAUUUUCAAAUUGUCACUUCAAGCUCUUCAUGUGAAACUAUAUUUCACAAUUUUUUUUUAUGAUUUCAUGGUUAAAUCCAUAAACAUUUGGUUGAAAUGAGGGUCUCAAAGUUUUUUUUUCCUUUGGUUUUUUAUAAGAGAGUAUGGAGAGGAGAGAGGAGUUUUGAGCAUGUAUGAUUAGUGUCAUUUAGUAUUUUCUUAGAACAAGUUAUUUUAUAUUUAACUAAGUGAUCCACGUUCUAUUAUUCCUUAAACUAGGCACCAUGUUAGCCUUUUUUUUUUGAAAAUUAUUUUAAAAAAAUUUUGUUGUUGGACAAACAUAGCAAAUGAUUUUUUUGUUAGUUGGAAUUUGAAAAAGGGUCCCCAUAAGGUAUAGCCAAUUCUCACUUUACCUCCCAACCUUUAAUUUUGCACACUUAACCCCUAUAGGACAAAAUUACCCUUCCAUUAUUUUGACUUUUCAUUUAUCUUUUUUUCUCUCUUUUAUUUCUUUUUCUCUUUCUUCUUUGUUCUCUCUUUCAUCCUUCCUAAUAAAAAACUCCAUCUCAAUGGAAAUUUUUAUCUUGAAUUUGUAAUUGCAUUUCUGGGUGAAGGUUUAAAAGGCAUCAAAAACUAAUUUUGAUUUUUUGUAUGAUGCAAUGUGUCACAAAUUUCAAUUGAUGAUUAUUAAUCAGGUCACAAUUUCAUCUUAUGAUAUUUUCUUGAGAAUAAAAUGAGAAACUAGAAAGAAAAUAGGAAAAACCAAAAUUAAAAGAAUUGAAUGGCUAAAAAAAUUGUAUUUUAGGAAAGUGAUUUGAAUAUUUUGUAACUAUUUAAGGAGAAAAUAGAUCUUUGCAAUUCCUCUUUUUUAAUUUCAAUCAUUAAGAUGAAGAUUUUUUGUGGGAAAGAAGAAGAAUUAAAGAAAGAAAAAAGAGGCCAAGAAAAUAAAAGAGCACAAAAGCGGAAAGAAAAAAAAUAAAAGAGAAAAAUAAGAGUUUAGAAUAUUAGCAGAAUAAUUUUGUCCAAUAGGGGAUAAAGUGAGACAAAAAAUUGGUUAGGGGGUAAAAUGAGAAAUGAGGUAUACUUUAAGGGGAUUAAUUGUGAUUAACCCUUUCAAAAAUUCUAUUAAGGAUACCAAACGUGCUUAAAUAUUAUAACAUAAUGUACUAGAUUUAUUUUCAUCCAAAGUUUGGUUACCAAAAUCACUUAAAGGUCAAGGUUUGAUUAACAAAACUGCAUUUACUCUUUUUCAAAGUUUACUUGGAAUGACCUUUUAACAGGGGAUAAUUUCAGAAACCUCCCUUGAGGUUUUUUACUAUUUCACUUAGUCCCUUGAUAUUUUAAAAAUUACACUUACCUCUCUUGAUUUGAUAUUUGAGUAACCAAACUUUAAAAUAGAGUAAAAAAUUUAAUGAAUAUCUUAAAAUACCCUUAUCUUACAAAGUUCAAUUUGUUCUUCUAAACAAAAGAGUAUCAAGUUAUAACAAUAAAUAUUUUGCUAUAAUAUAAUAGGGUAUUUUUUAUAGUACUUUAUUGGGAAUAUAAAUUCUUUUUAAGAUAGAGAAGAAAGUGCUAUUUUGUUUCUUUUAAAGUUUAUGGACUAUCAUAACUUGGUAAUAAUUUUGGGUUAUUUGUUUUUAAUCAUUGUUGACUUAUCCUUGAUUUUGAUACCCAAAAAAGGAGCCACAAAAAAAAUUGGAAGAUAUUAAAAGUUAUCAAAAAAAUAUUACUAGUUUAAUAUUUAAUUUGGAUAGAUAUUAGGGAUAAUAUUAAUAGUUCUUCUAUACUUCUAAUGAAAUAUAAGAGAAACGAAUAAGAAGGAAAAUGGUAAAAAAAUUAUAAAAUCCAUCCUUUGCAUAAAUAUGGCAAAAAGAGAGUUUUAUUAAAAACAUUAAGGUUAGUAUUGUUAUUUUAAAUAGACAAGGAACGUAGGUGUAUUUUUGAAACCUUAGAGGAGCCAAAUGAAAUUAUUGGAAACCUUAGGGGAGAUUUCUGAAAUUAUCCCUUUUAACAAGCGAUAAGGUUUUGGCUUAAUUCCAGAUGAUUUGCUCUUCACUUUUCAUCAUUGCACGGACAACUAAAAGCGACAACACUCCAUUAUUAAUAGCGGGUCACCACCGAAAAGGGGAAAGACUUUGCCGUUCACGUUGACGACCACGACAUUGUCGAGAGGAAAAAUCCAUGAAGUUGAAGGGAGGCUUGAAGUGGGGAGCCUUCGCCUAUCCUCGUCUGUCUCUACCCAAAUACCCCUGCUAGUGCUCCGUGGCCGUAGGGGUCAAUUCUAUUUUUAUUUUUUUAUUUGACUUUAUUUAUAUAUGCAUAAUAUUGUCAUUGAGCCUUUGAUCGAGUAGUCACUGGUUCAAUGUGAAAGGUCAAUGGUUCAAAUUUUACCUCCCAUCAAAUCGGGCUUUACUGAAAUAUGGUAGAGAGUUCUUUACCAUUUCCUUUUAAUGGUUGAGGACUAUGGUCACAAUUCACAAGAAAUAUUACCGAACUGUUAUUAUCUGAAUAACACGUCUCUGUUGCGAAAGCAUAGAGUCCUUUACCGCUUGCCAAGCACUAGAUUGUGCUGCCUGCUUUGAUUUCGUAAUGUGAUUCCUAACUUCUAUAACUUCGGUCGUGUGAAAAUAUCCACAAUGAGAAUCUCAUUUUCAUGUAGCUAUUUUCUCAAGUUUCAGUAGAAGUCAGUGGAACAAGAAUCAAAUAGUUCCUGAGGGUCAUAUUGUCUGAAAUUUAUACUUACCUAGCUCUGUUCAAUCAAUACCAAUCUUUGGCUUUUCUUUACCCAAAAAAUGCUCCAUUCGUUGAGAUCAAUCAGGGUUGUUCUUUGAGUGCAAGUUACUUAGCACAAUCGCGGGCUCAUUUUCUGCCUUUUCAUUCAUUGCAGGACUGCUCAUCAGCUUGUUGAUGCCUGCUUUAAUUUUUGCCAUCUCGAUUAGUUUCUGAUAUUUCGCAGCAGAAGUCAAACCACAUAACUAAGGUAGAGUAAAUGGUGGAAAUUUUCAAUCUAGGUAAAAUUAAUUAGUCAAAGAAGAAGCAGUGUCCUUUGCAAGAGGACCUACUGGUUCAGUUCUUCAAGUAAAUACUUAGAAGCUGCUGUGGUAGGACAUAAAUGUUUCAGAUGAUGCUCUUGGUAGGGCCUAAGCAGUUAUCCGCAUUGGCCUCCCAUUUUUGGGGUAAUAUUCAUGCCUGUCUAGCACCGGUGCAUCUGUUUCAUAUCUCCCCCUUUUUAUUGUUUUUCCUUCUUAUUAAUCGAUAAUAUUUACACAACUACUAGACGAACCUAUACUAGAGAAGAAUGUACUACAGUCUUUGAAUUUUACUCUUAAUGCAAGGGUACGAGUCGUUUGCGUGUAAUUUUAUCUUCCAUAUAUUUGUUGGAUUAUCCAUUAUGAAGGGACAUCCUAUAGAAAAGCAGAUUAAAAAUUUUUUUUUGAGUUGAACAAAAAGUUUGAUGAAUAUACAUUAUCCGACCGUAUAAAGAAUUAUCACAUGUACCAAGAUGUCAAUUGUAAAAUAUAAUAAGCUUUGUUACUUUAUAUGGUCAGGAGAUUAAGCCAAUUGAAGAGAUAAAAGUUGUUAGAAGAAAGAAAUUUUUUUUAAAAAUUUGAUUUUAGGAGAGAAAAAUAACUAUAAUAUUUGAUUUGAUUGGUCAGUUGAUAGAAAAUAUUCGAGCACUUAGUGGGUAAAUCCAAAUAUGUAGUUGACGCCUCAUAGGAAGGAGAUCUUGGCCUUAAACCAAGACAAGAUCUCCCUUCCUCUUCCUUUGUUCUCCCUUUUUUUUGUUCUUAUUUUUAUUUAAUAAAGUCUCUCCUAAAAUAUCCUAGAGAGAGUUUUCUCCUCUCCCAAAUUAUCCUAGUGAGAGUUUGUUUAGUUUUUUGUUUUUUUUGUUAUUUGUUUUCUCAGAUCUAAAAUUUUUUUCAGAUCUACAUGUUAGAUCUAAAAUUUCUUGGAUCUUCUCGUCAAAUCUCAACAUCAGUUUUGAGGUUGAACAUAGUAGAUCUAAGGGAAUAGACAUACACAAAUAUCUAUAGAGCGGUUAUUUCAAUUGGUCAGAUUUGAUGUUUUGUGAUUCAUAGUGUAAUCUUUUAUAUUUUGUAACUCUGUCAAAUCUUAUGAUUUUUCAGAUCAAAUAUAUCAGUGACAUGUUCCAUGUAUUUCUACCAGAUUACUUUGUCAAACAAAUCGUGCUGGAUGAUUUCCAGCUAGAUUAUUAAUAAUAUUGGCUUAUGUUUUUAUCAAAAAAUAAAUAAAUUCUAACCUCCAAUCAUAUGUAUAUGAGGCCUACACAUGAUCAGGAUCAUUAUAUUCAUUGCCGAUUUAAAGAGUUAUUUGGGGCAAACUCCUUAUAAAUUUUAGUAGUGGGAGCCUUUCCGUAUUGUUCUAAAAUUCCUAUUAAUUUUUUACAUUUGUGAUCAAUUUAAUAUCAGAUUUUAUAGCAUAUUGGCUGUUGCUCCAAAUAUAUAGUAGAAGGAUUAGCAGAGCAUUUAUAUUUUUCAUAAGAAGUAACAAUCAAAAUUUCCUUUAAAGAAAAAAAAAAGCGAAGCAGACUUCCUAAUACUUUUUUUUUAAUUUGUUGUAAUCAAGUUGCUUACUAACUUGCUAUUAAUAUCCAAUAUAUUACCAAAAAAACAAGAAGUUAUACAAGUCCUCCGAGGCUUGGACGGGUGGUUAAGGUUGCUGAAGAUGGAGCUUUAGGUCUUUGAUUCGAAUCUUGCUGCCAGCAAGUUGUGGAGAGUGGGGAAUAGAUCUGCGGGAUCUACUGCUUGACACCCUAAAGAAAAAAAAAAUCAACAGAAUAAAAAAAAAAACAAGAAGUUAUACACAACAAUCAUUGUCCACAAUGGAUCGAUUAUGGCGUAAUUCCCAGCAACUCGGGGGGUCUUUUGUUUUGUUAGGGGUAGUCCGCUGGGUGCAGGCGAACUUCGUGGGAAAGUAGUUGGCAAGCUGUCCGGUUUACAUAAAGGUUGGGGUUUUACCAUGGAAUAUAUUGUCUACUUUUACUUUCGACCGUACUCAAAUAGGGUAGGUGUCAUUUGUCACUUUCAAACUUUAGAAAAUGUCACUUAUCUCCUUUACUUUAAGCUUUUUAUAUCAUUUACAAUUCUUUUUAAAAUGUAAUAUUAAAGAAGUCAUUUUGGGAGAGUAAAUAUACUCUCAUUCCAAAUUUGCUUUUUUGCUGUCUUUCUUUUUAUUACCAAAAUAGCAAGCAUAUUAUUAACAAACAAAAACAAAAAAAUGAAUGAAUGUUUAUUUUGAUUGGAUAAAAUAUAUUGUAUUUUUUGAAUACCAAAAGUUAAUAUUUUAAAGUUUAUUUGAAUUUUUUGCAAGUUAUAAUGAUAAUAUUUUUUUACUAUGAAGUGUUUAAAGUUAAUUUAAGAAGUUUUGUAAAUCUUUUACAUAUUUUUUAUUUUUCAAAUAUUUUUCCAAGUCAAUGGUUUGAAAACUAAAAGGAUACAGCAUCAUAAAAUUAUAUAUAAACUUGUUUUGUGUUUUUUUUAAGCCGGUGCAUAAAGGUAUUCUCGUAGUUGUAAAUUAUUAUUAGUUAUUUUUAAGAAUAUUGUAAAUCAUUUAUAAAUUUAAGUAACUAGCAUUUCUUGUUCAAACCAAUGACACAAAAACAUUAAAGAGUUUUUCAAUCUUACAGUCAACUUUUGUUAAAGAACUACAUCGACCAAUUUACAAAAAUUAAGAGAUAAAUUUGAUGUGUUAUGAUAAUUAAGAAAUCACAUGAAAAGGGUAAUUUUGGAAUGAAAUUGGAUUCUCUUUCCCAAAAUGAGUUUUUUAAUAUUAUCUUCUGAAAUGAGUAUCAAAUGUUACAAAAAGUUUAAAGCAGGGAAAUUAAGCGAGAUUUUUCAAAAUUUAAGGACACCAAGUGAAAAUGUUAGACACCUCAAGGGAGGUUUCUGAAAGUAUAAGUAGACCUUUUUUUGUUCAAGACUUCAGCAUAGGUUUUCACGAGCAAUGAGCCAGCAUGCAUGCAGUAAGUGGGUGGCACAUUUUGAUUGAAGUAGUACAGAAAUUCUGCAGUCGUAGUGUUAUUGCAAUGUAAAACAGUAAAAGUAAUAGCUGUACACUUAUUUGAUUAAAAUAUAUAAUAUAUCCGUGUGAUUUGACGGUGAUUCAAUCCAUUUCGAAUUAUCCUUAGAUUUCUUCGUAUCCUCUCCUCCGAAAGCGGCUAAUUACUUAGAUUAUUGCUGAGGAAAAGAAAGUUCGGUCAUCUGUGGCUCUGACAGUGGGCUAUUGCAUACUUAUGGGUGCCGGGGCGUGUCAGCCCGGCACCGAAAAGCAAAGUCAAAUUUUUUUUGGUUUGACAUGACACAGCCCGGCAGCAGAAUUUUUUUUUUUUUAAGUUGUCAGCUACCGGGCUGACAAGGCCCGGUAGCCGACACCCUCUGAUCCACAAAGCUGACACUGCUCGGCAGCCAGUGCAAUUUAUAAAAAAAAAAAAUUUCCAGAAGCGCUAAAGAAGUAUGCAUUUCUGAAAUGAACCAUCCACGGAAUUAAAGGAGAGGUAAGAAUUAAACAUAGUAGGCUGCAUUUCUAUGGUGGAAGGUUCACUUUUCUGCGCACAAUAAAUAGAAGCAAUGCAAAUGUGGAGACGCACAAAGAAGUAUAUUAGACACUCAAAAAAGCGAGUUAUGCAUGGAUGCAAAAUAAUAUGUAUUUUAAAAUUAUAAUAAAAGCCCUCUUAAAAAUUUAUUCAUUAUCUAAUAUUCAAUACUUAUAUUUGGUAAAUUAAAAUAGUUAAUUAAAUAUUCUAUUAUAAUAUAAGUAGCUAUAUAUCAUUAAAUCGAUUGAAUAAUAUGUAAGCAGUUUUUUUUUUUUGCCAUUUCAAGAAGUUGUCUAUUAAGUUUCAAUUAAAAUAAAGAUUUUAUAAUUAUUUGAAAUCAUGCAAUAAAAAAAAUCAAUGUAAGAUGAACAUAAAUAUAAAUACCCCAAAUUGUAUGAUUGAAAUAUUUGAUUUAAUAUGCAGGAAAGACAAGAAGAAAUGGCAAGAAGUUUUUUAAAAAUUAAUGUGAGUUCUUUAUAUUGGUAAUCACCUUUAUUUGUUAUUUUAAUCAUAAUACCUGAUUAUAACCGAUUAAAACUCAUCCUAAUACUAUUUACAACUAAAGUUACUAUAUACUCAAAUUAAAAUUUUCUUUUUCACUAAAUUUUCUUUUGUAUAUGAUGCAUGUUUUAUCAUUUGUUAAUAAUUAAAAUAACAAAAAGAUGCUAUUAGGCUAAAUGUCUCGACAAUGUGGAUUACUUUUAAGGAUUUUAAUGAGAAUUAGACCACACUUUUUAUGUAUUCAAUUUAAUUCACAUUCUAUUUCAUUUGAAAUAUAAUUAUGUAAAACAUACGGGAUUAAAAAAUACGAAGAUAAACCUGUGACUAAUUCUAACUUGAUUUGAGCGUUAUGUAUUAUAAUUUUGUAUUAGUUGUCCUAAAUUUGGCUAAAAUAAAAAAUUUGCUAUUAUGUUUAAUUCUUAACUCCCCUUUAAUUCCGUGGAUGGUUCAUUUCAGAAAUGCAUACUUCUUUAGCGCUUUAGAAAUUUUUUUUUUUAUAAAUUGCACUGGCUGCCGGGCAGUGUCAGCCCGGCAGCCAGCUUUGUGGAUCAGAGGGUGUCGGCUACCGGGCCAGGCCCGGUAGCCGACAACUUAAAAAAAAAAAAAUUUCUGCUGCCGGGCUGUGUCAUGUCAGACCAAAAAAAAUUUGACUUUGCUUUUGGGUGCCGGGCCGUGUCAGCCCGGCACCCAUAAGUAUGCAAUAGCCCACUGUCAGAGCCUCAGAUGACCGAACUUUCUUUUCCUCAGCAAUAAUCUAAGUAAUUAGCCCACUAAAUGGGUGUAUUUUUCUUCGUCGAUAGCUUUCGGAGGCUAAUUACUUAGAUUAUUGCUGAGGAAAAGAAAGUUCGGUCAUCUGAGGCUCUGACAGUGGGCUAUUGCAUACUUAUGGGUGCCGGGCUGACACGGCCCGGCACCCAAAAGCAAAGUCAAAUUUUUUUUGGUCUGACAUGACACAGCCCGGCAGCAGAAAUUUUUUUUUUUUUAAGUUGUCGGCUACCGGGCCUGGCCCGGUAGCCGACACCCUCUGAUCCACAAAGCUGGCUGCCGGGCUGACACUGCCCGGCAGCCAGUGCAAUUUAUAAAAAAAAAAAUUUCUAAAGCGCUAAAGAAGUAUGCAUUUCUGAAAUGAACCAUCCACGGAAUUAAAGGGGAGUUAAGAAUUAAACAUAAUAGCAAAUUUUUUAUUUUAGCCAAAUUUAGGACAACUAAUACAAAAUUAUAAUACAUAACGCUCAAAUCAAGUUAGAAUUAGUCACAGGUUUAUCUUCGUAUUUUUUAAUCCCGUAUGUUUUACAUAAUUAUAUUUCAAAUGAAAUAGAAUGUGAAUUAAAUUGAAUACAUAAAAAGUGUGGUCUAAUUCUCAUUAAAAUCCUUAAAAGUAAUCCACAUUGUCGAGACAUUUAGCCUAAUAGCAUCUUUUUGUUAUUUUAAUUAUUAACAAAUGAUAAAACAUGCAUCAUAUACAAAAGAAAAUUUAGUGAAAAAGAAAAUUUUAAUUUGAGUAUAUAGUAACUUUAGUUGUAAAUAGUAUUAGGAUGAGUUUUAAUCGGUUAUAAUCAGGUAUUAUGAUUAAAAUAACAAAUAAAGGUGAUUACCAAUAUAAAGAACUCACAUUAAUUUUUAAAAAACUUCUUGCCAUUUCUUCUUGUCUUUCCUGCAUAUUAAAUCAAAUAUUUCAAUCAUACAAUUUGGGGUAUUUAUAUUUAUGUUCAUCUUACAUUGAUUUUUUUUAUUGCAUGAUUUCAAAUAAUUAUAAAAUCUUUAUUUUAAUUGAAACUUAAUAGACAACUUCUUGAAAUGGCAAAAAAAAAAAACUGCUUACAUAUUAUUCAAUCGAUUUAAUGAUAUAUAGCUACUUAUAUUAUAAUAGAAUAUUUAAUUAACUAUUUUAAUUUACCAAAUAUAAGUAUUGAAUAUUAGAUAAUGAAUAAAUUUUUAAGAGGGCUUUUAUUAUAAUUUUAAAAUACAUAUUAUUUUGCAUCCAUGCAUAACUCGCUUUUUUGAGUGUCUAAUAUACUUCUUUGUGCGUCUCCACAUUUGCAUUGCUUCUAUUUAUUGUGCGCAGAAAAGUGAACCUUCCACCAUAGAAAUGCAGCCUACUAUGUUUAAUUCUUACCUCUCCUUUAAUUCCGUGGAUGGUUCAUUUCAGAAAUGCAUACUUCUUUAGCGCUUCAGGAAAUUUUUUUUUUUUAUAAAUUGCACUGGCUGCCGAGCAGUGUCAGCUUUGUGGAUCAGAGGGUGUCGGCUACCGGGCCUUGUCAGCCCGGUAGCUGACAACUUAAAAAAAAAAAAAAUUCUGCUGCCGGGCUGUGUCAUGUCAAACCAAAAAAAAUUUGACUUUGCUUUUCGGUGCCGGGCUGACACGCCCCGGCACCCAUAAGUAUGCAAUAGCCCACUGUCAGAGCCACAGAUGACCGAACUUUCUUUUCCUCAGCAAUAAUCUAAGUAAUUAGCCCAUUUAGUGGUAGACCAACUUGUCCUAUACAUUUGUUCAUAUCUUUCUCAUCAGUACAUGACAUCACAUUGAAAACAACUAAUGGGUAAAGGCCAACUAAGCAUUGUCCCUUCACCGUUCAGUGAACUGAAUGGGGCAGUCCAAAUUCACUAACUCCGGCUUAACACAACAGCAGCAGCAAACCAAGCAUCUCCUCUCAAGAUAAUGUAAUAAUCACAUGGACAAUGUUACAAACACAUGGUAUACCCACGGCGCAACUAUGGUGGUUCUAACUAGUAUACUAAGGAAAACAAAAAAUCGGCAAAAAAAAAAAAAACUUACCUUUGAAGAAGUUACCUACCUAACCUAACACAGGGCUCCAACCAGUACACUGGGGAAGGACAAGAAAUCAAUAAUAAAAAGCUGCAGUAAAGAAGAUACCUAGCUGUUCAUGUGAUUUUGUCGCUCGUUACCAAGAACGUACGUGCUGCAUUCAUUAACCCAGUCUGAAGGAAUGCAUGCAUGCAUCAAAAUCAGUCGGCAACAAGGUCCCCCCACUAUAACUUCUUCGUACGACCACCACCCACCGUUUCAACUCUAGCACCUAACGUUCCCAAAUGAUGAUCAGCUGUCAAAUUUUGAAUUGGAAGUAAUCCAAGGGUGCACAGAAGAUGGCUGGACCAUUUUCCACGUAGUUCGCGCUUAGCUAACAGAACAAAAGACCACCAAGUUGCUGGAAAUUAUGCCAUAACCAGUCCACAUUCACUUUCAGCCUAAUGAUAGAUAGACUAGUUUUGCCUACCCGGACGCGUGCGUCUGGUACCUAGAUUCGUUAUUUUGCUGCUGUGUCAUGUUUUGAAAAUCGGACCGGAUCGGCCGGUUCGACGGGGUUGGAUUGCUAACCGACCAUGGCUCCGGUCCGGUUCUAUGCUAUAGUUGACCAAGUUAGAAAACCGAUCAAGAAUCGGUUAAACUGUGGAAACCGCCGGACCGGAUUGAACCGACGGUUUCCGGUUUUCGAGAUUUCCCUUUUUUUUUUUUUUUUUUUUUUUUUUACGUUUUGCAAAAUGCAACUAUCAAGAUUCGAACUCAAGACCUUUGUAAUAAAGGACCAAUGUAGUAACCAUUGCACCAUCACAUCUUAUUAGUUUUUUUUUGAUAACUUAUUUAUAUAAAACAAACACUCAUAUUUCUUUUUUUCAUUUUUUUUACAAAAUCUAAUCAUCUCAUGGCUCUUUCUUUUUAAUCUUCAACACACACACACACACACACACUCUCUCUCUCUUCUCUUUGUAAUCAAACCACUUUAUUUUUAAUUUAUUGAUAUUUUCUUCCAUCUUUUAAUUUUAUUUUUGUCCAUUAAAUUGAAAAAGGUUAAAAAAGAAUUAUUUUUCUUUAGCCCAAAUUAUUUAAUGCCACAACCACUCACUUUUAUCUCAUUUUUUAUUUCUUAUCAAGUUUGCAUUUCUAUUUUUGAUUCUCUUGAGUUCUUUCGAACUCCAAAAUUCCUUUUUUAAAUUGCAAUCUCUAAAUCUCAAAACGUAAAUUAAAAUUUAAGUUCACAAAAUCUAAAUUCUCAUAGACAUGAAUUUUGUAUAAUUUUAAAAUAUUAUGAUAUUUUUGGGUUAGAUCUAAGAUUUUUUUGGUAGAUAUAAUUGAAAUUGAAAUGAAAUUUAUUUGUUUUAACUUAUAAUUUAAAAUUUUUAUUUUUAAAAAAUCAAGUUAUUCAAAAAUAGUAAACUUUUCAUCAUAUAAUGUAUUAAAUUAGUCCAUUACAUGUCUUAUUUUGUGCAUAAAUAUUUAUAUAAAUUAUUUUUUAAAAAAUUCAUUGAACCGAUGUUGAACCGGUCCGACCGGUUGAAUCUCGACCCUUUCACGUCACCGGUUCAAUUAACGGUCCGGUUUUUAAAACAUUGGUUUGUGGUGUGCUUUUCCUCACUGUAUGGAGAAACAAGACCUUUGAAAUCAGGUUAUCUAACAUUGUUAAUAUAGCAUUAAUUAUUGCAUCGUUAAGCCAUCGUUAAGACUGUUAAAUAAGAUUAAAUUCAAUUAAAGUGAUCAAUUAUACUUUGAACUUUAAUGUAUCUAAUAGGACGUGAUUCUUUAUUUAAAGGUAAUUUAUAUUUCUCUGAUGGGUUGAAAUUGGAAUCUAAAAGAUAAUAGUAAAAUUAUCUAUAAAUAGGGUUAUAAAACCCGAGUCACACGUAUUCCUAAAUAAGUUUAUGUUUAGUGGAUUUUUUUUUAUUAUAUUAGUAGGUUUGGAUGCAUGAUACAUAAUUUUUUUUCAAAAUACAAAUUUCUCUUUUGUAUACGUAGCAUGCAUCCUAUUUUACUUGUGUAAAAGAGUUUCUAUAGAAUAGAAAAUAUUAAAUUUAUAAAAUUUGAAAAAAAAUCAUAAAAAUUGAGAUAUUUGACGCUGGCUAGGCACUACAACCAACUUUUGAACCAAGAAAAACCAACCCCAAACGCAAAGCUAAAUCACAAACGGAGGCAAUAGAAUCAAGUCAUCGAGAUCUGCAAACAUGGCUAUAGAUUUUUUUUUUUUUUGGGACGUGCAAGACCGUCGAGCACUUUUAGCCGUCCCAAUCAAACAAAUUUUUUUUGGACAUACAAGACCUUUGAGCAUUUGUAGCCAUUCCAAUCAAUUUUUUUUUUGGGACAUACAAGACCUUUGACCAUUUCGUUACUUGUGGUUUGGAAAAACUCUCACGUUGUUUAUAUUAAUUUCAAAACUUGAAAUCGACAUCGUAAAGGUGUAAGGGCGAAUCUUUUUGCCUUAUAUAUCCUGAACAAGUUGCAAAUAUGAAGCAAAAGAUUUAGGUCGGAAGAAAAAAACGUAUGAAGCAGAUGAUUAUGUAACGAUUUGACAUUAAAAAAAUGCAGACAUCUUCAUACUGUGAGAAAUGAGUAACUUUAGAUUGAAAAAGAAAAUUAGAAAAAAUAUUAUAUAGCGAUUUUAUAUAUACACAAGCCCCCGCUCCACAUGGGCAUCACUGAUCUCUAAAGAAGCCCAACCCAGGCAACACCAAAAGGCCCCAACACCACUGCAAUUCACAGAAGCAACAACAUAACCGAAUCACUGCAACUGUUCGUUACUGUUUACAUAGGUACUGUUCGUUACUGUUUACAUAUUCAUCCCCACUUUUACAUAGGUAAGGUAAGAUAUAUACUCUCUUUAUAAUUUUUUGGCUUAUGUGUGUGUGUGUGUAGAAUAAGCUUAUUACAUAGGUAGAAUUUGAGCAUUCAAAUCCAAUUUAAAAUAUUUGUUUUGAGCAAACAAGGACGGAGUUUAAAUAAUUGGACUUGGAUAUUGAGAUUCUGACUUUGGUAUGACAUUAUGAUAUCAGAACGAAUCUUCCGUAGUCUCUGCAUGAAAUGGGAUUGGAUCAGAGGACGCAAAACCUAAAAAAGAAGGAUAAAUGUAAUACCCCAUCUCACGUCGAAUAAGUUAGUGCUAAAACUAAUACAAUACACAAAUAGAGUGUGAGCAUUCAAAUCUAAUUUAAAAUAUCCAUAAUGAAAAUCAAAUAAUUGGACUUGGCUGCUGAAAGUCAGGUCGCGUCUUGGGCAUACGUGCCUAGGGCGUGACAGGACUCAGACUAAUAUAUAAGCAUCAAAGAACGGUCAAGGCCCCAAGCGGAUGAAGAACCUCAUAUACUUACAAGUCUGAAUAUAAAAAACGGUUAUCUUCAAUAUUCCAAACACUUUUAUACCAACUGAAGCACAUACCGUUGAAAUCUAAACGGCAAGACACUCAAUUUGGGUAGAGAAAUGUCUCUGUUGUUGUUCAGGAAAAUUGUCAUUUUCUUGAAUAAAAUAGCAAUAUGAAGCAAGUUUAGAUUACAAGAAUCCUCUUAAACAGCCGUAGUAUGAGACUGGUAUGUAAAUAACAAGGCAGCCUCUCCAAGUACGUACUCAAGCUAUGUACAUUUUACCUAGAACGACAUUUUCCCUAUUGCUACAGAGCUAGAAAUAAGGGUGGCAAUAGGGGUGUGGAUUGGGGCGGGGCGGGGUCGGGGGAGGGAAUUUUUUCCCCCGGUUUAUAAAUGGGGUAGGCCCUGCUCUAUCCCUUACCCCGCCACUCGCUAAUAUAUAUAUAUAUAUAUAUAUAAAUAAAAAAUAUAUAUAUAAUUAUAUAUUUAAUAUUUAAUUUAAUUAGUUACAAACUUAUGAUAAUGAUAUUAUUAGUUAUAUGUAUUAUAUAAUGUAUAUUAUUAUAUGUAAUAUAAUUAAUUUUAUCAAUUAUACUAAUAAUUAUAUAUGUCUACUAAUAGAAAUUAUUAAUUAGUUAUACUAAAUUCCUAAUUAUAUUUAAUACAAUAGCACUUUUUUCUCAAAAAAAGCACAACAUAAUAAUGAAUUAGUGAUUGUAUUUGUGCCAAAAGUGAAAACUUGACUACUUUAGUUGUAUUUAUUUCAUCAUGUUGGAUUGUAUUCAAAUAACUUUUGUUUGAUUAUUUUUAUGAGUUUCAAUUGUAAAAUUACAAUAAAUAAUAACUUGGUGAUGUGUUGAUAUUUUAGUACUUAAUUAUUUGCUAAAAUUUAACUAUAAUAAAUUAUAUAACAAACUUUUAUUAGUCUCGCAGGUGCUCCUGCGAGGGAAACGGGCAGGUUGGGGCAUAAAGCGAGAGCCGGAGGGAAUUAGUAGGCAGCGGCACAAGGGUGGAGACUCAUCCCCGCCCCCGUUGCCAUCCUUAGCUAGAAAAGCUAGCAUUUUAUUCGUGGAAAACUAAUUUCGAACCUUCGACGCAUUGACAAAGAUUAAGAAGGAAAGGGAAACAAGGAAAAAGUUCCAUCAUACAACGAUCUGUAAAAGAUUCUUUAAAUUCAGCAAUAGCCCACAAGUCCACAAUCUAAGACCAAGAGUCGAUGAGGUCCUUACUUACCAUUUUUCACUUUCGCAGUUAAAUUUCCUGCCGCAAGGCCCAGAAGCUUGUCAAAUCCAACCUUGUUCUAUCUUAUCCUCUAUUGUCUUUUAUUAAUACACAAGUAGGCUACUAUUAAAAGGAGUGGGCGUCUAUUAAACUCCAACUAUAUUUCAAAAAAAAAAAUUGUUUGAGUCUUGCAUUUUUUUGAUAGAAAAUAAUUCAAUCCUUCUCAGGAUGUCAUAAUGUUUCUAAUUUCAAACUUUGUAGAGGGAUUUUUUUUCUUUUUUGUUUGGGAGCGUCCUCACGAUCAUCAUAAAUCAUCUUCUUUUACAAAUCUUUUCUUUUAUAUCCUUUUGUCACCCCAAGUCCCAAGUGAGCUAUAAAAAAAAACCAUUUACUAGGAGGCAUUUUUAGAAAACAUGUCCCGUCAAAGGCGUAAUCUAACCAUGUUAAAAUUCAGAACUUUAAACAAACGCCUUUAUUAUUUGAUUUUCCCCUCAUAAAAAGUAGUCAAAAUUUUAGGAGGAUAAAAUUAAGAAAAUAAAAGAUGAUAAAAACUAAUACACAAGCAAACCUUCUUUUCUACCUGAGCUUUUCCGAAUAGUUGUAUCAUCUUUGUUGGAAUAGAGAAUACAAGAAUGUUUUAAACUAAGAUGCAUGGAGCAACUUGAAGCAGAUCUGAAAAUUAAAAUUGAAGAGAAAAUCAGACUACCCAACGUUUUGUAAUUAAGUAGCUUACUUUUAAUGAAGCCUUUUUUUUUAGAACAAAAAAUGGUUAGUAUGCACAUAGCCCUUGCUUACAGUUUAUGACCCCUUGCAAAAAAAAAAAGGUUUAUUUUAAAAAAUCCAAUAAUUAUGCAAUGCAAGCUCAUCAAGAUUUCUUCAACUAGCAAAACUAGAUUAGUUCAUACAAUGUUUGUAAAAUUUCGAAGAAAAACUUGGAAUUUUGAAUCACUGAAAUGAUCAAGAAACUUUAAUUCCACAAAGUGCGGCCUAUGAAUAAAUUCACCGAACGCUUGAACACAUCAUGCUUUGAAUUUUCCGCAUCCCAAAUCCAAUCUCCCUCUUUUGUCUUUGCACAUAAUCGGAAUCUGAAGAAGACGUGCAGGUGCAUUGUUAUGUAAAAAAAAGGUCUAAGCCCAUAUGAACAUCAGGAUUGAACUGUUGAGAGUUACAGAACGAAAGUCAAAACAAAAAAAAAAUUGUCCCAUUGGGUACCCAAUUAUUACUCAAAUAUUCCCAUAAGUUGUUGGAUAUGUUUGAGAUAAUCCCAUUCAAUGCCUAAUUCCCAAUCUGUUAAGAGUCUAUGGACAUGGACAGGCCAUUCGGACUUGAAAUCAAUUCGCAUAUGAAUUGAGAAUUAUGCAGCUAAAAUGGGAAAACACUUCAAGGACAGAAAACUAUAGACCAUGAAAAAAAGCUGAUAACUAGUGCCGGUUACCUUCAAAUGCUGGAAAACCAAAAAGCUUUUACCAAAGAAGUUGCUGAGACUAAUGAUGAGCUUCCAAACCAGGAAAUUCCUUGAAACUUUCCCCUUUUUUCUGCUUCAACUUUUUGGACUGGUAUUGAUUAACAUUGCAAGUAGAGAGAUGAAUGAAUGAGGAAGCAGUCAAAUUAGUGAGAGCGGAUAAAAAUUGAGAAUUUGGCUUAGGUUCCAACGUCCAGAGAUGUGGACGUGCAAGAAAAAUGACAGGGAGAUUAUGAGAUACAUGUAAAAUUUUUAAACAUACAUUUCUUUUGUGUCCUUUCCAGCCUAGCCUUUUCUAUAUAUGGCAUCAUCAACUACGACUUGCUGAAGUAUAUGAUCAGUAAAGAAAAUUUAUAGAUAUUAAAUCAAGAGAAAAGAAAACAAAAAAUCAAAGGUCAGCUUUCAAAAUUUUCCAUAAACUUAUCUGUGACUUAAAUAAGGCAAGAAUCAGACUAGUCCAAGAGCAUAAUCGAAAUCAAAACUGAACUGGUGUUUACCUUAGAGCUAUGGUCAAGUAAAAGAGUAACUUUGGGUGAUAAUCACUUUUGAUAUGGUUAUGUUCUGCAAAACCUGCCAUGUGGAUGUCCGAAUAAGAGAAAUACCUCAUCAUAUUUUUUUUGGGUAUAUCUGACGGAUGCCCAAUAAACACCGGUUAAAAUAUAAUUUAGGUGUUAUAUUAUUGAAAGUAUAAAAUCAAUUAGGAAAAAUAAAUAAAUACAAGCGAGAAUAGGUAAGAUUAAAUAGGAAAAAUAUGUGGAUAGAAGAGAUGAUAAUAAUUGUUAAUAUGUGUAUAUACAUAAUAAGUUAGGUAAAUUUUAUGUAUGUUAACCAGCAUCCAUUGGUUAACACUAGUUAGGAAAACCCUUUUUUUCACAAAUUCAAAUGAUGUAUAUUAUGAUUUUGGAAAAGUUGAGUUUAGGAAAUUUUAUAGUUUGAUUGAAUUUCCUAAUACACAUGUGAAAAGUCAUUGUAUAGGAAAAUUUCAACUUUAAUUAAUUUUCUUUCUUCAUGGUCCUCCCUUCAAUCCUCUCGAUCUGCUCCACCUUCUUGUAUGAAUUCCGGUGGACUCUAUUGACAAUUUUGUUCAAGAAUUGUGCAAGUUCUGACAUAUUUUUUUUACAAAUUAAUGAUAGCAGUUUAAUUUACAGUUCAAUGCAACAAUUCUUUAAUUUACAAAGAAGAAUUGUGUAAUUUUGAAAUGUUAUUUGAGCAAUAGAGGCUCACAUGUUAAUGCAAGUUUUUGGCCCAGAAACCUGUUCUUGGCCCAGAAAACCUACAUACUGUUAAUUGAUCUUGAUCGUUUGGCACUUUACCAAAUCAAUUAUACUUUUUCCAAAAUUAACACUUGAGGUACCUAUUAGUCAAACCCAAUAAUUAAUUAGUGGAAAAGGAAAAACCAAUUUUUAGUGCGUGACUUCUUUGUCUGGCUUAGUAAUAGUAGACAGAAAAUAUGAUGACGUUUUACUUAUUUCCAUUCAUAGUUUUUCUCUUUAGGAUUUAGAGAAUAGUUUGGGCUCUAGACUUGCCAUCUUUUACUUUCUAUCACGAUGUUCAUCUAAUUAUUUUGUCACAUAAUUUUACAUGCGACGCUUUGAACUUAAUUUGUGAAUAAAACAGAGAACUGACGUAGAAAGUAGGAUAAAGGAUUUAUAAUCUGUAAAUUGGCAUCUUUUUCUUACUCUUUUAUGGUGUAAUUUUACAUGUAACACUACAAUCAUUCAAAAUUACCUCAAUUUUCUGUGCUCCCAAUUGAAAGAAAGGCAUGCCUCCUCCAAAGUCCCAAACUACCCAUAAGAAAGGCCACUUGGUGAGGGGCUUAGUAAUGCUGUCCCACCAAAGGGGUAUCCUUGGUAUAUAAGAACCCAGAGGUUAAGACCACGCCUUCGGUACUUGGGAUUUCCCUAAAAUCUACCAAGUUUGAAUAUCUCACUUAAUUAAGUAUGAUUUCAAUUUGGGCCAUUUUGACACCGUCAUUUUACUUGAUAAGUUGGGUUUCUGUAAUUUUUAUGACAAAUUGUUGUAGACUUUUGGUUUUUUGAUAAAGUCAUCAAAUCUUUAAGCGUAAAAAAAAAAAAAAAAAAAAAAGAGGACGUGGAAAAACCAAAACACAAGCAAACCUUCUUUUCUUUUGAGGGUUGGGUCCAAAUUACAAGCAACCAUCUAAUUUUGCGCAUCCUAAACAAGAAGAUAAAUGCUAAAAAGGAAAAAGAGAGAAAAAAAAAAGGGAAAGGUUUUUGUUUAAUUUAAAGCUUGUUUGCAUUUCCUGCUUUGUCAUACAGUUCAAGUUCCUCUAAUGCCUUAAACAAAUCCGAGUUAAUAAGCGCGUGAGUAUCAUAUCACCAUGCUUCGCAGUAAAGUGAUCACACAUGCUUAUAGUUGCCAUUUGCCACUCUUUGUGAGUUGUGUUUAAUUGCGAAGGAUGGGAAAUCUUGUUGCUAGAAUGGUUCAGGUACUAAAAGUGAUUGAGAAAAUACGAGAGUCUAUCAUAUUCUAAAUGUAGAUAUUUAACUCUAGAAGGGAUUCAAAUAUUAUUCUGAUCCUUCUUUAGCUAAAGAAUUAUCAGUGGAACUGGACAUAUAAUUGCUUGAAAUGGAAAUCAGGGAAAAGCACAUACGUAGAAUGGUUUAAAUUGAUAGAGUGAGAAAACAUUCUUGGAGUACAACAUGAUCAAAAAUUUUGUCAUAUUACCCUAAACAGCUUUAUCGAUAAUCAAGGAAUAGUCACAAAAAACUGUAUCACUGCAGCUUCCCCUCUUGCACUUGAUAGGUAAGGGAGUUCACUAGAAAUUAACAAUGGAGGCACUUGGGAAUUUGGCAUUAGACAGAGGAAGGAGGUACGUGAAUUUGGAUGAUAAUCUUAGCAACUGUAAUAUAGCUAAGGAAGAAGUAUGUACUGAAAUGAAAUUUGGCUUCAAUCAACACUUGUUUUUGCAACAUCACCUCUCUUGCAGCAGCAGUUUUGUGGCUACCUGAUAAACAACACUUGAUUAGUAUAGUUAGAAACAAAAAGCAAACUCAUCCAUGAUACUAACGCAAGUAAGAUCAUGGAAAUUACAUUAAUGUAAUUCUACUUCCUUCCUUCCAACUUAUUGUGGCUCUCAAUAUGAAAUUUGGAAUUUAAACAUUUGCAAACAUAUACACCCUGUAACAUACGUAGAAAGCAUCUUCAGAGAAGGGGAAAACAAGACAACUUUCAACAGCAAGAAAUGGUGCAGUUCGUGGUUCAGCAUUAUAGGGAAGGUUGUCAGUAGAAGAAAACUUGAGCCUCACUAGAAAUAGGAGAAAGACAGAGAACAUGCAAUAGCUUAAAAUGAAAAAAGAAAAUAACAUAAAGAAAUUUAUAACGACUUUGAACUCAAAAAUACAUAAGAAAGAAAGAGAAACUAAUGUACUUAAAUCUAUUUUCCCAUCAGAACAACUCAAAAGGUGUUAGCAGUUUGCACCACAAGAUAGUUAAAAAAAAAAAAAAGAAACCUUGAGCUCAAUAUGGAAAGUAUUAAUACGGAUUCCUACACAAUAGCAAAUUCUAUGCUAGUGGAGAAGUAGAUCAUUUUGGGGGGAAAAACCUCAAAGAAAGGGAGAAAACACGUACAUGAGGACCAGUCAGGAUUUUGAUCAAACAAGUGGUCUUCAAAUAUCACAUCACUCUGUGGUAAAGUAUGGGGCAAGGUCAUUUUUGGCACUAGGAUUGUCCCACUCUAAUGAUUCCCACCAUUCUUUAUCUCCCCUGAUUUUAUGAAGAAUGAUGGGAAGAGAUGGUGGUCCGUCAAUGGUGGAAAGAAACGAAGGCAGCCUCUUUAAAUUUGGACAAUUAAAUAUUUCAAUCUUAUAGAUUGAUUCGCAGAUCAUGGCUGCCUUGCAAAUGUUCUUCAGUUGUGGCAGGUUAUCCAGACGCAACCGCCUCAAUUUCGGAAGGAUGACAGUGGCUGUGGCUCCUUCACUUGAAGUCAAUUGGGUGCCUUCUCCUCCUCCUUGUCCUACUCCAUUGCCAUCUGUUGCUAUCUCCUCCAGUCCUUCACAAUCUUCAACUGUUAAUGUUUCAAGCCUUUGAAGGUUCUGCAGCAACUGCACCGUGAAUAGCUGCUUCAUGUCAUGACAUCCAUCAAUCCAGAAUAUUUUAAGGGAAGAAAAGGUGCCAGCUGGAAGCAAAUAUGAUGGUUCUGAUUCUCCGUAAAAAAGACCAACCAGAUUUGGCAACCUGUGGAGGCGUAGCCUUUUGAGACCACAAAGUGGACUAAAAGACGAGACUUCCAACUGAUCACGUGGAGCAGCAGAGGACAAUUGCCAGAGGAACUCUAUUCCAACCGAAUCCUUAAUAUCCAAUCUAGAUAAGUGGCUUAAAUUUAUAAAAUUCUUAAAAACAUCUGACAAGCACCUAAUGCCCAUGCCCUCACAAUCCUCGAUUAUCAGACGUUCUAUAUCAUCUGGCAGCUUGUUCGAUCCUCUACCAAGCUUACACUGAUGAAAAUACAGUUGUUUCCCCUGGUAUCGAUAUAAACUCGGAUACUCAGUUAAGAUGUCAUUGAUAUAAACAUGAAUAUAGUAUUUUGGCCACCAAGUAAUUUUAUAGAAGUCCGUAAAAGCCAAACAUCCUGUAAACCUUUCUAAUUGGUUCAACACUUCUGGAUCAUUAAGUUGUGUCGUGCCAUAGGAUGGCAAUAAUAGCCACUGAAGACGGUGAAGUUGGGAAAAUGUCCCUUUCGGUAUUACUUUUCGUGUUAAACCCCAACACAUGACCAAGUUGAGCGUUUCGAGAUUGACCAGUGACUCCCAGCCUUCAGGAAAAUCCUUAAUCCCAGUUCCGGAUAGAUCCAAAUCCCUCAACUGCUUGAGCUUUCCCAGUGGUGGCACAAAUUGGAGGCCGCUACAAUCCCCCAAAAUCAGGGCAGUGAGAUUCACCAAGUCUGAAACAGAAUUAGGCAGCUUUGUUAUACCUUCGCACGAUUAUAGAUUCAAAACUUUAAGUCCACACAUGUGCCGAAAGAAUGAAUCUGGGAUUUCUUCUAUGAAAACGUGAGAAAGAAGCAAGGUUGAGAACUUAGGACAAUUUGGUGACCAGUCUGGUGGAAUUUCUAUUUUUAUACGUGGAAAUGUAUCUGUAUAGAAGGAGACUGCAUGGAGAUCUUGUGUCCACUCUUCUUGUUCCAGUGUUGUAACUUUUGAAUGUUCCCGUCUUAAGCUUUUCACCAAGAAUCGUGGUACAUCAUCUCUGCUGCUCUCUGGUUUGGAGUUUCCAUGCGUGAUCCUUAAUGCCAUGUCUCUGACCAAAUCAUGCAUCUUCACACAGUCAUCCUCUUCGGAAUCAUGCGUGAUCAAUCUAGAUGUGAAAGGUGUAAUCUGUAGUUUCGAUAUGUAAUCUUUAGUUCCUUCCAGCAAGCAAACUCUAAUCAGUUUGUUUAAUAUCGUGUGACCUUCAUCAAAUGCUUCUGACCUUGUGCCCCGUUUUGACAUCAGCUCUGCCCAAAUAAACAGCUCUAUUAGUUCCUUUCUUCUCAUAUUCCGAUCUUCCGGAUAAAGACAGCAAUACAAGAAGCAAUUCCUUUCACGUUCUUUCAGGCGAUUGAAACUCCAUUCUAGGAUUGGAAACACCUUUUCUUUCAUCUCAUCAUGCCCUAUUCCAUCCAAGCCUGCCAAUGCAUUUCUCCACUCCUGGAUGUCCGUCUUACCUCUCAUGCUCCCAGCCACUACGAUAAUACCAAGAGGCAAACCAUCACACCUUUCCACAACGGACUUGGCAAUAUCUUUCAAACCUCCAUCAAGCACGGUCUCGCUGCCAAGUGUACGCUCGAACAAACCCCAAGCUUCCUCUGUGUCCAAAGUUUUCAACUCAAAUUUGCUUUGGCAUCGCAUCCGGUUGCACACUUCUUCUGAGCGUGUAGUCAAAAUCAGUCUGCAAUUUCUUGCAUCAAUCCCUAAGCUGUCUAAACCAAAGUCUUCCCAAACAUCAUCCAACAUGAGCAACCUACAUUUUGUCGAAUGCGUUGCGCAACCUACGUGCCCUUACUUUUUCAUCAUCCACGUUUGACAGAUCGAGCCCUAAGCGUUUAGCAACGUCACCUUGCAGCCUUUUGAUGCUAAAAUCUUGGGAGACAGAAAUCCAACAAACCUUGGAUUGAGUAUUCUCAAGGAGGUGAUUAUGGAUGUGUUCCGCCAAAGUAGUCUUACCCACGCCACCCAUCCCCCAGAUCCCAAUCCUUAAGAUCUCAUUGGUGUCCAACCACGCCGUGAUUGUUUUCAGACCUUUGCGGAACGUUUCUCCAAAUAAUUCUGUUAUCUCUCGUGGCUCACCUCUGCUCUCAAAAACCUCAAGGCAAAGCUCACCAAAAUGAUUACUUUCCUCAAUAAGGCCUUGUACCUUUGCAUCCAUUUCCUCCACUCUAUCCCCACCGCUACAUGCAUUUUUUAGAAGACAAUCCUGUUCUAUACUCGUUUUCAAUGCACCGAAUUCAUUCUCUAUUUUUCUUACGUCCCCAAACCAGUUCUCAACCUCCAUUUUCCUUUUCUUAGUACCUGAUCUUUCUGCAUUUGUCACUUUCGACUCGAAGUCACUUUUCCUUGCGCUUAAUCCUUGCAACUUCGUAUCGAGCGAUCUUAGGUUAUCACGCAAAUAGUACCACUUCUUUGCUUUUUCAUAUGUCAAAUCCCAAAUGCACUCCAUUAAUUUUCCAAUGCACUCCAUUACCUAUCAAGUGACGAGAGAAUCUCUAAAAAUUCCAGUUAUCUACCAAUAACGUUGUUCAAUAAAGGCAGCAUAAUAAUCCAUUGGAAAAUUUUGAAACAGGGCAUUUCCAAACUUAGUUUGACAAAUUUGAACUCGGUGAGGACAAUUAGCCGAUUAAUGUUGGAUUCUACAUAAUGGUAUCCUCAACUUCUUUUUGCAUUUAUUUUUGAAUAUGUGCAUCAUCAAUGUUAAAGAUGAAAAAGACUUUUUCUCAUAUUCAACUAUUUAUCAAAUACAACUUUCUUGCGCUGAAUGAAAUGUUCUUGAAGUAUACAGUAGUAAUUUUAUAUUUUUUGGGUACAACAUGAUGUUUCUUCUCACUAAUAUAAUUUUUCUUUUUCUUAUUUGUGGCAAAUGGUAUCUUAAUUACUUUUUAAAAUUUUUUUGAUAAAUAAAUUUUAGGUCAAUUGGUGUGUAUGUCGAAUUACUCACCACUCAUUCGACAAAUAGCAAACGACAAAAUAGUCCAAUUAAAGGCCUCAUAGAAUUCAAGAAUAUAUCAAACUGUAAGCUCAUCUGUGAUUCUUCCCAUUGGCAAAAAAAAUAAAAUAUUUACUACAAUAUGUGGAGAAAUAUCAAUGUGAUAUGAAGAACCAUGUGACAUUUUUUUUCUUUUCUGUCGAUUUUUAAAUUUUGAUUGUAUCAAACCAAAAAAUUUAAAUGAAAUAGGUAACAGGAGUUGCACCCUAAUACAUUAUGUCUCAAAUACAUUAUUUUAAGAAAGGAGAAAGAGGAUGAAAAAUAAGAAAAAAAUGUCUCAAAACUUGAAAGGGAGGAUGUUAAUUAGCAUGGAGUGCUCUAAUACCUUCCCAUUUGAUAGGGAAGAAGAGCACAUAAACACGGAGUCGUCCAAUUUGGUGGGCUUAAUUAAGCAUGUUACUAAAUGAAUCCGGAUUCGGUCCGAUGAAUUUGAAUACCCAUCGUGCUCGUUGAUCCAAUUUUGGUGGUUUUGAGAUCCCGAUUUGGAUCAACUCAUUCUGCCCAAGAAUCGGCCCCACUACAGCCCUUUGUUUAGAUCCAGGAAACCCACGAGGUCCUAUUACUAGCCAAUUUCAUAUUACUCUACGAAUUUGCAAACGUAUAAUUAAUUUAGGUACAUCAAAUAUAUUAUUACAGAAAAGCACUUUCGAGUUCCAAGCUUUUGACCAUUAUCUCAUUAAUAUGUCAAACGAAUUUUUGCUAAUUGACUAUUCUAUUUUUCCUAUUAAUAUUACUCUAUUUCAUUUGGCCCUUGAAGACAUUUUUAAACUCAAAAAUUUUCUUGUUCUUUUUACAGAUCUGUAUAUCUGAAUUAAUCAGGGGAUCUUCAUGAUCGUUGAUUAUAAAGUAUAACAUCAUGGUAAGCUCUGGAAUUUAGCAAGCUAGUAGUCCAUACAUUCAUCUUCUCUAAAGAAUUGAUAACAAAAUUUUUGCACCUAUAAUAAUAUCCGAAUUUCUUGCCAAAAGAUGUCAAUUACAUAAAAAGUUUGAAGAGAGCACUCUAUGUAUUGAAAGGGCGAAAAAAAAGUGAUCAAGAUUUUUGGGCAUUAGAAAUCUAAAUAUACAACUACAAAAAUUUACAAAAUCAAGGUUGAAUGUAACUUGAAAUGAGAAUAAGUUAUCUUCAAGAAGUUGAGAACUACAAAACUAUGCCAAAAUAUAAAAGUUUGUAUUAUAUUUCGAUCAUUGCACCAUUGAUUUUGUGGUGUAAAUUUAUCCCACUUGAUGCGGCUAACUAUUUUUUUUUAGUGCAUGAUUCAUCUGUUUAAAAAUUUCAUCAGGAAAAUGCAUGUUCUUUGUUUGUCCCAAAACAAAAAAGAAAAGAAGAGCUAUGCACGAAAACCUACUUCAUUAGCCUUUGGGUUAGAUACCUUGUGUAAUUUUUUAUUUCAUUAAUUUUAAUUUUGAGUACAUCAAAUUAAAGAUCUAAACGAAAUAGGUAAUAAGAGCUGUACUCUAAAAAAUGUCAGGAUAAAAAUGGCUCAAACACCUUUUUUUUCUCCAAAAAAAAGAAGAAGAAGAAGAAAAUGUCUCAAAACAUCCUACCUAGAUAAAAAUAUGUCAACAAUUUUUCCCUUUUUUUUUCCUUUUUUGAAAAAAAAUUGAAAGGAAGGAUGCUACAGUUCUACAGUAGACUACUCUCCUCAUUUCAUACGUGCAUAAAACUCAUAACGUGCUCUAAAACAUUUAAUUUGGUAGAAAGAAGUAGUCCAAUUAUGCUGAUUCAAUUAUGCAUUUUAGUAAAUGAAACUGAUAUGCAACUUUUUUUUAUAACAAAAAAAUUGAUAUGCAUCUGGUGUAAGAAAAUUUUUAUAAAAAUUCAAGAUUUUAUGUAAAAGCUUAUAAAUUAUAAGAUUAAGGCCGAGAUCCGUACAUGUUUCCACACUCAAUAGGAUCAAUUUACUCCUAUAGAUCCAUCCUAUGCCCAGAUCUAGUUUUGUUAGUAUUAGUUAGGUCCAGGUUUGGAUCAUCUGUCCUUUGUUACAAGUUUUUGCCAAGAACUGUCGAUUAUGUAAAAAGCUUGAACAAAGCACUCCGUGUGUUGAAAGAAGAACAAGUGACCAAGAUGUUUGGGCCUUACAAAUCUAACCAUAACAUGAUGAAAUGAGAAACAACUACAAAAAUUUAUAGUUUCAAGAUCAAAUAUGAUGUUAUUGUACCUUGAAAUCAGGACAAGUUUUCUUGAAAACUUGAAGAAGUUGAGAACCACUAGAUCCUGUCAAAAAACAAAAUGUUGUAUUUUAUUUCGGUCUCUCUUUCGCGACUAUAAUUGUUGAGUUUUGAUGAAGAAAUUAUAAUUGAAUCAAGAUGUUGGUGCCAAGCAAAGCUAUUAUAACAUGGUGAAAUAAGAGAAGAACUCCAACAGUGACUAAAUUCCGAUGGAUAUGAUCUCAUUAUACCUGAAACUGACUAGAAAACUUGAGGAAGCUGAAAACCUUGAGACUGCCAAGAUUAUGUGUUAUGAUUGUUGAGUGUUGAGGAAAGGAUGGUGAAAGUUGAACUAACAGCAGAGCAGACCACCAAUGGCCUUACGGGUUCAUGAUAACGGGCCCUCGUGAAGGAAGUUCCGGGAGUGUCCAAAGAAAGGCUAGUGCAAUUGUAAUUGAUUAAAUGCCUCGAUUAUCAACCAAUUUGUCUUUGCCUACCUUGCAAAGUAUGAGAUGCAACUCUGGCUACAAGUUAGGAAUCCAAACGAUUACACUUACAGAUAUAUCCAAAGAAUUGCACAUAUUUUUAAAUCCAGAAAGUAUAUUGCAACUCUCUAGAGAGUUGCAUCUACUUUUAAAUCCAAAAAAAAAAAUCUAUUGAAUACUGUACACUCUCUUCAAAGAAUGUCAAUUACGAUUAUUAAAUGUCAAGAUAGAGAUAACUUUAACUUAAAUACCAUUGAUUCCAAUAGUAUGUAUAUGUGUAUUUAUCCUUUUGCUUAUACCAUAAAAUUGACACCAAAACUUGGAUUUUGACUUAGAUUCAACAAGAUCUAAUUGUAGGGAUCCCAAAAAAAAAUGAUGAUUGAGAAGAUUGACAGGUUGUCGAAGCCUGUGCAAUAAUAAAUACCUGCUCAAACUAAAAGUAAUUUCUGUAGAUAGUGGUGAGCAGGGUCGAAUCCACAGGGACUGGGAGUAAUCGUUUCUUUUCAAAUUCACAGUGACAAAGGGGGGUGUUUUUAUGCAGAAAGUGACAAUCAAAUAAAUGCAAAUAAAAUCUAAGAAGCUACUAAAAAUUAAAUAAUAAAUUACUAAAAUCAAAUGAAUGAUAAUUAAGGAUCUAGCCAAGGAAUAACUUCAGCAAUGGUUCACCCAAUUGAUCAUCGAUAAGCAAAGGCAAUUCCAAUUAUUUACUAAUAAAUAGGUUAUAACUGCCAAACAAGCGAUGACAGUCAACCCCUCCUUACUGUGUCGAUGAUUAAGGUACGCCCGUUAAUCACUGCUCUAAUUGAGAAAUAAUCCUAGGUACGCCCAUAGAAUUUAAUUCCCCAAUUGCCUUACGUAUUAGAGGAGCCCUAUUCUAAUCAAAUAACGCACUACCAGGGUUAUUUUAGAUUAGUCCGCGUAUUCCCCUGACACACGUCUAAUUAUGCCAGUUAUCACUAUUUUGAGACAAUUAAACAAUUACGGAUUUAACGUCCCAAUUGACAAUAGAUUAUCAAAUUAACUAAUUAUCCGGAUCCAAGACAAUCAAUUAAUUGAACAAUCAUAAGCACUGUAACCAGGGAAUAUGCGAAUAUCAAUAAAUAAAAGCAAAAGAUAAAAUUAAAUCGAUCUCACAAUUUUUGGGCGACCCAGAGCCUUCGUUGCUCCUUGACUAGAAUUGGAAAAUUAGUUCAUAAUUGCUGAACUAAACCCACCAGAAACUGUAGCGAAGGCUGAGGAAAUCAAUUGGAAAGCUGGGCGAAUUCAAUUCGUUUACUCAAUAAAGAAAGAAAGCUACAAAGGGUAAUUCAUAGUCUUCCUUUGGUCUGACACCUCCAGAAGGAAAACGGCUACUCAAUGCUCUCUUUAGAAGAAAAGUCAAAGUUCUAAAAACUAAGGAAAUGGAGAAAACAAAGAGGACCCGCCAUGCCAGAAGGACAAGCAACCAAAGAAAAGUAAAAAAACUAAAGCUUCCAAGUAGUCUCCUGCGCGGCGGCUUUGUGCGGCGCCCUCCCUUGCGGAGAGGACUCCGGAGGAAGAAGAAGCUCCCAACUCCAGCCCUUCGUUCCUCUUUUUAAUGCUUUUGUCUUCGGCAAUUACUAAAAUGGGCACAAGUUUGCCUUUGCCAACAAUGCCCCUGGGAUAAGCUCUGUGCCUUAGACUCUUUUUCUGUUAAAUUGGCACUUGUUAUCAAAUUUUCGUUCUACUCCCUGAAAUAAAUGCAAAAUAUCAAAAGUGAGUAGAAUCUAGCAAUUAAUCUACAAUAGGUCAGAUAAUAGGGAAAAUUAAUAAUAAAAUAAAUGAUAAAAUUGCAACCUAUCAAUUCCCUCCACACCUAAACCAUACUUGUCCUCAAGCAUGAGAACAGCAGACAAGUACCAAUAUUUGAUAGUGACUAUUGCUCUAUCUCACAAAUUGCCAAGAUACCAAAAAACAAUAAUCAAGCAUCAGUGAAUAAGAUCCAAGAAAUAUCACUUUGGUUAGCUUCUAAACCACAAACUCCUCUAAUUUCAGGUUAACUAAUCUAAGAAAAAGGAAUGACGCAUAACAUUUAUCAGCAAAUGGUCCAACUAUUAACCAAAAUUUCAACAUUAAAUCCAUAAUUCGGCAAGCUGACUUUUAUUACACACUAACACAACCUUCACUUUUUUUUUUCACAAUUUUUUUUCUACUUUUCUCUCUCUUUUUUUUUUUUGAUUCUUUUUCUUUCCAGUAGUAACAAAAGACUUAGUCGCUAGCCAUUUGAGCCUUUUGACGCGAACUCCAACAUUGGCCAGAUGAAGGAGCCCGGUUACUCAACUUCUAUCGCCACGUGACCACGUACUCAUAGGAAUUACUACCUUUUGACGCGAGAAUCAACACUUUUGGUGAAAAUCCCCGGUUAUUCGGUAGUAAAUACUAGCGGAGUACAGUCAAGUUUAUUCAUAGCUAAAAAUCACAAAAACUCAAUAUAACACAAAAACCAAAAGAAAACUUGCAUCAGCUAGCCUCAUUUUCAAACAUGGAGAACUAAAGUUAAUAACCGGACCAAUUCACUAAAAAUGCCAACAAUCAUUCCCUAUGCCUAAGAAAGUUAACCAAAAAUUAUAAGAGUAAAACAAUUAUUGAUAUUCACCAAAGAGAUGUUCUUGAAUUCAACCACAUUAACUUGAUACCUUUUUAUUAUUAAAAUUGGCAAUAGUAGAAACAGAGACAAUAAUCCAACAUCAAAUCUUGGCAUGCACUUACGAGCCAAUCACUAAAAAGAAAAAAAAAAUGAACGAGAGGUGGACGAAUAACAAACUAAAAAUAAAGAACUAGUAUAGCUGUCCCCCCCACACCUAGAUCCUACAUUGUCCUCAAUGGAGGGAUUAAAGCAAUUAAAGCGAAGAGUGCAACGAAACUUCCCUCACGAGUGGCCAAAGGAUAGGAGGGAACAGUGGAAGGAAGCCGAGUUCUGAGACAUCCUUGCCACUUGGCGGGUGAUGUUCGUCAUUCGUUCAUCUACGUUGUGAACCUGUGCUUGUAAGUGGCGCCACUCACCAUUGACGCCAAUUAUCACCCCAAACAACAAAAGACAGAAUAUCCAACAAAGAUAGCAAUCACCAACGCACAUUCAUAGUCACCGGUGUUCCCCAACUCAACAAUUAAAAGCAAACACGGGCCACCCAAGCUUAAAUAUGGUCAACAAAGCAACAGUUGCACUCCAAAACUAACAACCAGCAAUUAUUAUCAACAACUAGAAACUAGCAAGGUCACGUCAAUAAGCACAGGGGCUACCCAAAUCAGUCAGUCAACAAGCAAACUCGGGCCAUCCAUACUCUCAACAAAUGCAUUCUAAAAUUUCAACAAAUAUCUCCAGAAAUUUCAACAAAUGCUAUAGCAGAUCAAAGCAGUAGUAAAGCAAUAGCCCCAAGUAUGUACUAAUCCACCAGUUGGGAACCCCGGCCGCUGAGGUCACAAACAAUGGUCCCAAAAUAGCAAUAUUAACCAAUCACCAGGAUGUCUUCCAUAAUUAAUAAAUGCUACCAAUCUCACAAGUAAAACAAGCGGCCAGAUAUUCCAAUUCAACAUGCAAAAGCAGAAUCAAAUCGCCCAAAUGUCACUAGACAGUUGCAGUAUUUCAGCUCACCCAAAAUCCCAACAAAUGGCUCCAGUUGGCCAAUAAAAGUCGCAACUCAAAAUUAUUAAUUUCAAUGAUAACAGCUCAGGGAUUGGACAAUAAUCACUUGGUCAACUAAAUAGAAGUAUGCAAUUGAGGUCCAAUUACCUCACCAGUACCACUGGUGUAGUAAACUGUGGAAAAGAAAUCACACACUACCACUAGCCGGCCACCGAUAAACCAAAAUAACAACUAUCAAUGCCAACAAUUGAGAAUUUCAACAAUCAAAACACAGGCAGAGCUGCCGUCCUAAUUAGCAAAAGAAAAUUUCACAACACCAGCCCACCCAAUGUAGUCAAAUCGUAACAAGGGCCCCAAUAAUAUGGCAUACCAGUGACAGCAUUUCAGAAAUUGAACAAUUACAACCCAAUCACAAAACCUCAGCAGUUAACCAGGUGGCCAACCGGACGAAAUGAAGAAAUUAGGGGGGGCAACUUCCAAUUACCUCCACCGUAGGUAGUAGCCAGACGAAAUGGGACAAUAGUGGGUGUCAGUUGUGCCGGAAUCGCGUGAGGGGUUGCGGCGGUGUCGAUGAAAACAGCGGCGGUCAACGGUGGAGCAGGAGCGAGCGGCGCGCUAUGGAGGUGAAGAUGGCGGUGGAGCGCGCAAGGUGGGCCGCGGCUGGCGACGGAGAGCCGCGCUCUGGUGGAGCGCUGGGGUCGCGGGCGGCGGCUGGUUGCGGACAGUGGAGGCGAUGUGGUGGACGGCACUGCCUGGCGGACGGCGAUGCGGGCUGGUGGAGGUCCGCUGAGUGGCGGCGGUGGACCAGAGAGAAGAGAGAUGGGAGAGCUGCGGCGGUAGGCUGCUGCGUGAUGGGGGUUGCGGCGCAAGUGGAAGGCGGGCAACAGAGAGGGAGCAGGGGAGGAAGAAAGAAGAAAGAAGAAAGAAGAAGAAGAAAGAAAGAAAAAAAAAGAAAGAAAGAAAAGAAGAAAAAGAAAAUUUUUUUUUUUCUACGGAAAUCAAUUUUUUUUUUUAAUUUUUUUUUUGAAUUUUGGAAACUAAAGCUACGUUGAUAAGAAAAAUUUUCUUUUUUUUUUUUUUUUUUUUUGAAUCCUUACCUUUCCCGCGAACGUGACGCGGGCACGUCAUGAGGGCAAGAGAGCUCUCAGAAGUUUCAGAAUUUCUGAUCGUGAGCUUCCUGCACGUCCCCAUGCGGGCACGUCAAGAGGGCAGGAGAGCUCCCAGAAGUUUCAGAAAUUUCUGAUCGUGAGCUCCCUGCACAUCACCACGCGGGCGCGUCAUGACUGAAGGGCACCUAUAAAUCAGAAAAAACGAAAAUUAACACCCAAAAUCAGUCAAAUUCAAGGAAAGCAGAUUUAAACUAUGACACGAAACCAAUCAAGCAAUUAAAAGAAACAAUUGGGUUGCCUCCCAAUGAGCGCCUUUCUUUAAUGUCUUUUGCUCGACAUGCUAUGCUUGUUCACGGGGGAUAAAAUCUUGUGGCUCGUUUCAAUGCUUCAUCUUCAAUAUGAUCCUGGUAACCCUCAUAGAUGGAGUAAUCUUUGAGCACACGAGUUACGGGCUUCCAUGGACUAGUAAAUGGCGCUAAACAAGUCAACAAUGAUCUACAUUCUCCACUCACUCCUCCACCACACGCAUUCAUCGGUUCAAGAUAUUUUUUCAUUGCCACUCUUAACUUAUUCCUGUCAUGAAAUUUCAAAUUUUUUGGUAUAAUAAAAUCAAUUUCAGUAACAGGAAUUGAAGAAGAGGAAUUAGGAAAAUAUUGAUUAAGAAGUGGAGGAGAUGUCACCGCAUUUGGAAAUUGUUCACUGGAUUCAUUCACUUUAAUAAUUUGAUGUUGGAGUCUCAUGUCUUCCGCUUCAACUUCCUUUUCAACUGUAUCUUUGGAUCCUCCUUCUUGAGACUCUUGCAGUUCCAUAUCACUUGUCAGGAUAAUUGCACUCUCACCUUUCUUAGAGUCAUUGAUGGUCUGUGAGGGCAAGUCUGACAUGAAUGACGAUUGUUGAGACUCUUGCAGCUGAAAACUCAUUGGCCCCUCUUCAUAAUUAACGUUAGAGUUAUCCCACCAUCCUUGAUCAUACCGGUUUGAAUAAGGGUCGUACCACGUUUGAGAUCGAGGUGAAGAAUCUCCAAAUUUUUUUUUGAGAUAGUCACUCAGAUAGUCUUGAUAUUCGGGGCACAUACCGGUUGAAUGAUCCCUGGCAUAACAAAUUUCACAGGUUGCAGCAGCCAUUCUUUCUCUAACAGAGUUUAGUGCCUCUGCAUAUGCAGACCUCACAAAAAAACUAGCCUCAUUGCCUUCCCCGGAAAUAAAAUCCAGUAUAUCACCAAAAUACGGAGUGUAAGAAGCCAUAAACUAAAUAAAAAAAUGUAAACAAGAUGAAUUGAAAAAGAAACAAAUAACUAGCGCCAGUCCCCGGCAACGGCGCCAAAAAUUGACAGGUUGUCGAAGCCUGUGCAAUAAUAAAUACCUGCUCAAACUAAAAGUAAUUUCUGUAGAUAGUGGUGAGCAGGGUCGAAUCCACAGGGACUGGGAGUAAUCGUUUCUUUUCAAAUUCACAGUGACAAAGGGGGGGUGUUUUUAUGCAGAAAGUGACAAUCAAAUAAAUGUAAAUAAAAUCUAAGAAGCUACUAAAAAUUAAAUAAUAAAUUACUAAAAUCAAAUGAAUGAUAAUUAAGGAUCUAGCCAAGGAAUAACUUCAGCAAUGGUUCACCCAAUUGAUCAUCGAUAAGCAAAGGCAAUUCCAAUUAUUUACUAAUAAAUAGGUUAUAACUGCCAAACAAGCGAUGACAGUCAACCCCUCCUUACUGUGUCGAUGAUUAAGGUACGCCCGUUAAUCACUGCUCUAAUUGAGAAAUAAUCCUAGGUACGCCCAUAGAAUUUAAUUCCCCAAUUGCCUUACGUAUUAGAGGAGCCCUAUUCUAAUCAAAUAACGCACUACCAGGGUUAUUUUAGAUUAGCCCGCGUAUUCCCCUGACACACGUCUAAUUAUGCCAGUUAUCACUAUUUUGAGACAAUUAAACAAUUACGGAUUUAACGUCCCAAUUGACAAUAGAUUAUCAAAUUAACUAAUUAUCCGGAUCCAAGACAAUCAAUUAAUUGAACAAUCAUAAGCACUGUAACCAGGGAAUAUGCGAAUAUCAAUAAAUAAAAGCAAAAGAUAAAAUUAAAUCGAUCUCACAAUUUUUGGGCGACCCAGAGCCUUCGUUGCUCCUUGACUAGAAUUGAAAAAUUAGUUCAUAAUUGCUGAACUAAACCCACCAGAAAUUGUAGCGAAGGCUGCGGAAAUCAAUUGGAAAGCUGGGUGAAUUCAAUUCGUUUACUCAAUAAAGAAAGAAAGCUACAAAGGGUAAUUCAUAGUCUUCCUUUGGUCUGACACCUCCAGAAGGAAAACGGCUACUCAAUGCUCUCUUUAGAAGAAAAGUCAAAGUUCUAAAAACUAAGGAAAUGGAGAAAACAAAGAGGACCCGCCAUGCCAGAAGGACAAGCAACCAAAGAAAAGUAAAAAAACUAAAGCUUCCAAGUAGUCUCCUGCGCGGCGGCUUUGUGCGGCGCCCUCCCUUGCGGAGAGGACUCCGGAGGAAGAAGAAGCUCCCAACUCCAGCCAUUCGUUCUUCUUUUUAAUGCUUUUGUCUUCGGCAAUUACUAAAAUAGGCACAAGUUUGCCUUUGCCAACAAUGCCCCUGGGAUAAGCUCUGUGCCUUAGACUCUUUUUCUGUUAAAUUGGCACUUGUUAUCAAAUGUUCGUUCUACUCCCUGAAAUAAAUGCAAAAUAUCAAAAGUGAGUAGAAUCUAGCAAUUAAUCUACAAUAGGUCAGAUAAUAGGGAAAAUUAAUAAUAAAAUAAAUGAUAAAAUUGCAACCUAUCAAAGAUUGAAUUAAUACAUUCACAAACAUAUAUGAGAGACUAAGCUAAUUUAUACACAUAAGAAUAUGCUUGGGCUAAUAUAUAAAUAUAAAUAAAUAAAGGGUAAAUUACAUUUUACCCUCCUGUGGUUUAGUGCUUUUUUACAUAACUCCUUAUGGUUUCAAAAACUAUACAUAAUCCCCUCAUAAUUUGGAUUAAAGUGUCAAAGUAACGGAAAUAGUCAUUCGUAACAGAACUUUCGAAAAUGUCAAAAUUACCCUUAUAAAUACAUGACACACUAACCCCGUAUGAUUUUUAUGUUUUACCAUAUAACUCCCUUAUGGUUUAAUGUUUUACUAUAUAACUCCCUUAUGGUUUUCCAAAUAUACACAUAACCCCUCUUGGUUAAUAAAUAAUUUUCAACUUUACAUAAGGAUAUUUUUGACAUUUUAGGUGACUCCGUUACGAAUGAUCAUUUCCGUCACAUUGACACUUUAAUUCAAACUAUGAGGGGGUUAUGUAUAACUUUUGAAAUCAUAGGAGAGUUAUGUAAAAAAAUACUAAACCACAGGGGGGUAAAUUAGAGUUUGCCCAUAAAUAAAUACACACACACACACACACACACACACACAUAUAUAUAUAUAUAUAUAUAUAUAUAUAUAUAUCAUUAUGGCCUAGAUCCAGCCCAUAUACAGCUUCUGUUCACAUUUUAUCUUCUCCAAAAGUUAAUAAGAAUUUGCAACUAUGAUAAAAUUCAAUUUUCUUGCCCAGAAAAUGCUAACAAUGUGAAAAGCAUGAAGAGAGCAAUCGAUGUUGAAACAAAAGGAAGUAAUCUGUGAUUUUUAUGCCGCGAAAAGCUAUAUAAAACAUGAAUGCAGUGAGAAAAAACUUCAAUAUUACAAAAUUAAGAUGGAGUAUGAUAUCCUUUUACCGUGCAAUGUUGGACAACCAAAAUUUUCCGGCCAACUUAUCUUGAAGACGCUGGCACCCUGUCAAUACACAAAAGUGUUAUAUUUUCGUCAGUUUUCACUACUAAGAAGCAGCUCCAAAAAUAUUGAAUUAAGACUCCAACAAUUGAACUAAGAUUUUUGUGCCAAGUAAAGCAAUUACGUACUUGAUGAAAUAAGAAACAAUUCUGACAAUUACAAAAUUGUGAUGGAUGUGAUCUCAUUGUACCCGAAAGCAAGCUUGAGGAGGCUGAGAAUCUUGAGACUGCCAAAAGCAUGUACUUUUUUUUUUUUUUUUUUCUGUUUUUCCUUUGAUUUACUACGAGUAUGAUUGUUGAGUAUUGAGGAAUUAAUGAUAAAAGUUGAACUAAUAGGAGACCAUGAGUGAUUUUAAAGAGUUGAGCAUUACAAUAUCUAAGUCAAGGUCUUCCUGCCCAUUUCAUAUGCAAAAGGUCAAAAGAUUAAUAUUUUUGCCACAAUGUUGGUAUAAUUGAUUGUUUUUAUGGAUUUUUUUUGGGCUAUGCUUUUAGAGCACAGGAUUUGGACAAUUUUUGCUAGUGUUGGUAUGAAUAAUUUUUUAUAUGGACUGUUGUUUUCGUUAUACUUUUACAACGCAGGAUUUAGAUAAUGUUCGAAAUUCUUUCCAGCAAAUGUCAAUCAUGUCAAAAGCUUGAGCAGAACUCCAUGUGUUUAAAGAAGAACAAGUGAUCAAGAAUUUUGGGCCUCAGAAAGCUAAAUAUAACAUGAUGAAAUGAUAAACAACUACAAAAAAUUUGCAAAUUCAAGAUCGAGUGUAAAAUCAUUGUACCUUGAAAUCAGGAUAGGUUAUCUUGAAGAAAUUGAGAACCGCAAGACUCUGCCAAAAGACAAAAUUUUGUAUUAUAUUUUGGUCUAGCUUUCACAAAUACAAGGAAUAUGAUGAUUGAGUUUUGGUGACUGAAUUAUAAUUGAAUCAAGAUUUUUAUGCCAUGUAAAGCUAUUAUAACAUGAUGAGAUAAGAAGCAACUCCAAACAUGUACAAAUUCCAGAUGGAAGUGAUUUCACUGUAGUUGUACGUGAAAUUGACAAGCGAACUCGAAGAAGCUGAAAACCUUGAAACUCUGCCAAAUUGUAUGUAUUACGUCAAUAUUUUUUCUUUGUUUCUUUUGAGUUUCUCUACUUCUUGGAGUACAUACAUGGAGGAAGAGGGUAAAAGUUGAACUAAUUGGAGACGUCAAGUGAUUUAAAGGGUUCAGGAUAACCAGCGGGCCCUUGUCCGGGAAACUUUCAGGAAAGUUAGAAUAAAGGCCACUGAGAUUGCAAUGUUUAAAAAGCCAGUUAAUUUUUUUGUUGGACAAUCAUGCAUAGCUCGAUUAUCAUGUUUAAAAAACUCUAAACCCCAAAAAUCUCAGCCCCAAAUAGUUAAAUAAAUUGAAAUGCAAUUUUAUGUGGCUCCAUCAAAUGAACUACGUCUACGGGUAGAGGAGUAAACCAUCAAAUAACCUAUAUCUAUGGAUAAAGGAGUAGAAUUUUUACUAUGAAGAAGAGAUUACAAAAGCCUUCUGCACCUGUGAAAACCUCUUUUUGUCUAGUGUGCUAACUAAAAUUAAUUUAAAUCCACUUUAUUUAUAAUUACACUGGGGAAGAAUUCCUUUACGCUGACAUAUAUGGUACUAUCAGCGAAAUUACAUAUAUUUGGUCCUUUUCAUUCUUCCGUGUAGCUUCUUAACUGGAACCCUGUGGUUCAAUUGAUGGUAUUGUGGUUCAUGACUUGCUAAAGUCAGUCAAUGCAGAAGAGGUAAAACCAGUAAAAGCUUCUUUGAAGCUUUAAGCUCAUGGAGCCCAAAACAGCGCGGGCUGGCGAAUCAUUUCGCACUAAUAAAGUUAUUGAAAACAACUGAUUCUUUGCUUCGUCUUCCCGUCUUCCCAUACCAAAGCUAUAGUUGAGGGUUUAAGACAGAAAGUAUGCAAAAUCGUUCUCUAUAUCAAACAAUUAGAAAAAGCAUUUUGUCUACGCCUUCAUUGCAUUAGGACGCCAGGGAAAAGAGGCCUUCUUUUCAGCGAAUAUGCGAGACAACCUGUAAUGCUUUACUUGUGUAAAGAGUGGCAAAGAACACUUUAUCUAUAUUUUUGGACGCUUUUUCUACCCUAAUCCCUUGUUAAAUUAGCCCAUCUUUCCAUGGAGGCCGAAGGUAAAUUCAAUGAUCGGCGAUAAAGUGGAAAUUGACAAUACAAAAUGUGCUUCUUUUCUUUUUUUGGUUCUUUCGCCGAAAGCGGGGAUGAGGUGGGCAAAGGGAGAACGAAUUGGAUAAGAGGGUGAUAAUAUAGUUGCUUUAAAAAAAAAAAAAAAAGAGAAAAGCUUUGCGUUUUAUGUUAGAAAAAUUAAGUGUCUAAUUAAGCCCAAUAUUUUCAUGAAUUUUUCAUGUAACUAAAUCUGAUUGCCCUGCGAACUAUAUUGGAAAUAAGCAUUUAGCCAGUAAUGUUGAUUCUUCAAAUUCCUACGAAAGGUGUUCUGCUCCGGAAAGGAGAAUUUUUUUUUUUUUCCCUUUUGCUCUAAAUCUUUUGUGCUCUUGAAUGAUAAUUUGUAGCAACUAGGGGUUUUGAUAACCCCCAUAUAGCACUAAAAUUUAAUAAAUUAAGUAAUUUUUUUCUAUUAAACUUGUUUGAUAACAUAAGUUUGAUAAAUUAAGUCUCACUUAAUUUUUUAUCCAAAAUUUUUUAAGUGAAAUUUGUAUCACUUAAUUUGCUAAAUUGAUGAACUACUACAAUAUAUUCACUCGAAAAAAAAAAAAUCUCUUUUGCCAAAGCUGAGAGAAACUCAGACUUUUGUGUAAAUAAACCUUGAAUCCCCGAACAACCUUCAAAAGCCGGAAACUUUUGAAGGCGUCCAGGGGACUUAUCUACCCAAACCCUAACCCCCAAUUUCGAUGUGGGAUAGAAAACCCCACAGGGUGCCCCGCUGCUAAGAGAUAAAAACCCCCCAAACCCCUGAAAAAAAAAAAAAUCUCACGCAAACACUUUCACAUAUACCUACAUACUCUCUCUCCCACACACAUUCACUCUUUCUCCCACAUAUGCGUAGCUUUUAGACACAUAUACCUUUCUCUCUUUUUUUUUUUUCUCACACAUUCUCACAUGCUGUCUCUCGCAUAAAUAUUUUGACUCUCACACACCCACUCACUUUCACACAUACAUAUACUCUCUCUCGCUCCCAUACAUGCGCACAUUCUCUCUCCCUCUCUUAGACACAAACUUCAUGCGCACGCUCUUUCUCUUACGCGUAUUUUCUUCUAUAACAUGCACUUUUAAGCAUAAUCUAUUCAUCAAAAAUGCAAAAUACACAUAUUUUUCUUUUAUUGUACACACACAUUUUCGUAUAAAUCCACAAAAGCAUCCUUAUGCUCUUUAUUAGUAUCAAAAGGUAAUAUUGAAAAAAACUAAUAUAAAAUAACAAUAAAACAUAAUAUUAUUAUUCAAUUAUAAAAUCACAUGAAAUAAAAUACUUAAUUAAGCACUCCAUUUUUAGCCAGUCAUCAAGCAGAUUUGACUUUAUUGAUUCAGCAAAUUGAGACUUCGGCAAUUAAGUUACGAUCUUUAGAAUUCAAACUUUAGUUUUCAAUUUUAUCAAACACCCUCUAAGACUGAUGCUCAUUGAAGGUCACGGAGAAAUUUCCAGGUGUCACAGGAUGGCUAUUUUGUUAACUCACUAGCCCGUGCGGAACUAGUAACUCUGGAAGACUAAAGUUAAGAGAUUAGUGCCACACGACUUAUUCAGUCUCGAAAAGCUAAGAGACUAAAGCUGCACGGGUUAUUGAGUUAACAAAAUAGUCAUUUGGUGACGAGUGGGAUCUUGGAUUUUGGCAAUAACAAGUAUACAAGUUCUAUAAACUUUCUUUCUUUAACCUCCACCCGUUUAAGUACGUUUACACUCUUAUGCUUCCGCAUCUUUGACACAUUAGGUAAGAUUGAAUUAGCUACAUCUCUUAAUUUUAGUCUCCGAGAGUAGCGUCGCAUGGGCUACUAAGUUAAUGAAAUAGCCAUCCCGUGACACGGGAAAGUUGCAACAACGGCCUAUGAACUUGAUGGGUCUCCAAAAUGGGUCUCUAGAAUUAUUACCUCUGUUCUUUCCCAUGGCAAGAGUUUAGGUUAAAUAAUAGAGUUCGUGCUCAUCUUUUGAGUCAAAAAACGGGAACACCCUAGCCCGCUUUUGCGACAAAUAUAUUGCCUAUAUAAAUUUGAAAUAUUUUGUAUUAGAUCAUUGUGUUGAUCAUCAAAAUGGUCUAAAUUCCUUUUUUUUUUUGGGUGAUUAAUGACUCCCAUGCUAUCUUUUAUUUAUUUCGUAAAAUGAGAACCUACUAUUUUAUACGACAACAAUUUUAGUGUGAAUUGUCAAGAUUACCCUUCCAAUCAACUAUCUUGAUAUUUAAUACGUGAUGACUUGGGCGGCUACUAUGGACAAUUUCGCUUAAACUUGUGGCUGUGGUAAUGUCGCUUUAUUCCGUUGCCUUUACAGUUUGCUAACCACCAAAUUUAAACCCGGCCGUAUUUCAUUGACUUUCUAAGGAUCCCAUGUCCACCACUCACAAAUAACAAUCUCUGCACUAACCACCGGUAUCCUAUUUAAUGUAUUUUUUCAAAAACUUUAGGCCAUCAAAAUAGGGGAUGUUGCUGCAAUAUGUUUACUAGUCAAAGAAGAGGUGUGAAAAGUUGGGGGAACAGGAGAAGUAAGUGAUUAUGGCCACAAACGGUAGGAAAAGUGUGUUGGAUGGACACGUGUAAAGUUCUUUUGUGACCUGAAACUUGAAGACCUGUUGGACGUUGAAGUUAAGCGGAAAGGGGAUAGGAAAAGUUAAGGGGAUUUCAAAGUGUAAAUGUGAAUUUAGUUUUAUGAAAGAACAUAGAGCUCAAUUUACGUUUAAUAAAAGAUGAUGAAUUUCAAGGUAUGUUAACAUAAUUUUUAUUUCUUUUUAAUUGAAAAUAGUUAUAUUUAUAUUGCAUAGUUAUAUAUUUGUUUUUGCACAAGUGACAUAUUGAAGCAUCUUCUCAUAAUGUACAACUUAGAUGGUUUGUGAUGUUAUAAGAUAUUCAAUCAAAUGUAAUUUCUUGUCUUAAUUUUAGUUUUGACUAUGCUACAUAUUUAUUAAAUAGACGUACCAUUAUAAUUAAAGUUAAUAUUUGAUAUUUUAGCAUGCCAUAUAUUUAAAUAGAAUAAAAUUAUUUUUAACAUAACAUAUUAAAAUAAUUUUGUUUGUCAAUAAUUUUGGCACCCCCCAAGAAAAAAAUCUUGGUUUCGUCACUGCUUAGGAGGAAAUUGGGGCCUAUUGCUAACAAAAGAUUGUGAAAAUUUACCUUUAUACCUUAAUUAUUUGAAAAAAAUCUAAUGAACAAAUUUUGCAAAAGAAACAUUGUUUCUUGUCAACAAAUUAAGUAACUAAUAAAACCACCGUAAUGUUGCUUUAACAUAUUUAAUUUAUGUUAUAUACAAAAUCUACUAGUUUUCCUUUCGUAAAAAUAUAAGUGUAACAGUUUUUCAAUUUUAGUUACAAACAUUUAUGUUUUUUACAUAAAUGUAAUGAUUCAGAGUAAAAUGCCCAUAAAUAUCUAGUAUUUUGUUGAUGUAAUUCAAAAAACUCAUAAAGAGCUGGUAUGUUAUGGGCACAAUCUUUUUUACUUUCACAUAUUUAAAAUUUGUUAAAUACAAAAUCUACCAGUUUCCCUUUCGUAAAAAUAUAAGUGUAAAAGUUUUUCAAUUUUAGUUACAAACAUUUACGUAUUUUACAUAAAUGUAAUGAUUCAGAGUAAAAUACCCUUAAAUAGCUAGUAUUUUGUUGAUGUAAUGCAAAAAACUCAUAAAGAGCUGGCACGUUAUGGGCGCAAUCUUUUUUACUUUCACAUAUUUAAAAUUUGUUAAAUACAAAAUCUACCAGUUUUCCUUUCGUAAAAAUAUAAGUGUAACACUUUUUCAAUUUUAGUUACAAACAUUUAUGUAUUUUACAUAAAUGUAAUGAUUCAGAGUAAAAUGCCCAUAAAUAGCUAGUAUUUUGUUGAUGUAAUGUAAAAAAUCCAUAAAGAACUGGUAUGUUAUGGGCAAUAUCUUUUUUACUUUCAUAUAUGUAAAAUUUGUUAAAUACAAAAUCUACUAGUUUCCCUUUCGUAAAAAUAUUAGUGUAACACUUUCAAUUUUAUUUACAAACAUUUAUGUAAAAUCAUAAAGAACAGGUAUGUUAUGGGCAAUAUGUUUUUUACGUUCACAAAAAUCAGUUUAUGUUAAAUACCACAUGUAUGGCUGUGUUUAGUACUGCUUACGCUUCCUCUUCGGUGUUUUAUUUCUAGACCCAUUAUAUUUAUGUGAAUUUCAUGACACCCCAAUACAUUUUCAACUUUUGCAAUACUCCUCACGGUCGGUGGGUCCAUGAACAUUUCCAAACCGCUCGCGCCUAUUAUAGGUAACACUUGCUUUUUUACAAAUAUUUCCUUCAUCCUCCGUACAUGUCAACUUUGCAACGUGCCUACUUAUUUGACAUAUUCUUUAUCUUUUCAUACCUGUCUUGUAUUAAUUGAAUACACUACAGAAUUUACCUCCAGAAUUUGCCCAAUAUGUGCCUCAGCCGUCAAUCGACUAGUACUAGUAGAGAGCCCGCACUGAAAGGAAACGACUUGGCCGUUGACAAGAAGUCAACAACGACAACAGGAAACUUCCAGGAAAUUUAUAAAUGGGGUAAGGGCUAUUAUUCACAUAUUAUAAAAAUUUUUUUUGUUGAAAUCUAAAUUACAAAUUAACCCUUAUGUGCAUAUAAGGGCACUUGUAAGGGCACGUCUAUCAUAUGUGCAUAUUUGAAUGUAUAUUUACACGCAUCAAUAAACACACUUUUAUUCAGUAAGAUCCACAUUGCUAUGAGGGUAAUUUAGUCAUUUAACAAUAAAAUUAUUAGUUGCUUUAAUUCGUGAGUAAUAACCCAUGGCCCGGUUACAAAAUUUGUAAAAUUUACAACCUACCUAGAGAUUGUUAAUAUUCCUAUUCUUUUUUUUAAAAAAAAAUUUCCCAAAUCAUUUGACGACAUCAUACUAUUCUCCUCGAUCAUGCCAUGCCAUACUGCCAUUUUGAAGACUUAAUGAAAGCUCCUUAAGGAAGUAGGGGACAUUUCCAGGAAAUGGUGCGGCAAAGACUUUGAUGACUAAACUCUAAAGGGAAGAAUUUCUGACGCUUGAAAAAGGGGUAGUAAACUGCAUAUCAAUUGCAGCCAGAAUUUCUGAGAAGGAGCUGUUGAAGUGUAUGGUUGUUUCACAGUUUGUUUUCGGUAGGUUCUGAGUAACUUUUAAAGGCAGGCUGGAUGCUAAUGUAAUUGUUCCUGGAAAGUGCAUAAUAGUUGCAGGAUAGGCCUUUUUUUUUAUUUCGGUGUAAUUGUUCCCGUCAAACUAUAUAUUGAAGUGAAAUUAUCAAGUGUUUUCUUUAAGUUAGAUUUUUUUUUUCUUUGGGUAUACAUCAACAUUAAAUGUAUAGUUUAAAUUAAACCUAAUCCUUUUUUUUUCUUUUUUUUUUUUAAGAAAAGAUUUUAAAUUCAGAAUCUUUUAAUUACUUAUAAUUCCUUGAUCCUCCAUUAAACUAUUAUUUGACGUCCACAAAUUAUUUUAAUCAAAAGUGGUUACUUAGAAGCAGCUGUGGUGACUGGUGAUACAUAGAUAUUUGCAGAUGAUUUGCUUUUCACUUUUUAUCAUUCCACACUCCACUAUUAGGUGAGGGCCACCACCGAAAGGGCAAAGACUUCGCCUUUGACGACGACGACGACGACGACAUUGUCGAGAGGAAAAAUCCAUCAAGCUGCGGGGAGGCUUGAAGUGGGGAGCCUUCCCCGUGUCUAACCCUGCAAGUGCUCCGUCCCCGUCGGGGGCCACUUCUAUUUUUAUUUGACUUUAUUUAUAUAUGUAUAAUAUGGAUAAUAAAUUUACUAGAAGAUUUUUUAACCAAAAAUUCAACUUGAAACACAAUUUAAAAAUUAUUUUGAUCUUCAUAAAUUCACUUCUUCAUAUUUAAUUUUAGAUAAAAUCUAAAUCAAUUAUCAUUGUCAUUUUUUAAAAACAGCAGCAUGUCCUACGUCAAAAAAGAAAAGGUAAUCUAACAUUCAAAAAACAUCCUUUUACCAAAUAAAUAAACAAUAAUGAUUAUAUUAUUUUACCACAAUUUCAUAUUACAUAUACAUAUGAUCAUAUUAUGUUAUCUAUUUUAUAUUCCACGUAUAUAUAUAUAUAUAUCAUUUAAAUUAUUGGUAGGGUGGAGUGCGAGGCUUCCUUCCCCAUCCCUCACUCCAUUUAAAGUUGGGGGAGAAAAAUGCCCCCUCUUUUCUUCUCCCUUGCCCCCUUUCCGCAGCGUCCCAAUCCUUGUUGCCCUUAUCCCUAUCUCUAAAAUUAUUGCAUAAAAUUAGAAUGAAAUAAUUGGCAUCUCGUGGGUGAUUAUUUUGCAAAGUAAACACUAGUGUUUGUGUCCUUAAAACUAAUGCCUUAUUUGGAAGGCAAGUUUUUUGCCAAAUUUGUCUGCUACGAGUUUUUUAAAAAUUUUAGUUGCAAUAAUCUCAAAAAAUUUCUUGAAAUUUUUAAACUAUACACUUCAAAAUAUUCAAAAAUUUACACACUUAACAAUUUUUUUUUUAAAAUUUCUACAGUAAAAUUUUAGACAAACAUCCAAAAAAUUCACUUACCAAACGAGACCUAAGUUUAACCGCUAUAAACAUUAGUCAGGUAAUGAUCGGUUAAAAAUUAGAUUGAAAAUCUUCUCAGGCUCCCCUUUCUCUUCUGCCUUCUUCCUCUUUAUAGGAUUUAGUGUCUUCCUUUGAAUUAAAAAAAAAAAUACUAAUAUUUGUAAGAUAUCCAUUAAUAGUCUAUUUUAUGCCAAGUUAUUGGAAAAGUACGAUUCUAAUUUUUUUUCCUUUUUCUUUUUAUAAUGCAGUUGCUACUUUAAUCAAGACCCAAAACUUGACAGUUAAUAUCCUCACGUCCAACUUUUCUUGUAAAUACCAGGUUCAACCUUUCAACUAUUACAUAGAUACAUGUGCAUAACCAUUUUGCUUUUUGCUUUUUGUUAUUUUGACAAAAAUAUAGGUGCAUGUCUGUGACUGUCUCUUGAGCCUGAUGUAGAAAAAUUUAGCAUUACUGAAACAUGUGGGGGGACAAAUUUUGCUUAUUCCUCUGAUUUUGAGUUGAUGCCAACCAACACAAAAGGCAUAAAAAUCUACUUUUUCAAGGAGCAACGGAGUCCACUCACUGGCAAACAUUAUACGUGGAAUCCACUUAUAAAAAGCAGCUUAAAAGUUACGGCAUUUUUUAUUUUAAUUUAUAAUUAUCGCUUAUCGUAGUAUUGUUUAGUAUAGAAUUUCCCUGAUGUUAACUAUAAACAUAAAAUUAUUAGCCUUUCUCUCUCUCUCCCAUUAUUGAGUUGGGGAAUCGACGAAUACUUCUAAGAGACAUGGAUUGUGCUCCUGUCUGCCGGUUUUGACAAAUUUCUAUCAGAAAAAGUGUAAACUCUCAGUCAUGCGUAAUGAAAUAGGGAGCUGGGGAAGAGAAGGCGUGAAAGACUGAUAAGGGAAGGCGUGGAAAGGGCGAAGAAGAUACACGGGAAGGCGCGGACAAACAAAACCAACGAAUAACCAAUACAAAAAAGAAGGAGGCGUGAAGUCAGCAAGGGAGAAGGCGCGGAAAGGAUAGCAAAGACGUGACCAAGGAAGCACGCCCUUUCUGGGUUCAUGCUGUUCUUGCGGGAAUUGUGAUCCAACAACCUGAAGAUUCUCAGUACACGUGGCAUUUGAUUAUUAGUACAAUCUGUGACGUAGAAAAAUUUAGCAUUACUGAAACAUAUAAGUGGACAAAUUUUGCUUAUUCCUCUGAUUUUGAGUUGAUGCCAUUGCCAACCAACACAAAAGGCAUAAGAAUGUACUUUUCCAAGGAGCAGCGGAGUCCACUCGCUAGCAAUCAUAUACGUGGAAUCCACUUACAAAAAGCAGCUUAAAAGUCACGGCAUUUUUUCUUUUAAUUUAUAAUUAUCGCUUGUCGUAUUGUUGUGUAGUAUAGAAUUUCCCUAAUGUUAACUAUAAACAUAAAAUUAUUAGCCUCUCUCUCUCUCUCUCUCCCAUUAUUAAGUUGGGGAAUCUACGAAUACUUCUAAGAGACAUGGAUAGUGCUCCUGUCCUCUGGUUUUGACAAAUUUCUAUCAAAAAAAGCGUUAACUCUCAGUCAUGGAGGAGGUUCUUCGCGGAGGACGAUCAUUUCGACAAAAUACUGGAACGAUCUUGGAUAAGCUGCAGUUGCUGGUGGACGAGGGUGUUUUCUUUGGGAGGAGGAUCAUUUCGACAAGUUAAAGGGGGAGUUAGAAGAAGUGAGAAAAUUUUUUUCUGGCUGCAAGGGAAUUGGAGAUUUAUUUUAAAAGACUCGUAGAUUUUGUUUGUGACAAUAAUAUGCGGCUUUACUUUUCUUCUGAAUUAGAUCAGGCGUUGUCCAGCUUCGACUCAAUUGAUAAAUUUUGAUGCAGUACUUCUACUUGUUUCUUUCUCUAAUUACAAUAAUAGGCAUUAAAGAUAAAAAAAAAAUGAAAAGCGAGUAACACGGAUACCAAUUACCAGCAAUGGAAAUGCUAAAAUAGCUAUAUAAAUGAAGUACAAUAUUUCCUUUAAUCUUAGGCCUCGGGUUUCAAAUUGUUACCCCAUAAUUGUAUCCAUAUUUCGUUGCUAAAACACUCACAGAGUCAAUAGAAGCAACCAGAAAAAAAAAAAAAAGAAAAAAAAAAGUGAAACCUUCAUGGAAAUUACUUUAUAGCCAAUGCUACAUUUUCUCAAAGUUUUACUUCAAAAUUCAUCAAAUAUGUAUUAAUUUUAUUAUUGUUGAGUUUAUUCUACAUUGGUUGUAAAAAGAAUCUCACCCCUUGAGUUUUUCAAAAAAUUCAGGCGGGUGCGUAGUGCACUCGUCUGGUCCGGUGGUGGUUCAGUCCCCUCCGGAUUAACUCUAGGCCUCCUUAGAUCUGACCUCUUCUCCUAGUGUAGGAUAAAUUAGGUUAUACAAUAAUUUUCGUCUCAAAAAAAAAAAAGAGUUAGCUUUUGGAGUGGGAAGGCCCAACAGCAUCCAACAAUCAUCAAUUGCGAUUUUUCCUGAUUAACAAGCACAACUUCACUUGUCGUUGUAAACGAACACUUAAUAGCGAGAAAGUCUUUGAAAGAUACCUGACAAAAAAAAAACUUUUUGACCCCUUUUCCAAUUCAAAAGAAUGGUUGCGGUAUCAAAAAUUGAUUACUAGUUCCUACUUCCACAUCUGUUACAUUUUUCAGAGCAUAAUGGAAAUGAAGGGCUUCUUUUGAUCACCAAUUCACAAUUAUACUGGAAACACUAAUCACAAGAAUUCGUGUCAGCUCUGGGAUGUCCAUUCAUCCAUAACAUCCCAAUAAUGUUUAUGGGAUUGGACUGCAAUAAGACUGGGUACUGCAACCUUUUGGAGCGUUGCCAUGUCCUUUUAAUGGUUGAGGACUAUGGUCACAAUUCACAAGAAAUAUUACUGAACUGUUAUUAUCUGAAUAACACGUCUCUGUUGCGAAAGCAGAGAGUGCUUUACCACUUGCCAAGCACUAGAUUGUGCUGCCUGCUUUGAUUUCGUAAUGUGAUUCCUAAUUUCUAUAACCUCCCUUGUGUGAACAGAUCCACAAUGAGAAUCUCAUUUUCAUGUAGCUAUUUUCUUUAAGUUUCAACAGAAGUUAGUGGAACAAGAAUCAAAUAGUUGCUGAGGGUCAUAUUGUCUGAAAUUUAUACUUACCUGCUCAAUCAAUACCAAUCUUUGGCUUUUCUUUACCCAAAAAAAUGCUGCAUUCUUUGAGAUGACUAUAAAUGCUCUUAGGAAGUAGGUAAGUAAUGCUAAUCAUAGCCAUCUAAAAUUUUUUUUUGAAUAUAGAAGCUUGAAAUAUUUAUUGAUUUAAAACGCAGCCCAGAUGUGUGCCUUCAAUCAGGAGGGGAUCUAAAACUACUUGAGAUCUGAACAAACAAAACCUGGAUUAGGUUCAAACUAACUUUGUUGUGGUGUACAAAGUCCGAAUUAAGUGUAAAAAAGCCGGCUCUUUGACACUUUAACUUUUAAAUAAAGGUAAUUUCAAAUAUUUUUAAAAGUUUCGUUACAUUAUUUCUGUUAUUUUGAUACUUUAAUCCAAAUCAUGAAGGAGUUCUGUAUAAUUUCAUCAUACUUCUUACUUAUGUGUCUUGAACUUAUAUUGAAUGCAGUUAAUAUCAAUUUUGUAACAUUUUCUGAUAUUUUUGAUAAUCGUCAAUUAAAAGGAGACAUUUUUUCAAUACUUGGUUUAUGUUUCUUUACUCCCGCUGAAAGUUCCUGCUAAGAAGUGGAUGCCUGUGAUUUUUAACUUAGAGCAGAGCAGAAGGGAUGUAAUUCCCUUCACUAAUAGGUCUAGUGCUGUGUAAUUCUGACAAACUCUCUCUCUCUCGGGGGGUUUUGUGAGGGAGGUUGUGGUGGGGAGUUGUAGAGUUGAUGGCCCUAAAUUUACAUUGAAAUUAUUAUCAUUCAUACUUAUCUCAUGUCAUUACUGUCACUAUUAAUAUGGUGGACAUGUAAUAUACUGGACAAGACGCUUGCUUUGUGAGCUUCUGAUAGUACUUCUUGCUGGACAGGUUCUUUGACUUAUAUAAAGUUCCAAUUCACUGUGUGUUGCUGUACCAUACCAUGAGAAUUGCAGCAUAAAUUGUUGUCACUUUAUAGUAGAUGGAUCUGAUAUCUGUUUGAAGAAUCUAAAGUAAAUAUGUAACUCAAGGUUAAAAGAGGAUGCUCAGGCAAUUUAUCCUCUUAUUGCAUACAGUACCCAUUGCAUGUAAGCUUAAGAUACGAGUGUGGAGCCACAAUAUUAGAACAUAAGUUCCUAUUUUUGGGUUCUGAGAAUUCAAUCAUGUUAACAACAAGUCUUAUCUUUUACUGAAGAAGUAGCUAUAUGCUGCGGUGGUGGCUGGCAGAUCCACUUGUUGGGGUUGCUUCAUUUGCUAAUCUCAGUGGUGAAUCCCUCCCUUCUAUUAAGUGUAGCUGUUGUAGUUUCCUCUAUGUGCAUGUAUACUUGGAGUGUGUGUGUUUAGAUAUGUGGAGACACAGCCUGAAAUGAGUAGUGGUUUAGCAAUGCUUAUGGGUUACUGAAAGGGCCUCAGUGAUUGGAAUGAAGACAAUGCUAAUAGCAGUCCUUUUGACCUACCAGCUUACAAGUGGCGCUUGGUUAUUGCUUAUGAUGGCACCCGUUUUUCAGGUUUUACUAUUUUUUACUUGAUGGCCUGCUGGGGUUUAUUUUUUUUGUGAUACGAGUUUGCAAUUAAUGUGAUAUUAUUUCAAUUGGUCAGGGGGAUUAUUUUUAAAUUAAGUUUUUUUGUAAGUGGAAAAUUGUAUUUCAUUCUUUUGGCUAAUUGGAUGCUUCUCUUUGGUAAAAAGGAAUACUUCUUACUUAUUCUUGAAAUGGCUUUGAAAUUUCAUCAUCUGCAAGAGGAUAAAAUGUAAUUUGUCCAAAAAUAAAUGAAUUCCUUCGCGAAUAAGGAUUCGAAUCGGUUCAUGCAGAGGCAAAAGAUGUGCAAAAUGAAACAAUGGCCUGCCUUUUGUCGACUAACUCCUUUGGCUCCAGCAUCUAUUCUCAAAAGUCUUCAACUUCCGUGUAAACGGAUGGAUAACAAAAGCGGGACAUGGAUGGGUAUAAUUUUGGCAAGUUUUGUCCGGUUGUGGUAUUCAAUAUACGAUGUACCAUCACAUUUUGUAUGUUGUUGUAUUUAAUAUACGUGCAAUACGUUAUUUAUGUACACUAACUUUUUUCCAAAGUAUUAACAAUAUGUUAUGAUUGUAUAGCAAAUAAUAUAACAAACAUAAUAUGGAUUAAUCUUUCCUACACUGAUAAUAUAUACACUAUCAGCGUUGGAUGAUUGACAACUAUGUAAAAUUUGAAUUUAAAAUUUAACUUUUGCAUACAUGUCAUGAAUCCAAUGAUGAUAGUAUAUGCACUAUUAGUGUAAAGAAAGAUUUACUCAUAUAAUAAAUGUUAAAAGCUGGAUAAAAAGACAACCGUAUCUGCCCCAAUUCCACUAAUAUCUAUUGUGCUAUUAGUAGAGGAGUAGUAAUAAUAAAGGGGGAGAAUACUUGGCCGUUGACUUUGACUAGAAUGAAAUUCAAAGAAACUUCUUAAAAUUUCGAGAGCGAAGUUAUUUAGGGUUCACUUGGAUAAUAUAUGUUUUUUGAGUGUUUUUUUACAAAGUUUGUUGUAACAAACUACAGUUAUUUUAUGUCAAUAUUAGACAAAAAAUACUGAUGUUUAUUCAAAAUAUCCUAAUUUUUCAAAACCCUUCCUCCCUUACCCGCCACCCACAAAUGGCAGUCUUUACCACGCACCACCAGUAUCCUACUUAAUGUGCAUUUUUUUUUUUGUAUUUUUGAAAACUUUUGGAUGCUUUAAAAUAUUAGCAUGGUUGAUAUUUUAAACAAGUUUUUUUUUUAAUUUUUGGUUAAAACAGGCCAAAAAUAGGCCAUCCAAAUAGUAGAGGCUCAGCUCCACCGGAAUGGAAUGACUUGGCCGUUGUUGACAACAACGACUAAAGGAAACUUCCAGGAUAUAGCGAGGAAGGCUUUUAGAAAAUGCCGAAUUGGAAAUUGAGUAAAACAUUUAUACAUCUAAAUAGUUUGGUAUAGCAAUAAAACUAACAAAUGGGGUUAGUAUUCUAAAAUUGAUCUGCAAAAUUUUCUUACUUGAUCAAAUAAGACAUGGACAUGUCUUGAAUUUUUUCAAUUAAAGUUCCAGUACACUUCUAUGGUUUUUACUUCAUACCAUUAAAGUUUCCUCACCUCACAUACACCAAUUUCUUGGGAAAAAAUAUAAAAUUUGAAUUGCUAUUUUCUGAAAUUUUUGUAGAAAAAUAUAUUGUAAGAAUUUGAUAUUUGUAAAGUAAAAAAGUAAUUAAUAAAUGUAUUCAUGAAAAACAUAAUUUUUUUAAAAAAAAUUGGCAAUCCAAACAAGGUGUUUUUUGAUAGAUACAACAUUCAUGCCUCUAACCACUACAUAGAUAGAGGUGUAUAUUUAUUUUACAAUCCCAUAGAAAAUUUUGGUGAAGUAAUUAUCCUCUUUUUUUUUUUAAUUUACUAGAGCAUAUCACUAAACAAUUAUAAAAAAAAAAGAAAACAAAUAACAUUGAUACUAAUUAUUACCAAUCAAAGACUAAAAAGAUUUUCAUAAAUGAAGUUAACUAUUUCAUUUAAUUUUAGAGAAAAAUACAGUUUUGGUAUCUAAAUGUUGACACAUGAGCGGUUUUAGUCCCCAAAUUUAGGACGAAAACAAAUCUGGUACCCGAACUUUCAAAUUUUGAGCACAUUUAGUACCCUUGACAAUUUUUUCCCAAAUUGCUACCAAAAAAAGUCAUGUAACAGUCACAUGUCCGGCCACUAUUGUAUAAAAAAUAUCAAAAAAAUGUCAAAUGCCAUUCUAAUACUAAGUAUUAAGUUUAAGAACUAAUAAUGUAAUAAAAAAAACCUAUGGACUAAAUAACAUCACAUGAGUCAUUUAAAAAACAAAAGAAGAAGGAAGCGAUGUAAAACUCUGCCAAACUCAUUUAUAUCUGUGUUCCAUCUCUCUCUCUCUCCAAAAGAAAACCUAAGAACCAAACUUUAACAAAAAUUCAGGUUGGGCAUGGCGUGAUCCAGCAUAUGUCGAAGACAUCAAUUUCUUAUUCCCGGUUCGUUAAGAAGCAUGAAUGCAAUAGAUUCUACUUUCAAAAGCCUAGAAUCAAGACAAUGAAGACUAAUCUUGAUAAUUGUGCUCUUAUAGUUGCUUUUGUUCUUGGUGGUAAUCAACUGACACAUGUGAUGUUAUUUAGUCCUUAGGUUUUUUUAUUACAUUAUUAGCCCUUAAACUUAAUACUUAGUAUUAGAGUGGCAUUUGACAUUUUUUUGACAUUUUUUAUACAAUAAUGGCCGGAGAUGUGACUGUCAUAUGACCUUUUCCGGUUGCAAUUUGAAAAAAAAUCGUCAAGGGUACUAAAUGUGUUCAAAAUUUGAAAGUUUGGGUACCAGAUUUGUUUUUGUCCAAAAUUUAGGGACUAAAACCGCUCAUGUGUCAAAAUUUGGAUACCGAAACUGCAUUUUUCUCUUAAUUUUAUGUCUUAGGUUUCACCUCAACUCUUUCCUCUUGCUAAAACUCUCAUAGAGUCAUUAAAAGACAAAACUAACCCAAACAAAAAAAAAUAUGCAUAAGUCUUGACUCUUGAAGGAGAUCUAACCCUACUUGGAUGUUCAUCCAAAUAACAGUACUAUUAUUUUUAUCAUCAAUUAUGGUUCUCCAACUUCUCCUGAUUUUCCGGGCUUUCAUUCUCCUGUUUUUUCAAGCAAAAGUCCAUUAAAAUGCCGGCUCUGUUCAAUUAAUUCGACCACCUAAUUUUUCAUCUUUCUGGCAUGGCCUCCAAUCAACAAACGGUUCAAAAAUCCCACCUGUUGUUCCCUUCUCUGCAAUGCAAUGAAAUCAUUAUCUAAUAAUGUUUCUACUUCCUCCAGCCAAUGUUUGACCUCAGUUUUCCUCUUCUGUCGUCCGGACAGCUUGGCUCUUUCCACUGCCUCAUUUAUGUUAGAUGCUCUGCUUCUUAAUGCGUUCAUAUUCCUGGGCAGCAAUUGCAGAUCAGAUCCCAAGCCCAAGUAACCAUGGUUCGCCAUAUCGACCGAUACCGAUACGUAUCGGCCGAGUCAUAACUGGAAUGGAGGGAAUUGGUACGAUAUCGAUUCCCGAAUCGCGGAUAUUACCAUAUCCGUGAUGACUCGCUCUGAACUAGGCCGAUAUUGGCCGAUUCGAAUCCGUGAUGGAUGAUAUCAGCCGAUAUAUCCGAGUUAACUCGGAGUCGACUCGGAUAUUUUUUAAAUUGUGUCUUUUUUGGUAUUUUCUAAUUUUAGUAAUUUUAUCAAAAUUUUAUCAAACUUUCAUGUGUUAUAAUGUGCGUAUCACCCGAUAUUCAACCGAUAUGCCGCGACGGAUGUGGAACAACCGAGAUAGUGACACGACCGCGACCCGCAAUGGCAAACCAUGCAAGUAACUCGUCCCUGCAUCCACCGAUAGAUUUGUAGCCCUUUCAAAUGCCAUGUCCUCCACCUUCUCACUGAACUUGCCAAGCAAUCGAUACAUUUCAGCAGUAGUCUUCGUAAUGAUAGUCAUAAUGAUUUGCAUCGCCAUAACCAUGGCAUUCAAACUUGCAUCCAAAAUCUAAUAAAAAACGAACAAACAAGGAAUGUUAUUGUUAGUUUUUACAACAAAAAGAAUUGAUGAAACGAAAUGCGCUGCCCUCCUUUCAACUGCUAUGUCCUCUACCUUCUCUAUGAACUUGCCAAGCUGUGGUAUCAUUUCUGAAGAAGCGCGGAGCUUCCCUGUACCGAGUCGACCUGACGAGUUUGGCGUGCUGAUGGGAGAGCUGGUUCCAAGCCUGCAGAACAAACAAAAGGUUGAUCUCCCAAGGGGGCCCCGAGAUUGUCCCCGAGGGCACUCCGACUAUCAAGUUCGUUUUCCGGUGAGCCAAGUUCACGGGAGUAAACAAUCGAGAGUCGUUCGACAAUAGUGAGCGUACCUUUUUUUCUUGGUGUGAGUUACCUUUCAUACCUGCUAAGGGAGUCCGACCUCCGUACGUUUCGGGACUUGCCCGGCAUAGCCCUUAUCCCGCGAUGAGGGGGAUUCCCUUCGACCUCUGCGGGAUGGUCCCCUGCCCCUUCAGGAGCCCUAGCAUCAGCGCGGCCCAGGACGGCUGCCAGAGGCCUAGGGCCGAGGCCCAGCUCAGCCAUACCUGGGCUGCCAUGUGUCUGGGUCCAGGACGGGGCCUCUGCACUAGCCCCCUAGAUUAGGUAGGGCUGUCAGACAGACCUAAUCUACCCCUGUCACGUGGGAGGCCAGCGCCGUGCACUACUCUGCCAAGGUCACCUCUGGUACAGUACUGUCACAGGGAUGCUGCGCCCGCGUCCUUUCAGUUGUCACGCCUCUUCGGUUUUCGUACCAUCAUUAAAUGCGUUCACAUGGGGGACGGUUCAAAUUCACGCAACCGUUUCCCCCCACUUCACCCCCUAUAAAUGGGAGUCACCAGAUUUCAACCGACUCCAUUUGCCAUUUUCUCUUUUCUUUGUGCAUUCCCAUUUUCCAGCGACACAGCUUCCGGCCUUCGGUACCCAGAUUCCGGCGACUUCUUCUUUCUUUUCCUGCUCCAGACAUCAGUAAGUCUUUUCCCCUCCCCUUUCACCUUCGCAUUUUCCUUUCCUCCGCCACCUCCUGCUUUUUAUGUCGGAUCAUUCCGACGUUACUUCCACCGCGUCCCAAAUUCCGGCCCGCCGUAGAGUCCCCCAGAUUGUCAUUUCUUCGUCUUCCUCCUCACCUUCUCCUUCUCCCCCCUCUUCUUUUUCUUCCAAUCCUUACUUCCCCAUUCCUGACUUACUUGAGCCCAUUGCUAUCAUGAGCUCUCCCUCUGCCCACUCUCCUUCAGCCCGGGACCUAGAGGAGGCGGCUGAGCUCGACGCUUUCAUCGAGCAGCGGGCCACCUCCGACCCUUCUCCCCAGUCUCCACAUGAUUCCCCGGGCGGAGCCCAGGGAGGAGUUGGGGAGGACAGGGAUUCCUCCGAGGGUACCUCUGCCCCCGAGCAGGAGGAUGAUGCCGAGUUUGACUUCGGUCGCCCCGACCACGAAGAGGUCACCAUCUCACCUGAGGCGGUGGCCCAACUGGUCAGGUCCUUUUCCAUCCCCCCGGCCUUCGAGCCAAGGGCUAUCGGGCCCAACGACCGAGCUAGCCGAUCUCCCCCAGGUUUUGUGGUCAUCUAUAGGGAGCAGCUGAUCGCAGGGCUUCGGCUCCCUAUUCCUUCAGCCCUAGCCGAGAUUCUGACCUAUUGGGGGCUCAGAAUCACCCAAGUUCACCCCAACUCGAUCAGGAUCAUCAUCGGAUUCCUGAUCUACUGUCGAAUCUGCUCCAUCCCCUACUCUCUCUCUCUCUUCCGGGCCGCCUUCAUCCUUAAGCUCUCCCUCCCUAGAUGGUACUACUUCUCCCGCCGAGGUGCCAGCCAAGUCCGGGGAAGGAAAGGCACCCAAGAUCUGUUCUACGGGGUCCCCACCUCCGUGAAAGAUUGGAAGGGGGACUUCUUUUUUGUUAAAUCCAUGCAUUUUCCCCCCAAUGUGUGGAAGGCUGGGGAAGUCAAGGCCGACCCCUACCCAGAGGACUUGGACUUCGAAACCCUCAGCCAGCUGGUGAGCUCCAAGGUGAAGCUCAGUGCCGCCAAGUUCUCCACCGAGCAGAUCUCUGCGGCCGGGCUGAUGGGGACGUUGUCCGGGUCCCCUGGAGAGGUGCUGACCUCGCCUAUCGACCUCGACGCCUGUAACGCCGAUUCUGUCCCUAUAGCUUGUUGCAUUUGCAUGUAUGUCAUAUAUUAUGAUCUCUCGACUGACCUAUUUUGAUUGACCUGGCGAUGUCCACUGCAGUGAGGAAGCUAUCCAAGCUGCUAGGCGCGGCCACUGAGGAGGCUACCCCCCACUCCUCAGCCAGAGGCGGCCAAAGAGGCCCCUGGGGCGGCCAAGCCCCCCAGAAGGAAGCGCAGGACACCUCCUCCCCCUCCAAGAAGGCCGCCAACAACAAGAAGAAGGCGACCGGGCAGAAGAAGGGUCGAGGGGACGAGCCCUCCCAGCCCGGGAAGAAGCUCGCGCUGGUCCCAGCUCAGCCCCCUCCCCUCACGCUGGCAUCGGGGGGGCCAGUCCACCUGGGCGUUGGCUCUGCCGAGGAGCAUGCUCGGGAGUCGCCUCCCCCGAGCUUGUGGCACUUCCGCCACAUAGUCCCCUUGAAACCGGGACAAGCCCCCGCUAUGCACGACCCCCGCCACUUCUGUCCGUCCUGGGAGUUCUCCAUCAACGACCGAGCCCAGUUUCCCGAGGUGGCUUGCGAGCUGAUGGUGGGCUCGGUCCUCCCCCGCGAUAGAAGGUGGAUGGAGCUAGCCAACCCUCCCGAACUCCUGGACGCGUAUUACACCGCCCAGGCUCAAGUAAACCUUCUAGCCCGUGGGUCAGUUUUGCCUCUGUGUUUUGGUUAGAUAGCGUAACGUGCUGACUUGUUUUCCCUCCUCCUCAGGCCAACGCCGCUGGUGCUGCCCUGGCAACCCGCUUCUCCGAGCUGUCUCCCGACUUGGAGAAAUUGCAGAAGAAAAAUCGAGAGACAGAGCAGAGGCUUACCCAGGCCCUUAAGGAGGUGGACUCCCUUAAGGCUAAAUUGGGCAAGGCCGAGAAAGGGCUGGAAAUGGCUCAGGUCCAGCUCGCCUCUGCCAGGUCGGAGCUCGACCAAGUGAAGGCCGGCGUGGCCAAGCUGAAGGAAAACCACGCCAUCGAGCUCUCCUGCACCGUCAGCCGGGAGCGGAAGAAGGCUGUCCGGGAGUUCAUCUCUUCCGAGCAGUUUGAAGAGGAUAUCGCCCUGCUUAACCUGCCCAUCCUCCAGGUCGGCUCUACGCGGGCCCUGAACCAGGUGAAGAGCCUUAGCCUUCCUGGCUUCAACUUGAUGGACUUCAAGGACUACAAUCCCGCGGCCGAGGAUAGGCUGGAUUGGCUCUUUGACGGGUACCGCAAGGGGCAUGCCCUGAAGAGCCUGGUGGGCCGAACCGACAUUGGAGCAGAGCUGGCGGAGGUUCCCUUGGAGGAGGACGAGUCUCCUGGCAGAGCUUCCGGGAAGGAGCCGGUGGCCUAGGGCAGCGACCACUCCAGAAACCCUUUCCGUCUCCUUAUAAGGAUGUGACCAUACUCCAGUUGAAAAUGCUCUUGAAGGUCCAUCUGAGACGGAAAGGCUCCCCUGCUUCUGGGUUCCUGAAUAGCCUUCACCAUACGCCUCUCAACAUGCUUAAGGUGUACCUUCAGCCCCUGCUCCAAGCAGGUUACCAGCAAGAAAAAGAGUGUCCGAGCUGUCCUCCUUUUGUGGUUCGGUAGGCUCUGUAACAGAGAGGCGACUUGGAAGCUUUGUAAUAGAUAGGCGACUUGGGAGCUUUGUAAUAGAUAGGCGACUUGGGAGCUUUGUAAUAGAUAGCCUUUGGGUUCAUAUACGAAACUUGAAGGAAAUUUCCUCGCAACUUUUUCCUGCACCCCACUGCAACAACCGAAGCCAGGCGCCGACCUCCUGGGUCGAGCACCAAAUGCAUACCCCCGUUAGUCUAACAACUAAAUCAUUAGAGGCAACCAGCUUGCCGAAACCAUGUGCCGACCUCCCGGGUCGAGCACCACGCCGUCCUACCAAGGCAACGUGCCAGCCUCUUGGGGCUGAACACCAAACUUUAAGGAUUUUCCCCUCCGACCUCCUGGGUCGAGCGCCUGACUCUGAAGGUGUUCGUGCCGACCUCCUGGGUCGAGCGUCGAACCUUGAAUCCCAUCAGGCCCAGAGUAGUCCACUCUAUGCCGACCUCUCGUGGCCGAGCGUCGGGCUCUCAGAUUCCCAAGCUAUAACCCUUGCCGACCUCUUGGGGUCGAGCAUCCAUCUGGAAGUUUUAAUCAGUGCCGACCUCUCGGGGUCGAGCAUCGCACUUCGCAACGGCGUCCGCCAACCUCUCGAGGCCGAGCGUGGAAUUUUCAGAAUCCUUCAAAGUUUUCCAGUCGUGCCGACCUCCUGGGGUCGAGCACUCCCGCACUCUCAAAGGUAUCCCGCAUCCAUCACUAACCCUUAGCCCCCCACUAGGACAUUUAGUGAAGGAACGCUAAGUGUGCUAGUGUAAGAUUCAAACUUAAAAGGCAAACAAGUACAAAUGAAAUUAAAGCUUGAAAGUUGAGCAUUUAUUGAAUGAUGAAAUUGAAAUUCGGAUUCCAAAGAACAGACAACUGAACACCCUGGUCUAACCUACACUACAAACAGUCGCAGAUUGGAGAAGUGCCAAGUGCGGGGUACCUCUGAUCCAUCUAUUCUCGCGAGCUUGCAGUAGCCAGCUCGGCUCGCCUCAAGGACCUUGUAUGGGCCUUCCCAGUUCGGGUCGAGCUUGUUGGAGCCAUGAGCUCGGCUGACCGAGUUCUUCCUUAGGACAAGGUCCCCUGGCUGGUACUGUAUGGUCCUCACUCUGGCGUUGUGAUAGCGGGCGAGCUGGCUUUUGUACUUAGCCAUCCGUACCGCCGCUUCCUCACGCUUAGCCUCCAGCAUGUCCAAGUUGCACCUCAGCUCUUCCUCGUUGGAUGACGCAACGAAAUUCUGUGUCCGGGGCGAGGGGAGACCAAUCUCCGCGGGUACCACCGCCUCCACUCCGUAAGUCAGAGAGAACGGGGUCUCGUUGGUGGCCAUUCUGGGCGUAGUGCGGUAAGCCCAGAGGACACUAGGGAGCUCAUCCAGCCAGUUAGACUGGGCCAGUUCCAGCCUAGUUUUCAAUCCUUGGAGGAUGGUUCGGUUGGCAUUUUCCACCUGACCGUUGGCCUGAGGAUGGCCGACCGAUGUAAAGUGCUGACUGAUCCCGAGCUCGGCGCACCAGCUCUUGAAGGGGUUAUCCGCGAAUUGGCGCCCGUUGUCUGAUAUUAAGACAUGCGGAAUCCCGAAGUGGCAGACUAUGUUCCUCCAGAAGAACUUCUGAAUUGCCCUCCCAGAGAUAGAGACCAGGGGCUCUGCUUCCACCCACUUCGUGAAAUAGUUUACGGCCACCACGAGGUGCUCAUAUCUUCCCCGGGCUCGGGGGAAAGGACCCAGAAGGUCUAUCCCCCAUUGAGCGAAGGGCCAGGGACUGUGGAUGGGGAUCAUUUCCCGAGUUGGCUGGUGGCGCAGCGGGACGUGCACUUGGCAAGCUCGACAUUUCUGUACCAGUUCUGCGGCAUCUUGGAAGAUGGAAGGCCAAUAGUAGCCCAAGAGAAAGCACUUUUUGGCCAAUACCCGGGACCCCACAUGUUCUCCACAUAUCCCUUCAUGGAUUUCGCGAAGGACGUAGUCACCUUCCUCGGGAGUCACGCACUUUAGCCAGGACGAUAAGUACGACCUCCUGUAGAGGGUUACCCCAGAGUAGGCGUACUUGACAGUUCUGAGCUGGAUCCGGCGAGCCUCGGUUUUGUUCUCAGGGAGGGCACUCGAGCUGAGGAAGUUUACUAGGGGGGUCAUCCAGGUGGCCGAGCUGUCUAUAGCCAGGAUGCGGACCUGGUCGAUACUUUUCUACUUGACCACCUCUACCAAAACUUCCUUGUUCAGGUGCACAAACGAGGAGGAUGCCAGUUUUGACAGGGCGUCUGCACGCUUGUUUUACGAUCUUGGCACCCGCUCGAUUUCAAAGGUAUCAAACAGGGCUAUUGCCUCCUGUACUUUGGCCAGAUAUUUCUUCAUGACCUCCUCCUUGGCCUCGUAUUCCCCGCGAACUUGGAGGACGACGAGCUGAGAGUCGCUCCGGACUCUGAUCGCGGUUAUACCCAUCUGGUGGGCUAUCCGCAAUCCUGUAAGCAGGGCCUCAUACUCGGCUUCAUUGUUGGAUGCGGGGAAGUCGAAACGAAGAGCGUAGGUCAGCUCCUUCCCGGUUGGCGAAAUGAGCAGCAAGCCAGCUCCACUUCUUUCCUUGCUGGAGGCCCUAUCCACGAACAGAAUCCAAGGCUCUCUCGACCGCGCCCCACUGGGCGGAGAGUUCUGCUCGGUCAUGGCCAAGCUAGCCCUCUCGGCGAGAAAGUCUGCCAAGGCCUGAGCCUUAAUGGCAGUACGGGGCCGAUAGCCGAUGUCGUGCUCGGCCAGCUCAACGGUCAAUUUGGUCAUCCUGCCCGAGACCUCAGGCUUGGUGAGUAUUUGCCGUAGAGGCUGAUCGGUCAUGACGACGAUGCUGUGGGCCUGGAAGUAAGGUCGGAGUUUCCGUGCCGCGUGCACCAAGGCAAGGACCAGCUUUUCAGCCGGCGUGUACCGCGUCUCCAGCCGCUGUAAAGCACGGCUGACAUAAUAUAUCGACCUCUGAGCCCCCCCGUCUUCCCGCACCAAGAUCGCGCUGACGGCUUCGUUGUAAGCAGACAGGUACAGCAACAAGGUCUCCCCUUGCUCCGGGGCGGUCAGAGUGGGCAGAUCAGCCAGGUAGGCCUUCAGGUCGGCAAAGGCUCUCUGGCACUCUUCAGUCCAUUGAAAGUCCUUGGGGGCUUUCAGGAUCCGGAAGAAGGGCAAUCCCCGGACCGCGGAACGCGAGAGGAAUCUGUUCAGGGCGGCCAUCCUUCCUGUGAGCCGCUGAACCUCCUUUACGCUCAUCGGGGGGGCCAUGUCCAUGAUAGCCUGGAGCUUAUUCGGGUUGGCCCGGAUCCCAUCCCGAGAUACCAAGAACCCUAGGAACCUUCCCGACCUAACCCCGAAUGUACACUUCUUCGGAUUCAGUCGCAUCCGGCUCUCCCGCAGGAUGCCCAAGAUCUCUCUCAGGUCGGGGACGAGCUGCUGAUCAGUCCGGCUCUUGAUGAUCAUGUCAUCUACGUAGACUUUCAUGUUUCUGCCGAUCUGAUUCUGGAACAGUUUGUUGACCAGGCGCUGGUAGGUGGCUCCGGCGUUCUUCAGGCCAAACGGCAUAGUCCGGUAGCAAUAGGUUCCCUCCUCGGUGAUAAAGGAGGUCUUCUCCCGGUCCUCCUCAGCCAUCUCUAUCUGGUGGUACCCUUUGAAAGCAUCCAGAAAACACAAGACAUCAAAACCCACAGUAGAAUCUACUAACCUGUCGAUUCUUGGCAGAGGAAAACAGUCUUUUGGGCAGGCUUUGUUGAGAUCCGUGAAGUCCACGCACAUUCUCCAGGUCUGGUCCUCCUUCUUAACCAAUACCGGGUUGGCCAACCAGGUCGGGUAGUAGACCUCCAGGAUGAUCUUGGACUCCAGCAGUUUUCCGACUUCUUUCUUGAUCACCUCGUUCCUUUCUGGGGCGAAACUCCUCUUUUUCAGCUUCACUGGCUUGAAGCGGGGAUCUAUGUUGAAGUGGUGGACCGCCAGGCCGGUCAGAAUCCCGGGCAUGUCUUCAACCGUCCAAGCGAAAACCUGGGAGUAUUCCCUUAACAGGGCUUUCAAGCCCUCCUUCUCCUCCGGGGGCAGCAGCGCCUAUGCGGAUCACCUGGUCUGGCCGGUCUUCCCUCAAGGGGAACUUCUCGAUUUCGUCCUGGGUGCCUGGCUGCCGGGUUUCGUCCCCCGGGAUGUAAGGCUCCAGACAGGUCGUCUGGGCGACCACCUUCUCCCGUCCCUGAAGCAUGGCCAAGUAGCAAGCCCUGGCCACCUCAGGGUCACCGCGCACCUCGGCUAUCCCUCCCGGAGUGGAGAAUUUGACGCUGAGGUGGAGCGUCGAGGGGAUAGCUCGGAGAGCGUUCAAGGCAGGCCGACCCAGGAACACGUUGUACGGGGACUGUUGCUUGACCACCACGAAGUUGACAGGGAUGGUCCGGCAUUUGGGGGCCUGCCCUACCGUGACCAUCAUGGUGAUCAUUCCCUCCGGGUUGAUAGGGGGUCCGGUGAAGCCCAUCAGGGGUGUCCGAAUUGGGGUAAGCUGCCCGUCCUCCAAGCCGAGCUCGUUGAACACCCGAUAGAACAUAAUGUCAACCGCACUCCCUUGGUCGACAUACACCUUCUUCACGUGGUAAUUGUUGGUGACAAUGUCUAUCACGAUGAGCUCAUGGUUCCCGGACGCUAGGGGAACUGCGUCCCUUGGUCCGAAAGUGAUCUCCUCGUCCAUGCGCAGCCGCUUCAGGGAGUCAUCCCCCUCGGGGGGAGAUAACCUGUUCUUCCGAGUUGUGUGACUGUCUCCCUCGGUGGGGCCCCUGGCGAUGGUGUUUAUCACUCCAGCUAGGUUUUGGGUGUCCUGGUCGGGGGAGCGGCUCCCGGGCGCGUCACGCCGCCCAAGGCGGUCGCGCCGCUGGCCUUCACCCCGAUCUCCGCGGUAGGUGCGUCCAGGCUCCUGGCCGGGGCAACCUUGCCGCACGAAUCGCCCCAAGAACCCUCGCUGGAUCAAGUUUUCGAUCUCCUUUCGCAGGACCCAUCACCCCUCCGUGUGGUGUCCGACGUCGCGGUGGAAGGCACAGUACCGAUCCUGGUUCCUCUUAUUCCGAGGUGUCCCUAUCUUUUGCGGCCGACCUCCCAGACCUUCCGCCUCCAUGACAGCUAGGAUCUGAACCCUAGGCCGAGUCAAAGGGGUGUAGCCUUUCUCCGGGAGUGGCGGCGGAGCAGGGGUUUUCCCCCUCGAGAGCCGGUCAAAAACGUUUUUCUUGGCCGGAACAUCCUUGCCCUCUAGGGGGUUUCCCCGCCCCUUCCGAUCUCCGAUCUCCCGAUCUGACUCUUUCUAAAGACGGCCUGCCUCCUCCGCAUUAGCGGCCGCAUGCGCCCUGGUCAGGAGCUCCUCCAGAUUUUUAGGUGGCUUCUCGGCCAACUUGUAGAAGAGCUCCUCUACCCUGAGCCCGUUCACGAAGGCGGCCAUGACCACCUUUUCGUCUUUGUCCCGGACUUGCAGACUCUCCGCGUUGAAGCGGGUCAUGAAAUUCCUCAGGGUCUCGUCAGGCCUCUGCCUGAUAGCCAUUAGGUGAGUCGCAUUCUUCGAGUAAGUUUUCGAGAAAACGAACUGGGUUACGAACUGUCUGGCCAGUUCAGGGAAACUCCGGAUAGACCCUGGUGCCAAGUCUUGGAACCAGAGCCGAGCCUUCCCCUUUAAGAACAUGGGGAAGGUCUUGCAGCAGAUCUCAUCCGCGGCUGUUUGCAGACGCAUGUGCGUCAGGAAGACCGAGAGGUGGUCUUUCGGGUCGGUGGAAGCAUCAUACAUCUUAAUGCUCGGGAUCUUGAAUCUCCGGGGUAGGGAGUAAUCCUCUAUCUCCCGGGGGAAGGGCGAGGUAGUGUAGUUGUUCUCGUACAACUGCGGCCGCAAGAUCUGCUCGAGCUCGUCUUGGACAGGUUUCCACGGGAGGUCGCGCAGCCGACUCUUGAUAGACCGAGCAGGGGAACGCUCGAGCCCAUUCCGCGUGGGUUUCCAUGGGGAGGGGUCUCUUGGGCGGCUCCCCACAGACCCGUCGCGGGAAUAUCUCUCGCUGUCCCCGACCACCGAGGCUCGGGGACGAGGCGGGGUCCGUGGUCGUUUUCUUCUGGGAGGUUGAUCCCGCGACUCAUCCUCGGAGGGGACGAGUUGGGGCUCCUUUCCCUUGUCCCUCGCCUUGGAGGUCUGCGCGCCUCCAGCCCCCUCCCCCUCCUUCGCCUGCCGGAUUAUGUCUUCCAGCAUGGGGAGGUUCUCCGUCACGAACUGGAAGAUCUGCUGCCUUCUCUCUCCUGAAAGGGCUGAGCCCCCGGUGCCCCGGGCCGCCUCAGUCUCCAUUCGCUGGGAUCCCUCACCGCCUCCAGGGCCGGUGCUCUCUAUCGUUCGCUUGGAUCACGUUCUUGCCAUCAACACAAUCUUGCUUACCUUACGUUUCCCACAGACGGCACCAACUGAAGAAGCGCAGAGCUUCCCCGGACCGAGUCGACCUGACGAGCUCGGCGUGCUGAUGGGAGAGCUGGUUCCAAGCUUGCAGAACAAACAAAAGGUUGAUCUCGCAAGGGGGUCCCGAGGUUGUCCCCGAGGGCACUCCGACGAUCAAGUUAGUUUUCCGGUGAGCCAAGUUCACGGGAGUAAACAAUCGAGAGUCGUUCGCCAAUAGUGAGCGUACCUUUUUUUCUUGAUGUGAGUUACCUUUCAUACCUGCUAAGGGAGUCCGACCUCCGUACGUUUCGGGACUUGCUCGGCAUAGCCCUUAUCCGGUGAUGAGGGGGAUUCCCUCCGACCUCUGCGGGAUGGUCCCCUGCCCCUUCAGGAGCCCUAGCAUCAGCGCGGCCCAGGACGGCUGCCAGGGGCCUGGGGCCGAGGCCCAGCUCGGCCAUACCUGGGCGGCCACGUGUCUGGGCGCAGGACGGGGUCUCUGCAAUUUCAGUUAUAGCCUUCCCACUGAUAUUAAAAAUUCUUUGCAUCACCAUAUCCAUGGCCUUCAAACUUGCAUCCAUCUAGGAAAAUAUAGACCAAAAGAGAAUAUGUUAGUUUUUACAACACAAAAGAAUUCAUGAAACAAAAUGCUUCCCUCUCAACUGCUGUGUCCUCCACCUUCUCUAUAACCUUGCCAAGCAGUAGUAUCAAUUUAGCUGUAGCGUUCCCAAUGAUAUGCACAAUGAUUUCCAUAUGGACGGCCUUCCAAACUGCAUCUGUCAUCUGAUAAAAAGAGGCCAAAGUAUGUAAGAUUUUACAACACAAAUGAUUGACGAAAAAAAUGCGCCCUCUCCCCCUACAAAACUCGUGCUUUGUUGCUAGAUUAUAGUGUGUGUCAAAUAAAUUAUUGUACCUUUAGACUUUAACAGGAAGGUUCUCUUGAGAAUGAAAUAUAUCUUAAAGAUUUGGCAUACUAUUCAAUUUAAUACGCUGAGAAUCAUCACAAGGAUGAGAAGAACUGCUGAUGGACAAGAGGGAAGGGUGGAUUAAUAGGGGAAGAAGGAAUCUCUUUUUAGACGUUGAGAGAUUGAUGAAGAAAAUCAUGGAAACCUGGUAGGAAAGUCAUGGGAAGAAACUUGGGAACUAGUUAGACACCUGGUCUAAAAUUGCCAGGAUUGUCCAGCCGAUAAAAUCAAUUAAUUAACAAUAAGAUUAAUUAGAAGUCCAGAUUAAAGUUGCGGUAUUCCUAGCAAGAUCCUUCUGCUUUGGAUUGAAAUCUUCUACUACUUGAAAUAUGGUUGAGCUACAAGAAUGCUUGUAAUAUCAUAGAAAUCAUUUAUAAUUAAUUGGAUAGUAUUCUUUUUCUAUAUUGAUUCAAUGAAACGACAAAAGUAAUUUUUAAACGUUUCUUUCGUAUUUUUUGAUGAUCAUAUUUCAAAUGAACCUAAGACGCACAAGUAAAAAUGGGUGGGAGGAAGACUUGAAUAAAACGCAAUUGCCAGAUUUGCUAGCUGAACGCGGUUGGGGUCUCGUCUCGUGGAACAAAGUAUUUCUUUCAUGAUACAAAGGAGACACUAAAGAUUCUUUAAAUUUAGCAAUUGCCCGAUAGCCCACAAACCCACAAGCCUACAAACCAGACCAAGAAUCGAUGCGGUCCUUAUAAGAAUCCCUCUCCUUACAUUACUUGAGCAUUAUAUGAUAAUGUUUCUCCUCUAAUUUCAAACUUUGUAGAGGGAAUUUUUUUUUUGGCCCACAACUAUCCCAAAUCAUUUACUUUUACAGAUCUUUUAUUUUAUAUCCUUUGCUCCUGCCAAGUCCCAAGUGAUCUACAAGCAAAGCCAUUGACCAGGAGACAAUUUUAGCAAGAACGUCCCGUCAAAGGCGUAUUAUUAACAUGUUAAAAUCUAAAAUUUCGAACAACAAUACCUUUAUUAGUCGGGUUUUCCCUUCAUAAAAGUUGUUAGCCUUUUCCAUCUUUUCCACUAAUUUUAGCAAGUUUCAAGUUUGAAUCUUUCAUUGAAUCAAACAUGAUUCCAACUUCCAGUUUGAGAACCUUGUUUUACUCAAUAAUUUGACAAUUUAGUGUUGGCUUUUGUUUACUGUUCAAGCAGUCAAAUUUUUUAGAAGGAUUAAAUAAAAAAGAGGAUAAAAACUAAAACACAAGCACACGUUCUUCUUCUUUUUUUUUGCCCCCCAAGGCCUUUGGUCUAAUUAUGCUUUGUGAAAAUGAUAAUAACAUAAAAAACAUAUCAGAAAGAAAAUGGGUUUCGUCUAAUCCAAUGGUUCGUGUUCCAUCUUAGGAUUUAGGGGCACUGAUCAAGUUCAUGUUAGCCGUUGACGCCAGAGGAAACACUGGCUCCUGAGUCCACUGAAGCAGUGGACAAAUCCCAGUCAAUCAGCACGUGAGUAUCAUGUAAUCGCACAUGCAGCUAGUUGUCUUUUUUUUUUUCUAUUUUUUUUCCGGUCUUAAUGAUAGGUUGUAUAUAUUAGUUAGAGCGGACAAUUAUACCCAAAAUCCAACAACCCACCCAAUCCACCCACUAAUUUGAGAGGUUGAGUUGGGUAAGUUGGGUUGGGUAAGUUGGGUAUUGGGUAAAUUUUGGGUUGGGCAAUAAAAAUCCAUAUAUAUUUUAGACGAUUUGGGUAUUUGUGUUGGGCACCCGUUACCCAACUUUUCCCUCUUUGUAUGUUUUCUAUGCAAGUAUAACCCAUCCUGUUGACACAUGGAAAAAGACAUUCUUGUGUACAAAACUGUUACCACCACCCCCAAAAAAAAACCUCGGGGCAAAAAAAAAAGUGUUAAUUUUUGGAGUAAGUUCCCUGUAUUUUGGUUGGACUUUUUGAUGGUUUAGUAAAGGGGUUAGCAAUUAUCAUUUAAACGUAAUUUGACCUCUGCUAUUGUAGAGCAAGAAUCAUCAGCCUAUGACUAGUUGACCGAGAGUCGUCCCUAUGGCAAAUAUAUAUCAAUAAACAUUUCUGAGACAAGUGUUGUAAAAAUUCGUUUAUGGAGCGAUUAAAUAUUGAAGUAAUAGCCAAAUUUUUGUUAAUCCUUUCACGAAAGAUUUGUAUGCUAAAUGUUGAAAUUAUAAAGAUAUGGUUUCUUGAAAGCUAAUUAUUUGACAAGAGAUUCUUUGUUAUAAUUUUUUCCGUUACACUCGUUACAUUAUUUAGUUGAUUGACAUGUGUCCCAUGCAAUAAUAAAUAAGAAUUUGAGUUUUAAAAUAUCUCUUAGUUUGGACCAAAGCUAUACCCAGUUUGAAAAUCCUUACUUGUAUAAAAAAUAGUGAGUUCAUCCAAGUAAUUUAAAUAGUUAGUAUGUGUGUGUAUUUGUGAAAGUAUAUUAGUGUGUAUUGUAAUGUCUUUGUAUGUGUAAAAAUAACAUAUUUCAAAAGAGCUUAAGAAGUGAGUAUAUUUUUGUGUCUAUGAGUGUUUUAGUGUGUAAAAUUUUGUGUAUCUAUGUGAAAAUACAUUUAUGUGUGUGAAAUUUUUUUUUUUUUUUAUGUAAAAAUGUAUUUGAGAGAGUUUAUGUAUCAAAAUCUAUUAAUUAAUAUAUUGGGUCAUAUUUGGGUCAUGGGUUUGAGAUGACCCAAUAUGACCCAACCCAAAAUUAACCCACUCUAAAGUUGGGCGGGUUGGGUGUAACCCAUUUAAAUGAAAACCCAACAUCAACCCACUCAAAAUCCGCCCAACUCGCCCAAUUGCCAGGUAUAAUAUUAGUCAAAAGGAUAUACAGUUCGAGCAAAGGUUCAGGAUGUUCUAUAUAAUUAUGCAUUUAGCAUGGUAGAUAGGAAUUGACUCAUUCUACCUCGUGAUAAUUGCUCAAGGCAUGAGCACUAAAAUAAUAGCUAAGAUCAUUCUUGUUUACACCAUUUGGAAAAAGAGAAGCAUUUGUAAAACAAGGUACUCAGCUCUUAGAUAAAAGUACUUAUCCAUAUUUUUUUUCCCUUGAAUUUGUUCCAACAGUUGUUUGCCAGGGACGUCAACUUUAAUUAUCCUCCAUCGUCCUUGUUCUACUGCUUUCAACAAAGCAACCUUGAUAGCUUCAGCUUGUUGUUGGACUUGAUUGCCUGUUGCUCUUUCCCUGAAUGCCCAUCCCAUAGUGUUUCUGUCACCUCCCGUGACUAGUGUUUAACUGAAAAUGUUGGGAAAUCUAAUAGCUAGAAAAGUCUUCCAUUUCUUGAAAAAGUUUAGUGGGACACAAAUUAGAAAUUGUGGGAUUCGAAUUUGUAGAUUUUGGGGGUGUGGGCCAGGAAAUGUAAUUGUUUUAACAAUUCUUUGACAAAGUAUACUAACUUGCAAGCAGUAAACUUUCCUUCCUGGUCUGGCAUGAAGUUGAAAACUGCUAACAUCUCCAGCAAUAUAUAAAACCUCUUGUCACAUAAAGCUGAAGGGCUUCUCAUCACAAAGUCUGCAUUCCCUUGUACCCCGGGUGUUUACUACCUUAGGCCACUUUUCCUAACACGUGAGAUUUUUCUCCUUUCAUGAAUUUGUGGAUCAUCAUGGUGUGCAAUAUGCAGAAAACUAAUAUCCUUCUCCAGUUGACUCAAAAGGUAAUGAUUUCAAUAGAUAGCCCAAUGACAUACAAUUUACCUUUUUCUUUAUAUUAUCAUCUUACUCCCUUGUUAAGAUAUCAAUUCUCCAAAGAAAAAGGUUAUUUAAAUAAAAGAUUAAUCUUUCUUAUAUUGACAGUGUAUACACUAUCAGCGUUGGAUGAAUGACAACUAUGCAAAAUUUGAGCUUGAAAUUCAACUUUUGCACACAUGUCAUGAAUCCAACGAUGAUAGUGUAUACACCGUCAGUGUAGGAAAGAUUUACUCAUAAAUAAAUUUCUCUACGAGUCAUAACUAGACAGGUUCACCAAGAAUAGCUCAGAGUUAGAACGUUUAGAGUCUUUUACUGAAUUAGGCUUAAAUUCUCUUUUCAGCACUUUGAUGUUUUAAGUCUCUAAUUCUUGAGACAAAAUGAAUGUCAAUAUAUUACUACCUUUGGCUAAUUUACAACUUAUUGUCUCCAGAAUCUGGCUGCCUCUUGCCAAGCUUGCUUUCCAUGUAGCACUUGAUGAAAGUUCGGGAAUUGGAUUCACUUGCAAUCUCAAUGACAACGUUGCAGCUCCUUGGUGUCCUUUUGUUUCUGCUUCUUCCUGCAAUUAAACAAGCUCAACCAUGCCUGGUACUUGUUCACUAUCGUUGAUAGAGAAUAUAACUUAUGCCAUCUGCAGCUUAUGGUUGUCAUCUUGAGACUUCGGCUUGCUAUUUUGAAAACUCUCAUCUUCUUUUCUUGAUUUGUUCUCCUUUUCUUUUGAUUUUCUCUUUUCAUCUCUUAUCGCAUUUUACUUCCUAUAUUGCAGGGUGCGUACUUCCAGAGAUUCCCACGGCAACAUUUGCUCAAAUAGGUAGGAGUAAUUGCUGAUGUUUAUACCAAAGCAUUUCUUUUCUUUCAGGCAAUGGAAUCAACUAGCAUUCAAUUAAGUUCACUAAAUACACUAAUCCUUUCUUUAAUGUCUACUUUACCCGUCCCAUCUUCUCAUGUUGAAAAAAAAAAUUCGAUUGAAUUGUCUUUGCAAUUACGAUCAACUGACGUCAUAGGACAUGGAAAAACUGAUUGGUUGUACCCCGAGAACAACAAAAAUAGGAUUUCCUGACAUGCUGUGAUUUGUUAGUAGGAUAAAUUCAAGUGAUAACCACUUGAUUUAAUAAUAUUUUCUGAAACCACAUUCUCCUCUGUACCACAUUAUACAGCAACUGAUGUCUUUUUUUUUUAUCUUGAUUUAAAGUUAUUAACCUCAAAUUUUGCCUCUUCAUAUAUUGCAGGAUUGUGCAUUUGCUAGCAAGUUGUUACCUAGUUUACUGGUUCCCAUCUCAAGCAUACUCUGAUUUUUUACAAUAGAAGUCAAUACCAUAUCAGAUUACAUAUACAAGUGCCUGGUCCAUUGCAAGAGAAAACUCCAUCUGAGGUUUUUCUUUUGUACAUUGUUUUGAAAAAGGAAAAGAUCAUUCCCGCAAAGGUUUGAUCUGUUUAUAGACAAGUGCUACCAAAGAUGUCAGAUAUAAAAGGCUCAAUACAUUGAUUCUAAAUGUAGAUACUUAACUCCAGAAGGGAUUUGAAUGCUAUUAUGAUCCUUCCUUGACAUGCAUAUGCAAUCUUAACCCCAACCAAAAGGAUUUAGAUGUAGAAUUGUCAGCGGAAUUGGGAAGAUAAUUGCUUGUAAUGGAAAACAGGAAAAAGCGCACAGAUAAAAAGGUUUAAAUUCAUUGAGUGAAAUCACAUUCUUGGAGUAUAAUGUGACUGAAAAUUUUGGCAUAAUAGCCCAAGACAAUUCUGAUAAUAUUCAAGGAAUAGUCACAAAAAAUAGGAUCACUAGACCAAUUACAACCAAGUACAGAAAAAGCAUCAUCUAGCAAGAAAUAGACGUUGAACUAAUUAUGUAUAUAUGGAUGUACUACGCAGCGAAAAUCUAAAUAGACAUACCUCCAUGUCAAGCACAAGUUGAUCUCUUUUUGUCUCUUUGACUCAUUGUCUAUUCUAACAAAACAAAAAUAUGUAGAAGAAGAAGUUAGAGUAAGGAGCUUCCAACCUAUAACUAACCAAAGAGUGUAUUGUUGAUAGAAUAACACAGGUUAUUGUUAAUGCUCAAAUUAGGCAGUUUAUUUGUUAAUAUUUUCCCCUUUAUUUUGACCAAAUGUUGUGAUAAUUUGCUAGAUUCUACUUAUAUUUGAAUUUUUGUGUGAUUUCUAGGAACUUCAAGUCAAUUGAGGCAGAAAAGGAGAAAUUGAAGCCUAAUUGAGGAAAUUUCAUUAAGAAAUCUUGAUACAAGUUUCUUAGUUGAUACUUGAAAACCGCUACAUCAGGGAUGAUGGGGUGUGGAAACCAUCUAGGCGUAUUCAUCUACAAUGCCUUGUUCGGUUGAUGAUUGUUACUGCAUCAAGUUAGCAAGCGUUUUGGGCUUUUGCUUUUGGUUAGUUUACGGCAAAGAACAGUACAACUGGUGCAGCAGAAAGUCCGCAUCCCAUUGAGCUUCAAUUGCACACGAGGCCCAUUUUUGGAAAAAAAGAGAAAGAAACGCUAAAGAAGCCCUGGGGGAAUGCUAGGUCAAACAAGACCUCUGGUUCAACUGAAGAGGAUAAAAAAGGAGAAAAUGGAAGGGCAAAAAAAAAAGACUCUGAAAAUCAACGCAGGCCAUUCUGUUCCAUCCCGUUUUUCCUUCCUUUUCCCAAUUUAUUUUCCUUUUUCAAUUAAGAACUCGAGUAGUACUUUUGGCUGCAACUCAACUAUGAGAAGUGGCUAAUUUCUUCAUCUAGUUAGAGGUUAAAUCGAAGCUUUGGUUCGAUAAAACUGUGAGAUGGAAUUGAUUUGCCUACGUUCUUUAAUUUGCAAGUAUUUAUAUAUUUCCUGUUCACUUAUGCAUAUGAUUAUUUCUUGCAAUUAAAUACUUGAUCACUGUUUAAUUGUGUGAGUAAUUAACAGCUAUCUAAGAGUGCUCAAUCCGUAAUUGUUGGGUAAUUUUAGUGCAUAUGGCAAGUGACAUGAUUCAAUUGUAGUAGAAACUUUUAAGUUAUUGUUGCGGAAACAUAUGAUAUAGUCUAAAUAAACCGAGCGUGUGUGUUUGUUGGUUAUAAUUGGUGGCCAGUCUAACGAUUAAUGUUGUCAAUAGGUUAAAUCCUAAGAGCGUGUUUAGGACUGCUUAAUUGGCUAGAGCAAUAACUACAGAGCUUGUUGUGGUUAUCGAAUCAAGAAGGUUAGGCAGGUUGUCAGAGCUUGUUGACAACCAUAACCAAUUUAUUUGUAAAUGAAAGAUUUUAUCUCUGCAUCUGUGAUCAAUGAUUCGAAUCAUUAGUGGAGAUUAUACCUUUGAUUAGAGAUUUUCCUUCCGUUAAUUUACUUUAUAUUUAUUGAUAUUUAUUUUAUCUGCGAUUGUCUUAUUUUUAAUUUGAUCAAUUAAAUUAGACAGUUCCAUAUCAAUUCCCCCCAUUUUUAUUUAAUGUUACAUUCAUUCAAAAUAAAUUCCCAAGUCCCUGUGAAUUCGACCCUGCUCACUGCUAUAUUCGAAUUUUAUCUUUCACGUAAUUAAGAUACUUUGGUAUAUCGGAUCAAGCAAACUCUGGCACCAGAGUGAAGCUAGUAACCAAUUGCACAGCCUAAAUCCCUGCUCCAGUACCAUAGUGGACUUAAUUCGUGACUUAAGAGUAGGAAUUUUAUUUUUGCUGGUUUGACACCCACCAAAUUUUGGCGCCAUUGCCGAGGACUUGGUGUCAAAAUAAAUUUAUUUUCUUUGAAUUUUAUUUUCUUUGUUUAUUUUUUAUUUUUAUUUUUAUUUUUAUUGUUACUGGUUUAUGCCUAGAUCUUCUCGUACAGAUGAACUGCAAUAUAAUCCUGAGAUAGAGAAGACUGCUCGUGCAUUGAGAAAAGCAACAAGAGAACGAGCAGAGGCAUCCUCCUCAUCUACUGGACAUAAUUCAGUAGUAGAUUUUGUGGAUUCAUUUAGUGAGAUGGAAGAGAUAAAUAGCACAAUGGCUAAUGAACGGACAUUGAGAGAAUUGGCUGCAUCAGAUUUAAAUCAACAGCUUCUAUGCAUUACUUAUUCUACAUUAGAGGUUGCAUUUGAGUUAAAAUCUGGACUAAUCCAUUUACUUCCUUCUUUUCAUGGCUUACUAGGUGAAGAUCCCCACAAGCAUCUCAAAGAAUUCCAUGUGGUUUGCUCGACAAUGAAACCCCAGGAAGUCACAGAGGAGCAAAUUAAAUUAAGAGCCUUUCCAUUUUCCUUAGUCGAUAAAGCUAAGGAUUGGCUCUAUUAUUUGCCCUCUAGGUCAAUAUCCACAUGGACAGACAUGAAGAAGCAUUUCCUAGAAAAAUUCUUUCCUGCAUCCCGAGCUGCAAGCAUAGGAAAGACAUCUGUGGAAUUCGACAAUUCAAUGGAGAGACUCUACAUGAAUAUUGGGAAAGAUUCAAGCAACUAUGUGCUAGUUGUCCUCAUCAUCAAAUCCCUGACCAACUCCUCAUCCAGUAUUUUUGUGAGGGUCUGUCCCAAACUGACAGAAGAAUUAUUGAUGCUGCCAAUGGGGGCUCCUUAGUGAAUAAAACACCCACGGAGGCAAGAAGUUUGAUAUCGAGUAUGGCUGCAAAUGCUCAACAAUUUGGAGACAGGCAGGAUAACACAACUCGUAGAGUCAAUGAGGUAAGUAAUUCUUCAAUAGAGCAAAGAUUAGAUUGUCUAACUUCUUUGGUUGAAAAGUUAGCUAUAGGACAAAUGCAACAAUUGAAAACAUGUGGAAUCUGCUAUGGUUCGAGUCAUCCAACAGAUAUGUGCCCACACUCCAAGAUGAUUCGACUGAGCAGGCUAAUGCAGUUGGAUUUUCAGGACCACCUCAGAGGCGGUAUGAUCCUUAUGCAAACACUUAUAAUCCAGGAUGGAUGGAUCAUCCUAAUUUUAAUUAUGCAGCAAGGCGACCAGGAUUUCCACAACAGCCACAAUAUCAACUUAGACCUCAACUUUCACAGCAACAAUCUGCUCCUAAAUCAGGUAUGUCACUUGAGGAUAUUGUGAAAUCUUUGGCUAUUAACACUCAACAAUUUCAACAGGAGACGAAAACUAGCAUUCAUAAUUUGGAGAAUCAAAUGAGCCAAUUAGCUUCCACAGUCAAUAGAUUGGAGUCCCAAUUAUCUGGAAUGCUACCCUCGCAGACAAUUGUCAACCCCAAGCAAAAUGCCAAUGCCAUCACAUUAAGAAGUGGCAAAGAGUUGCCUGAGCCGAGCAAGAGAAUUUUUGAACAAGCAAUCGAGGAAGAGCUCGAAAAAGAGGGGAAUGUGUCUCAACCUAGGGCCUUGGAACAACCAGAUUUUUUUGGAGAAAAAUCAACACAAGUGGUUACACCUCAGCCUCCAUUUCCUAGUCGACUGGCAAAGUCCAAAAAGCAAGAGCAAGAACAGGAGAUUUUGGACACUUUUCGAAAAGUUGAGGUAAAUAUCCCUCUUUUAGAUGCAAUUAAACAAAUUCCUAAAUAUGCUAAAUUUUUGAAUGAGUUAUGCACUGGUAAGAAAAAGUUGAAAGGAAACGAGAAAGUGCAUAUGGGAGAAAAUGUCUCGACAGUUUUGCAGAAAAAAUUGCCUCCUAAAUGCAAGGACUCGGGUAUGUUUACGGUCCUUUGCAAAAUAGGCAAUAUUAAAAUUGAAAAAGUUAUGUUGGAUUUGGGUGCUUCGAUAAAUGUUAUGCCUCGUUCUAUUUAUAAUUUAAUGAACGUUGGGCCUUUAAAAGAGACGGGCGUAAUAAUUCAACUGGCUGAUCGAUCAAAUGCCUAUCCUGAUAGAGUUUUGGAGGAUAUUUUAGUGCAAAUUGAUAAUUUGAUUUUUCCUGCAGAUUUUUAUGUGCUUGUAUGGAUGAUGAUAAUUCUAAUUCAUCUCCAAUACUGUUAGGGAAAUCAUUUUUGAAAAUUGCUAAAACAAAAAUUGAUGUUUUCACUGGCACAUUGACUAUGGAAUUUGAUGGUGAUGUUAUUAAAUUUAGUAUUUAUGAUGCCAUGAAAUAUCCUGGUAAAUCUCAUUCAAUUUUUGUUAUAGAUGUAAUUGAUUCUUUGGCGCAGCAAAAUUUUGAAUGUAAUAAUGACGAUGCUUUGAAUGUUGCUAUUUCUACUGGUCUCUGUCAGGAAAAUUUACAAAAGAUAAAAGGGAAGUUUGUUUUUCCUUUUGAAUUGCAGGAAGUUAUUUUUGAAUUGAAUUCUCUUUGUCCAGAAUUUUUCAAUGUGUCUUACUUGGAAUUACCUUUAUCUCAUUUAUAGCUUUUGCCAUCUAUUGUGCAAGCCCCGAAGGUGGAAUUAAAGCAGUUACCGGAUAAUUUAAAGUAUGCAUUCUUGGGAAAUGGAGAUACACUCCCAGUAAUAAUUUCCAGUAAAUUGACUGCUUUAGAGGAAGAAAAACUAAUUCGGGUGUUGAAGGACCACAAGGAGGCAAUAGGAUGGAUAGUGGCUGACAUAAAAGGAUUAAGUCUAGCCACUUGCAUGCACCGCAUCUUGUUAGAAGAUGGUGCUAAGCCUUCGAGAGAGGCUCAAAAGAGAUUGAACCCACCAAUGAUGGAGGUAGUGAAGAAAGAAGUUUUAAAACUUCUUGACACAUGUAUAAUCUAUCCCAUUUCGGAUAAUAAGUGGGUAAGUCCUGUUCAAAUAGUUCCUAAAAAGACAGGAAUUACUGUUAUUGAAAAUUCUAAAGGUGAGUUAGUGCCCACUCGAGUUCAAAAUGGGUGGAGAGUUUGUACCGAUUUUAGAAAAUUAAAUGCAUUAACUCGUAAAGAUCAUUUUCCAUUGCCUUUUAUUGAUUAGAUGUUGGAAAGGUUGGCAGGAAAAUCUCAUUAUUGCUGUCUUGAUGGUUUUUCAGGUUUUCUACAAAUUCCAGUGGCGCCUGAAGAUCAAGAGAAAACCACAUUUACUUGCCCUUUUGGUACAUUUGCCUAUAGACGAAUGCCUUUGGUCUUUGUAAUGCGCCUGCUACAUUUCAAAGGUGUAUGGUUAGUAUAUUUUCUGAUUAUGUGGAGAAUAUCAUAGAAGUGUUUAUGGAUGAUUUUACUGUCUAUGGUAAUUCUUUUGAUGAAUGUUUAACUAACCUCACAAAAAUUCUUAAAAGGUGCAUUGAGACUAAUCUUGUCUUAAAUUAUGAGAAAUGCCAUUUUAUGGUAGACCAAGGCAUAAUUUUAGGCCAUGUGGUAUCUGCUAAAGGAAUUGAGGUAGAUAAGGCUAAGGUAGAAAUUAUCAAAUAUUUACCUUACCCUAUAAGUGUGCCGGAAGUUCGCUCUUUUCUUGGCCAUACAGGUUUUUAUAGGCGUUUCAUCAAAAAUUUUUCAAAGAUAUCCCAUCCUUUAUGCAAAUUACUUCAAAAGGAUGUGGCAUUUCAUUUUGAUGGUAAUUGCAAGAAUGCAUUUGACAAGCUCAAGGGAUCGUUGACUUCAGCACCAGUGGUUCGACCACCAAACUGGAGUCUUCCUUUCCAGAUAAUGUGUGAUGCCAGCAAUUUUGCUGUUGGUGCAGUACUCGGCCAGAAAGAGGGCAGAGUUUCUUAUGUCAUUUAUUAUGCCUCGAGGACCUUGGAUGGUGCCCAGUGCAAUUAUUCGACUACGAAAAAGGAGCUUUUAGCUAUUGUUUUUGCUUUAGAAAAAUUCCGUUCUUAUUUACUUGGCACUAAAGUCAUUAUUUAUUCUGACCAUGCAGCUUUGAAAUAUUUGCUCAACAAGAAAGAGGCCAAACCACGACUUACAAGGUGGAUUCUCCUAUUCCAAGAUUUUGAUCUUGAAAUUAAAAACAAAAGGGGUGCUGAAAAUAUGGUUGCUAAUCACCUCAGUCAUUUGAUCAAUAGUGAAGGACCUGCUCCCUUGAAGGAUAAUUUUUCAAAUGAGCAUCUUUUUGUAGUUCAAAAGACAACUCCCUGGUAUGCUGAUUUAGUGAAUUAUCUUGUUAUUAGAACGCUAACUAAUGAUUUGUUUAGAGCUCAAAAGGAAAAAAUUAAAAGUGAUGUUAAAUAUUAUGUGUGGGAUGAACCAUACUUGUGGAAAUAUUGUUCUGACCAAAUUAUUCGCAGGUGUGUGUCUGAAGAAGAGGUUCCAUCAAUUUUAUCUUUUUGUCACUCAUAUGCGUGUGGUGGACAUUUUGACCCUAAGCGAACUGCAAGAAAGGUUUUAGAGUGUGGUUUAUUUUGGCCAACUUUAUUUAGUGAUGCAUACUUAUUUUGUAAAUCAUGUGCAAAUUGUCAAAAGACAGGUAAUUUAAGCCAUAGAGAUCAAAUGCCUCUUACUCCUAUACUGGUUUGUGGAAUUUUUGAUAUAUGGGAUAUAGAUUUUAUGGGUUCAUUUCCUUCAUCUUUUGGUAAUAUGUAUAUAUUACUUGCAGUUGAUUAUGUCUCAAAGUGGAUAGAGGCUAAGGCAACUAGGACUGACAAUGCUAAGGUUGUAGUUGAUUUUAUUAAAUCUCAUAUUUUUGUCAGGUAUGGCACGCCAAGAGCAAUUAUUAGUGACCGAGGGAUGCACUUCUGCAAUCAAGUAAUGGAAUCAUUAAUGAAGAAAUAUGGCGUCACUCACCAGGUUUCUACGUCCUAUCAUCCGCAGACUAGUGGUCAAGCAGAAAUCUCCAAUAAAAAAAUCAAGUCGAUACUUGAAAAGACGGUGAAUCCCAAUAGAAAGGAUUGGAGUUUGCGCUUAGAUGAUGCACUUUGGGCUUACCGUACAGCUUUUAAGACCCCCAUAGGUAUGUCUCCUUACCGAUUAAUUUUUGGCAAACCUUGUCAUCUACCUGUGGAAUUGGAACAUAGGGCAUAUUGGGCAGUUAAAAAUUACAAUAUGCGGAUGGAUGAAACUAGAGAACACAGGAAGUUGCAAUUGCAAGAGUUGGAGGAAAUCCGAAAUGAUACAUAUGAGAGUUCUCGCAUUUAUAAGGAAAAGACAAAAGCAUUUCAUGAUAAAGCAAUUUCAAGGAAAAUUUUUUGUAUUGGUCAAAAAGUACUUCUUUUUCACUCUAGACUUAAACUUUUUCCUGGUAAAUUGCGUUCUCGUUGGAUUGGACCUUUUAUUGUGACUAAUGUGUUUCCUCAUGGUGCAGUAGAAAUCCAAAGUCUUCACACUGACAAGAUUUUUAAGGUUAAUGGUCAUCGUCUCAAACCUUUUUAUGAAGGAUUUGAAGUUAAUAAUGUUGAGGAGGUGACCCUUGCAGUGCCUGAACACUCUGAUUGAAGCAUUAUUUUGUCUAACCAAAGACAUUAAAGAAAGGCGCUGCGUGGGAGGCAAUCCAAGAAUUAUUGUUUUUAGUAGUUUGAUUGUGUUUGUUGAUUUGUUAAAGAUGAUUUACGUGAUAUAAUUUCUUUGUGACAGGUAGGAUCAAAUUAAGCAGCAGCCGUUGGCCCUCGCCGAGAUCAGCAGCGAACCUUCAACCAUCAGCUGAAUCUCCGAGCAGUCGGUCCUCGCACGGAGCAGAGCCAACAGAUGGAUCGACGUUUGUCCCGCAUGGGUCAGAACCUGGCAGCCUAUUUCGAGCACGUUCGUUUCCAACCUCCUUUCCCACCGAAUACUUAGUAUUUCUUCAGGGGAGUAUUUCUUUCUUUCUACACUUUAUUUUUAUUUUUUUUUUCCUUGAGGACAAGGCAAUGUUUAGGUGUGGGGGAGGGAGAUCAUGUUGGUUUUUAAUUUUUAGUUUUUUUUUUUAAAAAAAAAAGAAAAAAAGAGAAAAAAAUUUUAAGUAUUUUUGGUCCGUUUUUGAGUUAAUUCGUCUAGUUUCUGAUUUUUCAAGACUUUUGAGAUUCGUAUUGAUUCAGUCAAGAUGCACGUGUGAAUGGUAUUUUAUUGCUAGUGCAAGUAAUGUGUUUUCUUGACUAUUGAUUCGAAUGAAGGGUGUUUAAAAAUUUGACAUAUUUUCAUUUUUUUGUGAGCUUUUGGGCCUAAUGAGCAUUACAUUUAUAAUUGCUCUAUUUGCUUUGAAUGAGUGAUAUCACACAUGGUUUGAUAUUCUAGAACUUGCUUUGUUAUGCAUAUCGAGACCACGUUUGAAUUUGAGGCAUUAAUAUGAGAAGGGCAAUUAGGUUUAACCCCUUUUGACUUUCUAAAAGCCUACCUUGAUCAUAUUUCACCUAGUUAACCAAUCUGAGCCUUGACUGUUUCUUUGUCUGAUACCCAAAUUUGCACCCUAAGCCUUUUUAUUUGAACUUUAUUAUUGAACCUUGAGUCAAAAGGAUGCCUAAGUUUUAUUGCGUGAAAAUUAUCAAGUAUUGCUACAAGGAUUUGGCAGUUAUGUUUAUCUUUCAAGUUUAGUUAUGUUUUGCUGCACCAAAAAAAAAACAAAAAACAAAAAAAAAACAAAAAAAAAUAUGGAAGUGUCCUUGUAGUAGUGUUGAGAAAGUUGGGUUGAUGCCUGUGUGAAGGUUCUUAUGUAGAGUUGGCUUCGAUUGUUGAUGUGCCUUGGAGUUAUGGGAUUGAAAAAAAAAAAAAGGGCGAUUCAUUUCAUGCAAUGAGCUAUUGGUAUUUCUUUUGACAUUAUUAGCCUAAAGGUCCAUUUUGUCUAACAUUUAACCCAAGCCCCAUUACAUCCUUAUUAAAAGACCCUUUGAUUUUUGUAUCAAGUUCAUUAAAGUGGUGGAGAUUUGAUAUAUUAGCAAGCAUAUGGUAAAAUUAUCCCAUGUUGUUGAUUUGAGUGAUAUAAACAUCCUUUCCAUAUUUUGAGUGGUGGAGUGUAUACACUGCUAUCCAUGUGAGCUUUGUCAAGUUUUUAACAUCCUAAUUUUGGUGAAAUUGUUGAGAAGAUGUGACACCUGUGCUAGUUUAUGGAGCUAUUCAAGUAUUUGUGAUCUUGACUGCUAUUUUUGGGUAGUGAAUGCUUGAGGGUAAGUAUUGUCUUGGUGUGGGGGAAUUUGUUAAUGCUCAAAUUAGGCAGUUUAUUUGUUAAUAUUUCCCCCUUUAUUUUGACCAAAUGUUGUGAUAAUUUGCUAGAUUCUACUUAUAUUUGAAUUUUGUGUGAUUUCUAGGAACUUCAAGUCAAUUGAGGCAGAAAAGGAGAAAUUGAAUCCUAAUUGAGGAAAUUUCAUUAAGAAAAUCUUGAUACAAGUUUCUUAGUUGAUACUUGAAAACCGCUACAUCAGGGAUGAUGGGGUGUGGAAACCAUCUAGGUGUAUUUAUCUACAAUGCCCUGUUCGGUUGAUGAUUGUUACUGCAUCAAGUUAACAAGUGUUUUGGGCUUUUACUUUUGGUUAGUUUACGGCAAAGAACAAUACAACUGAUGCAGCAGAAAGUCCGCAUCCCAUUGAGCUUCAAUUGCACACGAGGCCCAUUUUUGGAAAAAAAAGAAAGAAACGCUAAAGAAGCCCUGGGGGAACGCUAGGUCAAACAAGACCUCUGGUUCAACUGAAGAGGAUAAAAAAGAAGAAAACAGAAGGGCAAAAAAAAAAGACUCUGAAAAUCAACGCAAGCCAUUCUGUUCCGUCCCCUUUUUCCUUCCUUUUCCCAAUUUAUUUUCCUUUUUCAAUUAAGAACUCGAGUAGUACUUUUGGCUGCAACUCAACUAUGAGGAGUGGCUAAUUUUUUCAUCUAGUCAGAGGUUAAAUCGAAGCUUUGGUUCGACAAAACUGUGAGAUGGAAUUGAUUUGCCUACGUUCUUUAAUUUGCAAGUAUUUAUAUAUUUCCUGUUCACUUAUGCAUAUGAUUAUUUCUUGCAAUUAAAUACUUGAUCACUGUUUAAUUGUGUGAGUAAUUAACAGCUAUCUAAGAGUGCUCAAUCCGUAAUUGUUGGGUAAUUUUAGUGCAUGUGGCAAGUGACAUGAUUCAAUUGUAGUAGAAACUUUUGAGUUAUUGUUGCGGAAACAUAUGAUAUAGCCUAAAUAAAUCGAGCGUGUGUGUUUGUUGGUUAUAAUUGGUGACCAGUCUAAUGAUUAAUGCUGUCAAUAGGUUAAAUCCUAAGAGCGUGUUUAGGACUGUUUAAUUGGCUAGGGCAAUAACCACAGAGCUUGUUGUGGUUAUCGAAUCAGGAAGAUUAGGCAGGUUGUCAGAGCUUGUUGACAACCAUAACCAGUUUAUUUGUAAAUGAAAGAUUUUAUCUCUGCAUCUGUGAUCAAUGAUUCGAACCAUUAGUGGAGAUUAUACCUUUGACAAGAGAUUUUCCUUCCGUUAAUUUACUUUAUAUUUAUUGUUAUUUAUUUUAUCUGCGAUUGUCUUAUUUUUAAUUUGAGCAAUUAAAUUAGACAGUUCCAUAUCAAUUCCCCCCAUUUUUAUUUAAUGUUACAUUCAUUCAAAAUAAAUUCCCAAGUCCCUGUGGAUUCGACCCUGCUCACUGCUAUAUUCAAAUUUUAUCUUUCACGUAAUUAAGAUACUUUGUUAUAUCGGAUCAAGCAAACUCUGGCACCAGGGUGAAGCUAGUAACCCAUUGCACAGUCUAAGUCCCUGCUCCAGUACCAUAGUGGACUUAAUUCGUGACUUAAGAGUAGGAAUUUUAUUUUUGCUGGUUUGACACCCACCAGUUAUUUAUAGGUUAGGUUAGGGACCCUUUCUGGCAAAUACCAAAAUCCCUAGGUUUCCUUCCAUUAAGGAAAUAUUGCCAUAAUCCAUAACCUUUUCUAACUAAUUGAUUGAUUAACUGAUUGAAUAAGAUAUCAAUUAGCAAAAGAUACCAAUCAAUCAUUAACAAAUGGGAGAUACUAAUUAAUUAUUGACAAAAUGUCAAUAAUUAAUCAGGAUAUCAAUCACUUUAGAAUCAAUCAUAUGGAUCACAAUUGCCUCUAAAAGAGACAAGUCUUACAAUAGAAAGCUGAACAUGAAAAAAACGGCAACCGUAAUACAGCUAAAGAAUAAGAAUGUAUUGAAAGGAAGUUUGGUGCUGGUAGACAAUGCUUGAAUUUACACUUCUUUUUGGAAAUUCAUCUCUCUUGUAGUAGCAAUUUUGUGGCUACCUAAAAUAGCCAGCAUAACCUGACAAAUAUUGACAAAUAACACGUGAUCAGUAUAGUUAGAAACAUAAAGCAAAUUCAUCCAUGAUACGAACGCAAGCACCAUCAUGCAAGUUACUUUGCAAUUCUACUUCCUUCAAACUUCUUGUUGCUUUCAAUAUGAAAUUUGGAAUUUUAACAUCUACCAACAUAGAUACCCUGUUGCUUUAUCUUGAAAGCUUCUUUAGUAAAGGCAAAAACAAGACAAUAAUCAAGUGCGGGAAAUGAAAAAAAAAAAAAAAGAACAUAGAGAUCAGCUCAUUCAUAGAAUAAAUUGAUAAGGCCACUGAAUUCACAAAUGAACAAGAAGAAAGAAAGAAAGAGAAAAUAAAAUAUUUAACAUUAUAGAAAUAAGAAAAUUUUAAAAUAAAAAAGAUAUUGAAAAGCUGUGGGUAGUAGAUUGUACCGAUGACUAUGAGGAAAGGAUGCAAUUAGCAGUUCGGCAUCAUAAGAAAGGCAGUCGGUAGAGGAAAACUUAACCCUCUCCAAAAAAGGGGAAAGACAGAGAACAUUCAACAGCAUAAAAUGAAAAAAAAAAAGAAAUAAAGAAUAUCAUAAUGACAUUGAACUCAAAAAUAAAUAAGAAGAAAGAAAGAGAGAGAAAAUAAAGGGGAAAUGAUAUUAGUACUUCUCAAUAGGGAUGGCAACGGGGCGGGGUUGGGGCGGGGGACCCCUCCCCCAUCCCUCGCCCCGCUACCUACAAACUCCCCCCGCCCCCCGCCCCGCCCCGCCCCGCUUCCCCCGCGGGUGCACCCGCGGGGUUAAUAAAAUUUUUUCCGUUGGGUUAAUAAAAUUUUAUUAUAGUUAAAUUUUAAUAAAUAAUCAAGUACUAAAAUAUCAACACAUCAUCAAGUUAUUAUUCAUUUUAAUUUUACAAUUGAAACUCAUAAAAACAAUCAAACAAAAAUUAUUUGAAUACAAUCUAACAUGAUGAAAUAAAUAUAACUAAAAUAGUUAAGUUUUCACUUUUGGUACAAAUACAAUCACUAAUUCAUUAUUGUGUUUGUGCUUUUUUUUUGAGAAAAAGUGUUAUUCUAUUAAGUGUAAUUAGAAAUUUAAUAUAAAUGUAUUAGUAAAUUUAGUAUAACUAAUUAAUAAAUUCUAUUAGUAGACAUGUCUAAUUAUUCGUAUAAUUGAUAAUAUUAAUUAUAUUACAUACACUAAUAUAUAUUAUAUAAUACAUCUAACUAAUAAUAUCAUUAUCAUAAGUUUAUAACUAAUUAAAUUACAUAUUAUAUAUAAUUAUAUAUAUAAUUUUUUUUUUGCGGGUGGCGGGGCGGGGGUAUACUCCCCCGCCCCCCACCCCGUUUCUAAACGGGGGGAAAAAAUUCCCCCCCGCCCCCGCCCCAUCCCCCGCCCCGAGAGCCCCCCGCGGGGCGGUUGCCCGCGGGCACCCGCCCCAUUGCCAUCCCUACUUCUCAAGAAAACUUAGGCACUCCUCUUCUUUUGCAAGAAGGAUUUGAAUUUUUUUGAAAAGUACUAAUAUCAUUUUCCAAAUAAAGUGCUUAAAUUCAUUUGCCCAUCAGAAAAACUCAAAGAAAAAGAACAUCAUAUGUAGUAAAUUACGUAAAUUACUUAAAGAAAGAGUGUAAGCAGUUCUACACCGCAAGAAAGGUAGGCAGCAGAGAAAAACUUGAGCUCACUAUGGAAAGAGUUAAUAUCGAUUCCAACGCAAUAGCAAAUUCUAUACUAGUGGAGAAGCACAUCAUUUACAAAAAAAAAAAAAAAAAAACCUCAAAGAAAGGGGAUAGUUGGUAACAUUAGAGAAAGGGGAGAAGACCUGUACAUGGGCAUUUUUGAUCAAAGAGGUGGUCUUGAAUUAAAGAUGCGAAGCACCGAAUGUGUAGUAAAAAAUGGGUCAAGGGCGUUUUUGGUGCAAGAAUUGUCCCACUCUAAUGAUUCCCACCAUUCUUUAUCUCCCAUGAUUUGAAGAAGAGUGUUGGGAAGAGAUGGUAGCCCGUUGAUGUUAGGAAGAAACAAAGGCAGCCUCUUUACCUUUGGACAACCAAAUAUUUUAAUCUCCUUGAUUGAAUCGCAAAUCAUGGCUACCUUGCAAACGUUCUUUAGUUGUGGCAGCCUAUUCAGACUCAAACACCUUAAUUUUGGAAGGAUUACCGUGGCGGUAGCAUCACUUGAAGUCAAUUGGAUGCCUUCUCCUCCUCCUUGUUCUACACCAUUGUCAUCUGCUACUAUCUCCUCCACUCCUUCACAAUCAUUGACAUGAAUUAGUGUUAGAUUUUCAAGAUUCUGUAGCAGCUGCGCUGUGAAUAGUCGCUUCAUUUUGUGACAUUUGUGAAUGGACAACCACGUAAGGGAAGAGAAGGUGCCAGGUUGAAGCAAAUAUGCUUCUGAUUCCCCGAAAAAGAGACCCACUAGAUCAAGCAAAUUCCGGAGGAUCAGAUUUUGCAGUUUUCUUAGUGGACUAAAUGAGGAGUCUGCCUGCUGAUCACGUGGAGCAGGAGCAGAAAAUUGCCAGAGGAACUCUAUUCCAUCCAAACCCCUGAUCUCCAAAGAAGACAAGUCGUUUAAACUUGUAAAAUUCCUAAAAACAUCAGACAAGCACCUAAUGCCCCGGCCAACACAAUCAAUGAGUUCUAGACUUUUUAUAUCACUUGGCAGCAACAACACAGGAUGGUUCAAUCCUCUACCCAAUUUACACUGAUGGAAGUAUAAUCGUUUGUGAUGCCCAAUAUCAUCGGCCGAGUGAACGUAGUCACAAAAAGAUGAAAAGUUAUCAUUGAUAUAAAGAUAAUAGUAUUCUGGCCACCGAGAGAUUUUAUAGGAGUCGGUAAAACAUAAACAUCCUAUAAAACUUUUUAAUUGGUUCAACACUUCUGGAUCAUUAAAUUGUACAGUACCAUAGGGUGACAAUACUAGCCAUUGAAGACGGUGCAAUUCAGAAAAUGUCCCUUUUGGUAUUAUCUUUCGUCUGAAAGACCGACAAUUGCCCAAGUUAAGCCUUUCGAGAUUAACCAAUGACUCUAGACCUUGAGGGAGAUCCUGAAUCUUAGUCCACGAUAGAUCCAAUUCCCUCAAUUGCUUGAGCUUUCCCAGUGGCGGCACAGAUCGGAGGCCUUCACAACCCUUCAAAAUCAAAGCAGUGAGAUUCACCAAGUCUGCAACAGAAUUAGGCAACUCUGUUAUACCUUUGCAUAGUUCUAGAUUCAAAACUUUAAGUCCACACAUGUGCCGAAAGAAUGAAUCAGGAAUUCUUUUUAUGGAAAAAUAAGGAAGAAGCAAGGUUGAGAGCUUAGGACAAUUUGGUGACCAGCUUGGUGGAACUCUUAUUUUUGCACUCAGACUCGAUAUAAAGGAAACUGCACAGAGAUCUUCUGUCCAUUUUUCUUGUUCUAGUAUUAGUAUACUUGAAUCUUGCCAGCCUAUGCUUUUUACCAAGAACCGUGGUACAUCUCCUCUCAUCUUUAGUUUGGAGUUUCCAUUCGUGAUCCUUAAUGCCAUAUCUCUGACCAAAUCAUGCAUCUUCACAUAGUCCUCCCCUGUGAAAUCUGUAAUUUUUUCUAGCAAGCAAACAUUUAUUAGUUUGUUUAAUAUCGUGUGACCUUGAUCAAAUGCUUCUGACCUUGAGUUCCGUUGUGGCAUUAGCUCUGCCCAAAUAAAGAGGUCUACUAGUUGACAGGUGCCGAACCUGUGCAAUAAUAAUUACCUACUCCAGAAAAAUACAGAUUUUGUAUAUAGCGGUGAGCAGGGUCGAAUCCACAGGGACUGGGGAUAGUUCGUUUCUUCUAGAGUUCAAAGUAUGGGGGGGUUUUGGAUUAAAUGCUAACUAAAUAAAUUAACUGCAGAAAAUAAUUGAUUAAGAGAAAUAAUUAAGGGAAAACUCUAGCCAAGGGUACACUUCAGAAAUGGUUCAGGCACUGAUCAUUGAUUCACAGAUAAUUCCACAUUUAUUAAUAGAUUAAUUAUAGUUGUCAUGCACGCGAUAAACAACCAACCUUUCCUUAAUUUCUCGAUAGUUAAGGUACGACCGUUAACUAUUUCUCUAACCCAAAAACAACCCUAGGUACGACCGUAGGAUUUAAUUUCUAGAUUGCAUUAAUAAUUAGAAAGGCCCAAUCCUAACUAGCAAACAUGCUACGAGGGUUUGUUUAAAUUAGAUCGUAUGCUCCCCUGACAUAAAUCCAAUUACGUCAGUUGCUACUAAGAUAGACAUAACGAACAAUUACGGAUUCAAUUACCUCUAUUUAGCAAAAUAGCCUAUAUGAAUAAUUAAUUAUUGCGCACUAAUCAAUCAUACACAAGAGUUAUAACAGUUAAAAGUAGAAACAUAUGAAUACCAAUAAAUGGAGGAAACAAUUAAAAUAAAUUCGAUCUCACAGUAAUUGUUGAACCAAAUCUUCAGUUGUCCCCUUGACUAGAAUUAAGAGGUUAGUCCUCCAUUAAUGGAGAACAACCAUGCGAAAAAGCUAAGAAAAGAAAACUAAAACUAUGCUAAAAAUCUAAACUAAAACUAUUGAUUCCUCCUCUUCUCGUACGUUUCUCCCUUUUUAAAGCCAAAAGGAAGUCUAAUGCUAUCUCUAGUGGUCCCCACACCAAAUUCAAAGUCCAAUUCCAUUUCACAAGCUUUGUACGUUUCUUUCCUAGAGUCCAAAUGACUCAUGCUUCUUAUCCGUGGUCCCCGCACAUGUGGACAAAGCCUCCAAAGUACUUGUUGUUCCAAGUCUCUCUACGUUGCUUUCUUUGAAAAGCCCAAAUGACUAAAUGCCUUGCACUAGCUUGUGGUCCCCACCAAUUCAAGGACCCAAAGGUUGAAGCCCUUAGAAGUCUGCAUUUUUCCAUACAAGUCCCUCCUUUUUGGUAAUUUUCUGGUUCACUUCCUGAAAUUGAGUCCAAUACCAAAUAUAAGUAAAUAUUAAUAAUUAAAACAAUAUUUGGCAAGAAUAAAAGGGAAAAUUAAUAAUAAAAUUACUAACAAUUAACACCCUAUCAAUUCCCCCCACACCUAAAUCAUGUUUGCCCUCAAGCAUGAGAACAACAAUUGAACACCGAAAUUUAAUAAUGGCUAUUGCUCCAACUACCGUAUUGCCAAGAUACCCAGAAAAACAUAUAUCAAGCUUCACAAGUUAAGAUCCAAGAAGAAUCACUCCGGUUAGCUUCCCAACCACCAACUCCUCCAAUUUAAAGCAAACUAAUCUAAGAAAAAGGAAUGGUUGCUCACAUUUAUCAGCAAAUGGUCCAACUAUUAACCAAAAUCUCGACAUUAAGAUCACAAGCUGGCAAGCUGACUUAUUCACAUACUAACACAAUCUUUAUUUUAUUAUUUUUCUCUUUUUGUUUUUUUUUAGUAACAAAAGACUUAGUCUAUAGCCCUUAGAACCUUUUGACGCGAACUCCAACAUUUGACAGAUGGAGGAGCCCGGUUACUCAGCUCCAAUUGCUACGGGACCACGCACUCAUAGCAACUACUACCUUUUGACGCGAAAAUCGACACUUUAGGUGAAGAUCCCCGGUUACUCAGUAGUAACCACUAGUGGAGUACAGUCAACUCUUAUUUAUGAUAACAUAACACAAUAACUAAAAAUAACACCAAAUAACAGCAGCCAGCCUCAAAUUUUCAAAUAUAGAGAACUAAAAUUAAUAACUGGACCAAUUCACAUGAAGAAUGCCAACAAUCAUUCCCUAUGCCUAGAAAAGUUAACCAAAAAUUGAAAAAGUUAAGCAAUUAUUGAUAUUCACCAAAGAGAUGUUCCUGAAUUCAACCACAUCAACUUGAUACCUUUUUAUUAAUAAAACUUGGCAAUAGCAUAAUUAGAGGCAACAAUCCAGCAUCAAAACUUGGUAUUCAUUUAAGGACUGACCACUAGAAAGAAAAAGAAAAGAAAAGAAAAUAAAUGAAAGAUAGGCAAAAACUAACUAAAAAUAAAGGAAAAGCCUUUAGGAACUAAAAACAAAAAUACUAGCACCCCAACUGAUCCCCCCCACACCUAAUCCACACAUUGCCCUCAAUGUGAUAAUGUAAAAGUAGAAGGAAGGAGAGGGGCAAUGGUACUUCCCUGAAGUCAUCAAAACAGGAGUGGGUCAGGCGGAGUGCUGCCAAAAUCUGCGCCAUGUUAUGCAACUUGCAUUCGGAGUUGGACCCAAUCGUUAGCCAAUAGGUGGUCCCCUGCUUAGUCAAAUGCAAUAACAAUGCAUCCCAAAAUCGCAACAAGUGCUCCCAUGAAUUUAUCAAUUGAAAUGAAAAGGACAAAAUACUCCCACACAAGGCAAAUAGAGGCAACCUACUUCAAUAAGCAACGGAAAUGGCACAGGAGCCGUGCAAUGCACCAAUUAAAUGCAAUACACCCCAACCAAAGGCAGCUCAAUAGACUCCAGACAGAAAGUACCAAAUGAUACUCAAUUGACACCAAAAAACGAUCCCAACAAAACAGCAAGAUCGAAGGAUACUCAGUCACAGAUGUUCAAUCAUAUCGAAAUAAGAAAUUGUAAACAAAUUAGCACAACCAGUACCACUGGUGCAUGCACAGGGAAGAAGGGAACCACAUGGCCAAGCCAAUUAAUAAAAUGCACAACUGAGGCACCCUAAAGGCUAGAAAAGUACCCUAACAACACAGCAAAUUGAAUGAAUAUGCGCUGAGUCUCCAAUUCAGUCAAAAUAAGAUCAAGGGGCACGAUACCGAAACUAACAAAGCAGAACUCAAGUGAUACCAACAGGGACCCCAACAGAGCAAUGAAUUCAACCAAUUGGAGCAAGUGAAUGUCACCAAUUGGACAGUCAAAUACCCAAGUCAAACGCUCAAAAUAGCACUUGGGACAAGGAACCAGCAAUUCCAGCAACAACUGAAUAGAAAUUAAGAAAGUUUAAGACUUCUAAGCAAUGCCGCAACCAGUACCACUGGUGCACAGACAGGAAAGAAUUAAAUUCAACGGCAGCAACUCAACCACAAGAACUGAAACCUUAAAAUAAGCAAGUAUCCUCAAAUAGAAGCCACAACGAUAGGCAAAAGAUCUCAACCAGUACCACUGGUGAGUCACGGGGAAAAAUUAAUCAAACAGCCAACAAUGCAAUGAAUAGCAGAAAAUAUCCCCACUGUGGCAGCAAUUCAACCCAAUUCUGUCUAAAAUUGACCUUAGCAAUUGCCCAAACCAAUACCUUCUUCUAUCCAACCAGAAAUCCAGACACAAAUUCCAGAAAUUUAAGCUAAUUGGAGAAGGAAUUACAAUACCUCCACCUGUCGAUUUCUGACAGGUGGUGACGGCGUGGCUGGACAGAAAGGCUCGCGAGGGAGGAGGAGCUGUUGGCGCGCGCGGUUGCUGGCUGUGGGGUGCGCGGGUUGAGGUGAGGCGCACGAGGAGGAGCCGCGCCCUUCGGUGGUAGCUGCGGGAUGGAGAGCGGUAUGGAUAAAGGUGCGGCGCGCGGUCAAAGGCACUGGUGAGUGGAGGUGACGGGGAUGGAGCUUGGAACGGAGGAGCUCGACGAGCUGUGGGUGGACGGCCGUGGCUGGGGAGUUGAUAGGGUCGCACUGCCGCGCGAUGGGGUUGCUCUGUUGGCUGGAGUUGCGCGCGCGCGAGGUGGACAGCAGCAGCGGCGCGGGCUAGUUGGUGGUGGGCAAAGGACAGAACUGGUGGCGCAAGGUGAAGCUUGGCCGCGAGCUGGCAGCUCGCGGGCUGCGUGGGAUGAGCUCAGUGGAGGUUGGAGCUUGGCGGCGAUAGAAUCGGGUCACCACUGGAGAAGGAGAAGGAGAUCGACGAGGGGAGAGUGGUGGCGCGCGGCUGCCGAAGUUGGAGGAGAGCUUGUGGUGGUGGCGAUGGCGUUGGUGGAGUGUGAGCUGCGGCAGCGACGUGAAAGAAAAAGAAAAGAAACAGAGGGAAACAGGGGAGCGGCGGAGAAGAAGAAGAAAAGGAAAGAAAGAAAGAAGGAAAGAAAGAAAGAAGAAAAGAAGGAAAGAAAGAAAGAAGAAAAGAAGAAAAAGAGGAAAAGAAAAAGGGAAAUUUUUUUUUUUCAAAACCUUGUUUCUUCAUUUUUUUCUGAAUUUAUAUUUCAAAAUUCUGAAUUUUUGGAAAGAAAAAAAAAACCUAAGGUUUAAAAGAAAAUUUCUUUGAAAAUGUUUAUUAACUUUUUUUUUUUUUUUUUGGAAUGCAAAGGAACCCAGUCUUAGGCGUAGGCACGCCUAACCACUAUAGCGUCCGCAGAUCCUGAACGAAAAUUUAUUUCCCUCAGGCGUGACCACCUGGCGUGGGCACGCCUAACUGCUAUAGAGUCCGCAGAUCCUGAACGAAAAUUUCUUUCCCUCAGGCGUGACCACCUGACGUGGGCACGUCUAACUGCUAAUUUCCUGCCACCAAGCACCAAACUAUUAAUUGACGCUAACACUUAACUAAAACUUCAAAAAUGCAUGAAAACUGAAACAAAUAGUCUUGGGUUGCCUCCCAAAAAGCGCCUUUCUUUAAUGUCUUUGGCUAGACAUGCUAUGCUUGUUCACGGAGGAUAAAAUCUUGUGGCUCGCUUCAAUGUUUCAUCUUCAAUAUGAUCCUGGUAACCCUCAUAGAUGGAGUAAUCUUUGAGCACACGAGAUAUGAUUUUCCAUGGACUAGUUGAUGGCGCCAAAUAAUCAAGCAUUGAUCGCAAUUCUUCAUCCACUCCUCCAUCAAGAGCCUUCGACGGUUCAAGAUAUUUGACCAUAGCUACUCUUAACUCAUUCCUGCCAUGAGACUCAAGAACUUCCGGUAUAACAAAAUCAAUCUCAUUAACAGAAAUCAUAGGGUAAGAGUUAAGAAAAUGCAGGUUAGGGGAUGGAGGUGGUGUCACCACAUUUGAUGAUUCUUCACUGGAUUCUUUCACUUGAAUGGGUUGCGGUUGGGGUUCCAUUUCUUCAUUUUCGGCUUCUUUUCCAACUGCAUCUGUAGAUUUCUCAUUUUGACACUCUUGCAGCUCCUCAUCACCAGUCAAGCAAAUUGCACUCUCGUUUUCUUCUAGAUCAACAACGGCUUUCGAGGGCAAUUCUUUCAUUUGAGAAGCCAAUCGAUGCAUUCUGGAUGUCAAUAGACAUAGUUGAUCUGCCAGAUAACUCAUUGCAUCCUGCAUCAUCUCAUUCCCCAUUUGUGUCUCCUGUUGGAAUUGGUAUGUGUUAGUAGCUAUUGGUUCAACUAUUCCUUCAAGAGACAUACCUGACAUAAAUGACGAUUCUUGAAACUCAUACUGCUGAAAAUUCAGUGGCCCUGUUGUAUAAUUAUAAUUGGAGUUAUUCCACCAUUCUUGAUCAUACCCGUUUGGAUUAGGGUUAUACCACGUUUAAGACCAGGGUGAAAAAUCUCCAUAAUUAUUGAGUGGGACACUCAGAUUAUCUUGAUAUUCGGGGCACAUACUGGUUGAAUGAUCCCUGGCAUAACAAAUUUUACAGGUUGCAGCAGCCAUUCUUUUUCUAAUAGAGUUUAGUGCCUCUAAGUAUGCAGAUUUAGCGAAAAAACUAGUCGCAUCGCCUUUCCCGGAAAUAAAAUCCAGUAUCUCACCAAAAUACGAAGUGUUAGACGCCAUAGAAAAAUAAGAGAAAAAUAAAUUAAAAAUGAAAACAAGGUGAACUCAAAAAGAAACAAAUUAAUCUGACACCAGUCCCCGGCAACGGCGCCAAAAAUUGACAGGUGCCGAACCUGUGCAAUAAUAAUUACCUACUCCAGAAAAAUACAGAUUUUGUAUAUAGCGGUGAGCAGGGUCGAAUCCCCAGGGACUGGGGAUAGUUCGUUUCUUCUAGAGUUCAAAGUAUGGGGGGGUUUGGAUUAAAUGCUAACUAAAUAAAUUAACUGCAGAAAAUAAUUGAUUAAGAGAAAUAAUUAAGGGAAAACUCUAGCCAAGGGUACACUUCAGAAAUGGUUCAGGCACUGAUCAUUGAUUCACAGAUAAUUCCACAUUUAUUAAUAGAUUAGUUAUAGUUGUCAUGCACGCGAUAAACAACCAACCUUUCCUUAAUUUCUCGAUAGUUAAGGUACGACCGUUAACUAUUUCUCUAACCCAAAAACAACCUUAGGUACGACCGUAGGAUUUAAUUUCUAGAUUGCAUUAAUAAUUAGAAAGGCCCAAUCCUAACUAGCAAACACGCUACGAGGGUUUGUUUAAAUUAGAUCGUAUGCUCCCCUGACAUAAAUCCAAUUACGUCAGUUGCUACUAAGAUAGAGAUAACGAACAAUUACGGAUUCAAUUACCUCUAUUUAGCAAAAUAGCCUAUAUGAAUAAUUAAUUAUUGCGCACUAAUCAAUCAUACACAAGAGCUAUAACAGUUAAAAGUAGGAAACAUAUGAAUACCAAUAAAUGGAGGAAACAAUUAAAAUAAAUUCGAUCUCACAGUAAUUGUUGAACCAAGUCUUCAGUUGUCCCCUUGACUAGAAUUAAGAGGUUAGUCCUCCAUUAAUGGAGAACAACCAUGCGAAAAAGCUAAGAAAAGAAAACUAAAACUAUGCUAAAAACCUAAACUAAAACUAUUGAUUCCUCCUCUUCUCGUACGUUUCUCCCUUUUUAAAGCCAAAAGGAAGUCUAAUGCUAUCUCUAGUGGUCCCCACACCAAAUUCAAAGUCCAAUUCCAUUUCACAAGCUUUGUACGUUUCUUUCCUAGAGUCCAAAUGACUCAUGUUUCUUAUCCGUGGUCCCCGCACAUGUGGACAAAGCCUCCAAAGUACUUGUUGUUCCAAGUCUCUCUACGUUGCUUUUUUUGAAAAGCCCAAAUGACUAAAUGCCUUGCACUAGCUUGUGGUCCCCACCAAUUCAAGGACUCAAAGGUUGAAGCCCUUAGAAGUCUGCAUUUUUCCAUACAAGUCCCUCCUUUUUGGUAAUUUUCUGGUUCACUUCCUGAAAUUGAGUCCAAUACCAAAUAUAAGUAAAUAUUAAUAAUUAAAACAAUAUUUGGCAAGAAUAAAAGGGGAAAUUAAUAAUAAAAUUACUAACAAUUAACACCCUAUCACUAGUUCCUCUCUUUUUAUAUAACAAUCUUCCGGAUAAAGAGAGCAAUACAAGAAGCAUUGCCUUAAACAUCCAUUCAAGCGAUUGAAACUCCAUUCUAAGAUGGGAAACACAUCUCGUUCCAUCUCAUCAUGCCCUACCGAACAUGCUUUCAAUUGUUCCAAUGCAUUUCUCCACUCACAGACGUUGAUCACGCCUCUCAUGCUCCCAGCCACUGUGAUAAUACCAAGAGGCAAACCAGCACACCUUUUUGCUACAGACUUGGCAAUUUCUUCCAUCUCUCCAUGAAGCACUGUCUUAGGGUCAAGUGUAUGUUUGAACAAAUCCCAAGCUUCAUUUGUAGCCAAAGUUUUAGCUUCAAAUACCCUUUGACAGCUAAUCCUGUUGCAUAAUUCCAGUGACCGAGUAGUCAAGAUCACUCUGCAUUUGUUUGCACCAAGGGGAAUUCCAAUCUUUUCAAAAGAAAAUUCUUGCCAAACAUCAUCGAGUAUGAGGACGGACUGCUUCACCAAUGCCCUGGACAAAAUGGCUGCCCUGCUAUCCUCAUCAUCCUCAUGUGACAGAUCAAGCCUUAGGCGUUUAGCAAUGUCAUCUUGCAGCCUUUUGAUGCUGAAUUCUUGAGAGACAGUAAUCCAAUAAACCUUGAAUUGAGUUCUCUCAAGGAGAUGAUUAUGGAUGUGUUUCGCCAAUGUAGUCUUACCCACACCGCCCAUCCCAUAAAUCCCAAUGUUUGAGAUGCUAUCGAUGACCAACCACGCCCAGAUUGCUUCAAACCUCUGUCAAACAUUUCUCCAAAUAAUUUCGUUGUCACUCGUGGCUCACCUCUGCUCUCAAAAGCCUCAAGCAAAAGCCCAUCAAAAUGAUUACUUUGCUCAAUAAGGUCUUCUACAAUUGCAUCCAUUUUCGCCACUCUAUCCCCACUGCUAAUUGCAUUUUCUAGAAAUCCACCCUCUUGUAUGCUCUUUUUCAAUGCACCGAAUUCAUUUUCUACUGUUGCUACCUCCUCAAACCAAAUCUCAACCUCCCUUUUCCUUUUCUUAGUACCUGAUCUUUCUCCAUUCGUCACUUGCAACUCGAAGUCAGAUUUUCUGCCGCCUAAUCUUUGCAACUUCCUUUCGAGUGACCUAAGAUUAUCAUCCAAAUUGACGUACCUCCUUCCUCUGUCUAAUGCCAAAUUCCCAAGUGCCUCCAUUGUUAAUUUCUAGUGAACUCCCUUACCUGUUUAAGUGACAAAAGAAUCUCUAAAAAGUCUAGCUAUCAACCGAUAACGUUGUUCAACAAAGGCAGCAUAAGAAUCAUGAUGUUCCUGUGGAAAAUUUUGAAAUAGGGCAUUUCCAAACUUAGUUUGACAAAUUUGAACCCAGUGAGUACACUAUACAAUUAGCCGUUUAAUGUUGGAUUCUACAUAAUGGUAUCCUCAACUUUUAAUCAACGUUUCAAUGAUGCAAAGGAAUUAAUACUUAGGAUUUUCUUUUUGCAUUUAUUUUUGAAUUUGGGCAUCAUCAAUAUUAAGAUGAAAAGACUUUUUAUCAUAUCCAACUGUUUAUCAAAUACAACUUCUAUUAUACGAUAACCUUCUUGGCUGAAUGAAAUGUUCAUAAAGGAUAAUGAUGUUGUUAAGCACAAAUAUUCCUGUACAUAGUACUCCCUCCGUCCCACUUUGAUAGUCCUGAUUUUUUUUCCUCACAGUUUAAGAAAAAAUAGUUAACUUUGUUAGAACAAUCAAUUUAGGUAACUAUUUUCCUAAAAUACCCUCGCAUUAAUUAGAGUACAACUUUAUGGGAACUUGAAUUGAUGGUAAAAAAAGAAUCAACUCUCAUUAAAUGGGGUAGGUUUAUAGUAACAAUAACUUACAUUGAAUAAGGAUAUUUUAGAAAAAUUAAAAUAUAACUGCAUUUUUCAAUUGAAAAGUGAACUACAAUUUGGGACAGACGAAAAAGAAAAACAGGACUAUCAAAGUGGGACGAAGGGAGUACUAUUUUUUGGGUACAAGUGUUUCUUCUCACUCACAAAAUUCUUCUUUCUCUUAUUUGAGGCAAAUGACCUCUUAAUUAUUUUUUGAUAAAAAAAGUUUUAGAUCCACGGGAGUGUAUGUCGAAUUACUCACAUUACUCGACGAAUUUACAGACGUAUAGGCACAUUAGAUAUCACUAACAAAGAACUUUCGAGUCUCAACCUUUUGACCAUUACCUCCUUAUUGUGUCAAACGAAUUUUGCUAAUUGACUAUAUUUUUCCUAUUAAUAUUACUCUCUUUCAUUUUUGCCCUCAAAGACGUUUUUCUCUUUCCUUUGAGGGAUCUGUACACCUCAAUUAAUCAGGGAGAAGGGGAUCUUCAUGAUCAUUGAUAAUAAAAUAUAACAUCAUGGUAAGCUCUAGAACUUACCAAGCUAGUCCAAACAUUUGUCUUCUCUAAAGAAUUGAUAACAAAAAUUUUGCAACUACAAUAACGUCCGAAAUUCUUGCCAAAAAAUGUCAAUCAUGUAAAGAGCUUGGAGAGAGCACUCCAUGUGUUGAAAGAAAACGGGAAAAAAAUAGUUUUCAAGAUUUUUGGGCCUCAGAAAUCUAAAUAUAACAUGAUGAUUUGAGAAACAAUCACAAAAAUUUACAAAAUCAAGAUCAAAUAUGAUAUCGUGAAGGACCUUGAAAUCAGGUCAAAUUAUGUUGAAGAAAAUGAUAACAGCAAGACUCUAUCAAAAGGAAAAAGUUUGCAUUAUAUUUAUAUCUAGCUUUCACUACUGCUAAUAACACGAUGAAAUAAGAGAAAACUGCAAAAGUUACAAAAUUCAGAUGGAUAUGAUCUCAUCAUACCUGAAAUUGGCAAGAAAACUUGAAGAAGCUGAAAACCUUGUGACUCUGCCAAAAGUAUGUAUUAUGAUUGCUGAGUACUGAGGAAAGGAUGGUAAAAGUUGACUGAUAGCAGGCCACCAAUGACUUUAAUGGUUACUGGAAUUGCAGUAAUGUUUAAUAGCGAGCCCUCGUGAAGGAAUGUCAAAAGAAAGGCUGCUGGAAUUGCAAUAAUGUUAAAUACGUCGACUAUCAACCAAUGUACUUCAGGUUAGUUGGCCACCAUAUAUAAUAUAAAUGUAAUUCUGGCGGCAAGUUAGUUACAUCCAAAGAAUUGUACUUCAUAUUUUUUAAUCCAAAGAGUACAUUGCAACUCUAAUGAAUUGCAUCUACUUUUAAAAGUUAUAUUAUACUUCUAUAUGCAACCAUGUUAUCAAUUUUUAAUCAGCUUCUUCGUUUCUGUGCUAGCUUUAUUCAGCAUUUAAUGUGAAUUUCUUUUGUAUCAAAUUUUGGAAAUUUUAAGAAUGUCAAUAAGAAUGAAUUUGGUGCUAAAAAAUUUUGUUUCUAGUCCUUGUGUCAGACAACAUUAUGGGUAAGGUUGGAAUAUGGCUGUAUAUCUAUCUUUUUCUUUAUUUGUUAAUCCAAUUUUUGAUUUAAUCCAGGAAGAAUAUAUGUUCAUUCAUACCAAAAUGUUAUGUCUUUUUAAAAUAACUAUUGAUCGUUCUAGAAUGUAAAUGAAUUCAGGAAAAUAUAAAUUCACAAUAAAAUCAAUAGAAAUUUAAUAAAUAAAAAUAUUAAAGUUAUAUAAAAAAUGAAAAAAAUUUAAAGGAAAAAAAAUAUAGAAAAUAGAUUUGGAUAUUGGGCGGGAUCAAUCUAAACCCAUCCCAAAGUGAUCCCGCCCAAGUUAGUCCCAAAACACAUAUGGGUAGGGUUAAAUUCAAACCCAUAUAAUUCGGUUCCAUUUCGAACCCAAGCAAAUCCCGUCCAACCCGCCUAUUUUGCCACCUCUAAAUAGAGAUUACGCAUACAUGUUGAUGUUAUAUAAUUCUCAGAUAAAUUGAUCGGUAGAAAAAUCAAACUGAUCGCAACUUAGCUUAAGCUUUCAAACAUAAGCAUAAGGCAUGAGAAAGCAAUGCUGUCACGAUUGCUUUUUCAUUUUGAUAUAAAACUUUGAAAGGGCUUUUCUUGGGUUUUGCUAGUGAACACAUUUUUCAAAAUUUAGUUGGAAUGAGCCUUUUAACAACAUAAGAUCAAUUAGUCAAGGGGGAAGCAAGGAUUCUUUGCGGGAUGAGCUGCUAGUAUAGUCGUUCAAGUGGGCACUUAGAAGGAGCAUAGAUGUUGCAGAUGAUUUGCUUUUCAGUUUUCAUCAUUGCAUGGACAAUUAAAAAAUUAAAAGCUCCACCGCCGAAAGGGCAAAGACUUGGCCAUUGACGACAUUGUCGAGAGGAAAAAUCCAGGAAGUUGCAUGGGGGCUUUUCAAAUAUUAUUGAAAGUGAAAUUAUUUAUGGAAGGCAACUAGUGUGGGUUUGAACUUUGAAGUGUGGAGCCUUAAAGCUCCCUCCGCCUCUGCCCAGCUACCCGAGCAUGUGCUUCCGUGGGUGUCCACUAGGGGUGGCAAUUCGGGUCCAAAUCAGGUUGGCGGGUCGGGUUCGGAUCAACCCGUCAGACAAUCUGUUGACCCGAACCCGAUCCGUCAAUCCGUGACGGGUCAGGUAUGCUGAUCCGAACCCGAAAAUUUCAGGUUGACGGGUUGGCGGGUCGACCCGAAACUUAAUUUUAAUUUAUUAAUUUAUCACUGUAAUUUCUAAUAAAAUCAAUUUCUCACAAAACUAAUUACAUAAUCAAGUAAUAAAAAUUUAAAUAAAUAAUUCCAAACCAAAUCUAAAAUAAAUUAAACACCGUAAAAGUGUUUUAUCCCAAACAAAAUAUAAAUUAAAUUAAAACAGUAUAAAAGUAAAAAAUAAUAUAAUAUAUUAUUUGUCCAAAUAUAAUAAUUUCAACUUCACACAAAUUAAAUAAAUUCAUUUAGGAUUAAGUAAUUAAUGCCUUUGAAAAAAAGAAUAACUUGGUUUAGUUAGAUAAAAUUAUUUUUAUGUUUAUUAAAUUAUUUUUAAUUCGUAAACGGGUCAUAUCGGGUCAUAUCAGGUCACCACGGGUUGACCCGAAAUCGACCUGUUUUCUUUUCGGGUUCAUCGGGUCCAACCCGAUUCUGACCCGAAUUCCCGAAACCUCAACCCAAACCCAUUAAUUUCGUGUUAGAUUCGUGUCGUGUUUUCAGGUCGUAUCGAAAAUUGCCACCCCUAGUGUCCACUACUACUUUUAUUUUUUAUUUGCCUUUAUAUACGCAUGCGCGCCCAUACACAAUACUGAUAAUAAAUUUACUAAUUAUUUUUUUGAAUUUUUAGUCAAUAAUUCAACAUGAAAUAAAGUUUAAAAAUUAUUUUGAUCUUUGUGAAUUCAGUUCUUCAUAUUUAAUUUUAGAAAAAAUCUAAAUCAAUUAUCAUUAUUUUUUUUAAUAAACAACAUGCCAUAUAUAUAUAAAAGUAAUCUAACAUAAGAAAAAUCCUUUUACCAACUAAAUAAACAAGAAAUAUUGCAUUAUUUUACCACAAUUUCAUAUUAUAUAUAUAUAAUCAUAUAAUGCUUUCUAUUUUAUGUUCCACAAAUAUAUGUCAUUAAAUUAUAGGCGGGAUAAGAACUGGGGAUAAGGUGAGGUUUCCUUCCCCGUUCCCCCAUCCCAUUUAAAGUGGAGGGAGAAAAAUGGCCCCUAUCUCUCCUUCCCCUGUCCUAACUGCUGCCUUCGUUGCCAUUUCCAAAAUUAUUAGGUGAAAUUAGAAUGAAAUAUCUGCGAGUGUUUUAGCCCAUAAUUGUAUCCAUACUCUUUUCCCCUUGCUAAAACACUCGCAGUGUCAUUAGAAGCAACCACAAACAAAAAGGGCAAGAAGAAGAGAAAUCAUCAUGGAAAUUAAUUCCUACUUUACAGCCAUUGCCACAUUUUUCAAAGUUUUACUUCAAAAUUGAUCAGAUAUCUAUUAAUUUUAUCAUCAACUGCGGUUUUCCCUAUUCUCCUGAUUAACAUGCAUAGCUUCACUUGUCCUUGUACAUGAAAGUUAUCAUGGUUAAUCCGACGAGCGGAGGAGGAGGAAAGUUACCAGUGGAUAGCGAGAAAGUCUUUGGAAGAUAGCUGACAAAAAUACUUUUUGACCUUUUUCAAUUUAAAGGAAUGGUUGCUGUAACAAUUUUGAAUACAAGGAGAGUCCCUAUUCCUUGAGCUGCCCUUUUGCCACUUCACAUUUUUUAGAGCAUAAUGGAAAUGAAGGCUUAUUUGAUUCCAAACUCACAAUUAAACUGGAAACAAGAAUCAAUUUAUUUCUUGUGAGCCAUAGGAUGUCCAUUCAUCUAUAACAUGCCAAUAUUUUUCAUGGGAUUCGACUGCAAUAAUUUGGGUACUGUAAUCUUUUGAUUGUUAUCAUUUUUGAGUGUCACAAUUCACAAGACAUAUUAGCUUUGUACUGUACACUUAUUAUCUGUUGCAAAAGCAGAGUGUCAUUUACUACAUGUCAAGCACUAGAUUUUCCUACCUGAUUGAUUUCAAUUUGUAAGCAACUGCUAUAACCUCUGUCGUGUGAGCAGAUUCAUUGUGGCAAUCUCAUUUUCAUGUAGCUAGUUUCUUAAGUUUCAACAGAAGUUAGUGGAAUAAGAAGCAAACAUAUAUUUCCUCAGCUUUAUUUUGUCUGAAACUUAUACUUACCUCUGUUCAGCUAUACUGAUGUUCGCCUUGUCCAAUAAAAUGCUCCAUUCUUUGAGGUGACGGUAAAUGCUAUUAGGAAGUUAGGUAAAUAAGCUUGUUCUAUUUAUUAAUUCUACUGAACUCAAGAAGAUAAUUGAAACAAAUUCUUAUCCGUAUUAACUUGCAUCUACCACCCUAACCCAAUCAAAAGAAUUUAACUAAAGAAAUAUCAGUUGAUUGUUAGUGAUAUGACUGCUUGAAAUGGAAAUUAUGAUAAAGGGCGCAGAUAGAAAAGAGUUUAGAUUGAUACGAGUAAAAUGACAUAUUUGGAGAACCCCCAAAAAAAAAACAGAAAAGGAAAAAAAAAAACAAAAACAUUUGGAAUGACUUUUCUGAGGAAAGGAGCAAACAAGAGAACCUUCAAUACUAGGGGGGAAAAAGAACAUGGAGAUAAGCUCAUAUGUGGAAUAAUAUAGGAACAGAAUUUAAUUUGAAAAUAAACAAGAAGAAAGAAAGAAAGAAAAAUAAAAUAUUUAAAAUUCACGAAAACCGUUCAAUUCAUUCAUUCUUCAAGGGUUGUUAGAAUAUGUUGGCAUUUGCCGCGUAAAAGUGAUUUUCUCCUUCUGCCUCUUCACAUGGGUUAGAUACUAAUAUCAUUUUUCAUGGUUUCUUAAGAAACCUUGGAAGUCUCUUGCAUGUGAAGAUGACUAAUUAAUUGUAGCCUAUACUUUUCUACUUCUUAGCUUGUAAAAGUAAAUCUUGAUAUAAUCAUUAAUCACCAAAGUUUAAAAGUGAUAUAAUUUGUUGUACUGAUAAAAUAUUUGUUGUUGUAUUUUUUUUUGUGUAAUUUAGGGUUUUGGACAUGUUGUUAGACUCCUUCGUUGCAGGCAAUUAUUGUAGAUAUUAAAGGAGAUUAUAUGUAUCAACAUUAUGCAUGGUAAAACAAGAAUGUAGUAUCAAAACUAUAUAGAUAUAAAACCAUAAUUUGGUGCGGUGUAAAUCUUCUAUGCUCGUUUUGCUUUUGUUUCAUCUUUUCGUUUUGAAUUUUGUCACAAUGAAGAUUUAAUUAACUUGGUCAUAAUUCCAUGAAAUCUUAACUUUUGGACUUUUAGUCAUUUAUUGGUAUGGCGGUGAUUGUAAUUCUUAGACUGAGCUUGAUUUUGGGGAUUAAAGUCUUCAGAUUUCUAAUUGAAGUUGCUAUUAGUCAUAAUAUCCUAUUCAAGGCAGGCCUCCAGCAGGAUUUCAUCAACUUAGGGGACUAAGUAUUGUGUAUCCUUAUUUCCUAGUAUAUAACAAAUUAUCAGUUAGUGUUGGACACAUAAACAAGUUAGGGUUGGAUUAUACCUUUAAUCCUCUAAUUUUUCUUGACUUCAAGUAUUUCCUGCUCUUGCUACUUUAUUCGACAUGAUGCAGCAACAAUUUUUUGGGAACUGAGAAGUACAGCUGAAAUAAUUCUCAUUAUAUAUGGAACUACCUGGGAUCUAUAAUGAUAAGAUUGCUUUGUUUUCCUUCUUAAAUGAUACUCAUUAGUCAUUACAAUCUUGUUCUCUAACUUAAAUUGGUGAUAUCAAAAAGAGGAACAGUAAAAAAGUUAAACAAAAAGUGCACGGUUCUGGGGGAUUCUUUUUGUCUUUUUUUUUGUUGGGGGGGGGGGGGGGGAAGAGAGUGGGAGGGAGGAAAAAUGAAAAAGUUGGUUUUAAAUGUUUUUCUGGUUAUCAUUACAUAGAAUUAAUUAUCAGACAAUCAAUUUCAUAAUAAACAAUCGGUACAUUUCUUGAAGGUGAGGUAGGGCAUCGAUAAAAUUUGUGAUUGAAGAUGAAGAUUCUUAUAUCCUAUACCCUUGUUUGGAAUUGUUUUCUUAAAUUUGGUGCCUAGAAAUUUAAACUCCAAUUCAUUUGAGCAUGUGGAUUUUCAUAGAACCAUGGAGUUUUCACUAAAGGAAAUGAUUAGGCAAACACAAACUUUAAUUAUUAAAUUGUUGGUGCAAUUAAUCUUUUUUAUAUUGUAAGGUAGAGACACAAGAAGACUGAAAAUAUGACCAAUCAUUUCUAAUCUAAUAAUCUUUCACAAUGUUUAUCUACACUAGUGUUCAAGAUACACACGAAUGUGUGUAUAACUAAUAAAAGAAAUUUGUGCCAAAUUUUUUUGAUAAUUUUUUAAAUCAUUUUCAAGAGAUUUAGUUUUAUGUUAUAAUAGUAAAUAUGUAGAAAAUUCACUGAAAUAAAAUGUAUAAACAAAUAAUUAUUUAGUAUAAUCCAUAACCAUAAUUGAUAGCUGCUAAUAAAAAUUAUGGUUUAUUAAAUAAGUUGAAAAAUAAAAUAAUAAGAAAUACAUAUUAAUUGGAAGAAGGAUAUAUUAAAAGUUGGAAGUGAGUAGUUUUUAAGGAUAAUUUAAGAAAAACAUAAAGUAACACCAAAAAGUUGACACCAAACCCCUCCAUCUCCCUUUAUAUGUAGUGUAGAUACAGUUGAAGUAAAUUAGCAAAAUCAAUUUUUAAGUUAACUUUUCAUGCUAAAUUUUCCUCAACAAAAAUUUUUCAUCCUUAAUUAUUCAAUAGAACCUCCAGGUUUUGUAUAAGCAGGAAAUGGGAGUGGGGGAAGAUUUGGGACUCAGCUCAAAAUGGCUUCUCAUGAUGACGGGUAAACAAUCUUUCUACCACUAAACUCUGUUUGGGCCUUGGUGCCGAACUAUUUGUUUAAUUAUUUCACACAUUCAUAAAAGAUUCUGAUAUGUAGCAAUUGGUCAAAAGCGGACAAGCCCAAAAAGUAGACCAAGAGCAGAUGGGUUUUCAUGAAAUUUCCCCAAGCAAGUCCUUGUCGAGUAUGACUCCCAAGUUAGCUAGGACCGCGAAACUUACUACACUCCUUUAAGAAAAACUAUGUUUUGAAACUUGGAUCAUUAAUUUAAUCGGUGAGUGACAGGUGUCGAACCUGUGCAAUAAUAAUUACUAAAAAGUCCUAAUUACCACAUCAAUUAAGUAAUUAUAGAACAAAUCCAAGUACUGGAGCAGGGACCCUAGGUGUGCAAUGGGUUACUUGAUUCACUCUGUUCUCGAAGAGUUUGCUUGAUCCGAUAUACCGGAUUUGUCUAUAAAAACACUAAUUUUGCGUACAAUGGCAAGUAGGGUCGAUUCCACAGGGAGCAGGUAGGAAAUUAUUUCUUUCCAAAUUAGUAGAACGAAAUUGGGGGAUUUUCAAUGGGAGACAAAUAAAAAUAAAAUAAAAUAAAACAAACAAAAUUCAAAACUAACUCACAAAGCACAAUUCACUAAAAAUAGCAAUUAAUAAAAGUUCUACCCAAAGGAUCAACUGCUCAGGCACGGUCCAAUUAAAUGCUCAUCGAUGCAAAGAUAUUCCAUCCAUUUAUCACUAGGACAACCAGUUCUUCCUUACCUUUCCGACAGUCAAGGUACGACCAUUGACUGCUUCCCUCAUCAGAUAACAACUCUAGGUACGACCGUAGGAAUUUAAUUAUCCAAUUGCAUUAAAGUUAGAAGAACCCAACCCUAACCAAUAAACACGCUAAGAGGAUUUAUUUAAACUAGAUCCUGUGUUUCCCCAUCAUAAAACCAAUUAUGGUGGGUGCCACGGGGUGUUAAUUAAAUGAACAAUUACGGAUUCUAUUUAAUUAACGUGGCAGUAGGCUAUUAAAUUAAAUCAAAUAUCCGGCCGUUGAUAUUCAAUUAAUAAAAUACCCAUGAACAAUUAAUUCAGGAAACGCACGAAUAGCAAUAAACUGGGAAAAAUAAUGAAGAUUCGAUUAGAUCUCACAGAUAUUAUGGAUCGCGCCCUCGCGUCAACCUUUGGGUAGAGGAGAAAAUUAGCCGCUUCUCAUCAUGUCAAGCUCACGCGAUUUAAUUGAUUUCAUCCACGCAAACAUCACAGAAUUUGGAACGAUGAAGCACUGAAGAAAGGAAAAAUGAAAAGUCUCGCUUGACUCUGCGCGGGGGCCCGUACUGGAUUCCCCAAGUUCAAUGCCAAAACUCACGGAAAUUGAAUAGAUCCGAAAGUGAAAAGCAAAAGAGUCAGACGCAAAUGCCAAAAGCAAGGGAAAGAAAAGUCUUCUCUGUCAGACCCAUUCGGCCGAAAAAAAGAAAAGCUAAAGCUACCUAAAUUCUAUUGUAAUUGUUGCCGAAUAAGAAAGAAACAAAAGCCAAAGAAUGGCGGCUGACAAGGAGUAGUCAAAGGAAAUUAUAAAAAAUACUAAAAGCUAAGGUCUUCAUGAUGCCUUGAAUCUUGCUUUCUUUCCUUUCUUAUAGCCGCCGCAGAGAAGUCAAGAAGAAAACAGACGUCUGGCCCAAUUGAUUGCAACAAAAGCUAGCUUUUGGAGUUUGAAUCCCAUGCUCCUCGCGGUUCACGUGGACCACGGUCCGUCUUUUCGAUAGCGUAGACCUUUUGUGGCGUGGUCACGCUCUGAGACGAAAAGUCUUCUGGAAAUUUGCCUCGCGAGAUCAUUUUUAAUGCCGAACACCUAUAAUUCAUGCAAAUGUGAGAUAUGAGUUAAACCUCAGUACUUAGCACAGUAAAUAGUCAAAAUUAGGACAAAAUAACACUGCAAAAUGUGCCAAAUAACUGCUCUAUCAAAUCCCCCCACACCUCGACAAUGCUUGUCCUCAAGCAUUCCGGAGCUCAGAAAUACAAUUAAGAGAGCAGAGGGUAUGUAAUAGUCUAUACUAGCACAAGCAUCUAAGGUCCCUGACAAUAUCGCCGAGAUUAGAACACACCGGACAGGUUGUAAUUCAAAGAAGAUAUGUAAAUACUAGGAACCCUCAAAUCAACAUCACGGAAUGCCAUUACCAUAGGCUUGCACAUUUAUCACAUCUCCACCACUUAAAAGUGAACUAAACACAUAGAUCAAAGGGACUUUAAUAGGGUUGUAAUGGGGCUCAGGUGAAAGGCGGGUUAAGAAGGUAUAGAUAGGGGGUAAAGUGUCAAGAGAAUGUCCGAAACUCACCAAUAACCACAGUGCUUACCGGAGGAGUUUCACUAACAAGGUAGUUUCCAUUUGUUGUACACCCUGUCCAAGUGCCCCAAAAUUUUUUCCUUUUUUUUUUUUUGGAGAGAACUGCCCGCAAGGCGUGGGCACGCCUUGUAGGGCAUGGUCCUCUGGUCACGAGGUCUCUUCAGUUUUUUUUUUUUUUUUUUUUACAAGGGAGAAAGUCCUGCAAGGUGUGGGCAUGCCCUGUAAGCCAAAGUUUUCUGGUCAGUGGCCCUUUUUUCAAUUUCUCCCCUUUAUACAAGGAUAGCAUCAUAUAACUCCAAAUCUAACAACACUUGCAACUCCAAAUUCAUUUGCCUUGCUCAAAUGAUGAAAUCCAGACAUCUCUUGACAACACAGGGGUAAACAAGAAAGUUUAAAGAGGUCUCGGGUUAACAAACACGGAUAACAACCAAAAGCGAAGGAUAAAAGCUCAAAUUGGUUCACUAUUGGGAGAUAAGAUGAGGGCUUGAUUUUUUUAGGUAGCUGAAGAGGGUUAAAUCCUAAAUGCCCUUAUCAUUUCAAAUGCAUCCAAUUCAACAAAAAUGUGGCAUCGACAUGCAUAAACUAGUAAGUUCUAGAAUGUCAAUACCAUGUGUGAUACCACUCAAUCAAACAACAUAGAGCAAGCAAGAAUAAUAUGCUCAAGCAAGGGUCAAAAACUCCCCAAAAGUUACAAGAAUGGGUCAAUUCCUGCAUAUUCAACACUCAACGACAUUGCCAAGAAAAACAGAAUGCACAGCUAGCAUAUUUACCCACAUAUCCACACACCUUGAUUGUGUCAUUUAUCACAGCAACAUGCUCCAACAUUAACAAGCAUAGAAAUAAACAAACUACAAUGUUUUCUUUUUUUUUUCAUUUUUUUUGAGUAACAAAGCAAAAAGAAAUAAUGGAACCCACUCCCCCACACCUAAAACCUACAUUGUCCUCAAUGUAGAAAAUACAAAUGAAGUAUUAGGAGAAAAGAAAAGAAACUUCCCUGACCACCGGGGAGGGAAAGUGAGACACUAAGGCGGAGGAGGUGAGGCGGGGUGAAUCCAAUGUGAGCGAAGAAGGCCGCCUGAUUCUCUGCCUAAAUGCAGGCAAAGAGAAAGGCCGCGUGCUGCUGGAGGAGGACCGCGUGCACGGGCAGGGCGCAGAGGCACGCCUGGUGCGUUGGUGGACGAUGGCAAGCUAGGGCGGUGCAGAGGAAGGUGGCGGCGGCCUCCACAAACAAGAAAAGAGGAGAAAGAAAGUGAAAUCAAGACUAACAGAGAAAUUGGAAGAAUACUUGCUCAAUCCAACGGACAGUGACAGGAAUAGGGGGGACAAAGACAAGAGAAGAGUGGAAAAGUAAGGUCUUGGUCAAAAGCCCUCUUUUUCUUUGACUUUCGUUAUCGGAAGGGUUGGAAGGCGCGGGCACGCCUUGAAAGUUAUAGUGUUCUGACCGUCAAUUCCAAAACUUCAUUCCUUAGGUGUGACGACCUAGCGUGGGCAUGUCUAACUGCCAACUUCCUAUCACAAAAUAACAACCCACUAAAUGACACUAACACUUAACAAAAACUUAAAAAAUGUAAGAAAACUAAAACAAAAGAAGCCUUGGGUUGCCUCCCAAGCAGCGCUUUUCUUUAAUGUUUUUGGCUAGACAUAGCACCACUCUUUAGUCUGGAUGUAAUUGAAUUUUCCUUGUAAUUGGUGGCUUUCCUCCGGGAUCCACAUGGCCAUUGAGUGCAACUUUUUUCCUAAAUUUUCUCUCCAUUUUUACCUCAUGAAUUUCUUUCAUCCUAUAGGACUUGUUCGCAGCAACCUUGAAUUUACCCCUAUAAGAAAAUUUAGAAAAUUCUUGCACAGAGGGAUUAGUGGUAUACAUAGCAAACACAGAAUGAGAGUUAACAGGAUGUUUCAUUGUAUCAAAAAUAUUAAAGUGGACUAUUUCUCCAUCAAAUUCCAUCGUGAGAGUACCCUUACUAACAUCAAUUUUAGUUUGGGCAGUACUCAAAAAUGGUUUUCCUAAUAUAAUGGGUGAUGGAUUUGGGGCACUUCUAUCAUCCAUGUAAAGCACAUAAAAAUCAGCAGGAAAAAUUAAUCCAUCUACUUGCACUAAAACAUCCUCAACUAUCCCAUCCGGAUAAACACAUGUACGAUCAGCCAAUUGAAUUAUUAUCCCCGUUUCUUUUAAAGGUCCUAAAUUUAAGGAAUCAUAGAUUGAUUUAGGCAUCACAUAGGCAUCACAUUAAUAGAAACCCCUAAAUCUAUCAUGGUAUUUUUGAUACUAGAAUGACCAAUCUUACAGGGGAUAGCAAACAUACCUGAAUCUCCGCAUUUGGGUGGGAGUUUCCUUUGAAGUACAGCUGAUACAUUCUCUCCUACCAUCACUCUUUCAUCACCCCUUAGCUUUCUUUUGUUAACGCACAAGUCUUUCAAGAACUUUGCGUACUUGGGUACCUGUUUGAUCGCGUCCAAUAGGGGGAUGUUUACUUGAACUUUGCGGAACACAUCCAGGAUUUCUUUUUCCUUUUCUGCCCUCUUUGUCUUUUCCAACCUGCAAGGAAAAGGAGCUAGAUUAGAUGUAAUAGGGAUCGAAGGAAUAGAUGUUACCUUAGGCUCUUCGCGAAUGCGUCCUUUCUCUUCAAUCUCCUUCUCGAUUUCCUCUUCAUUUCUGCUCUUCGAAUUUACCAACUUAGGUCCCUCCACCUCUUUUCCACUCCUUAAUGUCAUGGCACUUACAUUGUUGGGAUUUGUCUCGGGUUGUGAUGGCAAUUUUCCAUAGACAUGGGACUCCAGGCGGUUAAUGGCAGUUGCCAUUUGACUCAUUCGAAUCUCCAUGUCCUUCAUGCCUGCUUUGGUGUCCUGUUGGAACUGAAUAGUGCUCGCGAGCAAGGACCUAGUCUCUUGCUGGAGUUGAGUGGUGGUCGUGGCCAAACUCUUGACAAUUUCCUCCAAAGAACUUUCUGAGCUGGAGAACGAGGAUUGAGACUUCUGUUGCCAAGGUUGCUGAAAUCCUGGUGGACGAUUAGAGAAUGCAUUUUGUGGCCUAUCACCAUAGCUGAAAUUGGGGUGAUCUCUCCAACCCGGAUUAUAUGUGUUGGAGUAUGGAUCGUACUGUCUACGAGGCGCGGGCACGCCUCCAGCCAUGUUCACUUGUUCAGCCCCAUUCUCUUGCAACAGAAGACAUGAGUCAGUAGGGUGGCCCAUAUUUGUGCAGAUUCCACAGGCUUUUACUUGGGGCACAUUUCCCACAGCUAAUUGUCGAACAACGGAUGUUAGCUCCGACAACUGUUGCUGAAUAGAUGUCGUCUCCACCUCAUUAACCCUACGGGUAGGGUUACUCUCACGGAAGCCAAACUGUUGAGAAUUUUCUGCCAUCGACUCAAUGAGUAGCCAUGAUUCCCUUGGUGUUUUGUUUGCUAAUACUCCCCCACUUGCUGCAUCAAUGAUACUCCUGUCGGACGUCUGUAGUCCCUCAUAAAAGUAUUGGAUCAAUAGUUGUUCACUAAUUUGAUGCUGUGGGCAUCUAGUGCACAACUUAUUGAACCUUUCCCAAUAAUCAUAUAGGGACUCCCCGGGAUACUGUUUAAUACUACAUAUUUCUUUUCUUAGACUUGCAGCCCGGGAGGCAGGGAAGAAUUUUUCCAAAAAUUUCUUCUUAAGUUGGGCCCAUGUUGUGAUACUACCUGCGGAUAGGUAGUAUAACCAAUCCUUCGCUGCAUCCUUGAGGGAAAAAGGGAAGGCUCUCAGUCUAAUUUGCUCUUCAGUGACCCCAGGAGGUUUCAUACUAGAGCACACCACCUCGAACUCCUUGACGUGUUUGUGGGGUUCUUCACCAGAGAGACCAUAGAAAGAAGGUAAGAGGUGAAUCAACCCCGACUUCAGUUCGAAAGCCGUAUUCUCAGCCAAAGUGGGGAACGUGAUGCACAAGGGCUGGUGAGUCAGUUCCGGGGCAGCCAGCUCCUUUAAUGUUUGGGUGUUGGCCAUGCUUAUUUCGUCUUCUACUGACUCGUUUGCAAUAAAUAAGUGCCCUUCUUUUCGUCUCUUGGUCUUUUGCCUCCGCUUACGCGCUGCUUUCUCAACCUCCGCGUCGUAUAUCAAUUCACCUGUGCGAGAAGAACGGGGCAUAAACUAGCAAAAAUACCAAGGAAAAUAAAAUAAAAUAAAAAUAAAAACUGAAUUUGAAAAGAAACAAAUAAUCCAAACGCCAGCUCCCCGGCAACGGCGCCAAAAAUUGACAGGUGCCGAACCUGUGCAAUAAUAAUUACUAAAAAGUCCUAAUUACCACAUCAAUUAAGUAAUUAUAGAACAAAUCCAAGUACUGGAGCAGGGACGUUAGGUGUGCAAUGGGUUACUUGAUUCACCCUGUUCCCGAAGAGUUUGCUUGAUCCGAUAUACCGGAUUUGUCUAUAAAAACACUAAUUUUGCGUACAAUGGCAAGUAGGGUCGAUUCCACAGGGAGCAGGUAGGAAAUUAUUUCUUUCCAAAUUAGUAGAACGAAAUUGGGGGAUUUUCAAUGGGAGGCAAAUAAAAAUAAAAUAAAAUAAAACAAACAAAAUUCAAAACUAACUCACAAAGCACAAUUCACUAAAAAUAGCAAUUAAUAAAAGUUCUACCCAAAGGGUCAACUGUUCAGGCACGGUCCAAUUAAAUGCUCAUCGAUGCAAAGAUAUUCCAUCCAUUUAUCACUAGGUUGGUUAUAGCCAUCAAUAAGCUCUGACAACCAGUUCUUCCUUACCUUUCCGAUAGUCAAGAUACGACCAUUGACUGCUUCCCUAAUCAGAUAACAACCCUAGGUACGACCGUAGGAAUUUAAUUAUCCAAUUGCAUUAAAGUUAGAAGAACCCAACCCUAACCAAUAAACACGCUAAGAGGGUUUAUUUAAACUAGAUCCUGCGUUUCCCCAUCAUAAAACCAAUUAUGGUGGGUGCCACGGGGUGUUAAUUAAAUGAAUAAUUACGGAUUCUAUUUAAUUAACGUGGCAGUAGGCUAUUAAAUUAAAUCAAAUACCCGGCCAUUGAUAUUCAAUUAAUAAAAUACCCAUGAACAAUUAAUUCAGGAAACGCACGAAUAGCAAUAAACUGGGAGAAAUAAUGAAGAUUCGAUUAGAUCUCACAGAUAUUAUGGACCGCGCCCUCGCGUCAACCUUUGGGUAGAGGAGAAAAUUAGCCGCUUCUCAUCAUGUCAAACUCACGCGAUUUAAUUGAUUUCAUCCACGCAAACAUCACAGAAUUUGGAACGAUGAAGCACUGAAGAAAGGAAAAAUGAAAAGUCUCGCUUGACUCUGCGCGGGGGCCCGUACUGGAUUCCCCAAGUUCAAUGCCAAAACUCACGGAAAUUGAAUAGAUCCGAAAGUGAAAAGCAAAAGAGUCAGACGCAAAUGCCAAAAGCAAGGGAAAGAAAAGUCUUCUCUGUCAGACCCAUUCGGCCGAAAAAAAGAAAAGCUAAAGCUACCUAAAUUCUGGUAAAUUCUGUAGUGUAUUCACAUAUUUCAAAGACAGGUGUGGAAAGCAAAUGAUAUGGCCAAGAAGCUGGCACGUAGCAACCUGACAUGUACGGAGAUGAAGGGAAUGUUUCUAAAAAAGUAAGUGGUGACCUAUAACCGCGGUGAAUGUAGCGUACGGCAAAUGUUGGAAAUGUAUUGGGGUGAAACGGAAUUAACAUAAAUAUAAUGGGGUAAGGAGUAAAAAAAAACCGGUUAACUUUAUUAAAACAACCCCAAUUUUCAACUCUUUCGUCCAUAAUAACAACGCAGUACCUAUAUUGGAAUGCAUUUUAGAAUAAAUAGCCAACUCUUUAUGGCUUUCCUGCACUACAACUAAAGAUUAAAUCCAUUUUGGAUUCGUCAAUCUUAUAUUCAAACGGGUGUCCAAGUUUAAAAGUUUCAGUUCCCCUUGGCUUUCUUCUAUCACAACAACAUAAUACCGAAGGUGGCAUAAAGAGAGACUGAUUUAUCGGAUAAAAAGAAAUUAAACCCGUUGGUGAGUAAAAGACCAGCUCUUUGUGCCUUUCAACCAUUACAGUGACAGAGUACCCAACGUGCCUUAAAUACAAAUGUUGGGUAAUGGGAUAAAAUUUAGUUAAAACGGUUGUCUUAUAAACGACCUGCUGUUUGCGGCUUUCGUCCAUCAGACGUUGAGGAGAACCCAAUUUCGUAGAAUACAAAAUUUUGGAUCGGAAAGCAUAAAAAUUAACAGCCGGUGUCGGUUCUGUUGUAUAAAACAUCGAAGAAAUUGGGAAAGCAGUACUAAACAAAGCCAUGCUGGGGCCACCGAAGAGGAAGCGUAUUAGGUACUAAACACACAGCCAUGUUGGGGCCCGCAGUGAUGCGUGUGUUUGAAGACAGGUGGUGACGUCGGAAUCGAAGGCAAAAAUUUGGUAAAGAAGAAGUCAAUGUGGAAUAGACAGAGGUGGUGUCUACUGGCGUAAAUUUAGGCGCAGGCGGUGACGGUAGAUAUAUCUGAGGAAGGCCCUUGCGAAGCUGUGGUGACACAAUGCAGCGGCGUGGAACAGAAGCAGAGAAAUCAAAGGUGAGUACUUUUUUGAGUUUUUCCAUAACUUUGAAAAAUGGAGUAAAAUAACGAGUAAAACACCUGUACGUCUACUAGGGUGAUUUCUACAGUUCUUGUAAGAGGCAAUGAUAGAGGAAUAAGGAAUACGAAGUACGGGGUGUAAGACCCUGCGUCUCCGAACGAAGAUGUAACGAAACCGGGAAAUUAUCGCAGUUUAUUUGUGCACGGAGCUUUGUAUACGUACGUAGGAAAUCUUGGUCCUCUAAUUUGUAUUAAAUAGUGUAAAGGAAAUUAAGCAGAAAUGAGUGAAGACGUGAAGAAGACGUUGUAACAGGACUAAAGUCUUAAAAUAGAGUGAUUUGGAUGGCCGUGUGGACAUCGAUAAUGGCCCCCAUACUGCAUUGCGCAUGGUUAUGUGAAAAGAAUUAAAGAAACACACAGUAGAGGUUGAGUUUGUUGGUGUUAAUGAAAAUGCAUGUCGAUAGUGGUAUUUUGUGCUAAAGGUUGAUAUAAUUGCAUCAGCCACACUUAUAAAAACUGUGUAUAUGAAUGUUAGAGUAAUGUUUAUCGUCUGCAUUUUGUGAAAGUUGUGAGGUAAAGUAUGGUUUGUUAAGUGAAAUGAUCGUGUAUAUAUGUUUUGUUCCAUUAGUAGACGAUCAGUAUUUAUGUUACAAACGAAAGCAUAUGGGGAGGCUGAAAAAAAAAUGUGUAGCGACCAUGGUUAGAAAAAGCAUUGAACAACCACACAGGGGUUGUAAGUAUGGGGCAGGAUGGGGUGCUUAAAACUCAUGACAUGGUGCAGGAAACAGAGAAGGGAAAAAUGGGGAUGGAUGGUUGCGGCAGGUUAAUGUCAUUUGACCUUAACCAAGAACCUGAGUGUGACCGAGACACAUGCAGUGAAGAAAGCGGUGGUUCAAUAGGAGGACACGAAGAUGAGGAGGCAGAUGAAUUGGUGGGCGCAAUAGGCGUGGAUGACGUAAUGAAAUUAACAUUUGACACGGAAGAAGAAGCUGGGGAAUUUUAUAAUUUGUAUGCGAAACUAAGCGGAUUUGGGAUUCGUAAAAGUAAUGCCAAACGAGAUGAAGAUGGCAUUUCAAGAUUUAGAAAAUGGGUAUGUUGCUGUGAAGGUUAUAGGAAUGAAAAGUGGUUUAAUUAUGAAGACCGGAAAAGAGAAGCAAAAGCAAUCACAAGGACCGGGUGUGGGGCUUGCUUUCGCGUGAAAUAUGACACAGAAUCGGUAAAGUAUGUGGUGACACGUUUCAUUAUGGAGCACAAUCACCCGCUGGCAUCAGAGGUAAGUGUGCAACACCUUAGGUCGCAAAAAAAAGUGAGCGAUGCAGAAUAUGCGCAGGCAAAAAGUCUAAAGUUGGUUGGGGCCAGAAUAUGCCAGAUAAUGAAACAUUUUGUUAUCAAAGCCGGAGGGUAUAGUAACGUGGGAUUUUGCAUUAAGGAUCUGUAUAACCGAAUGGACGAGGAACGUAGAAAAGAUAUUUUUAAUGGCGAUGCAGAAGGGGCACUUGGGUUCUUGGCAGCGAAGAAGGAUGCCGAUGACAUGUUCUUUUAUAAAUAUCAUGUAGAUAACGAAGGAAGAUUGGCAAGGUUGUUUUGGGCAGAUUCUAAAUCUCGUGUGGACUUCAGUGUAUUUGGAGAUGUAUUGGUGUUUGAUACAACAUACAAAACAAAUAAAUACCGCAAGCCACUAGUUGUACUUGCAGGGGUAAACAACCAUUUGAACAGUACUAUUUUCGGCUGUGCACUGUUAUCAGAUGAGAGGAUUGAAACAUAUGAAUGGGUGCUAAGUACAUUUGUAGAGGCUAUGAAAGGUAGAAAGCCAGUAGCAGUGAUGACAGAUGGUGACAGUGCAAUGCGAAGAGCGAUAAAGAAUCUUCUCCCGGAUGCUUGUCACAGGCUAUGUUCGUGGCACUUGCAUAGGAAUGCACGGAGUAAUAUUCGCUGCGAGGAGUUUAAUAACAGGUUGUAUGACCUGAUGGCGAGAAAGUUUAGCACUCUUGAGUUUGAGGAUCGCUGGGCUAGGUUAAUUAAUGAAUGUGGGGUGGUAGAGAAUGAGUGGGUGAAGAAGUUGUACCGUAGGAGAAGGUUAUGGGCAGAAGCCUAUUUACGCGGUAAUUUUUUUGCAGGUAUGAGAAGCACUCAAAGGUGUGAGAAAAUGAAUACUUUUUUGAACGAGUACUUGAAUGAAAAAAUGCGACUAUAUGAAUUCGUUAGAAGUUUUGAUUUGGCAAUAGCAUGGCUUCGACAUACUGAGAGCAAAGCAGUUCACACAAGUGAAAACACAAAACCAGUCUUAACCACAAUCCUGCCCGAAUUAGAGGCGAGCGCAGCGGAGGUGUUUACAAGGAAUGUGUUCUUCAUGGUGAGGAAGCAUUUGAACAGGCAGGGACUUCUAAUUUCUGAGGGCUGGAGCGAGGAUGGAGGGAGUCGUACAUAUUAUUACUCGAAAUAUGGUGGACACGAAAUUAGUUGGAGGGUGGUUUAUGAUAGGUCAAUGGAGAAGCUAAUCUGCUCUUGCAUAAAAUUCGAGUCAAAGGGGAUUCCUUGUGCUCACAUGUUUCGCGUGAUGGUGGUAGAAGGAAUGAACAGGAUCCCAGAAGCAUGCAUUUCAAAGCGGUGGACAAAGGGAGUUUACAGUACUAAUAAUGGAAUGAAAGCAUUUGUUACAGACGAACAGCUGACACAAAUGGCCAGAUAUGGCACUUUAAAGUCGAGCUGUAAUAGUAUGUGUUACUAUGCGUCCUACAUGGAUGAUGCGUUUAAUGACCUGCAGCAGAUGUUUGACAAGCAUUCUGUGGACCUAAAGGAGAAGUGGAUUGAAAGGGGAUAUGGGGGAGACGGAUUUGCAAUGGAUUCAAGAGUGAUGAACGAUAGAAGUAGAAGAACAUUCGGGCUGUUAGAUCCCAGGGUGUCCCGGUGUAAAGGUGAUCAGAAGCAUGCAGAAACAAAGAAGAAAAGAAAGUGUGGUCAUUGCAGGUACUAUCGAAAAUGCAUACGUAGUUAUAAGCAAUUUGUUAAUUGAUAAAAUACAUGAAGUGGACAGUGAAGGUAAUAAUUAUUAUGUGGGUAUUUUUCAACAAUAGCAAAUAAACACAUAAUUGAAAGUGCAUACAAAGUAUACAAAGUUAUUGGCAGUGCAAGAAAGUUGAAGUGGUGUAAUGUUAGCAAUGUGCUUAGUUGACGUGGUUACUUGCAGUCACAAAUGAUUUGACAUGUGAUAUAUGGGUUGAAGAUUGCAGGCAGGCCACAACCAACGAACAUGCCCAUACAAAAAGAAUUCGCACAACACAGCAGUUCAUGAUGAUCAUAUGGAAAAUUGUUUGGAUGAAUCGGUGGAAAAAUCAUUUGAAAUUGGUACGGGGUGGAGCGACUCAGGCGAAUGGAGAGGACAAGCAUUUGCACCACAAGCAUGCGGUAGCGGUGGAAGGGACACAGGUGACCAACAAAGAAGUCCAGGAGAAAGAUGAGGCACAACUGUUGUGAUGGUUCGGUUUGCAGUUACGCAAUAAAUAAGGCAGAUUUUGGUGAGUAGAGGUGCAAGAGUAUUGAAGGUUGCUAGCUAGGUCUAGAUGGGUAAGUCACUGUAGUUCCACCGAAGGCGUCAUGCACAGAAGGAUCACAAGAUGCAUCACUGUCAUGGUUGCGUCGUAAGCACUGUUGUAGCAAAUAGUGCUGCUGCACUUGGUUAAUAGGAGAGAGUAAGUAGUUGACAAAUUGUGUAUUACGGUCCUUUUUUGUAAAUAGGAAAUUAAGUGGAAGCGUAUGUUGCGCAAAAUGUCUUCGUGGGAUAGACGUUUUCCGAAGUGGCUACUUGGGAAUCAUCUUCAGUUGCCAGGUUUUGUAAACUGGUGCCUUACGCUGCUGCUAUAAACUGCUUUUACGAUAUGGGCCGUUUGUUCGUCUCCUUGCUAUCCUAACCAAUGACCGUAAGGCCCAACGCCUUUUGUUUUGCCCAUCGUUUCAUUCUGGUGUAGGAACAGUAACUUUUGUUUCUCCCCAUCUAUUUUCAUUACUCACAAUGCUUAUGCGUCUCUUCAGUGCACCAAUGACAAUGGUAUUAUUAUAUAUGUAUAUUAAUUUAUGCAAUAUAAUUAAUAUUAUGAAUUAUACUAAUAAUUAUACAUAUCUACUAAUAGAAAUUAUUAAUUAGUUCGAAUAAGUUUAAGAAUACAUUUGUACUAAUAUAUUUAAUUAGCCAAUAACUAUCAGUUACGAUUAAUAUUUUUUACAUCAUUUGUACAUUUCCAUUGGAGUUUACUAUUUUACGUAACUUGUUGGCACACGAUUAAUGAAUUUCUUAUUAUAACAAUUAUGCAAUGUCCGCGUCAUGUCCGUAAUCUAAAUUGCUAUUAACAUGUAGAAAAAAUUCCACAUGUUUACUGACACUCCAUCCGAACAACUUUGAUACCUCUGAUGCUUUUUUGGUGACAUAGUUAAACAAAAAUUGGUAUAUCCUGUUGGAACAAUCCACUUAGGUAGCAAUGCUUCGUCAGCCUCCCUCACACUAAUUACUGUACAACUGUGUGGAAGCUGGAACACACAAAUUACUGUACAACUGUGUGGAAACUUGAACUCAUGAUAUAAUGUUGGAGUUGCAUUCAUACAAAAGGCUUUUCUGUCAUGAUAUAAAUACGUCCAGAAAAUGUAAUGCAGUAAGUAUGAUAGAUUUAUAGUAACAACAACUUGCAUUUAAAUUAUUUUGUUGUAAAUAUUUAAUUUCACUGCAAACUUCAAUUGCAGGUGAAGAACAAUCUUGGACAGACGAAAAAUAAGAACAGGACUAGAAAUUAGUUGUGGGAAAAUGACGGUGACAAAUUUUCUAUGGAAGCAGUGAAACGGUACAAAUUUAGAGAAACAAGUUCAACGUUACCAAUUAUCUGUGAACUGUUAACAUUUUCCGUACUGGGUGUUCAAAUUUUAAAUUGUAUUAGAAGUACACAACAGACGUGGCGAUUGCUCACAGCUCGGCUUUGUUGCUGGGGACUCCCAACUACUUUGCAUGCUCAUUCCUCCGGCUACACAACCUUGUUUGCGGUUAUGGGCCAUGGGUGCUCAGUCUUAGGCAUUAUGAAUUCCCUGACAUUCGUGAGCUUUGCCUCUACCAAGGUCUUCCGUAAAUGUCUCCGUCCCGGCACUUGUGUUCGGACGCUUAGAAAGACAGGAUUCCCAGCCACCAAUUCCACCGCGAAGGCAGCGUUUCCUUGCCCCCUUUUGGAGCUUCAAUGCAGUUUCCAAAAUUACCUGUAUUUGAUGUAGCCUUUGGUCCACCACUUGUGAGUUGUCCGACACAUUGGAUGCCAAACGAAAUAUUUCUGCACUUUUUUCUAAGACUUUCUUUCUGAGGCCCAUGCAAUGAACAAGCAGGUCCUCGUACCAGUGUCUAGGCACCUAAGCGGAAACAACACAGAUGGCUGUAUUAAUUGUACACAAAUUGCUAAAAUUAAAUGCCGAGUGAAGUACAGGGCGAAGAAUGCCAUACCACAUCACCAACAGCACAUGGAAGAGGCAACCCUAUUACAUCGCCACCAACCCUGUGAAUGCCCUCCUGCUGCAGUGAUCCAUCAGUUUGUAUGCACAACACAGACCAGGGAGGGUAAUUAAUUGGAUGUUUCAGUGACGGUGUUGUAGCCUCACUUAGUGGCAACUGGUCACAUAUAUGAAUUAUGCACUCCUUCCCACUGGGUGGCAACGUGGAGGAAGUCAUUGGUUUCAUUAGCCUGCUGCGCACAAACUCGUCAUACGUAGCAUAUGGAGGGGGAUCUGGGUAUAGGCUUGCAAUGGGCAGUCCAUCAAGCACAUCAUGUAGCGUGUUUCCCGAAAUUGUAUCAGCGCUGUACAUAUCUGAUGGCCGAUGGGGAGGUUGCUUUGCACAUACACCUGCAUACACCUGCCUAAUAACCCUCUCGCCCAGGUAGUAAAAUCGUCCCAUGGGGCCAUCCAAAAGCAAUCUCGUUGCAGUUAGUUCCUUGGAUUUGAGAUACCGACUAGGCAAUGCCAUUGCAGGGAAGGGUAGCCAGUUGACCUAGGACACACAAUUAACAAGCGAUGUAACAUUGGUUUGUUGAACAGGCGGAACAAAUUCAUAACAACUGUUAACACGUAGGCGGUAGAAAAUGUAAGAUGUCGUAAGUACGGGAACUAACGUUGUCCGGGUUAAUGGUGUCAAUUGCGCGGCGAAAAUGUUCGACCGUAGACGGUGAUUGUCGGCUGGCUCUAUUACACGAGCGCCAUCGCCACAUUCUGGGCAAUACGUCCCUCUCGUCCUGUUUCAGUUUAUACGGACUUAACUGAAGAAUUUCAUAAGCCCACACCUACACGUGGUUGUACAAAUUAUAUCCAGCGUUGGAGAUGAACACUAACUGCUUGAAAAGUUUAUUUAACGGAACAGGGUAAUGUCGAAUUGACACAGAGUGAAGGCAAUUGUGGACUUACCUCCCAAACGAAGCUGUAGCCGCCAAGGCUUUUCGUCCGGCGUCGGGAGACGGCGGACAUAAAUUUGUACAAGGUUGCCAUCCCCGCCCCUCCCCAGUUAUAAUCCCCUAUACGAUCUACGUCCUCCAGCGCAGGCAGACAGCACAUGUGAAUUGUUUCGGCCGUGUUGCUAAGUAAAGUGCGGCCAAGCAUGUAGAGAAAGAAAGCUCUAGUUAGAUGUGCCAGCUGGACGUCGUCGUUCUCGUCAAUGGCUUUGUCUUUGUAGAAUGACAAUAUAUCGGUAACUCUGAUGGCACCGGCAGAAGCAAAAGCUGGCACCCAACCCAAUUGGUCGUUGAUGUAAUUGGCAUUUUCCCUAACAUUGUAAUCCCACGGAAUGGGCAACCCGCCCACUGCAACACCGGUUAUACAGGUGAAGUCCAAGGGUGUCAGUGUCAUCUCUCCGAAAGGCAAGUGGAACGAGUUUAUUGAGUCCCACCAUCGCUCCGCAAGUACGACAGGCAACUUCCUAUCUCUAUCGGCCACGGGCAAGUGGCUCAGAAAAUCCCCAAACCCAGCAGUAACAACUUUCGCGGCCACCUUACGAGACAGCCUCUUCCACCACUCCAUAACUUCGACUGACGACCCUCUAGGAUAAAUUGAAUAGACUUCCUGUGCAUUAAUGUAGAACCAAUUCAGGCAGUUAUAUAUAAGUAUAAACCAAAUGAGGGCUUAGGGCAAAAUAAGCACAAGUAAUUGUCGACAUUGAUUCUGCAACAUGUACCCCCUGUGCAAGGAAAAUGUGUGAUAUGUGGGUUUUCCGAUCAACCAGCAGUUCUUGCGAGUGUUCUUCAUCAGGCGGUGGCCGGUACCGAUGGAGCCUGCCCAUCGCACGGCUUUUUUGGAGUUGGAUUUUAUUUCGAAUAUUGUGAUGGCGCAGCUCUAGUUAUCACAAAAUCCCUGUCGCCCCACCCGCGAUUAUGAACAGCUUUGCCGUUAAGUGUUGCGGCCUUGUAGGUGCGUAGGCGUCUUUCUUCGCGAGAAAUUUGAAUUGUUAGACAUUUUGGACGGCUGUCGCCAGGUUGGGCGUGCAAUGGGCUUGUACCUGGUAAUUAGGGUUGCAAAUUGGGAAAAAUGUGUUACAGUGACGGUCGGCGCGUGUGCUAUGCAUGAUUUCAUUGGCCUUGACAUACAUACCCUUCUCAGUUUUACUUGGACGACUAAGGAAACAGUAUUGUGGCCAACCUGCGCGUCGUAAGCAAUGAAAUGUCUCCGAACGUUUCAUUUUAGCGAGUGGGAAAUUUGGAUCAGAUUGCCAUGAAAUAAUUUGAAUUUAUAAACAGAAACCGCAACCCCGAGACAUUAACAGCUAAAAUUGAAAAGCACCCGUAAUAUUACGGAUGGUCCGGACGAUAAACGAAUACGGGUUGCUAGAACUGCAAUGACACUAUGUUGACACGGGCUGUGCAACGCACAGGCACGGCCCUCUAGAACAUUAGUUAAAUACAUACCACCGGCAGUUUUAGUGCACAAUGAAUAGAAAUAUAGGAAAAAUAUUAAGUAUAAAAACAAUUAAAAUUUGCUGUGAAAAGAACUUUGAUAUAUAAAGUUAACCCCAAUUUAUUGUGAUUUGGAAAAAGGAUUUGUAACCAACAUUAUGUGUACGUAAUGAUACCAAAAAAGAAAACAAAGCAAAUCCAUUAUGAGUGCAUGAUCGGUUUAAGAGCAGCAUAGUUUUAAUUGUAAUUAAAUAAACAGUAGUCAUAAUGUUUCAGAAAUUUUAAUAAUUAGAAAAAAUAUAGAAAGGCACAAAAACCUGUGACCAGCUUCAACAUCAAUCAAAAAAAUACAAACUUGCAUAUUUUUCUUUCUUUUUUGAGAGAAAUAGCGAGUUAAUCUAUCCAUUUAAAUCAUGUCUAAUAGCAUUACAAAUAGAUGGAAACAUUAUCUAACCAAAUAGUUAUAGAAUAUGUAUAGCAAGUUUAAAUAAAAACAUGAAUUGCCAUAUUUGUAAAUGUACAUAUGCAAAUUCAAAUUCAACAAUUUGUUUGAUUGCAAUUAUGUCUUCUUAAUGAAAAUAGAAUUUUCUAAUAAUAUUUUGUAUAGUGACACUCUAAGCUAAAAGCCUCAAUACUAACUUCCACCACCAAAUGCAUUCCUUUGAAAACUGCAACUGUUUUAGCUAGUCAAAUCAACAAAAUAUUAUUAACUUCUUUAGCCAAAUAGUAAUGACAUGUCCAUUUGAAGUUGCCUAACAAUCAUCUCAAACUCUAAUUACAUUAUCUAUCAUUAUGGGCAAUAAAAAAAGGAUAAAAGUAAGUCAUAUAGAACCAAAUACAUAAGUUAAAGAUUCUGAAGUCUAAUUUUGCAAUUUUUUUAUUUCCAAGCUAUCAUUUGCUAAAAUUAAAACCAUGAAAAUAAACUACCUAUCAUGGAUACAAGCAAGUAAUUCAAAAUGUUGAAUGAAGACAUAUAAAAUAUUAUCUUCACAUUCUAAAUUGCUAGCCCCAACAAAUAUUUUACACGUCAUCCACAGUAACCCCAGUUUGUAAUCAUUUUUCACAAUUGAUAAACUUUAUAUAAAUUAAAAUAUAAUUAUCUAUCCAUCAAUUAAGAGAUUGGGUUAAUUUAUAAAUGAAUAAACAUACUUUUUUUCUUCGUGAUGAUCGUUUACCUUGGAUUUUCAUGUAUUAGAUUUUUUUCUCCUCUAUUGUAGUACUAUCACCCUAUUAUCAAAUAACAAUUAUAAUAAAAAAUUAGAAAUAGAAUGAAUCUGCCCAAAUCACUCUUUUUGAUACCUCUAACAAUUCUUUCAUUGUUAGCGUAAAAAUUUUUCAUGUAAUCACCACUCGUCGUGUUGUCAACCUUAGUUUACUUUUUCCAAAAAUAAAAAUAUGAAAAUGUAGUGUGGCCAUAAAUAAAAAAUGAAAAACUAAAAAAAAGUUUCUUUAGAUUUGGGGAAAAUAUUCACAGCAUCACAUACGUCCGUCCGGGCAGAAAAGAAAGUUAGAUGAAGAAGAAAUAGGUGACAAAACCAAUAAGCAAAGGUUGGUCAUCAAGACGGAAAAAAUGACAAAAAAAUAUGAAAUAGUAUAUACCAAAAAGAGACAUUAAACGUAGAAGAUUAUGAAUCAUAAUUUUUGGACUACGGACGAAAGGAAAUUUCAAACCCAUUCUUGAUCUCCUUAAAUGAACUCAUUCAUUUAGUUAUUUAUGGGGGAAAAUGAAAGAAAGUGCAUGAACUAAUACAAUAGAGAAAAAACAAGUUCAAAUGAUUAGGAUGAUAGGGGAAAAAACGGAGUACAAAGUAGAAAGUAUAUAAGAAACAUGUAGUUCACGUGAGGAUUUGUUUAAUUACCUUUAUCUGCAAUCAAAAAAGAUAAAGGAAAUAAAGCGAACAAAAGAAAAAACUAAGCAAAAUGAAGAAAACAAAAGGAAUGGACCACGUGUCAAAGAAAAAGAGAUCCACUUGGCAAUCAUUGGAGUUGCUAUAGUAACUCCACUCUGUUGUUAUAUAAUAGGUAGAUUUUGUGGUACAAAAUCUUGAUUAUUAAUCAAAUUUGCCUUGUUAUCAGUAAUAAUUACUAUUUAUGUAUAAAAACUUACUACUACUUGAAUUAAAGUUACUAAGGUAUAUUAUGAGUGCUUACUAACUAAGGUACUAAGUUUUAAUCAUUAAUAAAAACAUCUUAUCAUUAUUUGAAAUAAACUUCGUAAUACUACUUUGAGAUAAGGUUUUAAUGUAAAAAUUGUACAUGCAUUCCAGAAUUACUAUUUAUGUAUAAAAACUUACUGUUAUUUGAAUUAAACUUACUCUUUUAAAUGUAAGUUUGGGAUAUCAAGUAGUAAUCUAUUUAUUUAGAAAUUAAGUUUAAUAUUUAUUCCAAUUUACCUUUUGAGGUAUAAAAGUUACUAAUCUAUUACACUUAACUUACUAUUUUAGAUAGGAAACUUACUUCCAUAAUUUUAGGUGUUAUUUUAUUUAGGCGAAUAUGUUCAACAAUAAAUCAAAUGAUCGCUAAAAGUACAACAACGUGUUAUAUUAGGUAAAAACUAUUUCGCUAUCAUAACUAUCGUUUAGUAUCUAUAUCUAAAUGUAUUGCUGAGGGGGUUUUGGAUAAGGAGCUUCAAAAAUUAUCAAAAGUGUGAAUGCUAUUUGAAUAGAAUUUUGCAAUUUUUUAAUUAAAAAAUAUUUAUCUCUUAACUAAUCAUGUAACCGGCCCUACAAAUCCUAUAAUCAUACUUAUAUUUUUUCCACAUUUCCCUUAUGUUUUUUCCACUACCCCAUAAAAUUCAAACUCCUAAACUUUAACUAACGGAUAAUAACCACCCCUGUAAAAUGAUAUCUGCAAAUUCCAAUUCACAUCUCACAUUUAUUACUGACACUUACCAUAUCACUUAGAGUAAUAACUAACCGUUAAUUUAAGAAAUUCGCAACUACGAAAGUCAAAUAUCCAAAAUAUAGGAGCCUGUUUAAAUUACAAUUUUCACAAUUCAACGUAUCUUAUUGUCAUAAUAUAUUUUACUCUCACAAUCAUUCACAAAUUAUAAAGGCAUUAAAAAUAAUUCUUUUUUUAAAUAAAAAUUAAUUCAAAGGUAGUUAAUUCACACGCACACACAUAUAUACAUACAUAUAUAUAUUCUCAUAAUGCAUAUAUAUAUAAGAUUAUCAAAUCGAAUGCAUACUACUGGUAAGUAUUUCAUUUUAAAAUAAAAAAACAUGCAAUUACAUUUAUUUCUAUCCAUAUAUCAUUCAUUUUCUAAUAUAAAUUAUUAUUAUUAUUUUAAGAUCCUUCUUUUGCAAAAACACAAUUCUUGAAUGAUUUACAGUUUUUGUCAUAUUUUGAACUAUUGUUAGACAAAUCUUAAAUUUUAAUUAUGUUGGUGAAGUUUUUUAACUUUUUUCAAAUAAAAAUGGUAUAACCGUUUAAUUCAUUUUAAUAAUGUAAGUACCAUGCGUAGCACGGAUAUUCACACUAGUUGUCCUUGUAUGAUCGAGCCUGAGAGUUUGAGCAUGUUUUGGUUGAAUGUUAUAAUUCAAAAUUUGGGGUUUGGAGGGAAUAGGUUAUAUCCAGUGUAAUCAAAACUCAAACAAAAGUGGGGAUAAGCCUCGUUGUCACAACGAACUAUAUAAAGCGGAUUUUUUUCAAUAAAAAUAAACCCAUUUUUCAAUAAAAUCCUAACUCUUUAUACCUUUCCUGUAUUAUAAGAACCGUGAACCCAUUUUACCAUAAACAAAUUUAUUUAUCGACAACAAAAAAAUGAACCCGUUUCUCAAUAAAACAUCAGCUCUUUAUGGCUUCCCUCCCUUAUAAGAAAAGAGUAUCCAUUUUGCCAUAAACAAAUUUGUUUAUCGCAUAAAAUAAAAAUAAAAAUGUUUUUUCAAUAAAAAACCAGUUCUUUAUGACUUUCCUCCAUUAUAAGAAUAUAGUACCCAUUAUUCGAUAAAAAAUAUUAUUUAUCGAAUAAUAUAAAAAUGAACCUGUUUUUGAAUAAAACACAAGCUCUUUAUAGUUUUCAUCUAUUAUAAGAACAGAGUAUCCAUUUUUUCAUAAAUAAAUUUAUUUAUCGGAUGAAAAACUAAAUAUAUUUUAGAAUAAAACACCAGUUUUUUAUGGUUUUCCUCCCUUCAGUACAACAAAAAAGGGUAUUAGCGACAACAACUUUAGGAAGAAAUAGAAAGCUUGACGCUCUUAAGAGGCUUAUAGCAAGGAAAAGGACAAUACCUCACAAAAAAUUUGGUGGACGGAGAGUCGUGAAUUUUGGGUUUUUUUUUCCUGAUUUUAUUCGAUGUGGUCUUGUCUGUAUGAUUGCAAAGUUCAAUUUCUGAUGUACUUUCAGGGGGGUUUGGCUGUAGCAGCAGGGAAGUGGGGAAGUGGGUGGCUUUCCGGUGGUACCGCCGGCUCAGUAUAACCCAUUAGACGAGCCAAGUCCAUUGGGAUUGAGGCUGAGGAAAAGUCCUUUCCUUUUGGAAUUGAUCCAAAUGAGGCUUUCUCAAGCUUAUUCACCUAAGGGUGCAAGUUCAAGUAAAAAAGAGCUUAAAGGGACCGCUGCUUCUGGUUCGUCUGAGAAGCUCAAGGCUUCAAAUUUUCCAGCAACUAUUCUGCGAAUUGGGACCUGGGAGAUUUUAGAAACUUGUUUUAUUGGAUUGCUUAUGAUUUCGUUAAUUUUGAUUGCAAGUCUUUGUUGUAAUUUCUAGUAUAAGUCAAGAUAUGAAGGGGAUUUGGUAGCAAAGUGUUAUUUUGCAAAGCAUAAGCUUGUACGGGAGGUUCGUGAUGGCGGGCUCAAGAAGUUGGGUCCAAUAUAUCUACAUUGAAAUAACACUUAUGAUGGUCAUUGCAUUUAUGGGCAUUUUAAAAAAUAAACUCUGCAUAAGCUAAAAUUUUUCUAACUAAAAUUUUUUACAUUUUGUCAUAACUUAUUGAUGGUUAAAAUAAUAGCAAGGAUUUAUGAAAUUCUCCAUCCCCACAUUAAUUUAAACUAAAUAUGAGACUGCAUAAGCUGAGAAAACAAAGCAGCAUUUGAUUUGAACAAUCAUGAGAGUCCCACUUUCUUCAACUUGAGGGGAUGCAGCAUCACCAUCAGGUGGUCAAUCAUCAUCUUCGAGGAAUGAACAAGACAUUGUUAGUAGACCUCGAGAAGACAUGAAACACCAUCACCCAGCUCAGUUAUCCUUUUAAUAGUCUUGAACCAAAAUUUGAUAUUCACUAAAAGUUUCUGACCAACAGAAAUGUAAAAUGUCUUUUUCAUUUGAUUUAUAAUCUGUAGUGUUGAUAGUAUUGGUUGUAAUAUAUUAUUGCUCGUUUUGUAUUUGUAAUGACAAAUUGGUUUGUUAUUUGGUAUACAAAUUUUGCUAUAUCUCAAUAUUGACAUUAAUGAUGAUACCUCUUGCUAAAAAAAUGGUUGAAAAAAAAAUUAGCAACUACAGUCACAAAGCUGCUUUCGGCAACUUUGUUGCAAGAAAAUCAUUUAGCUGCAUUUGAUCGUCUUUGGUAAGGGGUCGAUGGUUUUCAAUAAAACACCAGCUCUUUGUGACUUUCGUCCAUAAAUUUUCUAUUUUUCCUUUUUCCCCUGAAAUAAUUUAUUACUUGGAUAAAAUCAGAAACUCCAUUAUAAGAAAAGGUUUGGACGGAAUAAGUUGUAAGCAAUCCAUGACAAUUACCGUCUGAUAGUAACAUGUGAAGGAACAGGGGCUAUGACAAUUUGCUAUAUGUACUGUGCAAAUCUUAUCCCAUUGAAAAUCACAUUGAGAGGUGGGCCAGCAUUUUGCUAUAUGUCAAUAUUGACAUUAAUGAGUUUAUGUUUAUUUUAUCCGAUAAACAAAUUCCUUUUUGCCUUCAAAAUGAGUACUCUAUUCUUAUUCUUAUAAUAGAGGAAAGUCAUAAAAAGCUGAUGUUUUAUUGAAAAAAUGGGUUUAUUUUUAUUUAAUAUGAUAAAUAACUUUGUCUAACAAAAAAUGGGUACUCUGUUCUUAAAAUAGAGGAAAGUCAUAAAGAGGUGAUCUUUUAUUAAACAACGGAUUUAUUUUAAUUUUAUCCGAUACAUAAAUUUAUUUAUGAAAAAAUGGGUACUCUAUUCUGAUAAUGGAGGAAAGCUAUAAAAAGUUGGUCUUUUAUUGAAAAAUAGAUUUAUUUUUAUUUUAUGGCGAACGAUAAAUAUUUUAAUUUAUGAGAAAAUGGGUACUCUAUUCUUAUAAUUAGGGGUGGCAAACGGGUCGGGUUCGGGUUGGCGGGUCGGGUUGAGGCUUAAGUAUAACAGAGAACCUGCUGACCCGAACCCGACCCGCCAACCCGAAACGGGUCAGGGUACCUGACACGAACCCGAAAAUUUCGGGUUGGCGGGUCGACCCGAAAUGACCCGAAAUUUAAUUUUAAUUUAUUAAUUUAUCACUGUAAUUUCUAAUAAAAUCAAUUUUUCACAAAAUUAAUUACAUCAUCAAGUAAUAAAAAUUAAAUAAAUAAUUUCAAACCAAAUCUAAAAUAAAUUAAACACCAUAAAAGUGUUUUAUCCCAAACCAAAUAUAAAAUAAAAUAAAACAACAUAAAAGUAAAAAAUAACAUAAUAUAUUAUUUGUCCAAAUAUAAAAUUUUAACUUCACACAAGUUAAAUAAAUUCAUUUAGGAUUAAGUAAUUAAUGCCUUUGGAAAAAAAGAAUGAUUUAGUUUAGUUAGAUAAAAUAAUUUUUAUGUUUAUUAAAUUAGUUUUAAUUCGUAAACGGGUCACAUCGGGUCAUAUCAGGUCACCACGGGUUGACCCGAAAUUGACCUGUUUUCUUUUCGGGUUCAUCGGGUUCGACCCGAUUCUGACCCGAACUUCCAAAACCUCAACCCAAACCCAUUAAUUUCGUGUUAGGUUCGUGUCGUGUUUUCGGGUCGUGUCAGGAAAGCCAUAAACAGCUAGGCUUUUAUGGGAAAGUGAUACUUUACGGAAAGUGACCAGGAUUUGGUUUAUGAAAUAAUCCCAAAUAAAAAUUUAGAAUGAAUUUAUUUGUUUUGAAAGUUGUAUAACGGUCGUUAAAACUCCAAAAAUAUUAUUUUCAUUUUCAAUACAAUCCCAGGCCUGGAAUUGAAAUGAAUACUUUAAAAGAAAACUAAUAUGCUCUAGAAUAGUUGAAAAAUAUGAAGGAAAAACAAGGUCCACAUACCAUUAAACUAUUACUAUUAUUUGAGGAGGGAAAAUCCAUAAAUUAUAUAAAAAAUAAAAAAUGGAAAAAUAUUUAGAAAAAAAACCCAAUCCACCCCGUUUUUAAUUCAGUCGGUGUCAAAGUAAAAAGUGCCAUAUAAAUUUCCAAGGAUUCAAGAAAAAUCAUUCGCCAAAAUUGGCUAACGGUUUCUAAAAUUAUCCUUUGAAAUUUGAAAUACAUUGGUUUGUUUUAGUCCGAAAGGUUGAACUUGAUUCGUUUGUAUUGGUCAAAAUAAAUUUUUGUAAAAUUCAAAAUAAAAAAUUAGAAGAAAACAAGUAAGGACUUCACCAAUUGUAAAAUGUCAUCUACACAUUCCUUAUAAUUCUUUUUGAUACCUCCAACCAAUGCUUAUUGUCCAAGGACAAGAAAGAAAUCUAGUAGCUUUACUUUUUUUUUCUUACAUUUUCUUGACGAAACCCAAGAAGCUUGACGAAAUCUUACUUCUCACAUUGGAAUUCACAUUGGAAUUCACAGUGGAAGGUGGGCCACCGGCAACGAAAUGAAAUGUGGGCCACCAGCAAUGAAAUGACCGCUCACAUAUCUGUCCAUCCGUCCACGAGGCUGUAAUUCUUGUGCUAUAAGCAAGACUGGCGCCAGUCUGCCGCCAGUCUUGUCAUCUUCGGGACUAACCCCGCCAACCGAGCUAAAAAUCUUGGCGCCAGUCUUUGUUUACGUGAAUUGAAGUAGAUUCGCUUUGAUACCUAAAAAUGGGUACUCCGAUUACAAUGGAGCAAACCCAAGAAAACCGUAUGUUGAAGUGGACAAGGGUUACUUUAUAACUCAAAUACAUAAUUUGGUGGUGUAUGAGUACCGUCAUCUUAUAACUGUGGGGUUUAUUUUCUGUAUAGGUUUGUAUUAAUUGAAUGAGCAUUUUAUGUAAAGAAAAAGAUUAAUAAUCAAAACUGAAAAUCUUGAAUAGUUUAGGCAUCACUUAUUUUAAAUUUUCUGUAUAUGUAUACAUAUAUACGUAUGUAUAUAUAUUUUAAUAAUUAUUCUGUAGCACAAUAUAAAAAGAUGUAAAAAUAUUAUUUUCAUUUUCAAUACAAUCCCAGGCCUAGAAUUCAAAUGAAUACUUUAAAAGAAAAAUAAUAUGGUGUAGAAUAGUUCAAAAAUAUGAAGGAAAAUCAAGGUCCACAUACCAUUAAACUAUUACUAUUAUUUGUAAAGGGAAAAUCCAAAAAUUAUAUUAAAAACUAAUUAAUGGAAAAAAAUUUAGAAAAAAACCCAAUCCACCCCGUUUUUAAUUCAGUCGGUGUAUGAAUACAUAAUUUGGCGGUGUAUGAGUACCGUCAUCUUAUAACGGAGGAUUAACCCCCGAAUAGGUGGUGUUUUAUUUAGAAAACCUAUUAUCUGUGUUUUAUCUCUUAAAUUAAGUUGUGUAUGGAACAAUGGGUAUGUAAUUUGUUGUAAUGGAGGAAUGCCGUAAAGAGCUGGUCAUUUCUUCGAAAAUGGUUGCAUUGUUAUUCGACCCACAGCUAAAAGGGGGAAAAUGGGUAGCCUGUUGUUGUAAUGCGGGAAACACAUAAAAGGCUGGUAUUUUAUUGGAAAAAAUCAUUGUUAUUAUUGUAUUAGGAAAAAAAUGUCUGUCUACGGAAAUGGGUACUCUGUUCUCAUAUUCCUGCCGAACCCGUCCACAGCUGGUCUUCUACAGCGGAGUAGUGCAAUUCAGAAAUAUGCAUGCCAUUUGGUUCUUCUAAUUUUCCCAAAUAAAAAUUUAGAUGCAGUGCCAGCUGUGACUUAUUAUCGCACUAACCCAAGUUAGGUUGGUUAACCGUGGUCCGCAAAAGGAUGCCUGAGAGGGGUCAAACUCCUCUUAACCACUCAGUCCAUGCACUGCAAGCUCCUCCAUUUAAACCCAGGUCCGUCAUCCUUAUCUCCUCCUAUAAGAGCUUCCUGAAACUAAACUUCUUCCUUGCAUGCCCAUUGACUUCCGCAUUGGUUUGGCACAACAGCCUUCGCUAUAAAAGGGCCGCUUCAGUUGUUUACCACCUGUAAGACGUAAGUAGACGAAAGAAUAGCUUCGUUCUGCAUUUUCUAACCCCUGAACCGACCAGGCUCGUCGUACCAAAAUCCUUUUCCAUACUGACUCAUGGCACUUGGACGAUUUCCUCAAAUACAUGUCCUCAACAACGGAGGCAUGGUCGGUUACUUUCAAGAUGAGGUGUUACCACUUCACCACAUUGGAGUGAAGUGAAUAGUUGAGGAAGCCCUGGUUCGGUUAGAUAGGUUUCCCGGAGCGGAGUUUCCACAGUCGAUGCUGGUGUCUUGCAUCCCCGUUCGCAACCCCAUUGCGAACGAGGAAGUAUUCCGGUCGCUGGUCAAGUGGCGCCGCCGUCCACUCCCCCUUAUGCAGAACCUGAAGGCGUUUUAUAUCAUGACCUACAAUGCAUGGUUUGCGGGCAAGGAGGAAUUUGUUGCACAUUUCCUGGGUCUAAAACCACUGCUCCAUACCGACGUCUGGAUCCUCUUCGGCGCCAACUUUGAAGACUGGUCUGUAACAAGGUUUCUGGCUGACCAGGGGUACCCCGCUAGUAUGACACGGAACGUUGCCAUUGCGGACAACCUUCACACCGCAACCAUUUGCUGGAAUCCAUCAGCUGUAGAGAUCACGUUUGAAGACAGAGAUGCUAUUGACAGCCUUGUCCUCACUGUGCGCCGCAGAAAAUACCGCAGCUUUCUGAGGGUAGCUACCACGGUUGCCUCCUUAAACCCUAUGUUUGGUCUUAUUGUGGAGCGUUUCGAGUGAAGGUUCGCAGGUACGGCGGUGUGCUUUUAAUUUUUUUGUUGAAGAUCAUAUUUGGAUGGUGGGUGGUUGUUUGUUCAUGGCCCUUGCUGUUGUUGGGCGUACCAUGCAUGGUUUUGAUUGUUAGCGUAUCAAGGGUAGGGGUUAGGGGAUGAUAAUAUGCAAGGCCUGAAAAUUAGGAGUGCACCGUUUGUCGGAUAUGUAAGCGAUGGUACUUACACCCAAAUAUAUAAGUAAGAACUUGUUUCGUCGUUCAACUCCACAAAUUUUCCAAUUUAACCUAACAAUGCUGUGCCACAUCCCACUUUGUUGUACGUAACCUUCAGCUUGUUCAGUUGCCUGGCUAAGCUGAAGUUCAUAUUUAACAACGCAGCGAUUGCCAUCCCACUGACUAAUGACGUUCAUCGAUCAAUCAACGAUCCGUAGUACCUCAUCCGCACACACAUUUCGUGGGACAAAGGGAACAGGGCAUGCCGAAAAACCACAUAAUGCAGAAUGUCAAAAUAAACCAAAUACGGAAACCGAGUAUGUUAUAUAACGCAAAAUCACCAUUUAAACAGUAACACUCCGCCGGUUGGCCGAAAAACCACAUGCGGCAACCACCGGUUGACAACGGAGGGACAAAAGGCAUAAGGAGCACAGCAGUGGCAACCACAAAUACAAGAGGCUGUAAAGGAGCCUUAAUGGCCAUUCUAUCCUUACGGACACCAUAGUCCAGUACUGUAGGGGGGGUUUGGAGGGAAUGCAAUCAACGCGAACACAUGAAUUCACGGUUUCAGAACCAGAAGAAGGACUACCCCCACCACAGCUACCACAGCAAUGUUAAGGAUGGUCACGUUCCUUUGCAUGCUUCUCAGUUCAGCUAUGAUGGCAGACACCUCCGCCGCGGGUGUAUUAGGAAAAACGGGGGCGGUACUUGACGGGGGGGCGGGAUCGGGAACUUCAAACCCCGUUGCUCGUGCAAACUCAUCACACCAGCCAAUGAACGUUCGACAGGGCCUCUGCAAUACAACUACCUUAGCAAUCCGAAAUUAAUGGAAGAAACAGUUCUACCGAAGAACAUACCAGGGCGUUAGCGCAGCGAUAGUAGUGGCGCCCCCUGUUUGCUUCAGACUUCCAGACAACCCGAACUGCACAGCUUCGACCACAAUUGCAAUAUAAUGUAGGCCACACCGUGCUAUUGACCGACCCGGCUGAAGACGAAGAAGCCAUUCGCAAAGGUUAAUCUCCUCCGCGACACCGCCUAACUUUAUCUCUGCGAAACACAAGGACACGGCGCUCCCACGGUGUCGACGGACAGCAGCUUUAACAAGAAUUUGGGGGUUGGAGGGAAUAGGUUUUCGCCAACAGUAGUCAACACAUUUGUUUGCUUAUUUGGGUGUGGAUGAGGUUAUUGCUUGGUUCAGUACUUGGAGUCUCCCAUCAUGUAUAGUUGAUGUUUCGGAACGAAUACAAUAAAUAUGAAUAAUCUCACUAUCCUCCCCUGAGGUUGAUUUAAAUUUCAGUGGCAUCCCAUCCCAUUUAACAGAAAUUUCACUGACCUCCCUUACUCUAUUGCGUUUUUUGGUAACAACGCAGUCCAAAUCUGAUUACAAUAUUAUUUUCAUGUGUGAGAAGGUAUUUUUAUUCCAUGGAUGCCCCUUUGGUCCUUGUAUUGGUAGAAGAUUGAAAGAAGAAUAAAUUAUUAGAAUGAUUACUAAAGUUGAGGGGUUAUAAGUACAAAAAAAUUUUUUUGUAAGCACCGGAUGUGCCAGGAAAAAUGCCGAGUUUGACAAAUUUUAAGUGAACUAGUAGGUUAUCUAUUUAACAUAAAAUAAGUAAGUAAUUAAACUAAUUAAAUGCAAGAGAGAGAGAACUAAUUAAAUGGAAGAAACUCGUAAUAGAGGAAACCUAUGCAAAACGAAUAUUAGUAUAUCAGCUUAUAAAUUGUACUCACGUAAACUAAUUGACAAUUCCAAAAGCUGGUUGGUAAUUACAUUUAACGACAAUAACAGAAAUUUAAUAUGUAAUGAAGGUGAUUAAAAAAUUAUUACUGCUAGGCGGCAAUAGAAGAAGUAAUUUGGCGCCAAUUUUUGAAAGUUAAAUUUAUGUAUUUAACAUAAAUUGAAUAUGUGAAAGUUAAAAUAAGAAAACGAAAUUGCGCAUGACAUACCAGCUCUAUAUGGCAAACAUUGUACCUUCUUUGUAUGGGAAACAUACCAGCUCUUUAUAGGAAAUAUUGGUUAAAUAGCGGACGGUGGAAAACUAGUAUGUUUUGAACCAAAUUUUUGUGGCAAACAUACUAGCUCUUUAUAGCAGCAACUACCGGCCAAGACAGAACUAGUAUGGUUUUUAUUUCACAUAACAAUAAUUAUAUGACGGUUUAGGAAAAUUUGAACAAACAACGCAUACUAUACCAGCUCUUAAAAAUAAAGUGGCAUGUUUUGUAGUACGUUAAGUUUCAGAUUUUUUUUUGGAAACAUACCGAAAGUUUUAUAGGGAACAAGGGUUUAGUAGCGGACGUAACUUGUAACCUAGUAUGUUUUCAAUUCAAUUAUAGUAUUUAAUUUUAUUAGUUUUAUAACAAAAGUAUUACUGCUGGAAAAGCCUCACCAAAUCGUGGUCCCAGUCUGUAAAGUAUCACUUUGUAGUAUAAGACCAGCUCUUUAUGGUCUUCCUGCAUUAUAAUAACAGAGUACCCUUUUUUCCAUAAAUAAAUAUAUUUAUCGGAUAAUAUAAAAAAUAAACUCGAUUUACAAUAAAACUGAUGCUCUUUAUGGCUCUCCUUUAUUAUAAGAAAAGAGUACCCAUUUUUUCGAUUACAAAUUUAUUUAUCGGAUUAAAUGAAAAUAAACAAGUUCUUGAAUAAAACGCGAGCUCUUUUUGGCUAUCGUCCAUAAAAUAUCCAUUUCAUGAUUUUUCCAUAAGCUAAUUCGGGGGAGGUUUCUGAGGGUAUCCCUUAUAAUAUAUGUGUAUAUAAUAUUAAUAAAUUAUAUAAAAACAUAAUUACAAUUGUUAAUAUCAAUAGAUUGUAAUCUGCUGCCAAAGUAAUUUGGCUUCCGCAUAACCCGAUUCGGAAUACACGCUCCAGUACCGAAACGGGUUGAUUUUCCAAUAUGUAAAUCGGGUUUGCCUCCCCUCCACGCCCGUCCCCGCCACAUCAAUUAUCCCACAAAAAGCUUGUCUUACUUGAACUUCUCAUCGUUUUUCCUGUUUAGCCCAUCAACGCCUCCGCCGUUGUGUAAACACACUGAACAGUGUCGGUUUAAACUUUCCCCCCCCCAAAGUGUGGAAUUUCGAGCGUUACAGAGGAAAAACACCAGCUCUUUAUGGCAUUUACCCAAACAUUUGUCAACACCAGCUCUUUGUGCGUCUUCUCAAUUAAUGGGUUCGGGUUACGACGUUCGUGGCAGCAUACGAGGAGUGAGUCUGGACAAGUUUGAAGGACGCGACCUUUUGGUUGCCAUUUACCCCGUUCGUGGCAGCAUACGAGGAGUCAGUGUGGAUAUGCAUCGGACGCGACCUUUUGGUUGCCAUUUACCCCGCCCGACCUGUCUGCCAAAUCUGUGCUACCGGCUUCUACGAGUUGGUUGACGACCACAGGUACGAACUAACCCUCCCUGUUUAUCACUGUGGAACCUCCUUUGCUAUGCGAUUAACGCCCGUAAAUUUACGAUGUACGUGUAGUUCAUGACUGUUCAUCUUCCCUUGCUAUCGGUGUAUUGUUACGGUUCUGAUGAAUUGACCGUAUUGACACAUACGUUGGUUGGUUUGAAAAAAUGUUACGGAUGACAGUUUUUUGACGACAGAAUGUUGCGUCGUUUGCAGGAGAAGUCGCCACUUUCCCAUUUCUGUUCGAACCAACGCUAAGGUUAGUCGGAUGUCCAGAAACAGUGGGAUAUUACACCUGAUCUAUCAUUUUUGGAUUUUAUGAGGAAGUAGUUUUUGUUUGAAGUUUACUCCAUUCUUGGGGCUUUCAGGGAUUCACUAAACUGUGCCCAGUAAAAGGAGUUAACCGGUCAUGGCCAACGCACAAAAACGGAGUUCACGAACCUCCAUCCUCUCCCUUCCAACCGAGGUGCUAUCCGAGGUGCUUGCACGUGUCGCGUCUUCUUCAUCCGCUGAUCUUUUCCGGGCAAAACUGUGGUUCGUUCUGCUAUGGAUGAUACAAACUGGAAGAGGCGUAUUCUUGUUCCAUUCUGUGCUUUUCGUUUUAGUUUAAUGGAUCAUUUCUAUUAUUUUGCAGCUGUAAGUUGUUCAACGAAGUUUCCGAGGCAAAGAACAUUUACCAGCGGGUGUCCCUCGACAGGUUUGAAAUCGUUCCGUGGCCAAAAAACCACAAAGUGUCGAGGUUCUUGAAGAAGUGCAGACAAAGCAAAAAUCCAGAAGCCUUGUACCGAAAAGGAGUGGUAAGUUGGGUUGCUUUGGAACGUAAGACGCAAUAGUCAUGGGAAAAUUCGGUAAUGUUUUAAAUGGAAUAGUAAUGAACUAACAUUCCAUAACCAUACUUGAGUUACAAAAUUUCUACACCAAGCUCACAUCAUCUCUUUCAUUUGAGCUUCAAUGUGAUUUUGGUCAGCACACUUCACCCAAAAGAUUGGCGUACAACAGGUUACUGCAGCUUUGGGCCCCAGUAAAUAACUGUUGUCUCGCCGCCACUGUUCUGCCUGCACUUUUAAACUUUUUCGUUACUCAUACAUUUCGCAAGACUGUAAUAUCAACCUUGGAACUGCUUAGGUUGAUUUUUUUUCGGAUAAGCACGAGGACUCAGCAUUGGAAAACCUGGAAGAAGCUGCUAAUUCAGGCCAUGCCGAUGCUGCAUAUGCGUUGGGAAUAAUUUACAUCUUUGUUGGUGGGGACGAGUUAAAGCGCAAAGGUAUGAGACUGCUCAUGAAAUCCAGACUUCUUCAAGGCAGAGUGAAUCUUUGCCGUCAGAAUUUGCGAGCGCUGCUGAGGAUGAUAUGGGUCAAGAAUCCUGUGUUUCUAAACCCAACGCCCAUUUGUUGUGCCAUGACACAUGAGAGGAAAACAUCUUCAUGGCCUAUGCAUCCCGAUGAAGUGGAGGAGAGUACAUGUGAAGGGUGCGCUUGCGAUGAAGAAAUUCGAGCAAUUUGUGCUGCCCUGCCAUAUCGUUAGUGUGUAAGAUUGAAUGUUGACAACACAUCGUUACGCUUUUUUUAUGUUUGCCAACUGAAUUGACCGCUACUUCUUACUCUCUUAAUAUUACUGGUAUGAAAACAUAAACAGCUUAUCUUGGCCCUUGUAUGUUCUGACAUUUUCUCGACAAAACGCCGUUGUAGACAAACGUGUAUGAAAUGUAAGAAUAAAGGAUGAUAGUUAGAAGGUAAAGAGGGAACUCCUCAGCAGUGAUCUACGUGACGGAUACUGUAGUGAAGUGAGAAGUUUACUAAGUACAAACGAAAUGGUGGUUGAUUAGAUACUGCAAAACAAUUUACUUAUGGAAAAAAGGGUACUCUGUUCUUAUAAUGGAGGCAAGCCAUAAAGAGCUUGUCUUUUAAGACAAUGUGAUACUACGAUGAAUAGACCACGAUUUGAUUUAUGAAAUUAUCCAAAGAAAAUUGCUGAAUGAUUUUGUCAACUUAAUUAAUUAAUUAUUAUACAUAUUCAUAUAAUGCAUUAUAUAAUUAUGCUAAUCUUUAAUUUUAUAUUACUAUAUACACAUAUAUAUUAUAAUUAUAUGCACAUAUAAAAUACAUUUAUAAAUAUAUUUAAAUAGUAAUAUGUAAAUAUAUACUAUAACAGUAUUUAUAAUAUACAUUUAUGAAAAAUUUUAAUUAAUGUAUAAUAUACUGUAUAGUGAUAUAAUAUAUUAGUAUAAUUAUACAAUGCAUAACAAAAAAUAUAUAAUAAUGACAUAAUUUUCUUUACAUAAUUUGAUAAUCCAAAUCGUGGUCCCAGUCUGUAAAGUAUCAUUUUGUAGUAAAAGACCAGCUCUUUAUGGUCUUCCUGCAUUAUAAUAACAGAGUAUCCUUUUUUCCAGAAAUAAAUAUAUUUAUCGGAUAAUAUAAAAAAUAAACUCGAUUUACAAUAAAAGUGAUGCUCUUUAUGGCUCUCCUUUAUUAUAAGAAAAGAGUACCCAUUUUUCCGUAAACAAAUUUAUUUAUGGGAUGAAAUGAAAAUAAACAAGUUGUUGAAUAAAACGGGAGCUCUUUUUGGCUAUCGUCCAUAAAUUAUCCAUUUCAUGAUUUUUCCAUAAGGACAUUCGGGGGAGGUUUCUGAGGGUAUCCCUUAUAAUAUAUGUGUAUAUAAUAUUAAUUAAUUAUAUAAAAGCAUAAUUACAUUUGUUAUUAUAUAGAUUGUAAUCUGCUGCCAAAGUUAUUUGGCUUGCGCAUAACCCGAUUCGAAUACACGCUCCAAUACCGAAACGGGUUGAUUUUCGAAUAUGUAAAUCGGGUUUGCCUCCCCUCCACGCCCGUCCCCGCCUCAUCAAUUAUCCCACAAAAAGCUUGUCUUUCGUGAACUUCUCAUCGUUUCUCCUGUUUAGCCCAUCAAAAGCUCCGUUGUUGUGUAAACACACUUAACAGUUUCGGUUAAAGCUUUCCCCCCCCUUUCUGAAAUUUGGAGCUUUUCAAAAAGUUUUUCGCGGCAAGGUCGAAGAAGAAGUAGAUUUAUCGCGUUCGCUUCCUCUGUUGCUCAAAGUACUCAACAAUUGAAUCGCAUCCCGGAGCAAGCAUUGGCAGUAACAUGGAGGCCUGUAUGAGUCUUCCAGUGUAUGCAGGCAUGUGGGUCGACGUAGAAGCUCUCGCUGGUGAGUGUAUUGAUAUCACGGAAUAUCUGAAUGCCCAAAAUUUGUUAAAUUUGAUGGCAAAUAAUGACAAGUGCUAUGAUGCGAUGGUUAGGGAAUUCUAUGCUAACUGUAGGGCAAAUAAGCAGAAGUCAGUUCUGCGUUCAGUCGUUAGGAAUGUAGAAGUGUCAGUGUCUACCGAGGUUUUGUGUUCAGAGUUUGGGUUGGUUGACAGUGGAUACACUGUUGACUAUAAACGGAUUAGCGCAAAGAAUGUAGAUAAGGUUGCUGUGAAGGGGUACAAUGACCUAGAAUUUCUUGGAGAGAUUAGGCAAAAUGGUGACAGAGUUAUGAACACGGGGAAAAAAACUAAGUUUUAUGCGCCGUAUAUGAAAGUAUUGCCACGGCUGUUACAUCUGAUAAUAACUCAUAACAUUUUACCCAAAGCCGGAAGUAUCACUUCCAUUAGUGCAUUAGAAAGAGUUAUAUUGUGGCAUAUGUUACACAAACAACCCGUCAACAUAGCCAAUUUGAUCAUUGCAACAAUGCUCAACAGGAUUAGGAAGAUUAAGAGCAGGGAGAAUAAGAGAACACAUCUCCCAUUUGGUAUGUUGCUGACCAGGCUCUUUAGGCGCUUUAAUGUGCCAUUCUUGGCUGACCAUGUUGACAGAGGAUUUUACGCCCAAAAUAUGGGAGUAUCGUACUUCAAAAAACUGGCAUUCAAAGCUGAAGAUGGUGGUUGGAUGUGGAAGAAAUCCUAUACCUCUGAUGCUGUCAUUGGUGAGACUGGGGACGCGAAUAGAAAAGUUGAAGAAAUAAAUAAGAUGGAUAAGGGGGGGAAGUGUGCUGGGGUCGAGGUGGGGCCGGUUGUGGGCGAAAAGGCACACCUUCAAGAUGUUGUCAUACUGUCUGAACAAACCAGAAAAGGGGCAAGUGUAUAUGACAAAGUUAUUUUACUCCUUUUUGUUUCUUCUUCUCGAUGGCAACACAGGAGCAUAACCCAAUAUUUGUAUGACUAGGUUGCGGAUAAAGUGACACAAAUUUUACAAAGGGUUGGUGCCAUCGAAGUGAAGGACUGCGGAAUUGAGAAAUUGCCAUUUCUACGAGAUGUAAGACAUGCUCUUGCACUCUCAUGUAAUCCCCUUUUUAUAUGCUAAUACCUUUAUUGUCCAGUGUCUACCACAAGCUUCCGGCGUAGCACCUGAUGAAUUGAAAGAAGCCGUACGCUUUCAUGUCAGAGAACUCGUCCCGCAGAUGUAUGUUAAAGUGUCGGUAUUUUCUUUGGCUAACACUGAUCUCGCUUUCAUCUGAUUAUUGUAAUCAUGUCAAUCAUUGUUCACAGCUGUGUGAGUACACUAGAUAGGCAGCAUCUCUUUGAUAUUACAAGAGAAGAACUGGAGGAAGUGAUGCUUCAGGACACACUAAUCAGUGACAAAGUAAGUUUUUUAUGCGAUUGCACAGGCCUACCUUGUUCACUAAUCUCGCUUAAAAUUGUCCACUCGAUGUUGAAUGUUUGAAUUUGUUCCAUUCUGUGAAGGUUGUGACCCAAUACCUUCACUUACUCCAGAAAGAAUAUAAGCAAUUCGUUUUCUUCAAUCCUAUGUUUUGGGUACGUAACGAAAAUUAUUGUAUGUGCUGUUGUGCCUUGCAAAAUGUGGACCUAAUACUUGCUUCUCAAUCACUUGGUUGUAGCUUAAAUGCGUGUUAGACUAUCCAUGCAUAUCUCCCGCAACCAAAAAGACAUUCGUUGAUCAAAGCAAUGACGACUAUCAGUCAAAUCCUGAAAAGGUAAACAUUAGCUAUCAUUCUCGCCUUAACAUUCUUAUACAAUAUGAGUAGCAGCUGCAUGUUAGUGGAAUUUGAUUUAGCCUAACAUGCCUUAGCUUUUAACACAUUCAACAUUGCUUGUUGUAUGCGAUUGCAGAUUUUUUUCCCAAUCAUUUAUUCAAAUCAUUGGUUGCUCAUGAUUGCACAUGUCAAGGACAAACAGGUGUACAUUGUUGAUUCUAUGGACAAUUACAAAACCAUCUACCAAGGUUUGAUGCAAUCUGUGGUGAGUAUACUCCAAAAGCGUACCUUAGCUUCGUUUCCGAAGAAGGUAACAUUUUUCUAACAUUCGAAACCUGCUGUAUUUAUUUCCUUUUUUAGGAAUGGAUUUUGAUGGAAAUUUUCCACGAAAAUCAACCCUGGACAUUUAUUCUUGUAAAACACAAACUAAAACAGACAGACGGGGCGAGUUGCGGGGUUUUCACUUUGAAGUUUGCGCAAUGUUGGGCAAAGGGGUGUCGGCCAGAAUUUGUAAGUGCACACAUUGACAACCCCUUGUGGCAAGCUGACUCUAUUGCGUCUGACAUUGUUUCUGAAUGUAUGUACAGCUUGAUGUUGUCAUUGCUAGAAAAUUUAUUGCCUGGGAGAUCGCUUUGGGUAAACUUGCGGACCCAUUCGCUUAUGCUGCUUUCCUGAUAGAAAAUAAACAGGCACAUGAGGCUGUAACCAGAGGAGAUUUGCAAGAUCAUGCUACCAAGGAUGUGGGCCAUCAGGAAACAGGGAACGGUACAUUAUGUCACGCCUUUACUGUAAUUGGUUCGUUGCAUAUGAAGGCAAUAUUAAAUUUUAAAUUCUUUAGGGCUGUAGCAAAUUAUUGGUACGAAAUUAAUCAUUGUAUAAAGGAAACCAUAAAAAGUGUAUGUACCUCUGUUCCGAUGCAUCUCCUUGUGACACCAUUGUAAUAAAUCCUCGGCCCCAGAACUUUGCUUUACACUUUCCAUUUCCUCUUGUUUGAUUUCUCAUUAUGACAUUCAAAUUUGAUCUCACAUGCACAAUCCAUGUGCUGAAAUGCUGUAUGCCUUCAAUUUUUCCCCAGCCGAAGGUACAAGGGUGAAAAAAAACCCGCCAGAACUUGCGUCCAGCAAUGAUUCAAAGAAGAAGCUUCUUAUUCUUGAUUUGAAUGGAGUGCUUCUGGGCAGUGCAUUUACAAGGAUGACCAGAAAUCGGGACUUUAACUUCAGACCACAUUGCCGUGAAUUUUUGCAGGUCUGUCUGUCAUAUUUUGAGGUCGCUGUUUGGUCAUCAAAGCUAAGGUAUCCGCCAACCUAUAUUUCAAUUACUUGAUUAACUAGAACGUCCACAAGUUUUUCUGUUGUUCCCUUAAUUCAAGACAGUUGUGUUUUCUGCAGCCACAACAUUCAACCAGUGUUGGACAGUCUAUCCAAAAAAAUGAAUGAACGUUUGGAGCAGAGACUGUUAUUUGUUUGGGUGAGAUGUCAUUCACAAAUUAUUUCGAUUGUGUGUAGUCAGUCCGUGUGUAAGACUUCUGAUAAAUCAAAGUCGGGAACAAUCAAUAUUGUGCAGGAUCAGUCGCGGUGCACUAUGACACAAACCAGGCUUAGGGAAAAUCCAGACAAAACGGUGAUGUUUAAGGACCUGAAACGUGUGUGGGGAGAAUAUAAGUCGUACAACAGCUCUAACACGAUAUUAGUCGAUGAUUCUCCGUAUAAAUCCGUCCUUAAUUCUGUAAGUGCACCAUACGGGAACUGAUCGUUAUGUUGUAUAUGUUCCAGUAUGCACAAACAACAUGAUCAGGCCUAACUGUUUCCAUAUUACUCGUUCUUCAGCCGUACAAUGCCAUCUUCCCCACCUCUUAUACAUGUUACACUGUAGAAGACAAUUAUUUGGGUAAGACCUGGUCUUUUUGGCUUUGAAAUGUGGCUUUUGCUACGGAAGAGCAUCCGUUCAAAGAUUGGCCUGACACAAAACUUAUUUGCAGAUCCUGAAGGAGAUUUUGUAGGACACCUGAAGAAAUUGGCCCGUGCUGAUAAUGUACAAGAUUUCAUUAAGCAAAACCGUUUUGGACAAUCACCCGUAACAGAAGGCAGUGUGGAUUGGAACUUUUAUGUUAAUGUUGUCAGCAAGCUUGGACUGCAGAACACAGCAAAGCAAGUGACGCGCAAACGGGAAGCCCCAAACAUAUAUCCUCCGGAGGUAUUUAGAUGCAUUCAUGUUCAGGACUAUGUUGACAAUAGUUCAUUUCGUUUUUUUGAUAGCUAAAAUUGUGUCUGAUCAUAUGCACAGACCAAGAAAAAAAGGAAAAUUUGAAAGCAUGAAGAAGAUCAGUUUAUGGGCCGUUCACUGUACGGAAGCUUCUCCAAACCAUUGGAAGGAGAGAACCUAUCUUCUGAUGGGACACACAGGUUAAAAACUUUUGUGCUUUAGUCAGACACUGGGUCUGUCUAAUUCAUAUAUGUUGGUACUACUUUCUUCCCUUCUGUUUUUGUUUGCAAAGGGCCAUCGCUGAGUUUUUUUAUGCAAAUUCUAAAAAUGUCGAAGUUGGGAAUGACGUAUGUUGUAUGCAGGUUCCCGAAUGCACAUGAGGAAAAAUUAUCAGAUAAAAUUUGUAAUUGCUGUCAAAUGCAGGAUGCGUCAGCCAUAUACUUCAGACCACAUUGGCAUGUAGUAAGUUUAGCCUGUUCUCAUUCUAAUUGUUUGUUGGCAACUUAUCGUCUAAACAUUAAGGAUCUAAAUGUCACUCACUAAAUCUGCCCGUCUGGUUAACCUCUCGGAUACGUGCAAUACUAACAGUUGGUCAGGGAGCAAUGGUUGACAUUAAUUGAGCUAGGCUCCUUGCUUUGCGUCUGUACCAAAAUAAAGUCAAGCAAUGGAAUCUUCAAACCCAACACGAAGUCUGUAUGAGUAAUGUAUUCCUUUAGCUAACCCCUGGUUGAAUAUGUACUUCGAUAGGGAAAAUUAGCUGCUGGACUAGGAGCUUAAGAUUGCCUCACUUUUGAAUGGGGAUGUCUAUGCUGCUGACAGGCUUGGAGAACUUACAAUACAUUUCUGGGCCUGUAUUGAUGCAUUCGUUGUACAAAUUGGAAUACGUUAUUGAAGGGAUGCACAUGACGCAGGCACAGAUGUUUCCCAUCAUGCAAAUAUAUAUGUCCAUAUAUUUAUAAUAUAUAUGUGUAUGUAGUAAUAAUAUAUUAUAUAAUUAUAUUUGUUAUUACAAAUAUAGUAAUAUAUACUAAAAAUUAUACUUAUUAAUAUAUAAUAUUCUCUAGAAUUAUAAAAAAUAUUAGUACAAUUACACAGUGUAUUAAAUAAAAAUAUAUUAUAAUUUUUUAUAUAAAUAAAUAAACUAAUUCUAAAUUUUUUGGAAUAAUUUCAUAAACCAAAUAGCGGUCACAUCCGUAAUGUAUCACUUUCCCAUAAAAGGCCAGCUCUUUAUUACCUUCCUCCAUUAUAAGAACAAUGCACCCAUUUUUCCAUUAAUAGAUUCAUUUAUCGGAUAAAAUAUAUGAUAGCUCGUUUUGCAAUAAAACCCCAGGUUUUUAUGGCUUUUCUCCAAUAUAACAACAAAGUACCCUUUUCCAUAAAACAAUUUUUUUAUCCAAUAAAAUUAAAAUCAAUCAGUAAAUUAUACUAAAAUGUAUAUUAUAAUUUUUUAUAUAAAUAAAUAAACUAAUUCUAAAUUUUUUGGGAUAAUUUCAUAAACCAAAUAGCGGUCACUUCCGUAAUGUAUCACUUUCCCAUAAAAGGCCAGCUCUUUAUUACCUUCCUCCAUUAUAAGAACAAUGCACCCAUUUUUCCAUUAAUAGAUUCAUUUAUCGGAUAAAAUAUAUGAUAGCUCGUUUUGCAAUAAAACCCCAGUUUUUUAUGGCUUUUCUCCAAUAUAACAACAGAGUACCCUUUUCCAUAAAACAAUUUUUUUAUCCAAUAAAAUUAAAAUCAAUCAGUAAAUUAUACUAAAAUGUAUAUUAUAAUUUUUUAUAUAAAUAAAUAAACUAAUUCUAAAUUUUUUGGGAUAAUUUCAUAAACCAAAUAGCGGUCACUUCCGUAAUGUAUCACUUUCCCAUAAAAGACCAGCUCUUUAUUACCUUCCUCCAUUAUAAGAACAAUGCACCCAUUUUUUCAUUAAUAGAUUCAUUUAUCGGAUAAAAUAUAUGAUAACUCGUUUUGCAAUAAAACCCCAGCUUUUCAUGGCUUUUCUCCAGUAUAACAACAGAGUACCCUUUUCCAUAAAACAAUUUUUUUAUCCAAUAAAAUUAAAAUCAAUCAGUAAAUUAUACUAAAAUGUAUAUUAUAAUUUUUUAUAUAAAUAAAUAAACUAAUUCUAAAUUUUUUGGGAUAAUUUCAUAAACCAAAUAGCGGUCACUUCCGUAAUGUAUCACUUUCCCAUAAAAGACCAGUUCUUUAUUACCUUCCUCCAUUAUAAGAACAAUGCACCCAUUUUUCCAUUAAUAGAUUCAUUUAUCGGAUAAAAUAUAUGAUAACUCGUUUUGCAAUAAAACCCCAGCUUUUCAUGGCUUUUCUCCAAUAUAACAACAGAGUUCCCUUUUCCAUAAAACAAUUUUUUUAUCCAAUAAAAUUAAAAUCAAUCAGUAAAUUAUACUAAAAUAUAUAUUAUAAUUUUUUAUAUAAAUAAAUUAAUUAAUUCUAAUAUUUUUGGGAUAAUUUCAUAAACCAAAUAGCGGUCACUUUCGUAAUGUAUCACUUUCCCAUAAAAGACCAACUUUUUAUGACCUUCCUCCAUUAUAAGAACAAUGCACCCAUUUUUCCAUUAAUACAUUUAUUUAUCAAUCAGUUCUCUAGUAAAACCCCUUUUCCAAUAAAACACCGGCUCUUUAUCGAUUUCCUCCACUAUGAGACAGAGUACCAAUAUGCCAUACUUACUAAUUCACUUAUCGGAUAAAAUUUAAUUGAACACGGUUUGCAAUAAAACACCAGCUAUGUAUGGCCACUUUAUUUGUUCGAUAAAAUCGGAUCGAUAUUAUACUUGAGUGUCAUUUACCCGUUAGCAUAGAAUGCAAAGCAAGAAACUAACCUAUUGCAGGUUAAAAGUCCGUGUUAAGACAAAUUGUUUCGGAUACGUCAAGACACCUAAUUCAUAAACUCUCGCGAUACAUAACUUUAAUUACCACAAAUCAAAAAUUUCAAUCUUUUUUCAUUUAUUUCUAAUGACUGCAUACCAUGGAUCACUGUACGCUACUCAUAACCACCCACAAAUCUUCUCUUAACUCUCGACCACAUGAAGAUUGUGAUACUCGUUAUCCCCAUGGCAAGGUCUCCCCGCACCACCACCGGCGAGUUUGCUCGGUUGAACUUUGCUUUCCCUUCCUCUAAUGAAACUCAUAGAUACACACCAACCGCUUGCCUUGCUAUGGCAGCUUUUGGACUCUCUGUCUCCGUCUUCUACAUUUUAGGCUACGACGACGUCCAUCCGACUAUGACACCGCCUAAAACAUGGCCCUUUCCACAAAAUGCCGCUACUUUGUCUCUCUAUCUUGCCACCUUCAUCGAACCUCAACUUUAUUCAUCUCCAACCUCCUGUGCGUGUUCGCUUUCCGCAUAAUUUGAUGACGGACAACGUUGGCAUCAUCCAGAACCAAAGACAGUGCUACUUUGCGCCGCUCCUGCUCCGAAUUGUACUGCACCGAUAAAUUUGUUACUAUCUCCAUCGUUCGCAACCAAUGCAAGCAUACACACUUACUGUUACAGCAUACGACGCCAUUCCUUUUUCCUUACCUGAUUCCAUUUCCAGCUUCCAAUUCCACUUGAUAACAUAUCCAUGUACUUCAGCAUCAAUAACCCACAAUCCCACCUGCAUUACAAACCAUAACCACAUUUUUAGACAACCGUUGCUGAACUAUGGAAAAAACUUCCAAACCUAUGCACAUGCAACUUACGCAUUCCGUUGCUGUGGACAUGUGGCUGCAGCUUUUAUUUUGUACAGCCAAAGGCAUGACGAAUACUGCCCCUCCAAACCAUAAGUCAGCGCUGCUUCCAACCUUUCAAUCUGACGGCCAUACAAGAAAAACAUAUGCAAUUUUAAGUUUACUGCCACCAAUUGUAAAGGUGAUGGUCGUGUUCAUGAAAUGUUUGACAAACCAACUUAGUUUACCACUGUCUCCACGGAGCUGCGCCUAUUCAUUUCCGUUUGCUCGUCUCCUCUCAUUGAAUCAUAAAUUAAUACUUCUUCGCUUCCCAUGUCCACCACACACAUAUACCAAUGCUCAUCGUGCCACAUUGGCACGAAUAUCUGAAGCAUAGCAGCGGUUAGUUAGUCAUCAUCAUGGCAAUCUGUAUCUAUUCCAUUAUGCUACAUAACAGGGCAGCUGCUCGUACCUUCUCACACUUUUUUAUAUUACCUCCUACUUUACAUUCCUGUAGAUAUGUACAGUACAGCUCGUCUGCUGAUUUGUUGAACUCCAAAAUCUCUUGCUACAACACGACAGUCAAAUAUGACAUUUUAAUAUGAAUGUACGUACUCACAAGCCCCCAACUUUGGCCGAACACUUGUACCUGAAACCAAGUUGGCAUGAACCACCAUCGCAUUGACUGAUCGUCAGGACGCCUUUGCUGCCGUGCUGUUUUCAUCGCACAAUAGCAAUUGAUUAUCUGCACCAAACUCAAGUCACAUCACUUCGUCCUCCGUGAAACAGUCCACACAACACCACCCAAUUUCAAUCCCUCGAUUUACUCACAUCACAUGCCAUGGGUUUUUCAGGAAGCAACGACCCCAUUGCAUCCCGACUUGCUGUCUGCCCCUUAAUUGACACCAGUACUUCCCUGUCAUUACAACAGCGUACAUUAAUCUUUUCCCUAUGUAUAUUACGGUUUCAUAAUCUACAAACUUGAUAUCAUCAUUUUCAAUGACUCGAGUUAAAACGGCCAGACUAGGUUCGGUCUUCCUCACUAAUACAACCAGCAAUCACGGUUUCAAUGACUCAAUCGGUCCUUAGGGUCAUUGAGUUAGCCUAAGGCGGUUAUGUACUCACCAUAAGGGUCAUUGAGUUUUCAUUGUACUUCCAUUCUCAAACUUCUGGAAUACUCACCUUUUAUUCUAUAUGCAACCAUGUUACCUACCCUUACUUUUUAUAUAAGGUGGCAUGAUUGACAGCACACAAAUUGUAAGUUUUGUGCUCACUUGUAAACCAAUUUUAACUGCUUCGAAGAUUUUCGUUCCUAUGCCCUCUCCCCUAUGGGGAUAAUCAUACUACAUAUUUAGUCAACCUUAUAAUUGCAAAUACUUUUCUGUCCCCUUUCCCAUUGCAAUUUCAAAUAAAGGAUAAAACAAAAUACAACUGUUGAUUUAACAAAUCCAUGAUCCAGUACAUACCCUUGCGACAGCUGAGUGUCAAACAAGAACUUCAGUAUUUUUGCUCGUCCCUCACUCAAUUUUUCCCCGAUAGAUGCCAGCCUCGUUUCCUGCUACCACAAAAAUAUGUCAUCUUUCAUUGUCUAUAAUUUCCCAUACUUUAGUAAUUCUGGAACGUUGGAAUACUCACCUUUGCCAAUAAAGCAACGAUCUUCGUUUGACACUUGUUCAUCACACUGCUAUCCAUCUGUACAUAAAACUACAAUUUAUACUUUACUUUUCUAAUGCUAGAAAUACCUUGGCACAAACCGAUGCAUACCUUUAUUCUUUUACCUUGCCUUCUGUUUUGUUUGUCUUCCCCCACAGGCUUCUCCGUAUUGUCCAUCCUUAGUCUCUUUCUACUCCUCCACUUUGUAAUUUUCGAUGCACUCUUUUCACCCAUUACAGUACUAUUCGUAGUGACUCUAUCAUUUUCACUCCUGCUUUUGGACCUAACAUCUGGCGUUGUAGGACUCAAUUUAUGUAACUCACUCCCUCUUUUAACAUUACCGCGCCAAUCGUCCUUCUGCCCACCCUCCACACCAAGUGCCCGGUUUGUUUUGCACACCCUUCCACUUUCAUACAUGCUCCUCAGCCUUUCAAAACGACAUUCAAUCAUUGCUUCCAUUCUACCAAUACUAUCCUUCACAUCUUUAUUACCACAUUCAAUUUCAAUCAGUCUUCUAUCAAUGUCUUCUCUACAGCUUAUGUUAUUGUAAAACUGCACAUUGCCCUGUCACUACAACCCUUCAGUUUUGUACUACUAGUAACGUCACAAAAUGCAGAUUGCAAUUUCAACAACAAUUCACACGAAAGGAUUUUACAUUACCUGUUCCCCCUCAAAUAUGUGAUUCCUCCUCAAUAUUCGCACGCUUUCAUUAAUCUCGUACCUUCCCCAAAAUCUUAGCCUCGGCCCUCUCGGCUGGAACUUGCGAAACUCGUCCUCACCCUCGAUAUAGAAUCGUUCCAGAUAGUAAAUCUGCACGGACAAAAACGCCUACCAUCAUUUACGGGUCUUUUCUAUCAAAGUUUAAUUUCAUUAUUCCAGUAAUUCCUAUCUCUAAUACAAAAUGGUGCGUCUUUCUUAUACCAUCAAGAAAAGUGCACAUCCCGCUAUUCCGUUGCCGUCUCCAUCACGGAUGCUCUUCACCAAAUUGUCAAGUAUGAAUUUCGACCAGUUCAAAUUUUCCAUAUUCUCCUCUAUAGCCACUACAGCCACCAGAGCCCGGCUCACUUUGUCAUCCAAACUUGGUGCUAACAACCUACCAACAACAAACAAUACGAACUUCACUUUGAAUUCUAAGCCUUCGUUAUGCAAACUACAUAUACUGUGCCUCAAUUCCUCCACUACAAUUUCACCGCUAUUUAUUCUGAUAUUCAAUUCUCUUUAUUGUAAUUGUUGCCGAAUAAGAAAGAAACAAAAGCCAAAGAAUGGCGGCUGACAAGGAGUAGUCAAAGGAAAUUAUAAAAAAUACUAAAAGCUAAGGUCUUCAUGAUGCCUUGAAUCUUGCUUUCUUUCCUUUCUUAUAGCCGCCGCAGAGAACUCAAGAAGAAAACAGACGUCUGGCCCAAUUGAUUGCAACAAAAGCUAGCUUUUGGAGUUUGAAUCCCAUGCUCCUCGCGGUUCACGUGGACCACGGUCCGUCUUUUCGAUAGCGUAGACCUUUUGUGGCGUGGCCACGCUCUGAGACGAAAAGUCUUCUGAAAAUUUGCCUCGCGAGAUCAUUUUUAAUGCCGAACACCUAUAAUUCAUGCAAAUGUGAGAUAUGAGUUAAACCUCAGUACUUAGCACAGUAAAUAGCCAAAAUUAGGACAAAAUAACACUGCAAAAUGUGCCAAAUAACUGCUCUAUCAGUGAGGUGUUCGCGUCAAGGUUCAAUCGAUCGGAUUGGUUUAAUUCUGAUUCAAUGAAUUUUAAAAAAAUAAUUUAAAUAAAUAUAUAUGCACAAAAUAAGACAUGCAAUGGACUAAUUUAAGACUUUUUAUGAUGAAAAAUUUAAUAUUUUCAAAGAACUUAGAUUUUCAAAAAUAAAAUUUUAAAUUAUAAGUUGAAAUAAAUAAAUUUCAUCUCAAUCUCAAUUAUAUCUACAAAAAAAAAAAUCUAAAAUCCAACCCAAAAAUACAAUAAUAUUUUGAAAUUAUACAAAAUUCACGUCUAUGAGAAUUAGAUAUUGUGAGUUUAAAUUUAAUUCACGUUUUUGGGAUUUAGAGAUUGCAAUUUUUUAAAAAAAAGAAGCUUAGAGUUUGGAGGAAGUUAGGAAAAUUGAAAAUAGAGAUGCAAACUUGAUAAGAGAUAAAAAAUGAUAAGAAAGUGAGUGGUUGUGGCAUUUAAUAAUUAAUCUUUAGAGUUAAAGAAAAUCUAUUUUUUAAAAUAUUUUUUCAAUUUAAUAGACAAAAACAAAAAAAUCACAAAUCUGCACGAUUUACAAGGCAUACUAUUAAUGAUUAGUUCUGGUAGAGUUAAAAAAAUUUCUAGACUAUAAUUUCUUGAAAAAAGACAAAUGAGAAAAAGCCCUCGAACAAACAAAAAAAUUUGCAAAUCAAGAAAAGAAACUUCAAUCCAUCCAAAUAAAAAGAGGACAGCAUAUACAAAAUAGAGAAAAAAAAUUAAACCAAAAGAAAAAAAUAAAAAAAAAACUUGACAUACACACAAAAGUAGAAAAGAAAAUUUCAAAAGAUUGAACUAAAAAGAUGAAAGAAACAUUAAUAAAUUAAAACUAAAGAUGUUGGAUUAAAAAGGGAGUGACAAAAGAAAAAGGAGAGAGAGAGUCAAAGAUUAAAUAGAAAGAGUCAUGAGAGAAUGAGAUUUUGUAGAAAAAAUAGAGGAAACAAAGUUGGAAGUUUGAAGGGGGGGCGAUGGUUUUAGGGUGUAGAGAAUUCUUGUUUUUUUUUUUAGUUAAUAAGUUUUAUAUAUAUGUGUUAUCACAAAAAACUAAUAGGAUGUGAUGGUGCAAUGGUUACUAUAGCGGAUUUCUAUAACAAAGGUCCUAAGUUCAAUUCAUGGUAGUUUUACCAGUUUUCUAAGUUUGACCAAUUAUUUGUCAUAGUCAACUCUAGUAUAGAAUCGGACCGGUAUCAUGGUCGAUUCACAGUUCAAUCGAUCGAUCUAACUUGUUUGGUUCGAGUUCAAUCGAUCGAUCUAACUUGUUUGGUUCGAUUUUAAAAACACUGAGAAAAGGCCUUAAGCAUUUCCUUGGGUUCUAUUUGAUGAAACUUGAAAGUUGAAAGCUACUUUUCCAUAGUGGUUAAGCCUAGUUUGAGGGCCGAGAAGAGAAAUGUAGAGACAUAAAUAAGGGAUUAAUCUUUUAUACAUAGUGUUUGUACAUUGUCAAUUUUGGAUAAAUGAAAGCUAUGUAAAAUUUAAAUUUAAAAUUUAACUUUUGUAUAUGUAUCAUGGAUUUAACGGUGACAGUGUAUACACUAUUAGUAUAUAUAAAAUUUAUUCAUAAAUAAUUACGAGAGAUGUAAGUAAUUGCGAAUUUUUUUAAUGGGUAUCCCAUGAUAGUCCUGUUAGACCAACCUUAUACCUAAUUUAAUAUAUGAAUACAAAUUCACAUUUAUUGUACCUAUGCAUGGGACACUUCAGCAAAUUAAUUACACUUUUGUGAAAAGUAACACUUGAGGCCUCUUAACGGGGUACCCGUUAAUUAAACCCAAAAAUUAAUUAGAGGGAAAAAGAAAAAGAAACCAAUUUUUAGUGCAUGACCUCUUUGUCUUGUUUGGUAAUAUAAGACAAAAUAUAUGAUGACGUUUUAUUUAUUUGUAUCCGUAAUUUUUCCCUUUAUAUUUAAAGAGUAGUUUGGACUCUAGAUUCACCAUCUCACUUUCUAUCACAAUGUUUAUCUAAUUAUUUUAUCAUGUAAUUUUACGUACAACGCUUUGUGAAUGAACCAUGUAGUAUAUUCACAUGUCACGGGAAAAAAAAUAGGGAAUGAAACAGAAAUUAGCACAGAAAGUAGGAUAAAGAGUCUAGCGUCUAUAAAUUGGCAUCUUUAUCUCACUGUUUUGUCGUGUAAUUUAACAUGCAACACUGUGUGUUUUGUGAAUUAACCAUUGUACUAUGUUCACAUGUCGCUGGAAAAAAAAAAAAAGAGGAUGGAGCAUAAAUUGGCAUAGAAUGUGGGAUAGACGGUAUAGAAUAAGGAAAUUGGCAUUAUUAAAUCUCUGUGUACCAUUCCUAUUUGAGUUAUGGUUCUUCUCUCAAACUUCGGAGAGAAAAUUAUUAUUAGCUCUCAAUCAUUCUAAGUUACCUCAAUUUUCUAAGUGCCCAGUUGAAAAAUAGGCAUGCCUCCUCCAAAGUCCUCAGUUAGCUGUAAGAAAAUCCAUUUAACGGCAAGCUUAGUAUUGCUACCCCACCAAAGGCAUAUCCAUACAACGUAAGAACCCAGAACUUAAGACCACCCCUUCAGUACUUGGGUUUUCCCCUCGUAAAAGUUGCUAACUUUUUCAAUCUUUCACUUAGACUUUAUUUGAUAAACCAAUUCAACACUUAAUUUUAAUGGAUUUAAAUUUUAACAUGUUCAGACCCGUUUAAUAAUAAAAAAUAGAAUAUCUGAAUUAAUUAAAUAACACUGAAUUUUUUGGGCCAAAUUUGGUUCAAAAUAUAAAUGAUAAGCUGUUCAUUUAUCACUUAAUGUGAUAUAAACUCAAAUGUAUCAAAUUUACUACUUAACAAUAUAGUAACUUAACGGAUUCAGAAUUCAGAUUUUAAAUUUCAGUUUUAUCAAAUGCAUCUUUAAUUAAGUAUAAUUCCAUCCUGUGCCAUUCUAGCACCCUCAUUGCACUUGAUAAGUUGGGUUUCUGUAAUUUUUAUAUUUAUUGGUAGACAAAUUAUUGUUGACUUUUUUUUAUAUCAAGUCAUCAAAUCUUUAAGAGUAAAAAAAGAAAAAGAAAAAGAAAAAAGGACGUGGAAAACUAAAACACAAGCAAACCUUCUUUUCUUUUGGGGGUGGAUCCAAUUACAAGCAACCAUCUGAUUUUGCACAACCCAAACAUGAAGACUUGUAAGGCCACCACCAAAGCCCGUAAGACUUGUUACCAAAGCCGGUAAGGUUGGAUGGGGUGGGAAGUCAAGGAUUCAAAUCUUGCCCCCCUCCCCAUCAUCUGUCAUUAUAUGUGACCUGCCACUUUAAAGUUGUUCAAGACGGAUGCACCAAUUUGGGUUGGUGGUAGUUCAGUUCUCACUAGUUUCCUUUUGGGUCUUUUUAGGUCCCCCCAUAGCAUAGAAAAAAGACUAGUGGUAGUUCAGUCUCCACUAGUUUUCCUUUGGGUCUUUUCAGGUCCUCCCAUAGCAUAGAAUAAAAUGUAGAUCUAUUGUAUCUGGCCAAAAAAAAAAAUGAAGACAAUGUUAAACAUUAAAGGAAGAAAAAAAAGGGAAAGGGUUUUAUUUAAUUUAAAGGUUUGUUUUGCAUUUCCUGCUUUAUCAUGCUGUUCAAAUUCCUCUAAUGCCUUAAAUGCUGGAGGAAAUAGUGGCUCCUUAGUCUACUCAAGCAAUGGACAAAUUAUGGUUAAUAGCACGUGAGUAUCACGUGACCAUGCUUUUCUCAUUGGUUUUUUUUUUAAAAAUUUUUUAUUUGAUAAGAAAAAGUUUGGAAUGAUUCAAUUCCAAUCAUCAUCACCAAUCAGAAUAUACCUCUGGAAUGAUGAAACCAAUAAAUCUACUUACAGGUAUUUAUAGACCAUUUACUAUCCUCGUAUACUAGAACAGUUUAGGUACAAAAAGUGAUUUAAAAAACAUGAGAAACAGACUAUCUUUUGCUUUAUUUCUAUUACAGAGUUGUGUGUGUUAGAUAAAAUAUCAUCAUUCUCCUUGCCUAAAAAGUCCACCAUUUCUUGACAAAUUGUAGUGUGAUACAAAAUUAAGGGCGACUUGAGGGCCUAAGAUAUAUAGACCUUGGGGGGUUGGGGCAAAGAUAAUAAUUGUUCUAUUUACAUGUUUUUUAAAAAAUUAUGCACUAUUAGUGUAAAGGAUUUUUACAUUAGCAAGUAUAGAUGUAUGUCAAGUAUAUAAAAAGUAAAUUUAAAAUUUAAAAUUAGAUUAAGUGUCAUGCAUUUACAUUUGCUCGUGUAUACACUACAUAUAAAAAUUACUCGUUUUAAAAAAAUUUGAAUGUUACAAUUUUUUUUGACUUUUACUGUUUAUCUGAAAAUAAUUGUUCUGUUUACAUGUUUUUUAAAAAAUUAUGCACUAUUAGUGUAGAGGAUUUUUACACUAGUAAGUAUAGAUGUAUGUCAAGUAUAUAAAAAGCAAAUUUAAAAUUCAAAAUUAGAUUAAGUGCCAUGCAUUUACAUUUGCUCAUAUAUACACUACAUAAAAAAAUUACGCUUUUUAAAAAAAAUUUGAAUUUUAUAGAUUUUUUUGACUUUUACUGUUUAUCUGAACAUGUCUUUGAUGAUAUACAAAUUAUGUGAGACAGACGUUUUUUUGUUAUUAAAACAUGUGUGUGAUGAUAUAAAAAUUAUGCGAGAUAUAUCUAUAUUGCUCUAAACAAUUAGAACGGGUAAUUAUUUGGCCUCAAAUAUGAUUUUGAGAGGUAAGCAACUUUGUACUUUUCAUUGAAACUAGAGGAAUAAGUCAUUAAAACGGAAGCACUGCGUGAAUAGCUCACGAUGUCAACUUAUUCAGGGAAAAUUGAGGUUAGCCCACCUGGAGAUAUAAUUAUAUAAAUGUAGAAUGGUCGAGCCGAGAGCUCAAUGUGUUCAUGCAGAACACAAAUAGACACUCAGGGCAAGCAUUUUCUCUGGUUAUGUUUCUAAAUCCAUUCAAUUUACAAAAGUGGAGUAAUGGGACAAUUUGUGCCAUUAAUGAUUCUUCUUCAACUACUCUUGCUUAAUAUCUGUGAGUACUAUGCUUGUUGAAUGCUUUACUGCUUGUUCAUUAGUUGCAUGUUUGCAUUUCUUGUAGCUAAAUUUGAAACUAUCAAUAUCUCUUGAUCAUAUGGACUGUAUCCUUUCGCUAAACUACUUUGAUGAGAGUUUAAAAAGAAGUGAUCUCACUUUCAUGUAGAGUUUAAUAUGCUACUGACAUGAUGUAUCUGUUAAAAUAGUCAUUGAGAUUUGGAAUUCUGCAGUACCUAUUUUCUCUGGAAGGAAUGCGAGCUAUAAUCAAACAGUGAACUACGAAAUGAAUCUAUUAGCAAGAAAGAGGAUUGAUGACAUGAAAAGUUUCAGAAUGCUGACAUUUAUCUUUCUCUUUAUGUUUUGAUCUAUAAGAUAUCAGACUUUUUCUUUACAAAAAUUAAUUUAGCAAUGAGUGUCAAUUUUGUCUUACCUUUGAUUAGUUUACCACUUAGUCCAAAAUUACCUUUGAUUAAUUUAGCAGUUUCUUUCCUUGUUGGAUAAUAUAAUAAUGUCCUCUGCCGCUUAUGGCUUGUUAUCUUGAGACUUCAGUCAGCUAUUUGAGAACUUCUCCUCUUUUUCUUGUUUUUUCCUUGUUCCUUUUAUCUCUCAUUGCAUUUGACUUCCUAUGUUGUAGGUAAUAUACUUCCUGAGAUUCCCACAGCAAAUUGAGUACUUGCUGAUGUUCUAUUAACAAUAACAGGUCAUUUCCUUUAUGGAAAUGAAAUCAACAAAUUGAGUAAUCUUUUUUUAGCAGAUAUUAUCCUCCCUUCACCGUCAUUAGGCACUUAAAGAUGAUCCUUUGACAUUGUGAUCUUUGUUAAUCAUUUUCAUUAGAAGAAUAAUUUUAGGUGAAUCACCAGCCAAUGUGGUUACAUUGUCAGAAACCACAUUCCUUCCUUUACCUCAUCUUACAGCAACUGAUGCUAUAUUUCCUGCCCUAGACCAAUUUCUGUUUCUUUAUUUCCUUUGUUCCUUUAUUGGUUGCAUAUAACUGAGUUCUUUGUGGUGUGAAGACUCUGAAUUAGGCUCAAACUGAAAUCAAUUAACUAUAAACUGGAGAAUAAUUAGUUAUGACUGUUCCUUGAUUGAAAGUUGUUAACCUCGAUUUUGCUUCUUCAUAAAUUACAGGACUGCAGAUUAGCAAGUUGAUGCUUGCUUUACAGGCCAUCUCAAACAUACUUUGAUUUUUCACAACAAAAGCCAAUACCAUAUCAGAUGACAUAUAAAGUGCAUGGUUCUUGCAAGAUAAAACUGCAUCUGAUUUUUUUUUUUUUGUUUCUGAAAAAGAAAAAAAAAAUCAUUCCAUACAAGUUCGAUCUGUUUAUAAAUAAUUGCUGCCAGAGAAGUCCAACAUAAAAGGCUCAAGUCACAUAGAAAAUUUGAUGUAAAGGCUUCUUCUAUUCAUUUAUUCUAAAUGCAGAUACUUAACUCCAGAAGGGAUUCAAAUGUUAUUCUGAUCCUUCUUUAACAUGCAUUUACAACCCUAACCCCAAUAAAGAGUAUUUAGCUAAAGAAUUAUCAGUGGAACUCAGGAAAAAGCACAUACAUAGAAUGGUUUAAAUUGAUAGAUUGAAAAAACAUUUCUUGGAGUACAAUAUGAUAAAAAAUUUUGUCAUAUUACCCCAAAACAUUUUUGUUGAUAAUCAAGGAAUAGUCACAGAAAACUGUAUCACUGCUCCAGUUACAAUCAAGUAUAGAAAAAACAUCAUCUACGUAGGAAUAGAAAGCUACACAUGAUGAAAAAACAGCAACUGUAAUACAGCUAAGGAAGAAGUAUGUACUGAAAUGAAAUUUGGCGUUGGUGGACAAGGCUUCAAUUAACACUUGUUUUUGCAACAUCACCCUGUCUUGCAGCAGCAGUUUUGUGGCUGCCUGAGAAAUAUUGACAAACAACACUUGAUUAGUAUAGUUAGAAACAAAAAGCAAACUCAUCCAUGAUACUAACGCAAGUACGAUCACGAAAAUUACAUUGUAAUUCUACUUCCUUCCUUCCAACUUAUUGUGGCUCUCAAUAUGAAAUUUGGAAUGUAAACAUUUGCAAACAUAUACACCCCGUAACUUAUGUAGAAAGCAUCUUCAGAGAAGGGGAAAACUUUCAACAGCAAGAAAUGAAAAAAAUGAAAAAAAACAUAGAGAUCAGCUCAUUUAUGGAAUAAAUUAAUAAAGACACUAAAUUCAGAAACAAACAAGGAGGAGGAAAGAGAUAGAAAAUAAAAUAUUUAAAUUUAUAGAAAUAAGAAAUAUUAAAAAAUAUUAAAAAGCUGCAUGCAGCAGAUUGUUUGGAUGAAUUGAUAGGUUGCAUUUUAGUGGGUAUUUCGGGCAUUAUUGCACCAUUAAUUGACUAAAUAUUUUCCUUAAUUGGGUGGAUUCUACUGAUAUCUUGUUUUGGGUGCUAAUUGCAGGAAUGGAUGCUGAAAAGUGCUUAAAUUCAACUUUUAGAAGAUUCAUCGGACGUGGGGCCCGUUUGAGAAGCUGAAGAAACCUAAUUGUAAUAGAUUUUAUUUUAAGAUAUUUUUAGCGAGUCUGGCUGCAAUUUUUAAGAAGUAACAAUUCUCGGCUAUUGGGGGAUUGCAUUAUCUCUCGCGCGUUUUAGGUUAAAAGCGGAGUUUGUUUUUGAAUGAAAAAAAAGAAGGAGCCGCAGCUUUGUAGAGAGAAAGGCAGCAGACAAUAGCCACUUUUGUUGACUUUGAGGAUUCUGUGAGCUUUUGAUUGUUCUUUGACCAAAUUGAGAAAUAAAAACAAUUCUCCAAUCUUUCGUAUGUUUCUUGUGUGGGAAAAGAAGGAAAGCUUAAAGGAGCCGCCAUUGUUAACUUUGCUUUUGGUUGUCCUACCUUGUGUGAAUUGAAUUGGGGAGCAGAAACAAUCUCGUGUUUUUCCUCCUGUGGUGGACCGAAGCGGGAGAAUCGAAUUGCAAACCUUUCCCAAUUCUCCACGCGCGGCCUACUCUCCACUAAUGGGGAACUAAACCCCUAAUUCUAGUCAAGGGGACAACUGACGAUUUGGUUCGACAAUUACUGUGAGAUCUAAACCGUUUUUAAUUAUUUUCUUCAUUAAUUGAUAUUCAUAUGUUCCCUGAUUUUAAUUGCUAUAGCCUCGUGCAUGAUUGGUUAGUGCGCAAUAAUUAAUUAUUCAUAUAGGCUAUUUUGCUAAAUAGGGGUAAUUGAAUCCGUAAUUGUUCGUUAUCCCUGUUUUAGUAGCAACUGGCAUAAUUGGGUUUAUGUCAGGGGAAUAUACGAUCUAGUUUAAACAAACCCUCGUAGCGUGUUUGUUAAUUAGGAUUGGGCCUUUCUAAUUAUUAAUGCAAUCUAAAAAUUAAACCCUACGGUCGUACCUAAGGUUGUUUUUGGGUUAGAGAAAUAGCUAACGGUCGUACCUUAACUAUCGAUAAAUUAAGGAAGGGUUGGUCGUUUAGCGCGUGCGAGACAACUAUAACCAGUCUAUUAAUAAAUGUGAAAUUACCUUUGAAUCAAUGAUCAGUUGCAUGAACCAUUUCUGAAGUGUACCCUUGGCUAGAUGUUUCUCUUAAUUAUUUCUUUUAAUUGAUUAUUUUCGGCAUUUCAUUUGUUUAGUUGGCAUUUAAUCCCAAAAUCCCCUUUCAUCUUGAUUUGAAAAGAAGCAAAAUAUCUUGCUAGUCCCUAAGAAGACGACCCUGCUUACCACUAUCUACUAGUUAGUGAUUUCAGUUAAAUAAUUAAUUCAGGUAUAUCGGAUCAAGCAAACUCUUCGGGAACAGGGUGAAUCAAAUAACCCAUUGCACACCUAGAGUCCCUGCUCCAGUACUCGAAUUGAUUAAUGACUGGUUUAGGUGGUAUUUAGGUUUUAUUAUUUAUUAUUAUUGCACAGGUUCGACACCUGUCAAUUUUUGGCGCCGUUGCCGGGGACUGGCAUAUGAAUUAUUUGUUUCUUUUUUGAAUUCAGUUUUUUUAUUUAGUUUUUGUUAUUUUAUUUUUCUUGGUAUUUUUGCUAGUUUAUGCCCCGUUCCUCUCGCACAGGUGAAUUGAUAUACGAUUCUAAGGUUGAGAAGGCAGCGCGUAGGCGAAGAUAAGAAACCAAGAGACGAAAAGAAUGGCACUUAUCUUUUGCAAACGAGUCAGUAGAAAACGAAUUUAGCAUGGCCAACACCCAGACACUAAGGGAGCUGGCUACCCCAGACCUGACUCAUCAGCCCUUGUGCAUCACGUUCCCAACUCUGGCUGAAAAUACCUCUUUCGAGCUGAAAUCGGGGUUGAUUCACCUCCUACCUAAGUUCCAUGGUCUUUCUGGUGAAGAACCGCACAAACAUGUCAAGGAAUUCGAAAUAGUUUGCUCUAGCAUGAAACCUCCUGGGGUCACUGAGGAGCAAAUAAGACUUAGAACUUUCCCCUUCUCUCUCAAGGAUGCAAUGAAGGAUUGGCUAUACUACCUACCUGCAGGUAGUAUCACCACGUGGGCACAAUUGAAAAAGAAAUUUCUGGAAAAAUUCUUCCCCGCAUCCCGGGGUGCGAGUCUGAGAAAGGAAAUAUGUAGCAUCAAGCAGUACUCCGGAGAAUCAUUGUACAAUUAUUGGGAAAGGUUCAACAAAUUGUGCCACGGAUGCCCACAGCAUCAGAUUAGUGAACAACUGUUGAUCCAGUACUUCUACGAAGAGCUCCAGUCAACUGACAGGAGUAUUAUUGACGCUGCAAGCGGAGGAGGCCUGGCGAACAAAACACCGAGGGAAGCGUGGGAGCUUAUUGAGGCCAUGGCAGAGAACUCCCAGCAGUUCGGCUUCCGUGAGAGCAAUCCUACCCGUAGAGUCAAUGAGGCAGAGACGUCAUCUAUCCAGCAGCAACUGUCGGAGUUGACGUCUGCUGUUAGGCAAUUGGCCAUGAGAGACACACCGCGAGCAAAGGUGUGUGGAAUCUGUACUAGCAUGGACCACUGUACGGAUACGUGCCCCAUUCUGGAAGAGGACGGGGCGGAACAGGUAAAUAUGGCCGGAGGCGUGCCCGCGCCCCGCAGGCAGUAUGACCCGUAUUCCAAUACAUACAACCCUGAUUGGAGAGACCAUCCCAAUCUUAGUUAUGGGAACAGACAAUCAAGUUCAUUCCCGAAUCGUCCACCAGGAUUCCACCAGCCUUGGCAACCAAAAUCUCAACCCUCAUCCUCCAAUUCAGGAAGCUUCUUGGAGGACCUAGUCAAAAGUCUGGCCACGACUACUACUCAGCUUCAUCAGGAGAUCAAAGCGGACAAGAAGGACCAAGAAGCUCGAAUAAGCCAACUGGCCACUGCCAUUAACCGCUUAGAGUCCCACGUUUAUGGAAAACUGCCAUCGCAACCCGAGGUAAAUCCCAAGAAUGUAAGUGCCAUGACGCUGAGGAGUGGCAAGGAACUGGAAGGGCCUAAAGUGAGAAAUUCAAAAAGCAAAAGUGAGGAGGAGAUAGAAAAGGAAAUUGAGGAGGAAGGACGUGUUCGUGAGGAGCCUAAGGUAACCUCCACCUCUCCACUCACUACUAACUCUAACUUAUCCCCUUUUCCUUGCAGGUUGGAAAAGACAAAGAAAGUAGAGAAGGAAAAAGAGCUCUUGGAUGUGUUUCGGAAAGUGGAAAUCAACAUUCCCCUGUUGGAUGCAAUCAAGCAGGUACCGAAAUAUGCUAAAUUUUUGAAGGACUUGUGCACCCACAAAAGGAAACUAAGGGGGGAUGAACGAGUGGCGGUGGGAGAAAACGUGUCAGCCAUGCUCCAAAGGAAACUCCCACAAAAAUGUGGAGAUCCAUGUAUGUUCACCAUUCCCUGCAAGAUAGGAGGUGCCUCGAUUAGGAAGGCAAUGUUGGAUUUAGGGGCGUCAAUCAAUGUAAUGCCUAAAACAAUUUAUACGUCCCUUAAUCUUGGUCCAUUAAAAGGCACAGGCAUUAUAAUCCAACUUGCAGACCGUACCAAUGCUUACCCAGAAGGGUUAGUUGAAGAUGUUUUGGUACAAGUCAAUGAGUUAGUUUUUCCUGCAGAUUUCUAUGUCCUAGACAUGGGGGAUGAAAGGGCGCUGAACCCGUCUCCUAUUUUGUUAGGUAGGCCAUUUUUAAGCACUGCUAGGACGAAAAUAGAUGUAAAUGAGGGUACUUUGUCGAUGGAGUUUGAUGAGAAAAUUAUAAAUUUUAAUAUUUUCGAUGCGAUGAAAUACCCAGAUGAGACUAACUCUGUUUAUGCUUUAAGUGUUGUUGAGCCCCUUGUACAGGAAAUAUUUGAAUUGGAUGGGGUUGAUACACUGGCAGUGGUAUUAGCCAAACAUCUUGAAUUGGGAGCAACUCCUGAUAUAGAAUUGAGUGAUGAGUUAUACCGGGCUGUUGGAGCACUGCAUUCGCUCCCACCAAUUUCUCCAAUGUAUGAGCUCACUUCUGUCUUUGUACCAGAAACUCAGGCGAAAUUGUUGCCCUCUAUUGUGCAGGCACCUGAGUUGGAGCUCAAACCUCUCCCAAAGCAUUUGAAAUAUGCUUUUCUCGGGGACAAGGAGACACUGCCAGUCAUUAUAUCUGCACACCUGUCACCAAGGCAAGAAGACAACCUUAUUCGUCUUCUUCGAGAUCAUAAGGAAGCGAUUGGGUGGAGUGUAGCAGACAUCAAAGGAAUUAACCCUUCCUUAUGCAUGCAUCGGAUCCGACUUGAGGAUGACGCAAAGCCAGUUAGACAAGCGCAACGGAGAUUGAACCCACUCAUGAUGGAAGUGGUAAAGAAGGAGAUACUUAAACUCUUGGAAGUGGGGAUCAUCUUCGCCAUCUCAGAUAGUCCUUGGGUGAGUCCCGUGCAAGUAGUCCCGAAAAAGGCGGGAGUAACCGUUGAAGAAAACCAAGGGGGCGAGAUGGUCCCAGUGAGGAAACCCACAGGAUGGCGUCAGUGCAUUGACUACCGACGCCUGAAUGCCGUGACGAAGAAUGACCACUUCCCUCUACCUUUUAUUGAUCAGAUGAUAGAAAGGUUAGUUGGUCGUGUCUAUUACUGCUUUCUUGACGGUUUCUCAGGUUAUUUUCAGAUUGCUAUAGCCCCAGAAAAUCAGGAGAAAACUACAUUCACUUGCCCCUUUGGUACAUUUGCCUACCAGAGGAUGCCUUUCGGUCUCUGCAACGCCCCAACAACUUUCCAGAGGUGUAUGGUAAGUAUCUUUUCCGAAUAUGUAGAAAAGAUUAUUGAGGUGUUUAUGGAUGAUUUUAGUGUUUAUGGAGAUAGUUUUGAUGAAUGCCUGGAUAAUCUAGCUUUAAUUUUGAAAAGGUGCAUUGAGUCAAAUUUAGUUUUAAAUUGGGAAAAGUGUCAUUUCAUGGUGGAUCAUGGCAUUGUUUUAGGGCAUGUGGUGUCGGCCAGAGGUAUAGAGGUAGACAAGGCAAAAGUCGAUAUUAUCUCUGCUUUACCUUACCCCGCAAGUGUGCGGGAGGUGCGUUCCUUUUUGGGUCAUGCAGGGUUCUACAGGAGAUUCAUCAAAGAUUUCUCCAAAAUUGGAGCGUCCCUGUUCAAACUGUUGCAGAAGGAUGUGGCAUUUGACUUCACCGAAGAGUGUAAGGUGGCAUUUGACAGGUUGCGGGAGUCAUUGACAUCACCACCUGUGAUCCAACCUCCAGACUGGAGCCUCCCAUUUGAAAUAAUAUGUGACGCGAGUGACUAUGCAGUGGGAGCGGUGCUGGGGCAACGGAUUGGCAGAGCCGCACAUGCGAUCUACUAUGCAUCCAAAGCGUUGAAUGGAGCUCAGCUCAACUAUUCUACAACAGAGAAAGAAUUACUUGCUGUGGUUUUUGCAUUAGAAAAAUUUAGAUCUUAUUUGUUAGGUGCGAAAGUAAUAGUUUUCUCUGAUCAUGCAGCCUUAAGGUACUUGAUGACGAAGAAGGACGCUAAACCAAGGCUCAUCAGAUGGAUCCUGCUUCUUCAAGAGUUCAACUUGGAGAUUAAGGACAAAAGUGGGGCAGAAAACUUAGUCGCGGAUCACUUGAACUGCCUGCUUGCUCAUAAGGAGGAGCCACCAUUGAGGGAGGCAUUUCCAGAGGAACAACUACUUGCUAUUAACUCGUCUGUACCCUGGUAUGCCGAUUUAGUGAAUUUCUUAGUGACUAAUCAAUUGCCUGCAGGGUGGCCAAAGGCUAAGAGAGACAAGUUGAAGAGUGAUGCUAAAUAUUACAUUUGGGACGACCCGUACCUUUGGAGACAAUGUUCGGAUCAAGUGCUCAGGAGGUGUGUAAGUGCAGGCGAAUUUCACUCUAUUUUAAAUUUCUGUUAUUCGUUUGCAUGUGGAGAGCAUUUUGGGCCCAAGCGAACAGCUCGCAAAGUGUUAGAGAGUGGCUUUUACUGGCCUACCCUGUUCAAAGAUGCUUAUUUAUUCUGUAAAUCCUGUGAUAGGUGUUAAAGGGUGGGAAAUAUUUUUCGUAGGGACCAAAUGCUUCAAACCCCCAUGUUGUUUGUUGAAAUUUUUGAUGUUUGGGGGAUAGAUUUUAUGGGUCCUUUUCCCUCAUCUUUUGGUUUCCUAUACAUUUUACUUGCUGUAGAUUAUGUCUCUCAAUGGGUGGAAGCCAAAACCACCCGUACUAAUGAUUCUAGAGUGGUUGCAGAGUUCUUAAAAUCUAAUAUCUUUGUCCGUUUUGGAAUGCCAAGAGCUGUAGUUAGUGAUAGAGGGACACAUUUCUGCAACAAGACUAUCACUGCCUUGUUUCGAAGAUACGGUGUACUCCAUAAGGUAUCCACACCGUAUCACCCGCAGGCAAACGGUCAGGCCGAAGUGCCAAACAGGAAAAUCAAGUCGGUCUUGGAGAAGAUGAUGCGUCCGGAUAGAAAGGAUUGGAGUUUAAAGCUAGAAGACGCACUAUGGGCGUAUAGAACCGUGUAUAAGACGCCAAUUGAGAUGUCUCCGUAUAGACUUGUCUUCGGUAAGGCUUGCCAUCUUCCCGUAGAAUUCGAACACAAGGUGUUUUGGGCAGUGAAGCAGUGUAACAUGGGAUUAGAUGAAGCAGGGGUCCAAAGGAAAUUGCAACUACAAGAGUUAGAGGAGAUAAGAAAUGAAGCGUAUGAGAAUGCCACGAUCCAUAAGGAAAAGAGUAAAACCUUUCAUGAUCAACGAGUUUCCACAAAAUCUUUUGUAGUGGGGACAAAAGUCCUCUUGUAUCACUCGAGACUUAAACUUUUUCCCGAUAAGUUGCGUUCUCGUUGGAUUGGUCCAUUUGUCGUUUCUAAUGUGUUUCAUUAUGGUGCAGUGGAGAUCCAAAGUUUAAAAACGGAGAAAAAGUUCGUGGUGAAUGGCCAUCGUCUUAAACCUUAUUACGAGGGGUUCUCUGUUGAAGAAGUAGAAGUUGAACACCUCCAACAUCCACUUUAUAAUGCUUGAGCGUUUUGGCCAUGUCUAGCCAAAAACAGUAAAGAAAGACGCUACUUGGGAAGCAACCCAAGACUAUUUGUUUCAGUUUUCAUGCAUUUUUGAAGUUUUAGUUAAGUGUUAGUGUCAAUUAAUAGUUUGAUGUUUGGUGGCAGGAAAUUAGUAGUUAAGCGUGCUCACGCCUGAGGGGAAGGAAUUUUCGUUCAGGUUCUGCGGACUCCAUAGCAGUUAGACGUGCCCACGCCAAGUGGUCACGCCUGAUGGAAGGAAUUUUCGUUCAGGUUCUGCGGACUUCAUGGCAGUUGAGCGUGCCCACGCUAGGUGCUCACGCUAAAAAAAAAAAAAAAAAAGGGCCAAAAGAUGAAAUUGCCCUUAUUGAAAAAGAAGAAAAAAAAAUCGUAGCCCUACUUCUUCUUUUCUUCCUUUUUCUUUCUUUCUUCUUCUUCUUCUUUCUUGUCUUUUUGUCCGCCGUCGCACCUCCCUUUCUCCACACGCCGCACGAUCACCGCACCGCACCUAGCCGCGCGCGACCCAGCUGCGCCGCACGACAGCACCACCAGCAGCAUCUCAGCGCGGACCACCAGCCGCAGUUCCAGGGCCUCAGCUCCACCGUGUGCGGUUCCGACGCCUCCUUCACCAGCCAAGCCCGCCUUGCUCCAGCAGCAGCCACGACCAGCAGCAACGCCGCCGCACUCGCCGCCACCUAGCCCGCGCAGCAGGAGCCCACUGUGCGCGCAGCUUCACCAGCCACCAGCUGCCUUCGCACGGCCAGCUCGCGCGUGCAACUACCCACCGCACGCACGGAUCAAGCCAGCUGUGCACGGUGCGCAGUCAACCGCCAAGCGCCUCGCCCAGCUCUUUUCUCUGCCCAUCGCGACUCCAGAUCGAGCAAGGCAAGGUCAGUCUGCACGCACCUGCUCGCCUACCCAGGCGUGCGCCAGACCAGCGCAGCUCUUCCCCCCUUUGCGCGCAUUCCCCUGCUCUCCAUUUCACUCACGGCCACUCACCCGCUUCGCGCGCAACCGAAGGCGCAGCAGCCAGCUAGCUCACGCGAGCCAGCCACGCGCAACAAGGGUCAACCGCGAGCCGCCUUCUUCCUCCUCUAGCGCCACCUGCAUUCUUUUUCUCUUCCACCCAUAGCAACUACCGGUUAUCCCCCAUGGUGAUUUCUUUCUUAAUUUUCUGUCACUAAGUAGCUAAGGCCAGAUUACUAGCUUUUAUUAGCUGAUGACAGAUUUUAUUUUCGUAGCUGAGGCCAGAUUCUUUUUAGUUGCUAAUUGAGGACAGAUAUUUUGUGCUUGAUUUGGGUCCUGUGCCGUAUCUGUAGUUGAUUGUUGCUUAUUAGGUAUAUUUUGUGUUCAACCGGGGUUAUCAGGGGGAGGUUUUCACUUCGGUUGCCUGAUUAUUUCGUUUUUGAGGGGGUUUUGCUCUGUUUAUUUGAUUAAUUACUUUUUGGGUCAAAUUGGUAGUAUUUGGGAGAAUUUUGCUGUUCAUAGGCUUAAUUUAUUUUUGGGUCAAUUCAUUGCCUGCUUUUGCACGUGAUUGCGAGUGGGGAGUUGUGACUGAGAAUCAUUUACUUUGGGGCCACUUGUGACUUCUUUGGAACACCAUUUCCUUGCCUCCACCCUGCCCUCUGCAUUCAAAUGACUAAACCAAAAAAUAAGGGCAAGAGCAAACCUUCCACUUCCACCCCUCAACCUACGGUCCCCUUAGGGGGACCUGCCCCUCGACUGGGCCAGGAGGGCCCCGUACUCGCCUUGGACGGAAUAGAGAGGUGCAUAUCUCCUCUCCGGCCCAUUUCGGCAGCGAUUUAACCUUUACCAGGGCUGCCGACAAGGAGCGGUAUGCCUCGGCUUGCACAAGGAAGAUAAUUCCUUGUAAAUAUAUCCAUGGCCCUACACUUGAUAUGCUAAACCUGAGGGAUGAGGUCACGCAGCACUUGACUAAUGUAGGCUGGACCCGCUAUGCUUCUAUCAAUCUACCUGCUUUUAUUGAACUCACAUGGGAAUUCUAUGCUACUUUUGAAUUUAAUAUUCCUGAUGAAUUCUCCGUUACCACUCUUGGGGUAGUGAGAUUUCGAUUGAUGGGUAGAGAGUUCAACCAGUCUAUCACUGAGUUUAAUUUGGCUCUUGGGUUUAUUGAUAUUCCUUACUCCCAGAGUGAGGAGUAUAUGCACAGUGUGUGUGAGUACUCGGAGCCAUUUUUCUCUCAUUACAUUGAUUAUUGGAGAGAUUUGUCGGUUGACCGCCACAUCUAUGACCCCAGUCAGUCUAAGGCGUCUUAUCUUAAGAGUGCCGCCUACCGUUAUUUACAUAGAUUCAUGGCCUAUAGUUUCUCAGGUAGGAAGGAUAGCUCGGGUACUCUGACCAAACCCGAGUUCUUUUUCGUUUGGUGCAUGGUCACUCGGAUUAGGGUCAAUUUGGGUAGCUGGUUUGCCCUCCACCUCCGGACUGUGCUAAGUAAGAAAAAUAAGCCAUUAAUCUUAGGCUCAUUUAUCACUCAGUUGGCUGUUAAUCUUGGGGUUUUGGAAUUAAAUAAUCAUAACUUGCAUCGUGCUUGUGCUAUGGAACCCCUUGAUUUGGUUUGUUUGGAGAAAAUGGGUCUUGUGCUACAGGUGAAUGGCGUUUUUUAGUUUGCUCCACCGGGGCCAAUCUCCGUUCCUCCAAAGCGCAGCGCUUCCAAAUCCACUGCCCCGGAGGCUGGUGGUCCUUCCACGGAUGCCCCCGGACCAUCCGCUUCGGCAUCUCCACCAUCUUCCUCCGUCGAUAGCCAGCUUGCAGCCCUCCAGUUCCAGAUGCAGCACAUGGACACUCGUAUGGAUCGGAUGGAGCGUCAAAUGGGCGAGAUGACCCAGAAUAUAGCGCAAUAUCUUCAUCACGUGGGCUUUCGACCGCCUUUCCCUCCACAGCCAUGAUGUAUUUCUGCCCUCCUCCGUUUUAAGGGAAGUUUCAUUGCCCCGCUACCUCUGUUUUGCUCUUUCUUUGUUUACAUUGGGAGCAAUGUAAGGUUUAGAUGUGGGGGAGGGUUCACUACGCUUUGAGUCGUGUUUUUAGUUGUUGGGUGUGCAUUUUUCUGAUUUUAGUAGUUAAACGGUGAUGAAUGCGAUUGAGAUAUGAGUAUAAAUAGUAAGUUCAUGCCAUGGGGUGCUCUGCUUCCCUUAAUAUGGAAUUGAUUGAUGAAUAUGCUGAAUUUAACAUCAUUUUGACCACUUGUGCGAUUUUUGGGCCUAAUCUUUCGUUUGCUUGAGUGGUUAUUGCACAUGGUUUGUCAUUCUAGAACUUGCUCGGUUAUGCAUGUCGAGACUGCAUUUAAAUGAGUUUAAUGCAUUAAAAUAAUAGGGCACCUAGGAAUGAGCCAUUUUUGAACUUUGCUUUUGGUUGUCCUACCUUGUGUGAAUUGAAUUGGGGAGCAGAAACAAUCUCGUGUUUUUCCUCCUGUGAUGGACCGAAGCGGGAGAAUCGAAUUGCAAACCUUUCCCAAUUCUCCACGCGCGGCCUACUUUCCACUAAUGGGGAACUAAACCCCUAAUUCUAGUCAAGGGGACAACUGACGAUUUGGUUCGGCAAUUACUGUGAGAUCUAAACCGUUUUUAAUUAUUUUCUUCAUUAAUUGAUAUUCAUAUGUUCCCUGAUUUUAAUUGCUAUAGCCUCGUGCAUGAUUGGUUAGUGCGCAAUAAUUAAUUAUUCAUAUAGGCUAUUUUGCUAAAUAGGGAUAAUUGAAUCCGUAAUUGUUCGUUAUCCCUGUCUUAGUAGCAACUGGUAUAAUUGGGUUUAUGUCAGGGGAAUAUACGAUCUAGUUUAAACAAACCCUCGUAGCGUGUUUGUUAAUUAGGAUUGGGUCUUUCUAAUUAUUAAUGCAAUCUAAAAAUUAAACUCUACGGUCGUACCUAGGGUUGUUUUUGGGUUAGAGAAAUAGCUAACGGUCGUACCUUAGCUAUCGAUAAAUUAAGGAAGGGUUGGUCGUUUAGCGCGUGCGAGACAAUUAUAACCAAUCUAUUAAUAAAUGUGGAAUUACCUUUGAAUCAAUGAUCAGUUGCAUGAACCAUUUCUGAAGUGUACCCUUGGCUAGAUGUUUCUCUUAAUUAUUUCUUUUAAUUGAUUAUUUUCUGCAUUUAAUUUGUUUAGUUGGCAUUUAAUCCCAAAACCCCCAUUCAUCUUGAUUUGAAAAGAAGCAAAAUAUCUUGCUAGUCCCUGAGGAGACGACCCUGCUUACCACUGUCUACUAGUUAGUGAUUUCAGUUAAAUAAUUAAUUCAGGUAUAUCGGAUCAAGCAAACUCUUCGGGAACAGGGUGAAUCAAGUAACCCAUUGCACACCUAGAGUUCCUGCUCCAGUACUCGAAUUGAUUAAUGACUGGUUUAGGUGGUAUUUAGAUUUUAUUAUUUAUUAUUAUUGCACAGGUUCGGCACCUGUCAUGAAUAUAAGAAAUGGCGCAGUUCGUAGUUCAGCAUUAUAGGGAAGGUAGUCAGCAGAAGAAAACUUGAGCCUCACUAGAAAUAGGAGAAAGACAGAGAACAUGCAAUAGCUUAAAAUAAAGAAAGAAAAUAACAUAAAGAAAUUUAUAACGACGUCGAACCCAAAAAUAAAUAAGAAAGAAAGAGAAACUAAUGUACUUAAAACAAUUUUUCCAUCAGAACAACUCAAAAGGUGUUAGCAGUUUUGCACCUCAAGAGAGUUUAAAAAAAAAAACCUACAAAGCUCAACAUGGAAAGUAUUAAUAUCGAUUCCUACACAAUAGCAAAUUCUAUGCUAGUGGAGAAGCAGAUCAUUUUGGGGGAAAAAAACCUCAAAGGGUGGCGACAGUUGGUAACAUUUAACGAAGGGGAGAAAACACGUACAUGAGAACCAGUCAGGAUUUUGAUCAAACAGGUGAUCUUCAAAUAUCUCAUCACUCUGUGGUAAAAUAUGGGUCAAGGGCAUUUUUGGCACUAGAAUUGUCCCACUCCAACGAUUCCCACCAUGCUUUAUUUCCCUUGAUUUUACGAAGAAUGCUGGGAAGAGAUGGUUGUCCGUCGAUGGUGGAAAGAAACAAAGGCAACCUCUUUACCUUUGGACAAUCUAACAUUUCAAUCUCCUCAAUUGAAUCGCAGAUCAUGGUUGCCUUGCAAACGUUCUUCAGUUGUGGCAGGUUAUCCAGACGCAACCACCUCAAUUUCGGAAGGAUGACAGUGGCAGUGGCUCCUUCACUUGAAGUCAAUUGGGUGCCUUCUCCUCCUCCUUGUCCUACUCCAUUGCCAUCUGCUGCUAUCUCCUCCAGUCCUUCACAAUCUUUAACUGCUAAUUUUCCAAGAUUUUGAAGGAUCUGCAGCAACUGCACCGUGAAUAGCUGCUUCAUGUUAUGAUAUCCAGAAAUGCUCAAUUUUUUGAGGGAAGAAAAGGUGCCAGCUGAAAGCAAAUAUGGUGGUCCGUCGAUGGUGGAAAGAAACGAAGGCAGCCUCUUUAAAUUUGGACAAUCUAACAUUGCAAUCUCCUCAAUUGAUUCGCAGAUCAUGGUUGCCUUGCAAAUGUUCUUCAGUUGUGGCAGGUUAUCCAGACACAACCGCCUUAAUUUCGGAAGGAUGACAGUGGCGGUGGCUCCUUCACUUGAAGUCAAUUGGGUGCCUUCUCCUCCUCCUCGUCCUACUCCAUUGCCAUCUGCUUCUAUCUCCUCCAGUCCUUCACAAUCUUCAACUCUUAAUGUUUCAAGAUUUUGAAGGUUCUGCAGCAACUGUACUGUGAAUAGCUGCUUCAUGUUGUCACAGUCAAAAACCCACAACUCUUUAAGGGAAGAAAAUGUGCCAGCUGGAAACAAAUAUGAUGGUUCUGAUUCUCCGUAAAAUAGACCAACCAGAUUUGGCAAACUCCAGAGGCGUAACUCUUCGAGACCACGGAGUGGACUAAAAGACGAGUCUUCCGGCUGAUCACGUGGAAAAGCAGAAGACAAUUGCCAGAGGAACUCUAUUCCAACCGAAUCCAUAAUAUCCAAUCUAGAUAAGUGGCUUAAAUUUAUAAAAUUCUUAAAAACAUCUGACAAGCACCUAAUGCCCAUGCCCUCACAAUCCUCGAUUAUCAGAGAUUUCAUAUCAUCUGGCAGAUAGUUCGAUCCUCUACCAAGCUUACACUGAUGGAAAUGCAGAUCUUGCACCAGGAACCGAUUAAUUCCACCAUCAACAAAACUCGGUUCCUCAGUUAAGAUGUCAUUGAUAUAAACAGUAUAAUAGUAUUUUGGUCACCGAGUGAUUUUAUAGAAGUCCAUAAAAGACAAACAUCCUCCAAAACUUUCUAAUUGGUUCAACACUUCUGGAUCAUUAACUUGUACCCUACCAUUGGAUGGCAAUAAUAACAGUUGAAGACGGUGAAAUUGGGAAAAUGUCCCUUUUGGUAUUAUCUUUUGGCUUAAAGCCCCAUACUCGUCCAAGUUAAGCCUUUCGAGGUUGACCAGUGACUUCCAACCUUCAGGUAAAUCCUCAAUCUUAGUGUAGGAUAGGUCCAAAUCCCUCAAUUGCUUGAGCUUUCCUAGUGGUGGCACAGAUCGGAGGUCCCGACAACCCCUCAAAAUCAGGGCAGUGAGAUUCACCAAGUCUGAAACAGAAUCAGGUAGCUCUAUUAUACCUCCGCACCGAGAUAGAUUCAAAACUUUAAGUCCACACAUGUGCCGAAAGAAUGAAUCUGGGAUUUCUUCUAUGGAAACAUCAGAAAGAAGCAAGGUUGAGAGCUUAAGACAAUUUGGUGACCAGGCUGGCGGAACUUUUAUUUCUGGGUGUGGAGCUGAAAAUGAAUGAAAGGAGACUGCAUGGAGAUCUUCUGUCCACUCUCCUUGUUCCAGUGUUACUUUAGAAUUUCCCUUUCCUAUGCUUUUCACCAAGAACUGUGGUACAUCCCCGUUCAUCUGUAGGUUGGAUUUUCCUUUCGUGAUUCUUAAUGCCAUAUCUCUGACCAAAUCAUGCAUCUUCACACAGUCACCCCUUCCGAAAUCUUUAGUUUCUUCUAGCAAGCAAACUUUUAUCAGUUUGUUUAAUAUUGUGUGACCUUCAUCAAAUUCUUUUGGUCUUGAGUCCCGUUUUGGCAUCAGCUCUGCCCAAAUAAAGAGGUCUAUUAGUUUCUCUCUGCUUAUAUCACUAUCUUCCGGAUAAAGACAGCAAUACAAGAAGCAAUUCUUUUCACAUUUAUUCAGGCGAUUGAAACUCCAUUCCAGGAUGCGAAACACAUCUCGUUCCAUCUCAUGAUACCCUAUUGAACAUGUUUUCAAUUGUUCCAAUGCAUUUCUCCACUCACAAAUGUCGGUCACACCUCUCAUGCUUCCAGCCACUGUGAUAAUGCCAAGAGGCAAACCAUCACACUCUUCCACAAUGGACUUGGCAAUACUUUCCAAAUCUCCUUGAAGCAAGGGCUCGCUACCAAGUUUAUACUUGAACAAAUCCCAAGCUUCGCCUGUGUCCAGAGUUUGCAAAUCAAACUUUCUUUGACAUUGUAUCCUGUUGCACACUUGCAGUGAGCGAGUAGUCAAAAUCAAUCUGCACUUGUUUGGAUGAAGUGGAAUCCCUACCCUGUCUAAACAAAAUUCUUCCCAAACAUCAUCCAAUAUGAGUACUAUUAAUUUCAGCAUUUUCCUGAAUAUGUCACGCAAUAUUCUUGCCCUGGUGUCUUCCUCGUCCCUACUGGAUAGAUUAAUGCCCAAGACAUUGGCAAUCUUAUCCUGCAAGCUGGUGACACUGAAGUCUUGAGAUACUGUAACCCAAAGCACCCGAUAAUUGUUCUUUUCUAAAAGAUGGUACUCAAUGUGCCUCGCCAGUGUGGUCUUACCAACUCCACCCAUACCAUAAAUCCCAAUGCUUGAUAUAUCAUCGGCCACCAAGCAUGGCCAAAUUCUCUUCAAAGCUUCAUCGAACUUUACUCCAAACAAUUUGGUUGGCAGGCAUGGCUCCCCGAUGUUGUCACAAGUAUCGAGCACAAGCCCAUCGAAAUGACGGCUCUGAUCAACAAGGUCUUUCACCUGAAAUUGCAGCUUUCCUACAGGAUCCUCCUUUAGUAGAAGACUCCAAGAUGAUCCUCUUGUUUCCAAUGCAUCAAUUUCAGGACUUAACUUUUUAACGUCCUUCAACCAAUUGUCAACUUCACUUUUCCUUUUCUUUUUGCCUGACAUUUCUUCCCUAUUGACUUCUUGUUCUACGUCAAAUGCUUUGCAACUCAAUUCUUGCCAAUUCCUUUUUAGCGAUUGCACGUUGUCCAUGUGACUCCUUCCCGUGCAAUUUUCUAAUGCGAACUCUACCGUCUUUUCUAUCACCUUUUCCCCCGUCUUUUCUGCCAGAGCUUUUCCCCAAAAUGGUAGCAUCUAGAAUUUAAAUAUACAUCAAGCUUAGGUGCAUAAAGCAAAUUGAAGCAAAUCCGAAAAUUAAAAUUGAAGAGAAACAUCAAAAGUUGCCAGCGGAACUUAGUCAACACAUAGUUUAGUAAAGAUUAAUAACCAGAAAAAGAAAAUGUUUUUCACUCAAUUCAAUAAUUGUUCAGCUAUUAGCUAAUCUAGAAUUCUGCUGACUGAAUAGUUCAUUCAAUAUUUGAAGAAAUGACAAAAACUUUCGAAGAUUGAUUUUGAAAAAAUUAGAAGAAAAACAAUUUUUUGAAGCACUGAAUUGAUCAUAGAAUAUCUAAACCCACAAAUUUUGGUGUUUCAUUAAUUUCACCGAACACUUCUAUACAUUACCCUACGAAUUCUCAUUUGUCUGUGCUGCUAUUGAGUUAGUAGAAAGUCUCUCCUCAUGUCAUAUUUAAUUCCGAAAAAAAGAAGAAGAAGAAGAAAAUGUCUCAAAACACCCUACCUAGAUAAAAAUAUGUCAACAAUUUUUCCUUUUCUUUUCUUUUGCUUUUUUGAAAAAAAAAUUGAAAGGAAGGAUGCUACAGUACUACACUAGGCUACUCUCCUCAUCUCAUACGUACAUAAACUCAUAACGUGCUCUAAAACAUUUAAUUUGGUAGAACGAAGACCGUAUAAACAUGAAGUUGUCCAAUUAUGCUGAUUCAAUUAAGCAUUUUAGUAAAUGAAACUGAUAUGCAUCUUGUUUUGAUAACAAAAAAAUUGAUAUCCAUUUGAUGUAAGAAAACUUUUAUAAAAAUUUAAGAUUUUCCAUAAAAGCUUCUAAGUUAUAAGACUAAGACCAAGAUCCGUAUAUGUUUCCAUACUCGAUAGGGCUGACCCAUUUGAAUAUCAAUUUAUUCCUAUGGAUCCAUCCUCUGUCUGGGUCUAGUUUUGUUGUGAUUAGUUAGGUCCAGGUUGGGAUCAUCUCAUUCUGCCCACUGCUGGAAAUUCUUGCUAAGAAAUGUGUGAAUUAUGUAGAAAACUUGAACAGAGCACUCCAUGUAUUGAAAGAAGAACAAGUGACCAAGAUGUUUGGGCCUCACAAAGCUAAACAUAAUAUUAUAAAAUGAGAAAUAACUACAAAUAUUUACAAAUUCAAGAUCAAGUGUGAUAUCAUUGCACCUUGAAAUUAGGACAAGUUAUCUUGAAGACUUGAAGAAGCUGAGAACUCUUAAACUCUGCCAAACGACAAAAAGUUAGUAUUAUAUUUUGAUCUCGGUUUUGCUACUACAAGAACUAUGAUAGUUGAGUUUUGAUGAAUAAAUUAUAAUUGAAUCAAGAUGUUGGUGCCAAGCAAAAGGUGAAAUAAGAGAAGAACUCCAACAGUUACUAAGUUCCGAUGGAUAUGAUCUCAUUAUACCUGAAACUGACUAGAAAACUUGAGGAAGCUGAAAACCUUGAGACUGCCAAGAUUAUGUGUUAUGAUUGUUGAGUGUUGAGGAACGGAUGGUAAAAGUUGAACUAACAGCAGAGCAGACCAGGAAUGAUAACGGGCCCUCGUGAAGGAAGUUCCGGGAGUGUCCAGACUCCAGAGAAAGGCUAGUGGAAUUGUACUUGAUUAAAUACCUCGAUUAUCAUCCAAUUUGUAUUUGGCAACCUUGCAAAGCACGAGAUGCAACUCUGGCUACGAGUUAGGAAUCCAACCCAUUACAGAUAUACCCAAAGAAUUGCACAUAUUUUUAUAUCCAAAAAGUAUAUUGCAUCUACUUUUAAAUCCACAAAAAAAAAAAAAAAAACUAUUCAAUACUGCUUAUACCAUAAAAUUGACACCAAAACUUGGAUUUUGACUUAGAUUCAACAAGAUCUAAUAGUAAGCAUCCAAAAAGAAAAUGUUGAAUUAAUACAUUCACAAACAGAUAUGGGAGACUAGGUUAAUUUACACACAUAAGAAUAUUCCUAUAUAUAUAUAUAUAUAUAUAUAUAUAUAUAUAUAUAUGUCCAUUAUGGCCCAGCUCCAGCCCAUAUACAGCCUCUGUUCACAUUUUAUCUUCUCCAAAAUUUGAUAAGAAUUUGCAACUAUGCUAAAAUUCAAUAUUCUUGCCCAAAAAUGCCAACGAUGUGAAAAGCAUGAAGAGAGCAAUCCAUGUUUGAGGAAAAGGAAGCGGUCUAAGUUUUUAUGUGCCUCGUAAAGCUAUAUAUAGCAUGACAGCAAUAAGAAACAACUUCAAUAUUACAAAAUGAAGAUAGAAUAUGAUAUCCUUUUACCUUGAAAUCUUGGACAAGCAAAAGUUCUAGGCCAGGUUAUCUUGAAGAAGCUGAAAACUGCAAGAGUCUGCCGAAAGAAAAAGUGUGUAAUUUAUUCCGUUAGUUUUCACCACUAAGAAGCAAUUCCAAAGAUAUUCAAUUAAGACUCUGCCAAAAGUAUGUGCUUUAUUUUUUUUAUUUCCUACGAGUAUGAUUGUUGAGUACUGAGGAAUACGAUAUUUUUAGACUGCAGCGUUGCCCAUCACAAUGUCUCAGUCAACGUCUUCCUUCCCAGUUCGUACGCAAAGAGUCAAAAGGCUCAAUAUUUUGAUACGGUGUUGGCAUAAUUGUUGUUUGUAUGUUUGUAUGUUUUUUUUUUGUCUAUGCCUUUAUAGCGCAGGAUUAAUUUAGACAAUUUUUGCUAGCGUUGGUAUGAAUAAUUUUUUAAAUGGACUGUUUUUUCGCUAUACUUUUGUAGCACAGGAUUUAGAUUGCUUAAGUUAAAUAAGCCUAUUAUUUUCCUUAAAUUUUAUGGGAAAUUUUGGAAAAAGGGAAUAAGAAGAGUGAAAAUUCAUAAGUAGGGGGUAAGUUUUAGGAAAUUUGUAAAUGGUAUAAGGGUUAUUAUUAAUAUAUUAUAUUAAAAAUUUUGGUUUCAUGAUAAAUUUACAAAUUAACCCUUAUGUGCACAUAAGUACACUUGUAUGUGCAAAUAUAUCAUAUGUGUGUAUUUGAACAAAUACUUAUAUUUAUCAAAACACACAUUAUUAUUCAUUAAUGUGCAUGUUUCUAUUCAACAAGGUGCACAUUGUUAAGAGGGUAAUUCAGUCAUUUAGCAAUAAAAUUAUUACGUAGUUGCUUUAAUUCGUGAGUAAUAAUCCAUGCCCCAGUUACCAAUCUUGUAAAAUUUACAAGCUCCUUAUAGAUUGUUUUCCUAUUCUUUUUUUUUUUUUCAAUUUUCCCAAAUUAUUUUGACGACAUCAUGCUACGCUGCCUGAUCAUGCCAUGCCAUAUGGCCAUUUUGAUGACUCAACGAAAGCUCCUUAAGGAAGCAGGGGAGACAUUUCCAGGAAAUGGUGCGGCAACACUUUGGUGACUAAGGUCUAAGGGGAAGAAUUUCUGAGGCUUGAAAAAGGGGGGGAAAAAAUGGACAAAAUGAUAAGGGUGGAGGGCCGGGGCCAUCUUCUAGAUAUUGUGGAGAAAGGGGCUUGCUAUCUGCUAAAAUGAGCUCCCUGGAAUCAUACAAUCAAUUGGCCAAGAAUGAGCAAAUUUUCUUGGCAAGGGGGCCUACUUGAUCUAGUCAAUCAAGUAGAUACCUAGAAGUUUAGAGGUAGCAAAUCAACCCACUUAACUAAAUUUAUCAAUAACCGCUCAUGAAUAAAUGAGUAUGGGUAUCUUAAAUUUUUGUAUAUGGAUAUAAAUGGGUUACCCAAUAAUACCCAUUUAUUAAAUGGAUAUUAUUGGGUAACCCAUCAAACCCAAUUAACCCAUUUAGAAUUCUCUUCCCCCCAAGUCUCUUCUUUUCCCCUACCCAUUAUUUUUUCAAAAUUUUCAUUUUGUCAUGAUGUUAACUAUUUUUGUUUCAUUAUUAUUAUUAUUAUUAUUAUUAUUUGUUGGUUUUAUCUUAUUAUUUAUUUUCUCUUAGUUUGUUAACUUGCUCAUUUUCAGCAUUACCAACUUAUGAUAAAUUUUAGCCUAUUUUCUUAUCUUUAUAAAAUGAAAUUUUAAAUGUAUAUAUGAAAAAAAUGUUAGGGGUUCAAAAUUUUUGGAUUAAGUUUUUAUAUUAAUUUUUAUAGUACUUAGUUCAAAUUUUUAUAUUCUUAUUAUUCAAUUAUUAAAUAAUAGGUAAUUUUUUGACAUAGAGUAUAAAUGAAAAAAAAUUGGUAAUUAAGUUUAUUGAACAUUAUAAGUAAAUAUUUAAAACUAAUGAUGGGUACAAAGAGUGGUAUAAAUUGAUAACUUAGUUUGCAAAAAUGAAUUUAAAUGAGUUUACAAAAUGUUAAAAUAAAUGGGUUAUAAAUGGGUAAUUGGGUUACUCAAUUCAUUUUUUGACUUACCCAUUUAUACCUAUCUAAUUAAAUGAGUAUAAAUGAGUUGACUCACUUGUACCCAUUACCCAUUUUACCCAACCCAAACCCGUCCAAGUCACCCAUUUUGACACCUCUACCUAGAAGGAGACUAAUGGAAUUGUUGAAGUGCAUAGGGUUCGUUUGGAUUCCUUGUUUUUGCACCUGUUUUUGAAAAACUGUUUUUCACAUUCCAAAUGCUACAGUAAAUGUGUAUUUCAAAAACAAUUCCAAAAACACCCAUAUCCAAACAUUAUAUCAAAAACAACUCCAAAUAUACAAAUUUAAUAUGUAUAUUUAUUUCAAUUAUUUAUAUUAUAUACAUUAUAUUAAUAUAAAUUGAAAUAUACAAAUUGAAAAUUAUAUAUUUAUAUGUUAUACAUGUUAUAUAUUAUAUAUUUUAUAAAUAUUUAUAUACAUUAAUAUUAUACAUAAUAUAAUAUAAUAUACAUAAUAUAAUAUACAUAAUAUGUAAUAUUGUAUACAUAAAUGUAUAAAUAUUUAUACAUAAUAUAUUAUGUACAUUACAUUAUAAUAUAUACAUUAUUAAUGUACUUUCAUUAUUAUGUACAUUAUUGUGUAUAAUAAUGUAUAAUAAUGUUAUGUAUAAUAUAUAAUAUACAUAAUAUGUAAUAAUGUAUAAAUGUAUAUUAUGUAUAAUAUAUUAUAUUAUGUAUAUUAUAUUAUAUAUAUACAAUAUUAUGUAUGUUAUACAAAUUGCAAAAUUUUGUAUUAUAUAUUUAUAUAUUAUAUAAAUAUUUAUAUAAUGAAAUAUACAAUAAAUAUUACAAAUUGAAAUAUUAUAUAAACACCAUAUUUAUUAAUAUUCAAAUAUUUAUAAUUAAUAUUAAUGUAUAUUAUAUAUAUUAAAUAUUUAUAAAUAAUAUAUUUAUUUAUUUAUUUAUUCAUAUUAUAUAUAAUUUAUUUAUUUAAUAUAUAUUUUUAUAUAUUUAUAAUAUAUUUAUAUAAAAAAUAUAUAUAUUAUAAAAUUAUAUAUAAUAUAUUAUAUUAUAUUAUAUAGAUUAUACAUUUAUAUAAAUGUACAUUUAUACAUAAUAUAUAUAUUUAUGUAUAUUUAUAAUAUACAUUUAUAUUAUGUAUUAUAUAUAAUAUAAUACAUUUAUAAUACAUUUAUAUUAAUAUACAUAAUAUAUUAAUUUUAUAUUUAUACAUAAUAUUAAUACAUUUAUAUAUUUAUAUUAAUUAUAUUAAUACAUUGAUACAUAAUAUUAAUAUAUAUUUAUGAUAUAUUAAUUUAUACAUUUAUAUAAUAUUCAUUUAUAAUUUAUAUAUUUAUAAUAAUAUACACUUAUACAUUUUUAAAUAUAUUUAUAUUAUGUAUUAUAUAUAAUAUAAUACAUUUAUUUAUUUUUAUAUAAAUAUAUAAAUAUAUUUAUUUAUAAAUAUUUAUAAAUGUAUUAUAAAUGCAUAAAUAUAUAUUUAUAUAAAAAUAUAAAAUUUAUAAUUUAUAAUUUUUACAUUUAUGUAAUAUUCAUUUAUAAUUUAUACAUUUAUAAUAAUAUACAUUUAUACAUUUAUAAAUAUAUUUAUAUUAUGUAUUAUGUAUAAUAUAAUACAUUUAUAAUAUAUUGAUAUAUUUUUAUAUAAAUAUAUAAAUAUAUUUAUUUAUAAAUAUUUAUAAAUGCAUAAAUGUAUAUAAAUAUAAAAAUUAUAAAUUAUAAAAUACUCAAAAAUAUGUUUUAAAAUACCUCUAAAAAUAAUCCAAAAAACAUCUAUAGUAAAAGUUUUUCAUAUAGUUUUUGAAAAACAACCUCAAAAACAACUAAUCCAAACGGACUUGUAUUUCAAAAAUGAAAUGCUACAGUAUUAUUUUUGAAAAACAACCCCAAAAACAGCUAAUCCAAACAGCUAAUCAAAAAUGAAAUGCUACAGUAUUAUUUUUGAAAUGCUACAGUAUUCUGUUUCACAGUUUGUUUUCGGUAGGGUCUGAGUAAUUACUUGUAUGGUUCCUAUUUUCGUAGAGAUACUUUUCUUAUGUAAUAUUUAUUUCCGAAAUACUUUUCCUGUGUAAUGUUUUAUUCCAAACUUUAUGGGAUUCUGAAGAAGAGUUGGCAUAUAUUGUUAGGUAAAAACCAAGGUCUAAGCCCACAUCACAGGUACAAAAGAUCUCUAUGAACCAUUAAUUUUGUGGUGUAACUUUAACCCACUUGAUGCAGAUAACUAUUUUUUUUUUUAAGUGCGUGAUUCGUCAGUUAAAAAAUAAAAUUCAUCAAGAAAAUGGAUGUUCUUCGUUUGUCCAAAAAAAUAAAACAAAGGAAAAGACAAGAAGAAUUGUGCACGAAAACCUACUUCAUUAGUCCUUGAGCUAGAUACCUUGUGUAAUUUUUUAUUUCAUUAUUUUUAAUUUUGAGUAUAUCAAAUGAAAGAUCUAAACAGAAUAGGUAAUAGGAGCUGUACCCUAAAUAUGUCACGAUAAAAAUGGCUCAAACACAGUAUCUUUUUUUUCUCCAAGAAAAGAAGAAGAAGAAAAUGUCUCAAAACAUCCAUUUUCUUUAAAUGGAUAGUUUAAAUUAAAUCUACUCCUUUUUUAUUUUUUUAAGUCAAAAAUUUUAAAUUUUAAAUUUUUUAUUUAUAAUUCCUCUCACCCUACCUCGUCUCGAUUAAACCUCCUCCAUUAUUAGACGUCCAAAAAUUAUUUUAAACAAAAUUUAUUUUUUAAAAAAAGCAGGCCAAAAAUAGGCCAUCAAAACAGGAGCCCGUAGCCCAAUAUGUGCCUCAAGGGCCAAUGGACAACCAGUACUAGUAGUGAACCAGCACUGAAAGGAAAUGACUUGGCCGUUGACAACAAGUCAACAACGACAACAGGAAACUUCCAGGAAAUUGCGAGGAAGGCUUUUCAAGGUGAUGGUUAGACUGGUGAACCGAGAAAUUUGAGUAAAACAAAAACAUCUCGCACGCGUGAUUAUUAUGUCCAAGUCUGGAUUGCAUGGGAUUUUUUUUUUUUAUAAAAAGUUAUUAUAACUAUUUUAUACAUGUGAAAUAAAAAAAUAAUUAAAAAUAUGUUCAUAAAAAAUAUAACAAUUUUUCUUUGAAAAAUGGCAAUCCAAACACAUAGGGUUUAGUAUUCUAGAUUGAUGUCAAGUUGCUGCAAAAUUACCUGUACUAGACAAAUGAGUUCCUCCUUUGGUCUAGUCUAAAAUUGAUCUGCAAAAUUUUCUUACCUGAGCAAAUAAAAGACAUGGACAUGCCUUGACUUUUUUUCAAUUAAAGUUCCAAUACUCUUUUAUGGUAUCGACAUCAUACGAUUAAAAUUUCCUCACCUCACCUACACCAAGUUCUUGGGAAAAUAUAAAAUUUGGAUUGUCAUUUUCUAAAAUUUUUGUAAAAAAAUAUAUUAUAAGAAUUUGAUAUAUGUAAACUUAAAAGAUAAUUAAUAAAUAUGUUUAUAAAAAAACAUAAAAUUUUUUUGAGAAAAAUAGCAACCAAGUAAGGCGCCUUUCGAUGAAUUUCUUUUGGAAAAAUGACUUGGCCGUUGACAACAAGUCAACAACGACUAAAGGAUUAGUGAUGAUAUUAACUUUGACUAAAUGGCAUCUUUGACUGAUGAUAUUAACAGCCUAAGAGUUUUAUUCCAGAAAUGCUCCUUUUGUUUAGAUAGCAAGUUAGAUUCAAGAUGUGAAUGGAUUAGUGAUUAUGCUUUAGGCAUAUCUCAAGAUGAGAAAUGGAUCAAUCUUUAGUGUGUAUAAUAUUUUUUGUAUAGAACCAGUUGAGCCUUUGCUCAGAUAAAUGUAUAUUUUUGCCAAUCAAUAUAUAACCUACCGUUGCAGAAAAAAAAAAAAAACAACGACUAAAGGAAACUCCCAGGAAAAUGGUUGCUGCAUCAAAGAUUGAUCACUGUUCCCCUUUCCUCAUCUAUAGUGGUUCAGUUUGAAUUAGCUGUUUUUGAAGGUAUUUUUGAAAAAUUUUGUUGUAGCAAAGUUUUUAGAUUAUAUUUUGGGAUAUUUUCAAAAAAUAUUUUGAGAUAUUUAAGAAUAGAAGAGUUUCUAAAAUAUAUUUUGAGAUAUUUUAAAAAAUUUUAAAAAAUUUAAACUAAUUUUUAGAUUACCUUUUAGAGUACUUUUUAAAAAAUUUUAUUAUAUUUAAAAAACUAGUUUUUAAAAAACAGUCCCGUCUUCAAAGCAUAAUGCAAAUGAAGGCUUCUUUUGAUCAUCAAUUCACAAUUAAACUGAAAACACUAAUCAAUUGAAUUGGUGUAAGCUUUGGGAUGUCCAUUCAUCUAUAACAUCCCAAUGUUUAUGCGAUUGGACUGCAAUCAUUUCCUUUUAAUGGUUGAGGACUAUUGUCACAAUUCACAAGAAAUGUUAUUGUACUGUUAUUAUCUGAAUAACACGCCUAUUUGAACUCUUAUUCUUCCGCUCUAAAAAAAUCUGUGGCGGGGAUAUGAAUUUAUUGCAAUAGUAUUCAUGACUUGCUAAAGUCAGUCAAUGUAAAAGUCGCGUAACUAGCAAAAAGAUGCUAUAAGCUUUGUGGCCAUCAAACACGCCAAAAAAAGGUGGCAGAGUCAUCUCCCACAUUAAGCCAUCUAAUGCUCUGCUUCACCUUCCAGCCGCCUUCAUGCUGAAUAAUGACCUCCAAACAAUUCAAAUUCAUAAUUGCUACCAUUUACAAGAAUUUUGAUAUACUAAAAGUUUGUUUUGGAAGUUUAUUCUUGUAAAGUCUCUAAAUUCAAAUAGAGAAAACUAUUUUCACUUUAUAAUUUGAGUAAAUUAUGAACUAAAAAGCAUAUUAAACUUAGAAAAGAGAAAGUAUAUUAAAUAUUCAUUGGUUUUAAUUAUACUACUACUACAUGCCAUCUGCUGUCAUAGAUUAACCCCCCUUAGAAAUAUAUUUCACGUAAUGUUUUGAGCAUUUUCAUAUAUUUUGAGACUUGAUUGUAAUUAGAGCUGGCAAAAAAAUUCAAAACCCAACAACCCGCUCAACCCGUCCAUUAAUUUUAAAUGAUGGGUUGGGUCAAUUGGGUUACGGCUUACCCAACCCAACUUAUUCAUUGGGCGGGUUGAGUUUUUUAUUUGGGUACUCAAUACCCAACUUGUUUAAAAGUAAUUCAAAAUAAUAAAUAUAAAAUUUAAUACACAUAUGCUCAACUAUUUGUAUUUGGACAUAUGUUAAUAAUGUAUUGAUUAAUUUGUAUUCACAAUUCUCUUAUAUAUAUUUUCAAUCAAUUUUUUAAUUUUUAUUUAAAAGAAACAAAAAUUUGAAAUAAAAACUCAUGCUUAUUUUACCUUUUUAACAGUAGUUUGCAGUGAGAUCAGUGAUGAUAUUAAAUAACCAAUGGAAGUACAGUGAUGAGCAAGAAAAAAUCAAUUUGCAUGAGGCAAUUGAAUUCAUCGUUUGACUGCUGGCGGCUAUGAUUUUUUGUCAAGACAUUAGAUCAAUAUCUGCAGAAAGAAACUAAGAAAAACAAUUCGAAAUGACAUUUUUUUUAUUGAUAACUAGGUAUAUUUGCCAUAUUCACAAGAAAGUAACUCUUUGGUUGAUGAGCAAGACUUAUGAGAGACAAUUGAAAUAUAUGUCCAACCAUGACCGUAAAAAAUCUUUAAUUUCAUUGAAUUAAAGAAGUAAUGAGGUGAAUUUGACUAUUGUUUCAUUGAAUUCUGUCAUAGUUUUUACUUUAAUUAUCUGUGCAAUUAGUCAUUAAAGAUUUUGGGAUGGCAGACUUCAAAUAUAAUACUCCUACAUAAUAGUUAGACUAAGCAUAAGGCAUUCUUCUUGUCUUAAAAUAUGUAACUACUGUUGACCAAUUUAGCAUUGGACAGCAGCCAAUUAAUUGUGGUUUCUGUAUCUUUGGGUUUUAAAUGUGGAACUUAUUAACACAUUUAAAAUUUUUGAGAAUAUAAGGACUAAAGUACAAACUUAUUUUCUAUAAUUUCAAUAUUAAUAUACAACAAAUUAUAUGCCUCUUACUUACAUUUUCAAGUAUAACAUAAUCUAGCAUUCAAUACUUUAAAUACAUAGAAUAUUACAAUUUACAAUAAAGCAGAUAUAAAUAGUAAAAGUGUUAAUAAGUUUUGACAAAAAUAAGUUUCAAUCAAUUAGUAGUAUUAAAAAGUAUAAGUUAAACAAUUUUUUUAGCUAAUCUAUUUAAAUGUACAAUUUAUUAUCUAAAAUUCACAAUACAAGCAAUAUAAAAUAUUAUUCUAUUUAUGAUGUGUUUUCAAGUAACUUAAGAAGUGAGUGUGUGUUUGUGUGUGUGAAAAUGUGUUUAUAUGUGUGAAAAAAUCUUUUUUGUAUGUUAAAAUGUAUGUGAAAAAGUUUAUGUAUUAAAAUGCAUUAAUUAAUAUGUUGGGUCAUAUUUGGAUAAUGGGUUUAAGAUAACCCACUAUAAUCCAACCCAAAAUCAACUCAAUCUAAAGUUGGACGGGUUGAGUAUAACCCGUUUAAGUAAAAACCCAAUAUUAACCCAAUAUUAACCCGCCCAAUUGCAGAGGUAUAAUUGUAAUCAGACAAUGGUUGCUUUUGGCGUAAGCGUGACAUAUGACUGCGUACAAACAAAGAAAAACUAAAGAUAUUUUUUGUUAAGAGAAAAUAAUCACAGAAUUGUUCACAAACAAAUCACAUAAUUCUUUAAACAAAGAAUCUUUCUGCAUCUCUUUUCUCCAAUCCCGUGCUGAAUUUUCCCUUCUUUUUUAUGAAACAAAAAAUUUGGUGAGCUGGCCAUAACAUGGAGUCUGAUGAUAUUUGAUAAUGCGUCUCUUUUCCCUUUUGGUUGUUUCGACGAAAGAAAGAAAUGGGGAAGGCAAAGGUAGAAGAAAUAAAGAGCUUAAUAUUCUAAUUUACGUUGCGCGGGAAAGGAGGAAACCUCCAGAGAAGUACGUGCCCCACUGGCCAAAGAAAUUUGUCAAUUUAUGCCAGGGUGCUUUUCUAAAAAUUUAUUAUUACCCCACUAAAUUGUAAACAGGCCUUCAUUGGCCAAAAAAAAAAAAAUCUGCUGGGUGUAGAAAAAUCUUAUUUCUAUACACGUUAAUUUGUGAGAAGUAAAUAUAUACAUACACCCACUUUUAGCUUGAUAACAAUUGUAAUUAAAAAUAAACAAGUAAAAAAGAUAAUCCAUUGAGUACGAGUCCAAACUCAAUACAUCCGUUUGGAUUAGUUAUUUUUGGGGGUGUUUUUGAAAAAUUUUGCUGUAGUAGAGUUUUUAGAUUAUAUUUUGAGAUAUUUUUAGAAAAGUUUUUGGGAUAUUUAAGAGUAGAAAAGUUUCUAGAAUAUAUUUUGAGAUAUUUUAAAAAAUUUUAAACUAAUUUUUAUAUUACCUUUUAGAGUAUUUUUUAAAAUUUUUUAUUGUAUUUCAAAAACUAGUUUUUGAAAAACACUCCCAAUGUCCUGGGAGUUGUUGUCCACUGCAAGAUACUUUACACAACCAAAAUAUAUAUAUACGUGUUUUAUUGAGUUGUAUGACAUUUGUGAACUUUUUAUUUAUUUAUUUAUCUUUGCAUGUUACUUAUUAAAUUCAUGAUUCACUUCUUUCCAUGUGGAUUUUAUUAUUGCUAGUUAUUGUUUACAAUUAUAUGAACUUUUUAAUAAUUACUAGUCUAGUAGCACAUGCUACGUACGUCGACUAAAAAUUUUGCUAUUGAUUCAAGUGAUUAAUUUAGAAAUUUAUAAUAAUUUUGUUGCAAUGUAAAUUUCGAAUAGAAUAAGAUUGCAGAAAGAAUACUUCAGAUGUAAAAAUCUAGAUAUAUUACUACCCAUUAUUGUUUUUGCACUAUUCAUACUGUUUUUGUUUUCUCGACUUCUUUGUUUUCUUUAGAACUCAAUAUUUUGCGGACCAACUCAAUAUUUUCAUGUAUACUGGAGAUUAGCAGUCUAACUAAUAUAUUGAAUGAGACAAAUUUCCUGAAUGGGAGUGUUCCGAUAACAUUUUUGAGGAGUUAAAGCAAGAAGUUUAUGUAAGUAUUAAAAGCUCGAAAGGAACAAUUGAGAAAUUUCCUUACGAAACUCCAUGGCAAGUGCAAAUACGGAUAUUUAUGUAGUAGAGACCAUAAUAUAAUUAUUCUGAUUUUAUUGUAGUGGAUACCAAUAGACAAAAUAAACAAUUAGUUCGGCUAAAUAAGACCCUUCCAUGAACUCUUCACAUGAACUCCAACCAAGAAACGUUUCCAAUGCCUCUCUAAAUAAGACCCUUCUUUGCAACGCAAUGAAUUCAUUCUCUAAAUUCUCCAGCCAAUGUUUAACCUCUGUUUUCCUAUUCUUUCGCCUGUAUAGUUCGGCUCUCUCCACUGUCUCCUUUAUGUCAGAUGCUCGGCUACUCAAUGCCUUCAGAAGUAACUUGUCCCUGGAUUCACCGGUAGCUCUACAGCCCUUUCUGCGGCAUCAUAUUUAUGGCCUUCCAACACAUAUUUGUCAUCUGUCAAGAACAGAGCAAACAAUUCUCGAAUUAGGUGCAAAUUUGCAGCAAACUAGACCCCUCAAUCGAAUUGUUUACUAUAACAUAUUCCUACAUCAUUGUUAAUUGGACAAGGAGAGGAGGAGGAUGUUACCAGUUUUCGUACCCUAUCAUCCUCCUGUUCUUUCGUAAACUCCUGGGUACUUCUAUUUCCUAGCCCUGAGGUUCUAAGUGCCUUUAGAAGCACCUCUUCGGAUUGGAUCCUACUCUUCUCCCUCUCCACCAUUUCUCCAUUCUGAAACUUCUAGUAUCUUUUAUCCUUCACCGUAUCAUCCCUUACCACUCUUUCCUUUGCAGGGCUUCUGUUAAUCCCAGCACGCAUCCAUGGGUUGUAUUGGUUCUCUAGAAGACCUCCUGGAACAGUUAUGCGUUCUUUGCAAGUCCGUUCCCCAUGUCCUACUAUUCCACACUUAUAACAGAAAUCCGGGCACCUUUCAUACUUAAAAGCAACCCACUUGAGUGACCCUGCUACCUACACCAAUGUUCCUCUGAGCAGGGGUUUUGACAGAUCAAUAUGUACUAAAACUUUCAAGUGCCUACCUUCUUUUCCCCCUAUAUGAGAGAUAACAACGUCCUUUAUAUCUUUAAACACUGCUCCUAUUUUUCUGCCCACCUCUUUGGAGAGCCAAUGCACGGGAAGGUUCCAAAUCUGAACCCAUAAAGGAGUAGUAACAAAAGCACCAUAGUUCUCUUCUAUCCCUUCUGACCAUCUGUUCAACACUAAGAUUUGAUUAUCCAUUAACCAAGGACCCCCUGUCAAUAUUCUUUCUUUAUCUUCUUUGUGGCGGCCCCACUUCUCCCUAAGGCGAACCAAAGGGUUGGCGGGUCGCCUGCCUAGCUCUCGCUAGGACUCACGCACUCUAGUAACUAAUUUCAUCAAAUAUAAAUCGAAAAUAAACCUUACUUCUCGAGCAAGUCACGUACUUAAAUAAUUCAUACAAUUCAACUUAUACAGUCCAAAACACAAUUCCAAGUACCAACGAAAACGUCGAGCUUAGUAUACUUAAAUUCAACUUAAUUUACAAUUUAAAGUUCCUAAUCCAGGGCACAGAAGCACCACAGGAUUCAUAUUCUCCCAAAAACACAAAAAUCAUCCAAAAGAUACUAACAUUUCCAAAAGUACAAUUACAAAAGUGGGCAUUCAAAAUAUAACAUUUCUGUUCUAGUUCUCCAAGACUUCAUGCAUUUCAGAACCUGUCAAAGAAAACAAUUUGGAAGGGAUGAGCCAAUAGCUCAGUGGUGCCUCGAAACAUGCAAUUCACAUAAGGCAAUUUAACAAGUACAAAUAGACAAGUAAGCACUUAACAAUUUAAGAAAGCGAAAUAACAUGACAAGAAAAGGAUACGGGGCUCUCAGGAGCCAAAGUCCACGCACUUGAUCAGAAAAUUUAUAGUAGUUGACACUCCGUCAACUUUCACUACCUAAACUCCAUAUAGACAUUUUCCCUAAUCUACACAUCUCCUAGCAACGUUUUCCCCCUUAUUUUCGGGCCCGAUUCCAACACGAAUAUUGCAAGCACUUUUACCAAGAUGGUAGAGAGGUACCUCCCACUCUAAUAGAGCGUGGUACGUGCAUCCGUUUGGUUUAUUUAGUCGACGAGACCACGCUCCAAUCGACAUUGCAACACUUGUACUUGUGGCAUUUCACGCAAUCACAUAGCAUAUAACAUUUCAUGAUAUCUCUAGCAAGUACUUUUAACAAGUAGUUCAACUAGCAGUUAAACACGAUUCAUGCAAGAGACACUCACCUCAAGUGAAGUGUCUAGAAUUCCAAACUUUGAUCGAGAUUGUGCUCUUCACCAACUCCUAAAAUCAUACAAAUAAUUCACAUAAAUUUCCACUUUUGAGUUGGAGAAUUUAACUCGAGUCAACUAGCAUUUAAUUUCACUCAAAAAUCCCAAACUUGUAUUAAUCGUUUUCUCAAAGUGAAAUCCACAAAUCGAGUGAAAUUAAAUUUUGAGGUUUCUUUAAAACCCAAAAACUUGCUAAAUUCGUCAAAUAUUCCAACAUCCAAGUUCUAGAAUCAUAUAAGCCAUUUAACACCAAUUUGGUGUCACAAGUUGAGAAAAUCACAUUUAAACCAUUUAGAGGAAUUUUCCCCUCAAAUAUUUCCCAAACAUAUCUUGGGAAAUUCCUUUAAGAGGCAAUCAUAUAAACCAAGUAAAACUAGUCGUUAGAAUUUCUAUAAAAUAGAAACUCCUUAAGUUUGCCAAAUUCCACGACCAACUUAGUCCAAUGAUUUUCAUGAAGGCAAAAACUUGAGUUUUUAGGAAAAUUUCCAGAUUUGACAAAUUCCUCAAAAUAGGGCAUUUGGUCUAAUAAAAUUCAAGGUUAUCAACUCAAAGUGGACCUAGUAACAACGGUUAAUGCUAGAAAACAUUUUCGGGACAAUUUUGGUCCACAUUUACCCACAAUGAAAUCCAAACAUCAAACCAUUUCUAAUUUCAAACAAAAAUUCUGUUUUGGUAUCUUCUUGAAGAAUAAGAUUUUGGUCCACUUUUUGGACGUAACCUCUACUAGAUUUUUGUCCCAAAUUGAGCUAUACAAACCCCUUAAUUAAUACACAAAUCAUUUGAGCUCAAGUUAUCGUGAAAACAGUUCACAAUUAUCAUUCAAAGCUGGAAAAAUUUCAGGUGCAUUCGGUAGCAAGUAGUCCAUUUCCCCUUCAAUUUAUCCAAAAUUUUUCAACUACCCAAAAGCUACAUUUUCACCCAAAAAAUACUACCCAUAUAGUUUAACAUGUAUACAGCCCAAGUAGUUCAAAAAUUUGUCAAAAUUGACCCCCAAAAUGCGACUAAAAUCUGGAAAAUUUCCAGAAUUUUUUGGACAGCAUAUACCUUCCUUUUCCUUCAAUUCCUCAACAUCAUUUCAACUACGAAAGUGGUGCAUUUUCCCUCAAAUGACCAUAGACAUUCAGCUUAACAUUUACACAAUCCAUGAAGCUCAAUUUCUUGUCAAGAAUCAGAUCAGAAACUCGAACACAAACUGGGAAAAUUUGGACAGUUUGGUUCAAUAGCAGAGCAGUUUUCGUAUUUUGGUCACAUCUCAUUCAAUUCAACUUAGAUUUGAGCAUGGUUGGUAGCGUUGGAAACUACACUCAUAGGGAUACAAUUUUUCAGAAGAAAUCGUUUUAAAAUUCUACUCAUAACUAGCUCGAAAUCUGGCAACAAAACGCAGCUCAUAUCCUGGCUUCCAGUGAACCAGUGGAGCAGGACAGGUGACUUUAAAGACUGCCACGGUUCACUCAGGUGGAACCAGGACGUGAAUUUUACACCGUUGGAAAGCUGGAAGAGUCUAGUUUCUAAUGGCGCUAAUGGCACUCAAUUUCGAUGUCGGAGGGCAGAGUUAUGAUCGAAACAAAAUGGCUGCCUGAGCCAUACGGGAAAAAUUUCCAGAUUUUGCUGGUUUUGGAAUUCAUCACCUUUGGUCAACCAAACCUCAAUAUCUUUCAAUGAAACUUUACACACAACUCCAACAACACAUAAACAUCAAAUACAAGCCUUUAAAACCUCAGAAUUUCGCAUGAAAAAGGUCGGUCUUGGCAGGGGCAGAAUCAGAACUUUUUGCUUCAAGAGCUCAAUGAAGUUUCUAGCAAUAAUGCACCUUUAAUCUACUUCCUUAAGCACUAAUUCAACAAUAAAACCAUCAUCAAACAUCAUCACAGCCAUCAACUCAAAGUGGGAGUUCAUAGAGCCCACAUUCAACAAUUUCCAACAAUAAUAAGCUACCCAUAAGCAUAAUCAAGCUCUUAAGUGUGAGUUGGCCUUCAUUGAACAAGAAUUGAAGAGUGGAUCAUGGUUACCUUACUUGUGUGCUAAAAGGUCAGAUUUUGGUGUCCCAAAAGCCCCAAGAAAAUCCGUGAAUGUGCAGCUCCUUCUUUGUCCAAGGGAUUGUCCAAGUUGUCUUGAGCUUGUGUGGUGAAUUUGGUGUGAAUUGGAGCAAGAAAAUGGUGGAGGAAAAAUUGUGAAAUUUGGAGUGUGAGAGAGAGUAGAGACCGGCGGUUAUGGUGAGGGGAAAGGGAGGGAAAAAUCUGAAAUGGAAAGCUUCCUUGAGAAGCUUGAGUGUGGUACAACUUUUGUGCUCCCAAGUCAACCGUGAACAGUGUAUCGCGCGCGCGUUUCGCGCCCGUUUCCUCUAAGGUUUGUUUUAACUGUGCACUAAACCUCUAAUGCACAUAUAUUCAUGUAAUUAUCAUUCACUCUUAAUGACCUCAAAAUAAGGUUCUAAAGUCCUUCAAAUAAAUCGCGCGCGUAAAACGCGUAUUUCCCACUUAUGCGCGAUAAGGUGAAAUUUUUAAGAAAUUCUUAUAACGAUGGCAUUUCUAACUAAUACAUGGAUAUUUAGGCAUAAAAAUACCUAUUUUAAGACUAGGGUAUAAAUCUCCCAUUAUUCGGGCUCAUGAACUCUCGAGUCAGUUACUAUUCCUGAGCCUACGGGCACUAUUCACACUUGACAACUUUCAAGACUUGAAUUGCGAACUAAUUGCCUUAAAAUUACUCAUGAGCUAUAAUGCUAUAGAAUUGGGUCCAAUAGGGCUAAAAAAUAAUAUUCGAAAUAAUUGAACAAUUAACUAAUUAAAUAACCUCAGAAUAGGAAUUUAAAAGAAAUAAAUUGCGAGUCCUCACAUUCCUCAUCUAACAUUUCUCCAACUUAAUUAUACCUUUUUAUAGCCUCUACAUAUACUACAUUUCAACUUAGGACUAAUUCGCGCGUCGGUGCACGAAAAUUCAACUUAGGGCUUUGCCGAACGCGAAUCGUCAAUUAAAUCUUAAAAAUUCAAAUAAAUUGAAAUGUAACAUUUGAAUGAUUGAAAACAAUAUUAUUUAAAUAUAAAUACAUAUUAUUGGAUAAUUUUAAUAUUUUCAAUAAUAUUUUGAUUUAAUUUUCCAGAGGAUAAUGAAAUUUUUGAGGUCUUCACAUUCUUGGUUUGGGAUAUUAAAUUGGAACAAAUUUGGUCCCAAUUCCAUGACUGUCAGAUUCUUGGGGUAACUCCAUGCUGCAGUCACAAAAUUCUUCACCCCGAUAAAGUUAGCUAUUUUCUCACCCAUGGUUCUUCCUAUCAGACUUCCUUUAUAGUCCUUUACUCCACUGCUCAGGUCCUCCAACUCCAGUUUAGCUCCAGAGAUCUCAUUCCCCUCCAGCGAAAAUCUUUGUAAUAAUUUAGUUAAGUCACCCUCCAUAGAUAUAUUCUGAGAUGCUAGCGGGUAUAAUCUCUCUGAACUUAGAAGUUACGCCUUUUCAACUACCAGCCAAGUUUUAGUAAAAGAGAAGACACAAAGAGUAGCUAAGAAGUAAAGAAGCGAAAAAAGCAGGGGACAAAAAACAAGCACAUCUAGACCAAACUAACACAGUAAAUAGGACCAGCCAGGCUUACGACAAGAGAAACAGAUUACACAGACAAAUAAUAAACGCUGUAAAAACUAAUGCACAUGUACAGGCCCUACCUCUGAAACGGGAGCAAGGAAAGGAGAUAAUCAAGUUUUACCUUGCUUUCAGCUGUUCAUAAAGUGUAGGACUCAGACUACCUUGUGUUCCCCCUGGAGAGACAUCCUUGAAUUUCCUUGAGUACGAUGGUUUAAGCUGCAUUAAUCUAACCUUGGUAACAGAAUCAGAUUGGUAGUGGUGGUGGUUGGAAUAUCUUGGGAAGAAAGUGCGGGAUAGUGUAAAUUUUGAAAAGGUUUGAAAACAUGCUGAAACUCCCACCAAAGGGAGGUUGGCUCUUACCCCAAGAGAGAGCUUCCUCUACACUAGAGAGAGGAUGAAACUUUGAGUUAGUAUUACUCCUUAAAAAAAUUAUUUGCCCCUGAAGUGAAGAUUAGCGUUCAGAGUCUUUAGACACUUUCGGUCAAAAAUUGGAAAUUUUGUCAAAUUUUACUCAAAAAUUGGAAAAUCGCGGUUCACGGUACGAGUCGGUUUAAUGGUUUGAACGGUUUUUUAACGAGUUUGACCAGUUCUUGAUCCAAGUCAACUUAAGUUAUGAAUCGGACCGAACACAUGACCGGUUCGCGGUCGAAUCGAUCGAACCGGCCUAUCUGAUCCGGGUUUAAAAACAUUGGGUACAGUCGGUUAGUUCGGAUACAUUGUUGCUCAUUGGUGCGCAUCGAUUUCCUUUGUCAGUUAUAAAAAGCAAUUGGAUUCUGACAACUGAAGUUGGUGGUGGGCCACUAGAAUCUCCAAUGAACCAACAAGUUCCGUAGGCAAAAGCUCAUGUGUCAUUUGAAUAUGACUUGAAUUAUUAUUAUUAGCUUGCUUGUUAGUUGAUUACAUUUGAUUUAAAAGAUUACUAUUACAUCAAUAGUUUAUUACAUUUAAUUAGUGUUAAUUUAUUACAUUUGAUUAGUAUUUGAAUUAGUUUAAUUAGCAAUAAUUUAUUAAUUAAUAGUGUUAUUAGUAUUAACUGUAUUAUAUCUGCCUGUUCAGUACAAGUACUAUUUAAUACACGUUAUUGCAUCUUCUUGUUUAGGGUUUACAAGUAUUUAAGGUUUCUGUUGCUAUUUAGUGCAAGUAGUUACUAUUAAUUAUAUUUAAUAUCUUCUUGUUUAGGAUCGAUUGAUUGAAUGUCAUACUAGAAAUAGUACCACCACAAAGCAAUAAUACAAGUACUAUUUAACAAAUAGUAAUAGUAACAGUAAAAGUAAACAGUACUAACAAAAAUAAUAGUAGUAAAUAUUAACCAUAAAGAAAAGUCACGGUAAUAAUAAUAAUAAAGUAAAUAGUAAUAUUAAAAAUAAAUAGUUAAUAAUAGAAAAGGCAAAUGGUGAAUAGUAAAAGUAAAUAGUAAAUAGUAAAAGUAAUUACUCAGUAAUAGUAAUAGUGAACAAAAAAUUGUGAUAAAAGUUUCAUUAAUAAAAAAGUAGUAAGUAGUAGUAAUUACUUAGUAAUAGUAAUACUAGGAAUAGUGAAUAAAAAAUAGUAAUAAGUAUUUCAUUAAUACUAAUUAGGAAUCAUUAAAUUAUAACAUAGGAAUAGCAUAAGUUACCGUUAAUUUUAUGUUUAAGGACAAAUUUGUGCUUGUCUAAUUAUUCUAUUACUUAUUACUAGUGAAUAAUAAUUUGUGAUUGUUUUAUUAUGGAUGUGAUUAAUUUAGUAUAGUUAAUGUAAAUUCAUGUUUGGAAUCACGUAAGUGCUUGAAUAUAAAAUAAAUAAUAUUCACAAUAUUAAGUAAAAAAUGUCAAUAUACCUUGCAUUGGUGAUUCAGUUUUAUUGGAGAGACAAAAUAGUGGAGACCUGAGGAUCACUUUCAUAUGAUCCACUGAGGUGCAAAACCAUAUUAGUACUAAAUUUCCCAUCGCAGAGAACACUAGUACCAGAUUAACUAGCAGAUUGUGAUUCAUUUUGCAGUACAAUAUUAUCAAUUAUUUCCUGACUUUCAUUGUUUAAGAUUCAUGAGAAAUUUACCUCCAGUUCAAUCCUUUUCCAAUUUACCCAACUAUCCAGAGUUAACAGAUUCAGAAGUAGAACUCAGCCACCAAAAAUAAAAAAUAAAUUAAAGAAAGCCAUUCAUGUCCAAUUAACAAAUGGCAUCAAGGGUGGAAUCGCAUUGAUUUUAGGUGGACUGCCUAAAAGCAAUUCGUACCAAAAAAUUCUGUUGAUAACAAUUCCAUACAUAAUUUAUAAAGUCGUUACCCUGAUAUUACAAGGAAUGCUGCUCCUUGAUUUUAUAAAUUCUCGUCCAACAUAUAAUUACGCACUAAAAUCUACUCAUCAUUGCUAUAUCCUUGAAUUUGCAGCAGGAAACACAAAAGGAUUUUCCUGUUCAAAUUUUCAGUAUAGCAAAAAAGACGAGUACUUUAUUGUUUCAUAUGUAGAUUCUAAAUCUCUGUGGAUGCAUGUAACGUCAGUCAGAGAGGCUUGGUACAUAUAGGGGUUUGGAAAACAUAUUUUCAAUAGGCACUGCUACCAACUCUCGAUGUUCCUCAUCAUGUUUCGGGCGAUAUUCAAAGUGCAGCAGAAGAGUCCAAAAAGUUCUUCUCCUUCAAGCUUUCAACUGUUUCCUUGAUGCUUUGCUCAAGGGGAAUGAAUUCAAGACCUAAGCUUUUUGCCUUCUCCUUGGAAACCUGGUACGUCGGCACAAAUGGCUUGUCAUCAGCGCACCUACAAAGGUUAUUCACCAAAAAACAUCAAAGGCUUGAUAAAAAUAAUAAAUAGUGUUGAAUUGGGGCAAUAGUCAAGUAAAAGUUCGCUCAUAGAAGUGAUGUUUUUUACUUCCUCAUCAGUCUUUGAUGAGCCAAAUUAAAUGAACAGCAGGUGAUGGACAGGAAAAUUCAUUGCCAUUAGUACAGGAUAUGUACUGCUGUAAGCAUAAUGCUUGAAUAAAGGUUAACGAUACUCACACACCCUUUUUAGCUUGCACACCCCUUCUACAUUCUCUAGGCUAUAUUGAAAGGCAUAGUAGCCAAAAUACAUAGUAGGGGAUGCACAAGAUGUUAAAAAGGGUGCGUGAAUCUCAUUAACCUUAAAGGAAUUACUACAAGGCAUGACAUCUUCAUGUACAAAUCAUAUGAAGAAUGUUUAUCCACUCAAUGCAACAUCAAAUAAAGCACUAAAGGAAAAAAAUGCAGUAAAAUUUUGCUCAACUUCACAUAUUAUGUAUAUAUCUCACCAUUUAGACAUGAUUCCAAGUAAGGUACGGUCACAAGGGUAAAAAAUCUGAUUGCAAUGAAGAAAGGUCAAAACUUGCACAUCAACAAUUUAAACUGACCAUCCAUCAUGUCUUUUGCCACCUCAAAAAUUUCCCUGAUGUUCAAUAACACAUCUAUCUGCCAUCCUACCAAAUCAGGUCGCCAGGCAUAGACGCUUUUCUUGGUUCAACAAUUAGUAGAAAACCAGUAUACUAGCUUAGUGCAUAUGCAGAUUGGUGUUCAAGGAAUUCUGAAUAUUUGUGAAUAACUAAUGCAUGCUCUUACCACGAGUGGGCAAAAACUAUAAUGAUGUCAUGGUAGUCAUGUACACAUUAUCAAUUCACAGGACUUCUAGUAAGAAUCUAUCUAGACUAGAAGUCUUCAUGAAAGGCAAAGUAUUGAGCUGAUUUCAUCGUAUUGAUUUGGGAAUGAAUAUGCACAUUUAAGACAGAAAAGCCACAAGUUUGGGGAGAAGAUCGUGCCAAUAAAGAACAGGUCUCAGGAGUUAAGCAAGAGGAAAUUUUAGAAUGCAACCUACAUCAGAGUAGGUUAUCAAACAGCCAAUUGCAAGCUAAAUGAAAAUUCCAACAUGAUCAUGUGACCUGAUAUGCUCAAUCCAAAAGAUUUUCUAAUAUCUGAAAGACAUAUCCGUAGAGCGAAGGUUCCAAGAACUAAACCAGAAAUACGAGGAUUAGAUUUCUUAGUUGAAGUACUUAAUAAAUUGACUAUCUAGUUACUGUUAACUUUCCUGAACGUUCUGAAACUGAAUUCGAUUUCAAAUAGCAAAAGCUUCAAAAACUUGUCAAUUCAACAUACAGAACCCUUGACAAGAACUUCCAAAACACAAUUGGCGGUAAGUUCAGGUAUUUAAGCUUUUACGAAACACUGAACUUAUCCAGAUAAUGCAAACAAUGUUAAUUGAAAUACUUAUCCACGGAAAAAGUUUCCUAAAAUAUAUUCUGCCAUUAGUUGCAGACACCUGAUGUAUCACAGUUAGGAGUCCCAAACAUGAUUUAUGCAAGGGGCCAAAUCAUGAAAGGCAUAAUAGAUCCUGACAGAAAAAUCUGAGACGCACAUGGACAUGCAUGAAAUUUCCAAAUAUAAUCCUAUGUCACAAAUGUAAAUCUCUAAAUGCACAGUCAAAUCUAAAUUACAGAGCUUGAACUUACUUUUCUGGAAGUUUUGAGGAAGGAUAAAUUUCACGCAAGAUCUUCACAACUUCAGAGUAGUGUACCACUCUUUCGACCAGGCAGUAUCGUCCACUAGCAGAUGGAUUUUCAAAAGCUAUAGUAUAUGUGCAUUAGCAACAUCUUUGACAUCAACCCAGCCCAUAGAAGAAUUUGGAAAUGUUUCUGCACCUGCAUUCAGCAUAGAAGAAAACAAUCAACAAAACAGACUGAUAAAUUAAAAAAACUAAAGGAAGAAAGAAAAUUACAUGAAGUAUUCAAUGACAGUCAAUACAUGAAUCAGUCUAAGAUUAGAAUGCACAGAAUAUCAAUCACACAAAAGAAAUGUUUCAUAUCACCAUCUCUUCUCUCUCUACAAAUGAACAUAAUCAAGCAAAGAGAAAAAUAGAAGGAAAAACAUUUGCUCAAAGCAUACCCAUGUCUAUACUGAUUACUUAAUAUUUCAUGUAUUUCAAUACUUGAUUAAGAAAGCAUCAGGAAUUCUAAACAAUGUAAAACAUCAUUACAAGGCAAUUGUAAAACAUCCCUUCAAGAAAACUAGCCAAUUGAAACAAACAUUUUCAAGAAACAAAAAAGAACCAAAAUUUUUCAACCAGAAAAGCAACAACAAAUAAAGAUCAACAAAAUGAGCAUAUACACAGACAUAUAUCAUUUUAGAAACACCUUCUGCUGCGCACAAAAACAUAUUAGACUCUAGUUAACCUCCAAAUGACCAUGACAUCUACCUUGGGAAACUCGACUUCAUGAGAGAAGCAGAAAGCUCAUGAAAGGCUUUGCAAUAUAGCAAAACUCCAUAUCACAUUAAUCUUAAGUACAUAAGUAGGCCACCUCAAGGGUGCUUUGGCCCUUUACAUAAAUUCUCAAGUUCAUUUCAAUUGAAUCAGAGAUUUAGAAGUUCUAUCUUGAUUAAAAUUGUCCCCACACUCUCAUAUAUAUCUAAGGCACUCCUUGUAGUUAGCUAACUAGUUGCUGGUAUGGUAAACUUUCACAGCAUGGAUACAUAAAACUCUACUAGGCCAUAGAAUGCUCAACCAAUAUUAUCAAAAGUACUCCGCUACUAUUAAUUAAUUAUUAUCCAGAAUGUUACCAUCACCUCUUUAUUUUUUAUGUGUUUUAAUUUUUUUUAUUCAACUUAGACUCAAAUGUAAGAAAAUAUGUUUUCUAGGCUGUAGAUAUGAGUAAGUAUAGGCAGAGAAAGUAAAGAUAAGUUAUACGGCUAAGUUAAAAACUCAGAAAAAAAAAAGGAAAAGAGAAAGAAGAAGAAGAAGAAGAACAAAAAAGUCAGUUUCUAUGUUCUGAGAACAUCUGUAUCUGCAUUAUUUUCACCACCAUCUGCAAAGUGGCAUCAUUAGCACCAUAAAGGUCAGCUUUAAAGCCUUUUUCCAAUCCACUCACUUGCCCUUAAAAGCAUAAUCAAGGAAUAAAAGAUCAAAAGAUGACCAACAGAAUAUCAUACACAUCUGUAACACCAAAAAAUAAAUAAGCACUGAUCCAACAAAAAGAACAUAUACCAAGAAAUUAAUUGAGUUCAUAAUUUCAUGAUGUCCAUACCGUUUAUUAAAUUCAAAAUUGCAGCAGCACUGGUGUUAAGUGUUGGCUGUAACAGAGGCCCAAUCACCAUAGCUGGGUUUAUCGUUACCAUGUCUAAACCUUUCUCUUUUACAAACUUCCAGGCAGCAUCCUCAGCCAAUGUCUUUGAGAGAACAUACCAUAACUGGAAGAAAAUAAUAAGAAAAAAUACCGGCAUCAAAUAUAAUGUUUAGUAUGAAUAUUAAAUCACACCAAAAGCCAUGUUAACUACUUGGACUGUCUAGCUAACAGUUACUCAAUUAUAUGUCUCUAUCAAUUUAGGAGGCAUCAUGAGCAAAUUGUCUUCAAAUCUCAUGAAAAUUUUAACUUGGGUUUCUCUGAUGAGUUUGUGCAGCACAGAGAACUGGUACUUGUCUAAAAUGCUUUAACAGGCCAGUGGUAAAAGAUGCUAUUCUGGUAUAGUAUUUGGACAUGAAAACAAAAUUACAACAGUUACUAAAUGGUAAUGGAAGAUAACCAAGUAAUUAUCUAAGACUAAUUCAUUAAUCAAUAAAAGCAUAUCAUUAGACAUACAAAAAAUUUCUUCCUUUACAUCUUGCCUUAAUAUUACAAUACCAUGCAGACACAAAUGGGACAAAAUGAGUGCACCAAUUAAAGCUCCAUUCAAGCAAACAUAGACUUGUCUGACAAGACAAUAUAACAUGACUAUAGCCAAAGCCAAGGUGAGGCAUUCAGCUGUAAUCUAGUUUCCAAGUUCCAUUCUAUGAAACCCAGAAUCCAGAAGAUGAGCGCUUUCUCUCCUUUCUUACAUAAAUUUUGUGGAACGCUUAUCGGAGUACUUCAAUUGAAAAAUUGUAAUAUUGAGCUUCUGGCAUCACAUAGUAUUAGUCUGGCAACCAUACAAGGACAGAAAUUUCAGGUAGUUAAUAAUCUGGGACACAAGUCCUUCAAUCAGGAAAAGGUUCCUUUCAACUAAAAGUUCGAAAAUUUAUGUAGACACUUUAGCCAUGGGUUCAAUGUCAACAUGCAUCAAGAAGCUAUUUUGAUACAAAGUGCAUGUUGUUAGAAGUAAUAAGGGUAUUUAGGCCAAUAAGUAAAUCUGUCUCUUCCUAGGGAUCUGAAUGAUAAGUUAUCACAGCUCUUCUAUUUUUGCUGUUCCCCCCUUUUCUCCCUUCUACUUCUUUCACAAUUCUCUAUUACUUUCCUGGUAUCAGAGCUAAAGAUGACAAAACAGUAGAUUUACCUUGUUGGGCAAAGUAAACAAUAGGAACUUCUUGUUCUGAUACAGAGAAAUAUAGGAGAAUGAUUCGAAGGGUUGAACUAGACAAUUAUUUCAUGGAAACAGGUACCUUUUUUAAUGCUUUAUACCAGUAUUGACUAAAGCAGAGGCAAAAUUAAGAUGCUUUAUACCAGCAUUCAUUGGUUUUUCUUCCUCUUUUUUAUGACAGGUACCCUUUCCUAUUGGAAUUAUCAAACCACCAGUAGAGAUGAUUGCUUUUUUAUUUAAGGAUGACAACUCCGGAGGAGAUCCAGAAAAAAUAUGGGAAACAUCGUCCAUUUCAAUCCUAUUCCUGUUAGCCAUCAGACAGAAAAAGCAUCUGAUCUGGCAAACUAAAUUUGGAACACUUUUUGGGAAAUGACAUUUAUAGUACAAUCCAAUAACUAUAACAACAGCAAAAACUAGGCCACUAGGAAAGAUAAUAAUAAGAAUUCCACACACAAAACGAGUUCUGAACUCUCUUCCUAUACAAACGUGAACCUUAAGCUCCCAAGCAGUGGGACGAACACAGGGCUCUGACUGUGUGCCUGUUUCUCAAUUGCAUUUACAUCAAAGAAGGUUCCCCCAAAAGAGGUUCCUUAAGUUAGUCAGUGUUCAUACGCAGAGAGAUAGAGAGAGAGAGAGGCCACCUCAAAUAUCUAAAACUUCUCGUUGAUGAUAUUCAAGACAUAGUGGAAGCAGCUAGAAGAGAGCAGUAAAAGUAAUUUUCAAUUACUUAUCCAUAACUAGGACACUAAAGUAGGGCAAAUGACCCUACCAUAAUGAGCUCAAAAUCACAAUGAUGGAAAAUCUAAACAGAGUUGAAUAAGGAACAUGUAUACAAUUGGAUGCUAAGGGUUAUAUAGAUUUACUUAUUUCAGGGUCUGGUUGUAAAAUUUACAGCUUUAGAUACUUAAAAAUUUGCUAUAACCUAGGGAAUCUGAAAAUCCUUUUUGGGUUUCCUCCAGAAAUUUCACCUUUUGGCUUUUCACUAGCUCAGCCUAAGUUACGUGUCUGGGAGUUUUGAUAUCUUUUAGUUCAUUUGUAGCUUACACGGUUCAGUUCUUCCUGUCAACAGAUUUUUCUGGUUCUAGACUGCCACCAUACGCUGCUCAGUUUUCAGUAAAAUCUUUAAUUAAUAGUAGUUUAUAGUGUGCCCAAGCUUAAUAUCAUCCAAUCGCCUAUCCUUUGGAGGGCAGAAAGAACACCCAACAUAGAACUGAAGAAAUUUUCCUCCAUCAUUUUUGAUUGGCCAUGUACCUUUUACACGGUUCAAGAAAACAGCCUGCCAUAACAGGUGAAAUAUCACCAAUUACCAAAUUCCUUGAAAUAUCCAUUUUUUGCUUUCACGUGUGUGCUUUGUCUCGAGACUUUUAAUUCCGAGGUUUAUACAAAAGUCACAGAUAUUAAUGCAUUAACUAGAUGUCCAGUUAACUACACCUCCAGUUAAAAUGGACAAUUGCAAACAGGAUGGAGUAAUUAUCCUGAAACCUUGACAAAUGAAUAUUGUGGCACCAGCCUUAAAUGUCUUAAGGUAAGAAUCCAUCAGAUGUCAUGAAAACACGGCCUUUUAUCAAUGGUUGUUAAAAGGUUUAAAAAGUAUCUGAUUUAAAGCAAAUAGACUCUCCAAUGCUGAAAGCGCCCUACAUCUCAACUUCUCAUAUAACAGAAAUAAAGAAACCACACAAGCAGAAUUGUUUCAGUUGAUGCAUAUUUGAAUAUUUUUCAGUGGCAUUAUGAUGUGAUACAUGUAAGCCUAUUUUAGUGACAUGCACUUUAUCUACAGAGAGUUUAUGAGCAUUUGCUACUCAAGUAUCUUAUAUUCUGAGCCAUAUCUAUAGUUUAGGCCAACAGGAAAGUAAAACAAAAGCUUAUGGAACACAGUGCAAUGGUGUUUGCUAUACAUGACAGCAGACAUGCCAGUAUAUCAAGAGUAAUUGUUUAAGUUCAUGCAAGAGAAAGUGACAUUUACAGACCUUCGUUUGCUUGCAAAAUUCAGGAAGAGACCACCAAGUCUCAUCAACCACCACGUCUGGAGUACGAGGCUUGCCGUUGAAGGCAACUGCAGCUAUAGAGGAUGUUAAACCACUCUUUUAACAGAUGGAGAUUUUGCACAUGAUCCCAGAACAUUAAGAGUCCCUUUUAGAGCAGGAUCAAUCAAUUCAGCCUGUCAACAAAGAAUUCCUUAUGGUGACUCACAGCCAUAACAAAUCACUCACCUUGCUAAGAUGAAGUAAUAGAAAACCCAUUAGCAGAGAUAUUUAAAUUUAAAAAAAAAACUAACUUCAAUUUCAAGGAAUAGUGCUAAUUUGAUACUUAAUUCAUUAACCAUGCAAUAAGUCAAGAGGACAAAGGGCUCAUUAACCAUGCAAUAAGUCAAGAGGACAAAAGGCUCAACAGUAAGUGAGGCUCCUUUAGCAAAUAUACCCUGCUUCUAUCAGGGUUUAAGAAAGAUUUGCACCAGUUAAAACAAUUAUUCGUCUACUUUUAGGUCGGACAAUGGUUUCACAUAACUUAAAAUAAGGACUACUAAUAAAGUUAAUACAAGCAACACGGUGUUUACUUUUGAGUCCACAUAUAUGAAUUGGUCAACAGACAUUUUGCAGACAUCAAAUAUUGGUUUUCACCUCAAAGUCAUCACCUACAGAGUUGACAUACUGAAGGAAAACUCAAGACAAAGACAUUUAAAAUUAGCUUCUGCCAAAAUGAAGCUCUUCAAGCAUACUUGUAUGUCUGAUAUUAACAUUUCCUUAGCAUGGCACUUCUAUUUAUUUGCAUUUUGGCCCUUCUUGAGGUAUCUAUUAGCUUUCAAAAAAUACAAGAGCCCUGAAGCUACAAUUUAACUGCCAGCCCAGCAAUACCCAUUCGGUAACAAGUUCCAAGCCUAAGUUCAUACUUACUACGAAUUAGUUCAAAGAAAAAUUCCUCUUAAAAGAAUACAGCAGACAUGCUUUCAAUCCUUAGUCAAAUAAGGGACGAUCUGAACAUAGGGCUGAACAUGAUUUGAAAGCAAACUCAAUGAAUAGAAAGAGUCAACAGUACAACAGACAGCACUGAAGUGUUGCCUACAUGACAUGGAAAAACAUUGCUAAUUGACUGAAGUCAGCAAGGGAAGGCUCUGAAAGACUAUCUGGGGUAUCCUGUGGUUAUGGUACAAAUGAGUCCAAUCAAGGGAAGGGAGAGAGAGAGAUCACCCAAUGCAUAGAACCUGUACCCUUAGAACAUCAAGGCAGCACACUAAGCAGUUCAUGGAACUACCCACCACCUCUUUUUUAGCUUCCCUCAAAUAGCUUGAGCAUCUUUGAGAUCGACAAUCAUACAUUUCUCAACGACGCAUCAACUGUUACUUAUUUCUUGUUUUAAAUAGACAGACAGAACAAAUUAGGGCCAUAGACAUGCAUUAGUUUGGUGAAGCAAGGAACCAUAUCGAGUAUCUUCUUUUGUAAGAUAAGUAGGAUGCUCUUUUCUCUUUUCCUAAAUGUUGAAAAGGAGAUUGAUGACAACAGUUAGCACCAUCUAACCAGCUGCCCAAAAAAAAAAAAAAGGAUGGCUUCAAAAAAAAGUUAUUUACCUAAAAGCAGAGAACACAAUAUUGAAACUAUACUGAAAAGGGUGCAACAAAUGAGUAAUUUCAAAUGUGCAUACAGAAAAAGAGAGAAGAUUUUCGAAAAACUGCACAAAUGUAAAAGAUAACAAGAAAAAGCACUGAAGUAGCAUACAUUUGACCAAAUUUUUGUCACUGAAGAAUUUAUUAGACUUUAGAGUCAUCAUUCCUGAACCCUCAUAAGUCAAAUUCUGGAAUUCUAACACUAAAUGAGCAACCCUCACAGAUUGACAAGAUUGCCUGCUCGGAUUAAUCAUGUCAGAAAACAUAACCUACUCAAUAUUCACAAAUUGUAUGUCCCUUCCUGGUCAGAGUGUUAAUAUCCAAACUCCCAGCAGAACAAACCUCAGAUGUUCUCAAAAUUGAUAUUUUGAAUCCUAGCAGCCAGCAAUUUUAAAUUCAGUAUUGAGCUUCUGAGGGCAUCUAAUGAGUGAAGAACUCAGUCCCAAGCUUCUUUCUAGAAAAGCUAAUGUCUUUAUACUAAGAUUUUAUACUUCAUACUCAACUACAACUGGCUAUCUUCCUUGGUAUUGAGCUUCUGCUGGUGUCUGAUGAUUAAAGACCUUAGUCCCAGUCUUUUUUGUGGAAAAAGUAACUUCAAUAAACCAAGAUUUUCUACUUCAUAUCCAACUACAACCGGGAAUUUUCUUGAGUCCUUUCUCCCUAAUUUUGAGCCUCAAAAGUGAAACAUCCAACCAUUUAUUUGCAGCAGCAUAGAUGUCUGAUAACAACACAUAAUUCCCAGCAUUUAAGGGCUCAAGCUCAAUUAGUCUACAUGCUACCUCCUCCCCCAAUUCAAGGUCACAAUGAAGCUUGCAAGCGCCAAGAAGUGCACCCCAAGCACCAGCAUGAGGCUUUACGGGCAUUGACUUAAGAAUGUCGUAAGCAUCUUUAAGCUUUCCUGAUCGACCAAGAAGGUCAAUGAGGCAUGCAUACUGAUCCGGAGAAGGCUCAAGAGAGAAUUCAUUAACCAUAGAGUCAAAAUAAUGGCAACCUUCCUUAAUGAGACCAGCAUGACUGCAAGCUGUUAGAAUUACCGUAAAGGCUGUAGUAUCAGGCACAAGUCCUUCCUUUAGCAUCCUUUCAAACAGUGCCACAGCCUGUGGACCACUCCCAUGAAUGGAUAGACCCUGUAUCAUUGAGCAGUAUGAGAUCACAUCAUGCGUGGGCAUUUGCUCAAACAAGGUUGAUGCUCUGUCCAUGUUCCCACACUUGGCAUUCAUAUCUAUGAGAGCUGCAGCAACUUGAACACGCUUGAGAUCAAAUGAGCUUUGAUGCAUAUAAGAAUCAAUUAUUUUUGCUAAUUCCAAACAACCCAAUUGGGAACAAGCAGACAUCAAGCUCACCAUAGUGAACUCAUCCGAUUUGACGCUCCUACACUGCAUCCUGUAAAACAUCUGUAUCGCCUCGCUGGGCUGUCCAUUCUGGGCAUACCCGGAUAUCAAGGCAGACCAGGAUACAAUAUCUUUUUCAUCUGAUUGCUCGAAUAACAUUCUUGCAGACACCAUGGCACCGGCCUUGGCAUACCCAUUAAUCAUAGUGGUAUAGGAAAUUGCAUUCUUCACGGGCAUCUCAUUGAAUAAUUCCCUAGCACUCCUCAAAUCACUGAAUCUAACAAAGCCACUAAUCAUCGCAUUCCAGGAUGCUAAAUUCCUAUUAGUCAUUUUAUCAAACAAGUUCUUCGCCUCCAAUGCCUCUCCGACAUUCAGAUAGCCAACAAGCAUAGCCGUCCAAGAGACUUCGUUUCUAACGGGCAUAAUAUCAAACAUCUUCCGGGAGCACUCGAUCUCCUUGCACUUGCCAUAGAAGUCAACUAAGCUGGAACCCACGUACACAUCAGUUUCAAUACCACACCUUACUAUUGACCCGUGGAGAAUCCGCCCUUCCCUCAAUGCCAAAACAUUAGCACACUUGUUGAUCAACGGCGGGAAAGUAUACUUAUCCGGGCUUGCAUUCGUAGACUUUUUCAUCCGAUUGAAAAGCGAAAAUGAAUUGACCAAAGAGGAAUGUCUACAGUAGCCCUUGAGUAGGGUGUUCCAAAGAUAAAUAUUAGGCUGAAUGGCGCGUUCGAAAACAGCGGUAGGGUAGGAGAGGUCAGAAGAGAGAGCGAUGCAGAGGGACAGAAAUUGGGUAAUCAAAAAGGGAUCCUGCUCGCAGCCCUUGUGGAUGAUGUGAGGGUGGACUUGCUCUAAGCUUCGGAUGGUCUUGCACCGUUUUAAAAGUGAUAAGAUUGAUGCCGUAUAAGCAGAUGAUAAUGUUGAUGGUAAGGGGUCGAGACAAGCGGAUGAGUAUCGGCGGAUCAAAUUCAUAUGAGCAUCGGUUGUGACUUUGUGAAUCAUAGUGGCGGAACAGCCGAGCAGACAGUGCUGGAGCUGCAGUGUCAGGAUCCUGAUGGACCAGUUUUGGAAUUGGGAGGGAAAUUAGAAAAGUAGAAGAAGAAGAUUCAGAGAAUUGCAAUGUUUUAAAACCCGGACCGUCAAUUGAACCUGUGAAGUGAAAGGGUCGAGGUUCAACCGGUCGGACCGGUUCAACCCCAGUUCAAUAAAUAAAUAAACAAAUAAAUAUAUAUAUAUAUAUAUAUAUAUAUAUAGACACACACCUAUGCACAGAACAAGAUAUAAAUGCUAAACCACAAUUAACAUAAGAGCAAUAUCAAACAAUUAACACACACACAAUUAACAUAGUUAUCAAACUUAAGACUAUUCGUUUGUGGUUUUUACUCCUGCAAUGCAACCGAAGUAAAUAUCUUCUGUUUGUGGUUUUGUUCUUGAUAAUCUACACACGUAUUGAAAAUACUCCUAUUUACUUGUUUGUCCUUGAAAGAAUUUUUGACAAUUUUCUCAAAGAUAAGCUAAAAAAGAAAGCAAAUAGCCAUCUGUCCCAUGUUUCUUUGGUUUAAGACUUGCAUCCGUUUUUGGGUGUGUUGGCUUCAAAUGACAUCAGAAAAAGGAUACCCCUUUUUGAAAAAACUAGCAGAAGAGCACCGUGCGCAAUUUAAGUGAUGCGCACAAUGAGUUGAUAUUCAUGUAAUUUAUGGAUUUUUGUGUUUUGUAUAAUUAGGGGUGCAAACGAGCCGAACCGAGUCAAACAUUGAACUUAUCGAGUCAGGCUUGAUUACUGUACACGAGCUCGAGAAAAUUGAGCUCGAGCUCGACUCGAAUAAGUAAGAAGCUGGCUCAAGUUCGACUCAAUAAGGCUUGAUUUACUCAACUCAACAAGAGCUCAAAUUGGCUCGAAAAUUUCUGUCACUAAGCACAUAAUUUUUAAACGCAAUCCAUCCAGCUUGCAUUUUCUAACAGGACAAGCUAAAAAUUACCCCAGAAUGAGAAAAUAAAAAGUGAACAAUCAAAAACUACAAACCAAAAAUAUUUCAAUCAAACAGAAGGUAUAUUCCAUGAAAAUGUAUGUAAGAAGUUAAGAAAAGAAACCCAAUAUUCUUACCAAUCUUCAAAAAACAGUCCCUAAUAAUAAUAACAGAUCCAAAUUCAAAAAAAAAAGGAGAAAAAGUACAUUGACAGAAAGCCUUCUUCCAAUCAAUAAUCAGUACAAUCUCAAUUCACCGAUCAUGAUAUAGAAAACAAUUCAAUACAUGCGAAAGUCCAAAUAAAUUCUAAAUAAAUUGAGAGAAAUUGGGGAUCGAAAUGGGAAAGAAGAGGCGAUCUAAUUCUAACGAAAGCUCUGUCGCCAUUAACAGGAAAGAGGAAAUUAAUCAGGGAAGAAGAGAAAGGGCAACCUGUUCGCUUUGCCUGUUCGCGAGGCCCUCCACCAAUAGAGCUGAUGAAAUGGGCGUUGGAGAGGGCGGCAGUGGUGGGAGUCGGAGAUUGUUCGCUUUGCCUACCGUAGCUUCUAACUGGGAGUCGGAGAGAAAUGGCGGCAGUGGUGGCAGAAGUGGCCAACAAACUGGGAGUCGGAAAGAAAGGGCUCUUCAAUUGAAGGCCGGCAGUGGUGGUGGCAGAAGUGGCUUGAGCCUUGAAGACAGUGGUAGCGGCGGCUACGGCUUGCUUUUGAUUUGGGGAAAGAAGAAUGCCGACAGCAGAAUAGCCGAGUGGGAAGAAGGAGAUGUGUUUGUGACUUUGGGUCCACCGUCCUCCACUGUCUUGGUCCUUGGAGAAAUUUUGUUAUCUAGUUUCUAAUUAGUAAUUAGUUAUAUAAGUAGAGAUAUUUAUGUAAUUUCCUACUGCUCGUGAGCCGCUCGGACUUUCAUACACAUGACUCGAACUCGACUCGUGUUAUAAACGAGCUGCUCGAGCUCGACUCGAACGUUGACCGAGCUGCUCGCGCGAGCAGAUCAAUUCGUUUGUAUCCCUAUGUAUAAUGAAUGCAACUAAGGUGAUAUAAUUAUUAAAUAUAUAAUAAAUAGGGUUUCAAAUCUUUAGGGCUAAUACAUGGAACUACGGCGGUAUAGUACUAUAGUGUCAUAAUAAAAAAGAGUGAAUGGCAUAGUAAUGGAUAAGAAGGAGUUUCAUUAAAAAGGAUGCAAAUUUCAUCUGUGCGGAUAUUAUUUUUUGGAUGGAGAUACUUAUUAAAUCAUUUGUUGAAAUGAGGUAUAAAAAUUGGAUUAGUUAUUUUGUAAUAUAUAUUUGGAUUUACUAAUAUGCGUAUUUGGUUAUGCCUAUAUGUAUAUUGUGUGGGUCAGAAUAAUUGGAUAUUUGAUUUAUAUUUAAUUUCUAAAUUUUGUUUGAAAGAACUAUAAGGGAAGAACUAAAUUUACACACUUAUAUACUAAAUCCACAUUCUAUCGGCUUAUUAUAUAAAGACUUUUAAAGUAUUUAAUUAGUUGUUCACAUAACAGAAAGAAGAAUAGUAUUAUGUUUUCUUGCAUCGGGAUACUCAGUUCAUGCGCGCAUCAAUAGCUACUAAUUAGUAACUACUUUAAAAAAAAGAAAACUUUGGGUAAAAAAAGAGAAUAAAAGAAGGGAAAAAAAGGGAAGAAGGGAAAAAAAGGGAAAGGAUACUCUAUUAUAAUAAUAACUAUAAAAAAAGGGAAAGGAUACUCUAUUAUACAGUAUCCUUUCCCUUUUUUUCCCUUCUUUUAUUCUCUUUUUUUACCCAAAGUUUUCUUUUUUUUUAAGUAGUUACUAAUUAGUAGCUAUUGAUGCGUGCAUGAACUGAGUAUCCCGAUGCAAGAAAACAUAAUAAAGAAAAUACUGUAAAAAAAGCAAUAUUAUAAAAAAGCAACAACCUUGUAAAAAAAGAAAAUACUGUAGUUUAAAAAAAAAAGAAAUCGGCAAGUGUUUUUCUUUCCCUAGAAAUACUUAAUUUCUACAGCGUUAUUUUUCAUUAAUUAGCUACUAAUAAAGAAAAAGCGAAGAAACAACAUAACAACACAAUUUUAUAUUCUACUAUAAUAAUAGUAUUAUUAUUGUUGAAAAAAACGGCAACUUUGGGAAAAUUACUGUAAGUGAAAAAAUAUCGUUAGUAUAAAAAAAUGUAAGCCUGGGAUUUGAAUUUAGGAAACUUAAUUCCUGCAGCCUUAUCAAUAACUACUAAUUAAUAACAAUUUAUUAAACACAACAGCACUAUUCCAUAAUCUACUAUAGUAAUAUUAUUAUUAGUAUAAAGAAACUGAAACCCUAGGAAAAUAACAAAUAUUUUAAGUAAAAAAAAAAAAGAAAAAAAAUUGGCAUUGGAUUCGACGUCAAGUUAGCUAAUUUAUGUGACAUUAUCAGCAAGUAUUAAAAAAAAUAAUAACCACUUAAAAAAAAAGAAGAAGGAAACAAUGUGAUGGAAAGAAAACACCAAAUAUUGUUAGUACCAAAAAAAAAUAAAAAGUAAGCAUGGCAUUUGAAUUCUGGAGAGUUAAUUCCAGCAGCCUUAUCAAUAACUACUAAUUAAUAACUAUUUAUAAAAAAUUGUUAGCUAAAAAAAAAAAGAGUAGACAUGGGAUUUGAAUUUCAGAAUGCUUAAUUCCUAAGAUUGAGUAAAAGAAAGGGGAAAAAAAAGGAAAGGAAAUAUAAAAAUAGCAAUCUUGGGAUAAAAAUUAAGGAUGAUGUUAGAACCAAACCUUAUAUUAUAUUAUAAAAAUUAAGGAUGAUGUUAUCUAAUAGUGUGAUAUAUUGUUGAAACCAAAAACUUGAUAAUCCAAGAAACACAUAAUUUAGAUGAAAAUGAUAGAACUCUCAUAGAAAACAAAUACAACAAAGGAAUGAUCAAAUAAGUAAAGAGACCAAUCAAUCUUUAGGCCAUUGUUGCUGCUCUCUAUACAUUUGCGUGAGCAUUGUUUAUUUUACUUCUACCAUGAAUGACAAAGCCUUGACCGCAGAUGUGCAGAUACUUGGAGCCUGCUUCAAAAGAUAUAUUUUGGAUUUGUUACUAGGCAGAUUGUUUACCAUUAAGAUUCUAGCUCUUUUUCCAUUCGGUUUUACAACGUAUUUUUUACCAUUAUUAAGUUCAAAAAGAUUAUAAUUCCUUUUUCAUUAGAUUUUUUGACAAUUUUAUUUUUAUUAUUUUUUUUGGAUUGUUAUUGGAUCACAUAUUUCUCAUGUAUUCAUAUAUACAUAUAGUGCAUCAAGAGAUAAGUGAUGUAGCAGUAUAUCAUAAUACUUGCUUUCAUAUCAUAGUUACUAUUUUUGAAUUAACAUCAAUUUGAGUAGCAAUUGUUCUUUAACUGAGCGAAUUUAAAAAAUUGAAGCAGUUCGGGUUUUGUUAACCGCCUGUACCAGUGUGGAUUUAUCACCAUCUUUGGUGCUUCUCUUUGUGCACGCUUCCAUUGUCAUGCUUGAAGGCUGGAAACAAAGGAAAAAUGGAGACUUUAAGCAGGGAUUCUCUUUAAGAAUUGAGAAAAUAAAAGACCCACAAAAGAAAGACAACUAUAAAUCACACUUAGCAACUAUAAUCUUCUCCACGUCACAAUAUAAGAGAUUGAAAAUUCCUGGAAAGUUCUAAUAUUUUGCCAACUUCAUAAAAAUCAUAAAAGGCUUGUUGCCUAGAGAAAGGUCCUGUUUAUCAAGUGAUGCUAAAGCCAGCCAAAAUCCUUUCAAUUCAAAGAACUAUGAAACAACAUUAAAAAAAUAAAAUUUAAAAAAAUUCCAGGUUUAGAAACAUUAUUAUCAGCGGACCAGCUCAGUUAGAUUAUAACAAACGGUUUGAAUAGAUUCAUUAGGCAUCUCAAAAAACUGAUGGAAUUUCAAAAAAAGAUUCAACGGUCAAAAGGGUAAGAAGCAUCCAUUAAUCAACCUAAACAGUACAAUAAUACAAUCCCAUAAUUUACUGCAAAAAUAAAUGUUAGAGCUCUCUUGGAGCAUCUGAGAGUGACAAAUAUCAGCAAAAGGCAAUAUUAUGUUAUCUUCAGAAAAUGACAUCAAAAGUAAUCUCCAAGUAUCAUAAAUGUUCCCCAGCAUAGAAUAGACUAUUCUUGGAUGAGUUAUACUAUAAUAUACAGGUAAGACACAAGAUGCAAGUAUCUUAGGGAAGGAAUUCCAUUGACUUCUCAAGCAUGCUACUCUUACUUAUAGCAAUAUGGUAAUGCAAAUAUAGCUAUUUUAUUAGUUCCAUUUUUCUAUAUGGUUAGACAGAAUCAAUAAUCAGAGACUCAUGGCACUUAAAAACAGGAGUUGCAAACAUAUUUUUUAAGCUUGCACAGAUUUUGUUUAAUCAAUCGCAAAUUGCCAAUGGCUUAAAUGGAUGUUCAAACAUCUAGGCAUUAACGCAAGGCAAAUAUUAAAACACUAAAUAAGUAGAUCAUUUACCAUGAAUUAAUUCCCGUUACCUGCCUAAAACAACUCUAACAAUUUUAGUCCAUCCAUUGCCAAGUAUAUUCCACGCCUGCAUACGAUUUCUAAAUUUCAGAUUAUCCCAUCCAAUAAGAAAAAAUUUGACCAUCCAAAUUGAAACAAUCAGAUCAGUAAAAUUAUGCUAGUCCUUGUAAUUUAGUGAAAAUUGACAUAGGGUUGAAAGCAAUUGGUUAGCUUGUACAGUUCAGAUUCAUGAAAUAUAUAACUAAGAAGUUUUACCAAGAGAUUUAUUGCAUUUUGUACUACUAAACUGUACCAUGAAAGCCAGCCAAAAGGUACGAAGAAGGGAAGAAAAAAGCUCCAUUGACAAUAAAAAAAAACCUCUUGAAUGGCAGGAAAGAAGAGAAGAAAAGCCAUUUUGGUGGUGAACUAACUUUAAUAUAAUUUAUAUUAUAUCCUCAAAAUGUCAUCCUAUCAGAUACACAAGCCAAUCCCCUCAGAACAAAAUUAGCAAAAUUUUAAUGAAAAACUUGUACUCUAGCAAAAGAAAAAUGAAAAGGCAAAAUUUAUGCAAAGACAUGAGGAAAAGGCACUUAGAAACAAUAAUCUAAAAUAAUGGAAAUCCUUGAUGACUUACAAUGCUUUGGUCAUUUGUGGCUGGAAACCCAGCAACUAAAUACACACAAAACUAUCAAAAACAGAUCCAACAUUUAAUGGCAUAGAGAUGCAAAGCAAAUAAAGAAAUCAGGCAUUCUCCUUAAUGAAUGGAAAAGGAAGCUCAUGAAAGAGCAUCCAAGUAAUGAAUAACCAGGAAAAUCACAAUCAAAACUUGAUUAAAAAAUAUAAAAAAUCACAGUGCAUUAAAGUAAACUUUUUAUUAGUGCAUGAAAUAAAAUAUACCAUAUCUUAGAGCAUUGCAGCAAUGUUGAAGAGGAAAAAGCCCAACUUUCUCCACCUGCAAUCACAAAAAAAAAGUAAAUUUUAGAUGAGUAAAAGGGGAAGAAAACAAUGAAGAGAAAAUCAAAUAUACAAAAAAAAAAAGUUCACAAUGCAUAAGCAGCGACUUUUGAACUAUCGAUAGAUGAUAACGAUCAUGAUGUCUGCAAAACACGACACAGAAACUAUUAGACACCCAAUUUCCAAAUUGAAAGUAUCUAGGUUCUUAACCUUCCCCAUUGGAGAAAUUUAUCAAAUAACACAAUCAUCCACAAUGUUAAAACAGUUAGGCAGAUAAAAUAUUGAGAAAUUUAUCCGAAUAAUAAAAAAUAAUUGCACAGCAAAAACAUAGUGAGGCAAACAAAAGAUUAAACAGAUUACACCAAUUACUCCAACAUCGUAACUCGUUAGAUUCAGUUCCACUGCCAGCUUAACAUAAACUUUCACAUUAUCAACUGAAUUUCAGAAACAUUCAAUUGAACUUGCUCCAAUCAAUAAAGUGAAAAAUUCAUGCUUUUAAAAUUUCAAUUGCCCUGUUUCCCGUAACUACUACAUCCAACCAUCCAACCUAAGCAAAAAUUUUCAGCUUUCAACACCCAAUUUGAUGACAUCAACAAUUAGUAAUAUAGGAAACAUCUCUUUAUAGUUAUUGUAGAAAUAGCUAUGGAAUUUGAUUAAAACUUAAAUCAUAAAGAGGGAAAAUGGGAUAAGUAGGAGGCGUAGUAGUAAAAGUAAAGAUUAAAAAACCCCAAGUUUUGGAGUUUAAAAAAAAAAGGGGACAAAUCAAGGGCAAAAAAAAAUAGCACUGAUAUAAAAGACAAAGUAUUACCUCUUCAUGUGCUAAUUCCACUGUCAAAGUUUAUGAGCAGGAAGGCGGAAACACCCAAAUGGAUUUUGUGGUUCACUGGCAUAUCAUUAAUAUAACACAUCAUAAAAAAUGAAAGAUAAAGUAAUAAUACGGAUUUCUUUUUACUUCUAGCCAAAACAAACGGAAAACAUUAGACACAAAAAAAUAAAAGAAACAAAAUAAGGGUUUUCUAACAAAAAAUAAAAGAGAAAUAUUCAAUAACAAUAAAAUGGAACAAAAUAAGAAAAUUUCAACAAAAACAACCAUGCAACAGUCAGAAACUUGUGAAUGGGAAACAGGAGAUGAAUCUGAGGAAGAAGAGUACAAUGGGGAACAGAGGUCUUCUAGAAGUGCAAAAAAAAUUUUAAAAAAAUUUAAUGCAAAUCUGCAAAGAAAAAAAGAUUACCUUAUUAGUCUUGCUGCUUGAGGAAGAGGAAGAUGACAGAGGAAAAGAAAAAGAGAGAGAAUGACGAAAAAAGGAAGAAAUGAAAAGAGAACCAGAAGAGACUGAGGGGGAAGAGAGAGAUAAAAGCACAUGUUUUCCAGCACAGGGUUUCAGGUGGUUUGGAAAAUAAAAGGGAACGAAACCGGUACAAGAAUUCCAGGACCAACAAGUCAACAACCACGGUGCACGUGAUUUCCACAUGAAGAAGGACGAAAGACCAACAACAAAUUCCACCACCCAUUCCCACUUUAUAUAUAAGUUCUUUAUAGUACAAUACUACAAAGUUAAAAAAUUGCAGGCCAUACUCAAUGCUGUAUGUUGUUGAUGUGCAAGGAGGCACCAUGAACUUAACCAACCUUAAUGCUGAAGUUUAUUUCCAUCUGUCAUGUUAAUGAAGGCAGGACAGCUAUUGAUCUAUUAUUAGAAGGAGAAAAGGGAACUCUACACUUGUUUGCACCACCAAAAAACAAAUAGAAGUUGAAGUUCAGAUGGGUCAUAGUAGUUCAGUAGCAAAAUGGUACUUGAAUUCAUUUAUAAUCCUAAAUUUCAAGGCGAGUCAUAAUUCCAAUCAGGUCAAGCGGAGUUAAACAUAUGACAGGCAAAAUAACUACUUCAUACUUUAUUCAUCAAGAAUCAGCACAACACAUCAGAAUGUAUCAUUUUAGGAAUUCCAAAAUAGGGCAUUGCGUGGAUAUAUGAGCUUGGAAAAACCAACAAUAUGUUUAUUCAGUAAGAAUUGUUAGCCUAAUAUGGUCCUAUUCUCUGCACAAUAAAGGAAAACUAAGUGAGCAGAGUUGCAGAGAGUAACGGAAUUUUCCAACAAGUAUCCCUCUAUAAGGUUUAGCAACUUCAUUCUAGCUCCCUCUGCGGAAUAUUCUAGCUCGCUCUUAGGCAACAAAUUCUCAUUUCGAAAGAAAUUCUGCAUCCAGGGUAUAAAAGUUAAAAUCCCCAAAUUUAACUUCUACACAUUUGGAAAUUAGCAAUUUAGUGGAAAAUAAAAGAACUUUGUAAAUCUGUUAUGCAAGAAUUGCUCUUCUUAUCGUCAAAGCAACCAAAGCGUAAUUCCAGAGAUUAAUGAACAACGAAAGGGAAAAAAGAUUAAUGAACCUGGUAUAAGCUUGAAUUCCAGAGAGUUCGGAAUAAGCGUGUGACGGCAAAAAACUUCAGGCUUCGGUGCUUCCUUUUUACUGAUUGCAGAGACGACAAAUAGAGACGGCACUCGGCACUCGGCGCUCGGCAGGCAAGGCAAGGCAAUUGCAGAGAGAGGAAGCGGACUGAAGUGAAGAGGCAAUUUCGGCAAUUGACUACAGCAGGCAAGGCAAUUUAGGCAAUUGCAGAGAGAGGAAGCGGACUGAAGUGAAGAGGAAGACUGAAGUGAAGAUUAGGGUUCAGAGUCUUUAGACACUUUCGGUCAAAAAUGGAAAUUUUGUCAAAUUUUACUCAAAAAUUGGAAAACCACGGUUCACGGUUUGAGUCGGUUUAAUGGUUUGAACGGUUUUUUAACGAGUUUGACCGGUUCUUGAUCCAAGUCAACUUAAGUUAUGAACCGGACCGGACACAUGACCGGUUCGCGAUCGAACAGAUCGAACCGGCCAAUCUGAUCCGGGUUUAAAAACAUUGGGUACAGUCGGUUAGUUCAGAUACAUUGUUGCUCAUUGGUGCGCAUCGAUUUCCUUUGUCAAUCAUAAAAAGCAAUUGGAUUCUGACAACUGAAGUUGGUGGUGGGCCGCUAGAAUCUCCAAUGAACCAACAAGUUCCGUAGACAAAAGCUCAUGUGUCAUUUGAAUAUGACUUGAAUUAUUAUAUUUAAUUAUUAUUAUUAGUUUGCUUGUUAGUUGCUUACAUUUGAUUUAAAAGAUUACUAUUACAUCAAUAGUUUAUUACAUUUAAUUAGUGUUAAUUUAUUACAUUUGAUUAGUAUUUGAAUUAGUUUAAUUAGCAAUAAUUUAUUAAUUAAUAGUGUUAUUAGUAUUAAUUGUAUUAUAUUUUCCUGUUCAGUACAAGUACUAUUUAGUACAUGUUAUUGCAUCUUCUUGUUUAGGAUUUACAAGUAUUUAAGGUUUCUGUUGCUAUUUAGUGCAAGUAGUUACUAUUAAUUAUAUUUAAUAUCUUCUUGUUUAGGAUCGAUUGAUUGAAUGUCAUACGAGAAAUAGUACCACCACAAAGCAAUAAUACAAGUACUAUUUAGCAAAUAGUAAUAGUAACAGUAAAAGUAAACAGUACUAACAAAAAUAACAGUAGUAAAUAUUAACCAUAAAGAAAAGUCACGGUAAUAAUAAUAAUAAAGUAAAUAGUAAUAUUACAAAAAAAUGGUUAAUAAUAGAAAGGCAAAUGGUGAAUAGUAAAAGUUAAUAGUAAAAGUAAUUACUCAGUAAUAGUAAUAGUAAACAAAAAAUUGUGAUAAAUGUUUCAUUAAUAAAAAAGUAGUAAGUAGUAGUAAUUACUUAGUAAUAGUAAUACUAGGAAUAGUGAAUAAAAAAUAGUAAUAAAUAUUUCAUUAAUACUAAUUAGGAAUCAUUAAAUUAUAACAUAGUAAUAGCAUAAGUUACCGUUAAUUUUAUGUUUAAGGACAAAUUUGUGCUUGUCUAAUUAUUAUGUUACUUAUUACUAGUGAAUAAUAAUUUGUGAUUGUUUUAUUAUGGUUGUGAUUAAUUUAGUAUAGUUAAUGUAAAUUCAUGUUUGGAAUCACGUAAGCGCUUGAUUCUAAAAUAAAUAAUAUUCACAACAUUAGGUAAAAAAUGUCAACAUACCUUGCAUUGGUGAUUCAGUUUUAUUGGAGAGACAAAAUAGUGGAGACCUGAGAAUCACUUUCAUAUGAUCCACUGAGGUGCAAAACGAUAUUAGUGAAAGAUCAAAUAGAUUACUAUGGGUUGGUUGAUAGUAUACACCUACAUAAGACUAGAUCAAACUGUGCUCAAUUUGAAUCUAUGGUUUAGGAAUUUAGUAGGCCAAGUACCAUUGCGGAACUAUGCUUGGAUAUGAAGAAGACAUGGAUAUGAUGUACCAUAUGAAAAUGACAUCACCUCACAUAGCAUGUGAGAUAUACAUAGAGGUGAAGUCACAGUUCCAACAUGACCACGAUAAUGUCAAUGUUGGAAAACCUCAUUUGUCCAAGGCGAUCCCCAAGUGGAGUUAGACCAUAUGCUCCCAGCCAUCUCUUAUCGUGGUUGUAUGCUAGUAAAAUCGGAGUCCACAUCCAUGAUAGAUGAUGAUUGAAAUCGUGGAAGGGUCAUAUAAGUCGAAAGCAUGAGCGGGGCAGAAGUAACUGGGACAGUAGUUCUAGGGCAAAAUUAUCUUUAGUGCAAAUCCACCUAACUUCCUCUCUAUCGAAUAUACAGGAAAACAAGGGUGUUGAUGUAGAUCCUGACACCGAACCGGAACCUGAUGGCGAUAACUCCGGCGAUACUGAUGAUGAACAUGAUGGAGUCGGCCAACAAGAGUUCAAGCUUGGAUGCGGCUAAUGCUUUAAUCUUAGCAUGCAUGUGGUAUUUCAAUAGAUUUAAACAAGAAAAUUUGGUGAUUUCGGAAGAAAGUUAAAGAGUGUAAAUUCUGAAAAUUUUCACAGCCCUAGACCCGAAACUUGAAGCUGAGUUUUCAUAGCUUAUAGUUUUGAAUUUUGGUAUAUCUUUGAUACAUUAUUGCUUUAAAUAUGCUUUGCUUCAUAUAUCUUAGGUUGUAUGUUGAAUUUCUUAGAUUAAAAAUGAGAAACGUGUGAGAUUCAUAAGAAAAGUGGGCUGAUUCGUUUCACUGAAACUUGAAUAUAGUUUAGCUUUCUUUUCGCUAUAAUUGAUGAUUGGAAAUUAGCAUGCAAGUAGGAAUUUUCUCCUAGGUUUUAUACCAAAUAAAUAGAUAAAUAAUUGUGGUAUUUGUAACUUGUCUCAGGAGUGAGCAAGAGGGUGACCCCAAAGCCGAAGUGUGAUUUUUCACUUAGCGUAAGUGUUCCUUAUGUGCAUUUAUGAUUAAAUGUCUCUACUGGAUUAGUACUUGUUGUUUACUUGUUUGCUUGGUGAUUGUUGAAAAGUAUUGAUGGGAAUUGUUAGAUAUAUCUUAUUGAUUUGUUAAGACUUGAGUUAUCUACGGCAUUACUGUUGAUAGAUGAGUGCGUACUUUAUAACACUCGAACUAAUUGAACUUGAGAUUUCUAUGGUCUUAACUACUGGAAUAAAUGUUCAUGAUUGUAAGCAUACGUGUACUUAAUCGCAUCAGCUGGAUUGGACCCUAAAACCCAUCAUCAGUUGGCAUAUUUAAGUCAGCAAUGGGUUUGGUCGGGUAGGUUAGGAACCUUGAGUAAAUGCGAAUAUUACCUUGUAGUAUGGUGAUUAUUGAAAUGAAUAUUGAUUGAAGGAAAUUGUUUAUUGUUUUAGAGGAUAUAAGGGGUGAUUGCUGCAGUGAUAUCGUGUUGAUAUUGGUCCCUAACUUUUGGUGUUUACAAAACAAUUGGAUGAUACUAAUAUCUCUUCAAGAAAUACUUUCAGUUAUGUAGCAAAUCAGAUUCAAAGAUUAAGCACACUUGAAAGGGACAAAAUAUGCUGAAGCUAUCAGACGCUUAAAAAGACAAGAUCAGACGUCUGAUAGAAUCCUUCAAAGUCGACAAAACCAUCGGACGCUGAAUAUGUCUCCACCAGACGUCCGAUAGAAACAAGAUGAUUUCUCAAAUCUCUUUGCUUGCUAUCGGACGCACAAAGAGCUUGCACGACGUCCGAUAGAAAUAAAAUGAUUCUUCCAACUCUUUGUCUGCUAUCGAACGCAAACAUCCAACGUUCGAUGCUCCAACGGCUAGUUGAUUCUUCAACUACUUUCUAUCCGUUGGAAAUAUUAAUGAGGCACUUUUUUGUCCUAUAUAAAUAGUGGUUGGUCAGAUAUUUUAAAUAACUUUUACACAUAGAACAUACAAAAGAUUUAGAGUAGGUUUAGUGAGAAAACACUCUCCAAAGAAGAUUUGUAGUCUUAAUGGUGUGAGGUUCAUUGUAAGUUUUUCAUUUGUGAGUGAAUACUUCAUGAGUAUAGCUCUGUGAGGGUUGUCCUGAGGGAUAGUAAAACUUCCUAACUUGACCGAGUGGAGAUCGGGGCAAGGAGGAAGUGAACCUUUCUUUGUACAUAAGAGUGAUUGUAAUUCAUCAAUUUGAAGAAGUUUGUUCUAUAAAUUGAUCUACAAGCUCAAGAGGAGUUGGGUAGUCUGUGAUACCCCGAAUAUUAGGAGGUUGUUUGUAAAGAAAACACUAAAGUGUACUUCUUUGGGUUUGAUUUAAAACCUUAUUUCAUUUUAAAAGAUUAGAAACCCUAAUAUUUUAAUCAAAAAUCCUAAUUUACUUGUGACUAACCGGUUUUCUUAAACCCUAAUUUUAAUCACUGGAAUUGUAAAAUCCCUCACGUUUCUCUUAAAAACUUCCUUUUAUUUGGAGCUUAUGAUUUUAUAAUAGCCCUACCACCCAAUCAUCUCACAAUAAGUGCAAAUGAAUAUGAAAAUAAAGAUUUUUCCCUUUUUGUUUUAAGUUAGCGCGAAUUAGGGUUUUCACGUUUUCCAUAGUGUACUUAUCCGGUACGGAACAAGGAUCAAAUUGGGUGAUUAAAAGUGAUUUUUAGGUGAGAAAUAAUAUGUGAUUAGGAUCAAUGACCUAAGGUUAGUGAAUAAGAAGUAAAAACCCUAGUACGUGUGUUUUAAAGAAAAACGGCGCGAACCGACGGGUACCGCGCACUACCGAUUGAACACACUAUUUGACCAUCAUUUCCUUACCACGUGAGCUCAUUAAUAUUUGAGCAAAAUAUCCCCCUCAUUUCCAGCUAGUCUUGACCGAAAAUGUGGACCAAAUGCAAGGAAAGGAAAGAGAAAAAAAAAAGUGGUGGUGGUGGCGCCACUUGUCGCCACCUAAAGGUUUCUUGACCAACCAAGAAUCCAACCUUCUUAUCCCCAAUUUUGUUCUUUCUUCUUCAUUAUUUCUGCUGGUUGGCCGAACAAGAGAGGGGAAAAGAGAGAGCAAAAACCCACCUUCCUUCAUCUUGAAUUUAAGCUACAAAGUGAGGAAACAAAGAAAGUAAACCGAUUAAAGUUAUCUUUGAGUGUUGGUUUAGUGAGAGGUUGGUGAAUUUUUGAAGGGGAAAGCUAGGGUUGCUCUUGGUAGACACUAAGCAAGGUAAGGAUGAUGAUUUUCUCAAUUCUUACUAUUAAUCUUGUUUAAAUUAGCUUAGCAUUUCAAAUUUGUGGUGAAUAAUGGUUGCUAUCAUGUCUUGAGUGUUGUUUUUCCUUGUGGAUACAUGAAUUAGGGUUUGAUGGAUUGCUGCCUAUACUUGAUGUAUGGUUCAUAUAUGUUGUAUCUAAGAUUAAAUAGGGGGUUUUGGUAGCAAGUGAAGCAAGAAAUGAAGAAAGUUAUCAUUGAAACCAAAAAUUCCAGAUUUCUGGAAAAAUUUCACCCUAUUCUAUCCGGUUCCAGUUCAUGUGGUUAGAGGCCGAAUUAGGUUUGGAAUAAAACAUGAAAGUUGUAGAGAAUGGUAUUUUAUAGUUUUUUACAAAAUUUCAUCUCAAUCGGAGCAACGUAACCUGUGAAAAGACCAAAAUACCCUCACUGCCCUAGGUUAAAUUCCAAUGUUCCGCGUAGACAGUUCAGUCUAUUUGGCUGUGUUUAUUCACUAUAAUCUGUGUGGUUUUAGCCAUUUGCCAAAAUAUGAAAGUUUUAGUACUCUAUCUUAUCUAUUCAACGCCUCCAAGAACGUCUUAAACGGACCUUGGUAGCCUGAGAUAUGGCCAUUUGAAGGCAGUACGGUUAAAUAGCCGAAUAGUUGGAAUUAGGUUAUGUGAAUUGGGAAUUUGAUUAGGUUACACUGGAAAUUAGACUAAGUGCUUUCCAUGAAAAUUAUAGGCCUUCGUCUUAGCUUCGAAAUGGUAUAAGUUUCACCUCGAUCCGAUAAGCGUAGCCUUGGAUGUGCCCAUUUCGCAAAAAUUCGUCAAAACUGUCUUUUUUAAACGUCGUUUCCACACUCGUUAUUAGCUUGAUUUCUUGUUCUUGUAUUGUUUUGAGCCUAUUGAAUGGAUAUUGAAAUGAAAUUGUGUUAUGGGUAACCUUGGGUUUGGUUGAGUAAAAGAAUGAAGCCAUAAAUGACUGAAAAAUUAGGUAAAUACAAAGGGCGUGCUGCCCAAAUUUACGCUCGAGGACUAUAGAAAUACACUUGCGACUUGGGUAGAGUUGAUAUGAAUAUCACUUGAACCAUCUAGGGUACUUGAGUCUUCUUGUUCCGAGGUAUAUAAGUAAGGAUUUGGCCGAACUUGUACCCUUGAGAAAUGAAAUAAUGAUUGUUCGGAAUAUGUUUUCCUUGUACUUUCAACUCGUAUGGCAUUUUCAAGUAUAGAUGCUACAAAGUUUUAUCGUUUAAAAAGCGAGCAAGUGAAUUUCAAUUUCUUGAUUUUUAUUGAACGAAACGUCUAAGUUUCGAAUCUUAGUCGAUUUUCAAAGUUCUUAAGCCAAGUUUUAUUGCAGAUUUGGACUCCAAACCCGGAGUACCACCCAGACGUGAUUACUAGAGGCACUAUAUCUUUGGUGAGUGCUUUCAAAUACCGAAUUGAACUUGAUACUUGAACUUGAUACGUGACCAAUAUGAUUACAUGUUAUAUACGUGAAUUGUUAGGGUAAGAGUGUACUUUAUCGCACUUGCCUUUAUGUGAUAUAUACUUGUUUAUGGUUGCAAUUGACUUGAUACAUUUGUUUAUGAUGUGCGCACUUCCUGGAAUUCCAGAAACCCUGUGGCGAGUUACUCUAGUUGAGCCGGCAAGGGUUUGGUCGAUUGGGUAACGAACCCUGGGUCUCUUGUUUUGUCGAGUGGAGUGAUAUCUUCUCGACUAAUCGGUAUACUCGAGUAUUACCACCCGUGUUUCUUGAGGAUUUUGGGCCCAGUUGGGGGUUUGAAUGGUGGACGGAGAGUCGUUUAAGUGGUGUUCUACUAGAUUGGUUACUUACUUGAAAGUUGACGGAGUGUCAACUGUUACUUGAACAAGCUUGGGAGAUGCACUGGGAUUUUGGCUCCUGAGAGUCUUCCGUAUCCUUAUACUUGAAAAUGAUUAUUGCUUAUCGGAUUGUUGUUUCUUUUGAAAACCAAAAGCACUUUACACUCGUGCAUUUGGAAAUUUGCUAGUUGAAGUGUUGGUGUUCACCUUUAUGAACUUGUUAAGCUCGCUAUCUUUUGCUACAUUGAUACGUGUACUUUUAAUAUGGUCAAUUUGUUAUUUGGAACCUCACUGGGUUUUUAGGUCAUUCCACGCUAUUUGUUUUCCUUACAGGGGGUACGAGCGAGGCGUGAGAUGUGUAAAGACUAACGUAGUCUAGUUGUUUGACUUUUGACUUUUGUCUUGUACUCGCGUUAUUCCUCGAAUAGAAUGUUUUGUAUUUGGAUUGUAUCCGCUUUGAACCAGUUUGGGUAUAUUGAGGUUUUGUACCUUGAUUUUCAUCAAUGUAAAUUAUUAGCUUGAAUUGUGGAUGUUAUUUAUGGUUCAUGGAUGUAUGCACGUGAUUCGAGUGAGUGAGUGAGUCCUGGCGAGAGUUGGGCAGGCGGUCCGCCGAACCCUUUAGUACGCCUUAGGGGGAGGUGGGGUCGUCUCAUAGUCAAUUGGUUUGCUAUUUUUUCUUUCUUAUUUAUUUAUUGUUACAUUUGUGAUCUUUAAAUUGCUUAUCUCUUCUAUUUCUCUCAAGUGAUUUUGUUCAUUCAUUGAUUGACUCAUUGUGUGAUCACUUAGAAAAGAGGAUAAAUUUUAUAUUAAGCAAAAAGGUGUCUCAUCACUUGAUUAGGUUUUUAAUCAACCUAAUUCACCCCCUCUUAGGUUGUUUUCGGGUCUUACAAUCGGUAUCAGAGCUUGGUCUCCUUGAAAUUAAACUCAAUCGAUUUAGGAGUAAAGAUGACAACCAAUAAUACUAUGUUUUUUGAAGGACAAUCUGUAAUUAGACCACCUAUGUUUAAUGGAUCAAAUUAUGUAAGUUGGAAAGAAAAAAUGAUUAUUUUUUUGCAAUCAAUUGAUAUUGAAUUGUGGUUUAUUAUUAGUGAAGGUCCAUAUGAUGCCUCUCUUAUAGAUGAAAAUACUCAUAGAUCUAAACCAAAAAUAAGAAGUGAACUGACUGCUGUGGAUAGAGCUCAUCUCACCUUAAAUGCAAAAGUUAUGAAUGUGUUAUAUUAUGCUUUAGAGUCAAAUGAAUCUAUUAGAGUCAAGGGUUGUAAGUCCACUAAAGAAAUCUGGGACAAACUUAGAGAAAUCCAUGAAGGAAGUGAGAAUGUGAGAGAACAAAAGAAAUCUAUUUUGGUUACCAAGUAUGAAUCAUUCAAGAUGGACCCUCAUGAAAACAUUGAUAAGAUGUAUUGUAGAUUCGAAAAUCUCAUUAAGGACUUAGAGGUGCUGGAAAAGGAAUACUCUCUAGGUGAGAAAAAUAGAAAAAUUUUGAAUGCCUUAUCCAAGGAUUGGGAGAGUAAAGUAACUGCCAUUGAAGAAGUUAGAGAUCUAAAUUCCUUACCUAUUGAAUCUUUUAUUAAUUCUCUAAUCUCUUAUGAGCUGAAACUUAAGUCCAAAGUGUAAGAGGAAGAGGAUGCAAAGGUAAGAAGGGGCAUUGCUCUAAAAGCAUCUCAAGAUGAAGAUGAUUCGGCUUCCUUAGAUAGGAAAGAUGUUGAAGUUGAUGAGAGUGAUCUUGCUCUCAUUACAAGAAGUUUCAAGAGAAUUUUUAACAAAAGAAAAUUUAGAAGAGGAGGAUCUUGUAAUUCAGAUUCUAAUCAAUUCAACAAUGGAAGAAACAAAGGAAAGUAUGAGAUCAACAAAAAAUAAGGUGACAAAUGCUAUGAAUGCGACCAAUUUGGACACAACAUGAGUGAGUGUCCAAUGAAGAAGAGGAAAGAUGAAAGAAAAUCAAGAUUCAAUAACUUUCAAUUCACAUGGAAUGAGUGCAACUCCGAUGGUGAAAUUGAAGAGGAAGAAAAAUCUGCUCAAUUGAUUUUUAUGGCCAUUAGAGAUUAUGAGGUAACAUCUUCUACCUCUCAAUUUGAAAGUGAUGAUGAAAUUGAUGAUGAUCUUGAAUCUUUCAUUAUAAAAUUGUAUGAUAGUUUGAAAAAAUCUUAUGCUAGAAAUAAGUAAUUAAAACAUAAAAUUUGUUUUUUUCUUUAGGACAAUGCACGUCUUUUUCAAGAAAAUAAAAAACUGAUAACUGAAAGUGAUUUCUUAAAAAGGAGUGAGACUGUUUUACACUCUGAACUUGAUAGAAAAAUAAAAUUUUGUGAAAUUAUCGAAAAUGUCAUAUGAAAAAUGAUUGUUAUGUGAGAAAAAACAUGAGAAGAGGCAUGAAAUGCAUGUGGAUAUUUAGACAUGAUGCUAACUCUAACAAGUAGGAGAUAUUGGUAAGAUUGGUGAGAUUCUUGUUCACAAUGCUUUUUUGUAAUUCUUUUUUGAAUGUUUUGAAUUGAGUUUUCCUUGAUAUUUUUGAAUAUUACUGAAUUUAUGUGAUGUCAAAAAGGGAGAGAAAAUAACAAUUCUGAUCUAAUAAUGAUUUUCUUUGUGAUAUGUUGGUACUUCUUUUGGUAUCAAGUCUCUGUGAUAUGUUGGUAUGUUGGUAAUUGCUGAAUUUUGGUAUCAUUUCUCUGUUUUUGUUUGAAAUAUUGAAUUCUCUGUUAUUAUUGCUAGAUUACGGUAUGAGAUUUUUACUCUUUUCUUAUGAUGACAAAAAGGGGGAGAAAAAUGGAUACUAUGUGUUAGGGGGAGUUAUUCUGAUUUCUGAGAUUAUAAGUUUGGUACUUAAAUAUUUUUGGAUGCAAUGAGUAAGGGGGAGCUUAUGCUCAAUCUUUUUUCUUUCUUUCAUCCAUUGUUUUGUCAUCAUAAAAACGGGGGAGAAUGUUGAUCUUGGUCCCUAACUUUUGAUAUUUACAAAACAAUUGGAUGAUGCUAAUAUCUCUUCAAGAAACACUUUCAGUUAUGUAGCAAAUCAGAUUCAAAGAUUAAGCACACUUGAAAGGGACAAAGUAUGAUGAACCUGUCGGACGCUCAAAAAAACAGAAUCGGACGUCCGAUAGAAUCCUUUAAAGUCGACGAAACCGUCGGACGCUAAAUAUGUCUCUACCGGACGUCCGAUAGAAACAAGAUGAUUUCUCAAAUCUCUUUGUUUGCUGUCGGAUGCACAAAAACCUUGCACUGGACGUCCGAUAGAAAUAAGAUGAUUCCUCCAACUCUCUGUCUGCUGUCGAACGCAAGCAUCGGACGUCCGAUAGUAUCGGACGCCCGAUAUUUCAACGGCUAGUUGACUCUUCAGUUACUUUCUAUCCAUUGGAAGCAUUAAUGAGGCACUUUUUUAUCCUAUAUAAAUAGUGGUUGGUCAAAUAUUUCAAAUAACUUUUACACAUAGAGCAUACAAAAGAUCUAGAGUAGUUUUAGUGAGAAAACACUCUCCAAAGAAGAUUUGUAGUCUUAGUGGUGUGAGAUUCAUUGUAAACUUUUCAUUUGUGAGUGAAUACUUCAUGAGUGUAGUUCUGUGAGGGUUGUCCUAAGGGAUAGUAAAACUUCCUAACUUGACCGAGUGGAGAUCGGAGCAAGGAGGAAGUGAACCUUCCUUUGUACACAAAAGUGAUUGUAAUUCAUCAAUUUGAAGAAGUUUGUUCUAUAAAUUGAUCUACAAGCUCAAGAGCAAUUGGGUAAUCAAUUGGUUUGCUAUUCUUUCCUUCUUAUUUACUUAUUGUUACGUUUGUGAUCUUUGAAUUGCUUAUCUCUUCUACUUCUCUCAAGUGAUUUUGUUCAUUCAUUGAUUGACUCAAUGUGUGAUCACUUAGAAAAGAGGGUAAAUUUUAUAUUGAGCAAAAAGGUGUCUCAUCACUUGAUUAGGUUUUUAAUCAACCUAAUUCACCCCCUCUUAGGUUGUCUUCGGGCCUUUCAUAUCGAUUUGGCUCCCAAGUGACGUUAUAUCAUUUCAUAUUGAAUAAGUUAUUAUAUUGUAAAUUAUACAAUGAUUUGUCCUGAUUUUAAUUGUUUGUUAAUAUGUUAUUAUGUUGAAACUAUGGAUUUAUGUCGUUUAUUGAUUGUUUCUUUUCUGAGAACCUCACUGGGCGUAAUGUCAACCUUUAGUUUGUUUUCCUUACGGGAUAUGAGAGCGAAAGAAGUUGAGAUUAAUGAUAGAUCGAAUCCAAAGUCUCUAUUUGGUAUUUAUUGUAGACAAACUUGUACUAUGAGAAUUAGUGGAUAAAUUCUUACUUUAAUCCUAUUGGUUUGUAUAUAAGUGUGAAUGUGAGAACCCGUAAAUUUCUUGAUUUCUAGGCCUUAUUUUAAUUAUUUGCACGCCUUUUAUGCAUUUUCUUUAUUAGGAAAAAUUUUCUAAAUAAUUUUUAUGAGUAAAUAUAGUUUUUAGAUGAUUUUUCUAAUACCGGUUAGUUUUUGAGAAAUUAAGAGCAUAUACCGGACGUGGGACCCGCUAGUGCGGAAAGUUCGAUAAAAUUCGGCCAAUUAGAUUAAGUUUGGGAUACUGGGAUUAAUUUACUAGGUACUAAGAGAUAAUUAGAGAUUGUUAUAUGGAUGAGAGUGGAGAGACAAAAGGAUAACCAUGUAUUAAUUAUAGUGACAACUGUCACUUGGAGAACUAGUCUUACUUUUGACCACUAUUCAUUACUUUACCAAAUAAAUCAAAAAUUGACCCAAAAAUCACUCAAAAUUUCAAGCUCAUGGCCGGCCCUCUCUAAGGGAAAAAGAAAAGAAAACUCUCCACUUUCUUAGCCCCAAUCUUGUUCAAUCUUCAAUUCCAACCGUUUAAUCUUGAAUUUACUCCAUAAAACCUCUUAGUUUAGUGGUAUUAAGGUUGGUUGUGAAGUGGUUUGGAGGAGCAAGGUGCUAAAUUGGGUCUUUUUUUGGGUUUGCAAGGUAUGUGACCAAGGAACCUUCCCUUUGAUCCUAUUAAUGCUCAAUUGGUACCUUUUGUGAGUUAAAGAGAUAAUUUUAGGUGUUAUUUUGUGACUUUUGGUUGAAAUUGGUGAAGUUUUAUAUUUAUUUGGGAUUUUUCUAUUUUCAUAUGAUUAAUAUUGUGUGGCCAUGGAUGAUGGUUGGGAAUGGUUUAGAAUGAAGCCUUGGUGUGUAAAUUGUAGCUAUUUGCGGAAAAUUUCCGCUUUGAACCGAAAUUUCCAGGUUAGGGUUCCAAUUUUUCACUAUUCUGCCCGGCACUGUUGGAUCUAGUUAUAGGUCGAAUUAGCCUUAGGUUAAAACAUGAAAGUUGUAGGGAAUGAUGUUUUAUAGUUGAAUGCAAAAUUUCAGCCCAAUCGGAGCAAUGUAACCUGUGAAAAGACCGAAAUACCCCUGUUGCCCUGUUUCUACCCAAACAUGCUAAUCAGCUUCUGUAAUUGGUUGUUUUGACCAGGAAUACUACUGAUUUGGUUGUCGAUAUCUUCUUAAGACUUAUAGCCUUGUGGCUUAGCUUUAAAAUGGCUUUGAAAUCACUUGAAUUGGAGUUGUAUAUGCUGAGAUAUGACUGAAUGAAUCAGGACUGCCACAGUAAACUUCGAAUUGGAAAAUCUGGGAUUGUUUUGGUAAAUUUGACCUAGAAACAUUGUAAACUGGACUGAGUGGCCUUCUUCAACAUUGUAGGCCUUCCUAUUAGCUUCGAAACGGUGUAUCUUGUACAUCCAUCCGAUAAUCGUAGUGCCGGUUGUGUCCAAUACGCUUAAUGACGUUAAAACUGUUUUUAGGUCUUAGAGCUUAACUCUCAUUUCCGGACUUUCCCUAGCUUACUUUAAUACUUAUACGUUCUAAUGGAGCCUUAUUUUUGGUAGUAUAUGGAAUUGGUUUAUGACUUGUAAUCGAGUCUUAUUGUGCUUGUUUGAAUAUUUUAGGGCGUGACGGUGAUUAAAGACGCUCUUUGGGCGGAAGUUUAUGAAAUUUCACUUGCUUGCUUGGUGAGUGUACUACUCACUUGCUUGUUACUGUGUGGCUUUGUUAUAUUUGAACUUGGAAUUUCACUGACCUCUCUUACUCUAUUGCGUUUUUGGUAACAACGCAGUCCAAAUCUGAUUACAAUAUUAUUUUCAUGUGUGAGAAGGUAUUUUUAUUCCAUGGAUGCCCCUUUGGUCCUUGUAUUGGUAGAAGAUUGAAAGAAGAAUAAAUUAUUAGAAUGAUUACUAAAGUUGAGGGGUUAUAAGUACAAAAAAAAACGGUUGUAAGCACCAGAUGUGUCAGGAAAAAUGCCGAGUUUCACAAAUUUUAAGUCAACUAGUAGGUUAUCUAUUUAACAUAAAAUAAGUAAGUAAUUAAACUAAUUAAAUAGAAGAGAGAGAGAACCAAUUAAAUGCAAGAAAGUCGUAAUAGAGGAAACGUAUACAAAACGAAUAUUAGUAUAUCACCUUUUAAAUUUUACUCACAUAAACUAAUAGACAAUUCCAUAAGCUGGUUGGUGAAUAACAGAAAUUUAAUAUCUAAUGAAGGUGAUUAAAAAAUUAUUACUGCUAGGCGCCAAUUUUUGAAAGUUAAAUUUAUGUAUUUAACAUAAAUUUAAUAUGUGAAAGUUAAAAAAAAAGAAAACGAAAUAGCGCGUAACAUACCAGCUCUAUAUGGGAAACAUUGUAUCAACAUUUUAUGGGAAACAUAAGAGCUCUUUAUGCCAUUUACCCCACUUGGCGAAUAAACACCAGCUCUUUACGCCUCUUCUCAAUUAAUGGGUUCCAGUUAGGACGGUCGUGGCAGCAUACGAGGAGUCAGUCUGGCUUCGGUAUAUGUAUCGGGCGCGACCUUUUGGUUGCCAUUUACCCCGCCCGACCUGUCUGUCAAAUCUGUGCUACCGACUUCUAGAAGCUGGUUGACGACCACAGGUACGAACUAACCCUCCUUGUUUAUCACUGUGGAACCUCCUCUGCUCUGCGAUGAACGUCCGUAAAUUGACGAUGUACGUGUAGUUCAGGACUGUUCAUGUUUCCUUGCUAUCGGUGUAUUGUUACGGUUCGGAUGAAUUAAACGUAUUGACACAUACGUUGGUCGGUUUGUAAAAAUGUUUCGGAUGACAGUUUUUUGACGAUAGAAUGUUGCGUCGUUUGCAGGAGAAGUCGCCACUUUCCCAUUUGUGUUCGUUUAUCGCUACGGUUAGUCGGAUGUCCAGAAAUUCGGGAUAUUACACCUGAUCAAUCAUUAUUGGAUUUUAUGAGGAAGUUGUUGUUGUUUGAAGUUUACUCCAUUCUUGGGGCUUUCAGGGAUUCACUCAACUGUGCCCAGUAAAAGGAGUUAACCGGUCAUGGCCAACGAACAAAAAGGGCUUUCAGGAACCUCCAUCCUCUCCCUUCCGACCGAGGUGCUUGCACGUGUCGCAUCUUCUUCAUCAACUGAUCUUUUCCGGGCAAAACUGUGGUUCGUUCUGCUAUUGAUGAUACAAACAGGAAGAGGCGAAUUCUGUUCCAUUCUGUGAUUUUCGUUUAGGUUAAUGGAUCAUUUCUCUUAUUGUGCAGCUGUAAGUUGCUUAACGAAGUUUCGGACGCAGACAUCGUUUACCAGCGGGUGUCACUCGCCAAGUUCGAACUCGUUCCGUGGCACAAAACCACAAAGUGUCGAGCUUCUUGAAGAAGUGUAGACAAUGCAAAAAUCCAGAUGCACUGUAUCGAAAAGGAGUGAUAAGCAUCGGGCCGAUAAAACUCAUUCCCUUGAAUAUUCUACCUUUUCAAUUGAAGUUGGUAAUGAACAACCCCCAGUCCUGUACAGUAUAAGUCCUGGUCAAUGUCUUUGGCAAGUUGGGUUUUGAUUAGGAACGUAAGACUCAAUAGUUAUGGGAAAAUUCGGUAAUGUUUUAAAUGGAAUAGUUGUCAACUAACAUUCCAUAAGCAUACUUGAGUUACAAAAUUUCUAGACUAAGCUCACAUCAUGUCUUUCAUUUGAACUUCAUUGUGAUUCUGGUCAGCAUACUUCACCCCCAAAAGAUUGGCUUACAACACGUUACUGCAGCUUUGGGCCCAGUAAAUAACUGUUGUCCCGUCGCCACUGUUCCACCUGCACUUUUUAACUUUUUCGUUACUAAGUUUGUAAGCAAGACUGUAAUAUCAACCUUGGCACUGCUUAGGUUGAUUUCUUUACGGACAAGCAUGGGGACUCAGCAUCGGAAUGCUUGGAAGAAGCUGCUAAUUCAGGCCAUGCCGAUGCUGCAUAUGCGUUGGGAAUAAUUUACAUCUUUGUUGGUGGGGACGAGUUAAAGCGCAAAGGUAUGAGCCUGCUGAGCGGGAUGAAGAAAUCCGGAAUUCUGAAAGGCAGAGUGAAACUUUGCCGUGACAAUUUGCGAGCGCUACUGAGGAUGAUAUGGGUCAAGAAUCCUGUGUUUGCAAACCCAACGCCCAUUUGUUGUGCCAUGACACAUGAGAGGAAAACAUCUUCAUGGCCUAUGGAUGCGGAUGACGUGGAGGAGAGUACAUGUGAAGGCUGCGCUUGCGAUGAAGAAAUUGGAGCAAUUUGUGCUGCCCUACCUUAUCGUUAGUGUGUAAGAUUGAAUGUUGAGAACUCCUUUGACUGCACAAAUUUUUCACCAUCGUGUACAAAUUAAUUUUCACCAGCUAAAUAGCUUAUCUUGGCCCUUUUAUGUUCUGUAUUUGAUCGAAUCAUUAAUGAAGUUAGUAUACGAUUUUCUAAAAAUCCAGUGCGUUAACAAAACAUUAGCACACUGAAAUACGAUUCGAUAAUGUUUUUCAGGGUCGUCGGAGGAGAUUGGGCGGUGGUCUGCAGGGCUCGUUACCCUCUAUAUUUAGCAAUGUACAUAUACACGCUCGAAGUUCCUUCAGUACAAAACCACAUACAUAUGCAAACUCAACAAAACGCCGUUGUAGACAAACGUGUAUGAAAUGUAAGAAUAAAGGAUGAUAGUUAGAAGGUAAAGAGGGAACUCCUCAGCAGUGAUCUACGUGAUGGAUACUGUACUGAAGUGAGAAGUUUACUAACUACAUACGAAAUGGUGCUAGAUUAGAUAUUGCAAAAAAAAUUACUUAUGGAGGAAAGCCAUAGAGAGCUUGUCUUUUAAGAGAAUGAGAUACUAAUUAGAAAUGCGACCAUGAUUUGAUUUAUGAAAUUAUCAAAAAAAAUUUAGAAUGAUUUUGUCAAUAUAAUUAAUUAAUUAUUAUAUAUAUUCAUAUAAUGCAUUAUAUAAUUAUGCAAAUAUAUUAUAUGGUACGAAGUAUAGUAUAUAUUUAUUAUGAUGUUUAGUUUAGUAUUAGUAUACGUAUAAGUAUUAGGAAUCAUUAUAAUUAUAUAAUAUUUUAUUACUAUAUGCACAUAUAUAUUAUAAUUAUAUGCACAUAUAAAAUACAUUUAUAAAUAUAUAUAAAUAGUAAUAUGUAAAUAUAUAUUAUAAAAAUAUUUAUAAUAUACAUUUAUAAAAAUAUUAAUUAAUUUAUAAUAUACUUUAUAGUCAUAUAAUAUAUUAGUAUAAUUAUACAAUGCAACACAUAAAUAUAUAUAAUAAAGGCUUAAUUAAAAAAAAUGCAUUCUAAAUUUUCUUUGGAUAAUUUGAUAAUCCAAAUCGUGGUCCCAGUCUGUAAAGUAGCACUUUCUCGUAAAAGACCAGCUCUAUAUGGCCUUCCUCCAUUAUAAUAACAGAGUACCCUUUUUUCCAUAAAUAAUUAUAAUUAUCCAGUAAAAUAAGAAAAAAAUUGAUUUACUUUAAUUGACCAACUCUUUAUGGCUUGUCUCCAUUAUAAGAACAGAGUACCCUUUUUUCCAUAACUAAAUUUAUUUAUCGGAUAAAGAGGAAAAAUGAACUCGCUUUUCAAUAAAAGACCAGCUCUUUAUGGCUCUCCUUUAUUAUAAGAAAAGAGUACCCAUUUUUUCGUAAACAAAUGCCCUAAUCGGAUUGAAAUGAAAAUAAACAAGUUUUUCAAUAAAACGCUAGCUUUUUGGCUAUCGUCCAUAAAUUAUCCAAUGUCUGAUUUUUCCAUAAUGUAAUUCAGGGGAGGUUUCUGAAAGUAUCCCAAAAAACAUGUUGUGUAUAUAAUAUUAAUAAAUUAUAUAAAUAGAAAAUUACAUUUGUUAUUAUGAAUAGAUUGUAAUCUGCUGCCUGUAAAUUGUCAAUUGCGCAUAAACCGCUUCGGAAUAAUCUAUCCAAUACCGAAUCGGGUUGAUUUUCGUUUGACUAAAUCGGGUUUGCCUCCCUCCACGCCCGUCCCUGCCUGAUCAAUUAUCCCACAAAAAGUUUGUCUUUCUUGAACUUCUCAUCGUUUCUCCUGUUAAGCCCAUCAAACGCCGCGGGUGUUGUGUGAACACACUGAACAGCUUCGGUUUAAACUUUCCCCCCUUCUGAAAUUUGGAACAUUUCGAACAGUUUUAGGCGGCAAGGUCCAAAUAAAUCGGAUUUAUCGCGUUCGCUUCCUCUGUUGCUCAAAGUACUCAACACUUGAAUCGCAUCCCGAAGCAAGCAUAGCCAGUAACAUGGAGGCCUGUAUGAGUCUUCCAGUGUAUGCAGGCAUGUGGGUCGACGUAGAAGCUCUCGCUGGUGAGUGUAUCGAUAUCACGGAAUAUCUUAAUGCCCAAAAUUUGUUAAAUUUGCUGGCACAUAAUGACAAGUGCUAUGCUGCGAUGGUUAGGGAAUUCUAUGCUAACUGUAGGGCAAAUAAGCAGAAGUCUGUUCUGCGUUCAAUGCUUAGGAAUGUACACAUGGAAUUGUCUACUGAGGUUUUGUGUUCAGAGUUUGGAUUGGUUGACAGUGGAUACACUGUUGACUAUAAACGGAUUAACGCAAAGAAUGUAGAUAAGGUUGUGUGUGAAGGGGUACAAUGACCUAGAAUUUCUUGGAGAGAUUAGGCAAAAUGGUGACAGAGUUAUGAACAUGGGGAAGAAAACUAAGUUUUAUGGGCCGUAUAUGAAAGUGUUGCCACGACUGUUACAUCUGAUAAUAACUCAUAACAUUUUACCCAAAGCCGGAAGUAUCACUUCCGUUAGUGCAUUAGAAAGAGUUAUAUUGUGACAUAUGUUACACAAACAACCCGUCAACAUAGGCAAUUUGAUCAUUGCAACGAUGCUCAACAGGAUUAGGAAGAUUAAGAGCAGGGAGAAUAAGAGAACACAUCUCCCUUUUGGUAUGUUGCUGACCAGGCUCUUUAGGCGCUUUAAUGUGCCAUUCUUGGCUGACCACGUUGACAAAGGAUUUUAUGCCCAAAAAAUAGAAGUAUCGUACUUCAAAAAACUGGCAUUCAAAGCUGAAGAUGGUGGUGGAUGUGGAAGAAAUCCUAUACCUCUUAUGCUGUCAUUGGUCAGACUGGGGACGCGAAUAGAAAAGUUGAAGAAAUAAAAGAGAUGGAUAAGGGGGGAAGUGUGCUGGGGUAGAGGUGAGGCCGGUUGUGGGAGAAAAGGCACACCUUGUAGAUGUUGUCUUACUAUCUGAACAAACCAGAAAAGGGGCAAGUGUAUGUGACAAUGUUAUUUUACUCCUUUUUGUUUCUUCUUCUCGAUGGCAACACAGGAGCAUAACCCAAUAUUUGUAUGACUAGGUUGUGGAUAAAGUGACACAAAUUUUACAACGGGUUGGUGCCAGCGAAGUGAAGGACUGCAGAUUUGAGGAAUUGCCAUUUCUACGAGAUGUAAGACAUGCUCUUGCGCUCUCCUGUAAUCCCCUUUAUAUAUGCUAAUACCUUUAUUGUCCAGUGUCUACCACAAGCGUCCGGCGUAGCACCUGAUGAAUUGAAAGAAGCCGUAUGCUUUCAUGUCAGACAACUCGUCCGCAGAUGUAUGUUAAAAUAUCGGUACUGUCAAUGGCUAACACUGAUCUCGCUUUCAUCUGUUUAUUGUACUCAUGUCAAUCAUUGUUCACAGCUGUGUCAAUACACUAGAUAGGCAGCAUCUCUUUGAUAUUACAAGAGAAGAACUGAGCAAGUGAUGCUUCUGGAGACAUGUCUCAGUGACAGAGUAAGUUUUUUAUGCGAUUGCACAGGCCUACCUUGUUCACUAAUCUCGCUAAAAAUAAUAACUCAAUGUUGAAUGUUUGAAUUUGUUCCAUUCUGUGAAGGUUGUGACCCAGUACCUUCACUUACUCCAGAAAGAAUAUAAGCAAUUUGUUUUCUUCAAUCCUAUGUUUUGGGUACGUAACGAAAAUUAUUGUAUGUGCUGUUGUGUCUUGCAAAUGUGGACCUAAUACUUGCUUCUCAAUCACUUCGUUGUAGCUGAAAUGCGUGUUAGACUAUCCAUGCAUAUCUCCCGCAACCAAAAAAUUCGUUGAUCAGAGCAAUGACGACUCCAUGACAAAUCCUGAAAAGGUAAACAUUAGCUAUCAUUCUCGCCUUUACAUUCUUAUACAAUAUGAGUAGCAGCUGCAUGUUAGUGGAAUUGGAUUCAGCCUAACAUGGCCUUAGCUUUUAACACAUUCAACAUUGCUUGUUGUAUGCGAUUGCAGAUUUUUUUCCCAAUCGUUUAUUCAAAUCAUUGGUUGCUCAUGAUUGCACAUGUCAAGGACAAACAAGUGUACAUUGUUGAUUCUAUAGACAAUUACAAAACCUUCUACCAAGGUUUGAUGCAAUCUAUGGUGAGUAAACUUCAAAAGCGUACCUUAGCUUCAUUUCCGAAGAAGGUAACAUAUUUCUAACAUUCGAUACUUGCUAUAUUUAUUUCCUUUUUUAGGAAUGGAUUUUGAUGAAAAUUUUCCACGAAAAUCAACCCUGGACAUUUAAUCUUGUAAAACACAAACUAAAACAGAGACAGGCGAGUUGCGGGGUUUUCACUUUGAAGUUUGCGCAAUGUUGGGCAAAGGGUGUCGGCCACAAUUUGUAAGUGCACAAAUGGACAACCCCUUGUGGCAAGCUCACUCUAUUGCGUCUGACAUUGUUUCUGAAUGUAUGUACAGCUUGAUGUUGUCAUUGCUAGAAAAUUUAUUGCCUGGGAGAUCGCUUUGGGGAAACUUGCGGACCCGUUCGCUUAUGCUGCUUGCCUGAUAGAAAAUAAACAGGCACAUGAGGCUGUAACCAGAGGAGAUUUGCAAGAUGAUGCUACUAAGGAUGUGGGGCAUCAGGAAACAGGGAACGGUACAUUAUGUCUCGCCUUUACUGUAAUUGGUUCGUUGCAUAUGAAGGCAAUAUUAAAUUUUAAAUUCUUUAGGGCUGUAGCAAAUUAUUGGUACGAAAUUAAUCAUUGUAUAAAGAAACAUAAAAAGUGUAUGUACCUCUGUGCCAAUGUAUCUCCUCGUGACCAUUGCAUUCACAAAUUGCUUUUCUACUCCAGUAUUCCAUUAUUGCAGGGCUGCUGCUCACAAAUUUGUCAUAAAUUCUCGACCACAGAACUUUGCUUUACACUUUCAAUUCCUCUUGUUUGAUUUCGCAUUAUGACAUUCAAAUUGGAUCUCACAUGCAAAAUUCAUGUGCUGAAAUGCUGUAUGCCUUCAAUUUUUCCCCAGCCGAGGUACAAGGGUGAAAACAAGCCCGCCAGAACUUGCAUCCGCCAAUGAUUCAAAGAAGAAGUUCUUAUUCUUGAUUUGAAUGGAGUGCUUCUGGGCAGUGCAUUUACAAGGAUGACCAGAAAUCGGGACUUUAAUUUCAGACCACGUUGCUUUGAAGUUUUGCAGGUCUGUCUGUCAUAUUUUGAGGUGGCUGUUUGGUCAUCAAAGCUAAGGUAUCCGCCAACCUAUAUUUGAAUUACUUCAUUAACUAGAACGUCCACAAGUUUUUCUGUUAUGUUCUGAAUUCAAGACAGUUGUGCUUUCUGCAGCCACAACAUUCAACCAGUGUUGGACAGUCUAUCCAAAAAAAUGAAUGAACGUUUGGAGCAGAGACUGUUAUUUGUUUGGGUGAGAUGUCAUUCAUAAAUUACUUCGAUUGUGUGUAGUCAGUCCAUGUGUAAGACUUCUGAUAAAUGAAAGUCGGAAACAAUCAAUAUUGCGCAGGAUCAGUCGCGGUGCACUAUGACACAAACCAGCCUUAGGGAAAAUCCAGACAAACCGGUGAUGUUUAAGGACCUGAAACAUGUGUGGGGAGAAUAUAAGUCGUACAACAACUCUAACACGAUAUUAGUCGAUGAUUCUCCGUAUAAAUCCUUCCUUAAUUCUGUAAGUGCCCAUACCCACUGAUCGUUAUGUUGUAUAUGUUCCGUAUGCACAAACAACAUGAUCAGGGCUAACUGUUUCCAUAUUACUCAUUCUUCAGCCGUACAAUGCCAUCUUCCCCACCUCUUAUACAUGUUACACUGUAGAAGACAAUUAUUUGGGUAAGACGCGGUUCGUGAUGCAUUGAAAUGUGGCUUUUGCUACGGUAAGCACAGGGUGAAAGAUUGGCCUGACACAAAACUUAUUUGCAGAUCCUGAAGGAGAUUUUGUACGACACCUGAAGAUUGGCCAGUGCUGAUAAUGUACAAGAUUUCAUUAAGCGAAACCGUUUUGGACAAUCACCCGUAACAGAAGGCAGUGUGGAGUGAAACUUUUAUGUUAAUGUUGUCAGCAAGCUUGGACUGCAGAACACAGCAAAGCAAGUGACGCGCAAACGGGAAGCCCCAAACAGAUAUUAUCCGGAGGUAUCCAUUGCAUUCAUGUUCAGGAAUAUGUUCACAAUAGUUCAACACCUCGUUAUGAUAGCUAAAAUUGCGUCUGGUCAUAUGCACAGACCAAGAAAAAAGGAAAAUUUGAAAGCAUGAGGAAGAUCAGUGUUCACUAUACGGAAGCUUCUCCAAACCAUUGGAGUAGAGAACCUCUCUUCUGAUGGGACACACAAGCAAAACUUUUGUGCUUUAGUGAGACACUGGGCCUGUCUAAUUCAUAUAUGUUGGUACUACUUUCUUCCCUUACUUGUGUUUUUUGUUUGCAAAGGCCCGUCGCUGAGUUUUUUUAUGCAAAUUCUAAAAAUGUCGAAGUUUGGAAUGACGUAUGUUGUCUGCAGGUUUCGGAAUGCACAUGAGGAAAAAUUAUCAGAUAAUGCCUGUAAUUGCUGUCAAAUGCAGGAUGCGUCAGCCAUAUACUCCUGCUACAAACGUUGGCAUCUUGAACUAUUUGCCCAAUUUUACUCAAAUGUUAACCUUCACCUCCUUGAGAUUCCACAUACAUAUUUAUAAAUGUAUAUUAUAUGUGCAUUUAUAUUUAUAAUAUAUAUGUGUAUGUAGUAAUAAUAUAUUAUAUAAUUAUACUUAUAUUUGUUAUUACAAAUAUACUAAUAUAUACUAAAAAUUAUACUUAUUAAUAUAUAAUAUUCUCUAUAAUUAUCAAAAAUAUUAGUACAACUAUACAAUGUAUUAUAUAAAUAUAUAUUAUAAUUAUUUAUAUAAAUAAAUUUACUAAUUCUAAAUUUUUUGGGAUAAUUUCAUAAACCAAAUCGCGGUCACUUCUGUAAUGUAUCACUUUCCAUAAAAGACCAGCUCUUUAUGACCUUCCUCCAUUAUAUUCGCAAAGCACCCAUUUUUCCAUUAAUAGAUUUAUUUAUCGAUAAAAUAUAUAAUAACUCGUUUUCCAAUAAAACCCAGCUGUUUAUGGCUUUUCUCCAAUAUAAGAACAGAGUACCCUUUUCCAUAAAAAAUUUAUUUAUCGAAUAAAAUUAAAAUAAAUCAGUUGUCUACUAAAACACCAGCUCUUUAUGGCUUUCCUCAAAAUGAGUAAACAGAGUACCCAUUUUCCCAUACGCUAAUUCAGGGGAGGUUUGUGAAAUUAUCCGUAUAAUAUAUAUGUGUAUAUAAUAUUAAUAAAUUAUAUAAUUAUAAUUAUAUAAAAUAUUAGUUAUGGGUGAAGAACGGAACAAGAGAAUUACGGGUGAAUUAUAGGUGAAGAACGGAAAAUAUUAGUUAUUGGUGAAUUAUGGGUGAAGAACGGAAGAAAGCCCAGUUUUCUGAUUUCUCAACAUGCUGGAAGUUGAGACAGUACAUGACACAGGGAGCUUUGCAGUGCAUUUACAAAUUUAUUUUAGGAUAUAGUGGGAAUAAUGAAUUCUUGUAUCGGACGACAAAAUAUAGUUAAAGGCGUUGUCGAAUACAAAUUCAUUUAUCGAAAAGCGAAAAAAUACACCCGUUGUUCAUAAAAAGGGUUUCUUCCGUUAAACUGACACAGUCCCAACGUGCAUCAAAUAGAAAUGUUUAUCGGAUGAAAUAUAGUUAAAGCGUUGUUGAAUAAAGAUCAGCUUCUUUAUGGCUUGCGACCGUGUUACACUGAGAAAGUAUCCAGGGGCCUUAAACACAGAUGUAUUUACCGGCUGAAAUGUACUUAAACCGUUGUCGAAUACAAGAGCAGCUCUUUAUGGCUUUCUCCGUUUUAAGUACGAGGUAACCAUUUUCCGUUAAACAAAUAUUCAUUUAUCGGCUACGUGUAAAUUAAACCCCUUUUCCAAUAAAACCCGGCUCUUUAUCGAUUUCCUCCACUAUCACAACAGAGUACCAAUAUCCAUACUUACUAAUUCACUUAUCGGAUAAAAAUGUAUGGCUAAUUUAUUUGUUCGAUAAAAUCGGAUCGAUAUUAUACUUGAGUGUCAUUUACCCUUUAGCAUAGAAUGCAAGCAAGAAACUAACCUAUUGCAGGUUUAAACUCCGUGUUAAGACAAAUUGUUUCGAAUACGUCAAGACACCUAAUUCAUAAACUCUCGCGAAACAUAAAUUUAAACGCGUUAAUUUUAAUUACCACAAAUCAAAUAUUUCAAUCCUUUUUCAUUUAUUUCUAAUGACUGCAUACCAUGGAGCACUGUACUAGUCAUAACCAACCACAAAUCUUCUCUUAACUCUCGACCACAUGAAGAUUGUGGUACUCGUUAUCCCAUGCCAAGGUCUCCCACACCACCGCCGCGAGUUUGCUCGGUUGAACUUUGCUUUCCUUCCUCUAAUGAAACUCAUAGAUACACACCAACCGCUUGCCUUACUAUGGCAGUUUUUUGGACUCUCUGUCUCGUCUUCUACAUUUUAGGCUACGACGACGUCCAUCCGACUAUGACAGCCCCUAUUACAUGGCCCUUUCCACAAAAUGCCGCUACUUUGUUUCUUAUCUUGCCACCUUCAUCCAACCUCAACUUUAUUCAUCUCCAACCUCCUGUGCGUGUUCGCUUUCCGCAUAAUUUGAUGACGGACAACGUUGGCAUCAUCCAGAACCAAAGACAGUGCUAUUUUUGCGCCGCUCCUGCUCCGAAUUGUACUGCACCGAUAAAUUUGUUACUAUCUCCAUCGUUCGCAACCAAUGCAAGCAACACACUUACUGUUAAAGCACACGACGCCAUUCCUUUUUCCUUACCUGAUUCCAUUUCCAGCUUCAAUUCCACUUGAUAACAUAUCCAUGUACUUCAGCAUGAAUAACCCACAAUCCCACCUGCAUUACAAACCAUAACCACAAAUUUAGACAACCGUUGCUGAACUAUGAAAAAACUUCCAAACCUAUGCACAUGCAACUUACGCAUUCCGUUGCUGUGGACAUGUGGCUGCAGCUUUUAUUUUGUACAGCCAAAGGCAUGACGAAUACUGCCCCUCCAAACCAUAAGUCAGCGCUGCUUCCAACCUUUCAAUCUGAGGGCCAUACAAGAAAAACAUAUGCAAUUUUAAGUUUACUGCCACCAAUUGUAAAGGUGAUGGUCGUGUUCAUGAAAUGUUUGACAAACCAACUUAGUUUACCAUGUCUCCACGGAGCUGCGCCUAUUCAUAUCCGUUUGCUCGUGUCCUCUCAUUGAAUCAUAAAUUAAUACUUCUUCGCUUCCCAUGUCCACCACACACAUAUACCAAUGCUCGUCGUGCCACAUUGGCACGAAUAUCUGAAGCAUAGCAGCGGUUAGUUAGUCAUCAUCAUGGGAAUCUGUAUCUAUUCCAUUAUGCUACAUAACAGGGCAGCUUCUCGUACCUUCUCACACUUUUUUAUAUUACCUCCUACUUUACAUUCCUGUAGAUAUGUACAGUACAGCUCGUCUGCUGAUUUGUUGAACUCCAAAAUCUCUUGCUACAACACGACAGUAAAAUAUGACAUUUUAAUAUGAAUGUACGUACUCACUCCCCCCAACUUUGGCCGAACACUUGUACCUGAAACCAAGUUGGCAUGAACCACCAUCGCAUUGACUGAUCUACAGCACGCCUUUGCUGCCUUGCUGUUUUCAUCGCACAAUAGCAAUUGAUUAUCUGCACCAAACUCAAGUCACAUCACUUCGUCCUCCAUGAAACAGUCCACAUAACACCACCCAAUUUCAAUCCCUCGAUUUACUCACAUCACAUGCCAUGGGUUUUUCAGGAAGCAAGGACCCCAUUGCAUCCCGACUUGCUGUCUGCCCCUUAAUUGACACCAGUACUUCCCUGUCAUUACAACAGGUACAUUAAUCUUUUCCCUAUGUGUAUUACGGUUUCAUAAUCUACAAACUUGAUAUCAUCAUUUUCAAUGACUCGAGUUAAAACGGCCAGAGUAGGUUGCUCUUCCUCACUAAUACAACCAGCAAUCACGGUUUCAAUGACUCAAUCGUUCCUUAGGGUCAUUGAGUUAGCCUAAGGCGGUUAUGUACUCACCAUAAGGGUCAUUGAGUUAUCAUUGUAGUUCCAUUCUCAAACUUCUGGAAUACUCAUUUUAUUCUAUAUGCAAGCAUGUUACCUACCCUUGCUUUUUAUAUAAGCAAGCAUGAUUGACAGCACACAAAUUGUAAGUUUUAUGCUCACUUGUAAACCAAUUUUAACUGCUUCCAAGAUUUUCGUUCCUAUGCCCUCUCCCCUAUGGGGAUAAUCAUACUACAUAUUUAGUCAACCUUAUAAUUGCAAAUACUUUUCUGUCCCCUUUCCCAUUGCAAUUUCAAAUAAGGAUAAAACAAAAUAGAACUGUUGAUUUAACAAAUCCAUGAUCCAGUACAUACCCUUGCGACAGCUGAGUGUCAAACAAGAACUUCAGUAUUUUUGCUCGUCCCUCACUCAAUUUUUCGCCGAUAGAUGCCAGCCUCGUUUCCUGCUACCACAAAAAUAUGUCAUCUUUCAUUGUCUAUAAUUUCCCAUACUUCAGUAAUUCUGGAACGUUGGAAUACUCACCUUUGCCAAUAAAGCAACCAUCUUCGUUUGACACUUGUUCAUCCCACUGCUAUCCAUCUGUACAUAAAACUACAAUUUAUACUUUACUUUUCUAAUGCUAGAAAUACCUUGGCACAAACCGAUGCAUACCUUUAUUCUUUUACCUUGCCUUCUGUUUUGUUUAUCUUCCCACACAGGCUUCUCCGUAUUGUCCAUCCUUAGUCUCUUUCUACUCCUCCACUUUGUAAUUUUCGAUGCACUCUUUUCACCCAUUACAGUACUAUUCGUAGUGACUCUAUCAUUUUCACUCCUGCUUUUGGACCUAACAUCUGGCGUUGUAGGACUAAAUUUAUGUAACUCACUCCCUCUUUUAACAUUACGCGCCAAUCGUCCUUCUGCCCACCCUCCACACCAAGUGCCCGGUUUGUUUUGCACACCCUUCCACUUUCAUACAUGCUCCUCAGCCUUUCAAAACGACAUUCAAUCAUUGCUUCCAUUCUACCAAUACUAUCCUUCACAUCUUUAUUACCACAUUCAAUUUCAAUCAGUUUCUUCAAUGUCUUCUCUACAGCUUAUGUUAUUGUAAAACUGCACAUUGCCCUGUCACUACAAGCCUUCAGUUUUGUACUACUAGUAACGUCACAAAAUGCAGAUUGCAAUUUCAACAACAAUUCACACGAAAGGAUUUUACAUUACCUGUUCCCCCUCAAAUAUGUGAUUCCUCCUCAAUAUUCGCACGCUUUCAUUAAUCUCGUACCUUCCCCAAAAUCUUAGCCUCGGCCCUCUCGGCUGGAACUUGCGAAACUCGUCCUCACCCUCGAUAUAGAAUCGUUCCAGAUAGUAAAUCUGCAGGGACAAAAACGCCUACCAUCAUUUACGGGUCUUUUCUAUCAAAGUUUAAUUUCAUUAUUCCAGCAAUUCCUAUCUCUAAUACAAAAUGGUGCGUCUUUCUUAUACCAUCAAGAAAAGUGCACAUCCCGCUAUUCCGUUGCCGUCUCUAUCACGGAUGCUCUUCACCAAAUUGUCAAGUAUGAAUUUCGACCAGUUCAAAUUUUCAUAUUCUCCGCUGUAGCCACUACAGCCACCAGAUCCCGGCUCACUGUGUCAUCCAAACUUGGUGCUAACAACCUACCAACAACAAACAGUACGAACUUCACUUUGAAUUCUAAGCCUUCGUUAUGCAAACUACAUAUACUAUGCCUCAAUUCCUCCACUACAAUUUCACCGCUAUUUAUUCUGAUAUUCAAUUCUCUUUCCAACUCUGUAUCCAUCUCUUGCCUUCGCUUUUCGCUUUCAAUAUCUUUCCCACGGCUGCUCAAGCCAAGUACACAUUCCACAUCCUCGCUGUCACCUGUAGACAGUGCCCAUGAACGUUCAGUGUCCUCCGAUCUACAUCAAAGUUAUCCACCAGCCACUUCAACAUCUCUUCGUCAACCUCUACUCCCUUCACAUUCAAAAUUGACCCGAAUCCAAACUCUCUGACAGCCUGCCGCUGCUCAUCCGAGAUCCAAUCCACCAUAUUCUUCACAGAAUGAGUUGAGUGGCUUACCAUUGUUUCCGCCGUCCGACGAAUGGCCUUCCUUUCACUGCUGCAACUUUUAUAAUUCGAAGGUGUUCCUCUCUCAUGCAUCAGCGAUACUACCAUUGUUUCCGCGUCCGACGAAUGGCCUUCGUUUCACUGCUGCAACUUCUAUAAUUGAAGGUGUUCCACUCUCAUGCAUCAGCGAUACUACAUUUUCGCUUUCUCCUUCACUGUCCCACUGCAUAUCCGAAGCAUCUAUUUCGGCUGCCAGCUCCAUAACAAAUCCCUAUCUCUGCUAUUCCGCUUGCUCCGGUUUUGGCGCUUCUUCCUUUCUAAUACGCCUACACUGUUUAGCUUAUCCAGUAAGCUUCGCGCCUUUUUUCCCUGCCGUACUUUCGCGUACAAACCCUCACUUUUUCGAUUGCUUAAUUUCGCCCCCUCCACAUUUCACAUGCGCGGUUGGAGUCCCCUUCAACGCCCAAUACAUCUUCCGGUUGCACAUCACAAAAUCCCUUUCCACGUGCCCGGCCAACACACUUCCCCUAUCGUUUGUGGCCCGAAAUGCUUGAAUGUCUUUUCGCUUAACUUUCCACACCUCUGUUUUGACAUCUAAACAUACCGCAGCAACAUCCCAUGUUGAAUGCUUAGAGCUUUUCUUUUCUUUCCUCGUAUGUCGUUUGUAGUGAGACAGAGGGUCACUUCGUGUGACUUUGCUAUUUUCUCCUGAUUGGAACGGAUUGAAUUCUCAAAUAUCAAUGACAAUGGCCGCAGCUUUAUCUUCAAUUUCGUGUGGGUUUUUCGCACCAAACAUGAACUAAUCUCUCCACUCUAGUCAAAGGACAACGGAGGCUCUGGUUCGCCUAAAAAUUGUGAGAUCGAUUUAAUUUAAUCUUUUUUAUUUAUUUAUUGGUAUUCGCAUAUCCCUUGAUUGCUAUGCUUAUGGUUAUUUAAUUAAUUGAUUGUCUUGGAUCCGGAUAAUUAAUUGAUUUGGUAACCUAUUGUCAAUUAGGGCAUUAAAUCCAUAAUUGUUUAAUUGCCCUGAAAUAAUGACAACUGGCACGACUAGAUUCGUGUCAGGGGGAUACGCGAGCUAAUUUGAAAUAACCCUGGUAGUGCGUUAUUUGGUUAGAAUAGGGCUCCUCUAAUACGUAAUGCAAUUGAAAAAUUAAAUCUUAUGGGUCUACCUAGGAUUAUUUCUUAAUUAGAGCAGUGAUUAACGGGCGUACCUUGAUCACCGACACAGUAAGGAGGGGUUGACUGUCAUCGCUUGUUUGGCAGUUAUAACCUAUUUAUCAGUAAAUAAUUGGAAUUGGUUUUGCAUCAAUGAUCAAUUAGGUGAACCAUUGCUGAAGUUAUUCCUUGGCUAGAUCCUUAGUUAUCACUCAUUAGAUUUUAGUAAAUUGUUAUUUAAUUUCUAGUUGGCUAUUUUAUUUUUAUUAUUUUACUUUUAGUUGAAUUGUUUAAAUUAUCACCCCUGAUAUAAAAACACCCCCAUUGUCACUGUGAAUUUGGAAAGGAACAAGUACUCCCAAUCCCUGUGGAUUCGACCCUACUUACCACUAUCUACAGAAAUUACUUUUAGUUUGAGCAGGUUUUAUUAUUACGCAGGCUUUGACAACCUGUCAGAAAUUUCAAGUGAAAUGAUUUUAAAACCUUUUGAAGCAUUUACAUUUGUCUACUUCUUGGAAGUUAUGGUACUCUGUAGUUUGCAAACUAAGACGCAUAUAAAAUGGACUUGCUUACGUUCGUUAUCUUCUAACUCAAAAUUUUCAGAUUCUGUGGAUAUUUCUAUACAUUUGUUAGGGACAAUCCAAUGAGAUUUCUGGUACCCGUAAUCAGCAUGAUCGCUAAAAACCAUGAAUGAAUGAGUUUUGGAGGAUCAAAUGCAACGGGUACGUGUUCGAAUUAUCUUUGUCCCUCAAUAGUUUUUUUUUUUUUUAUUAUUGGUAUAGGGAAAAGUUGGGUGGGUUCGAUACCAAUUACCAGUUAAAGUAUGCUUGUGGCAUCAUAAAACACUUGCAAGAAUUCUUACAAAUUGUUCACCAAUACACUUUUUACAUCUGUAAUAGAAUUCGUGGGUUACAAUGUGAUUCAACUUUUUGUCUCAGCCAAGCAGUUGCUUGACACAGCCAUCCUUGGUAAAUUUGGUUUAAAAAGUUGACAUUAAAAAAAAAAAAUUGGUAUCCAAUUUUCUUUUAAAUUGUCUGAAUUUUGACAUUGUCCUUUUUUUUGCCACAACAUAACAUUUUUAUAAUUUAAUUCAUCCUAUCUAUCUAUAAGGAGAGGAAGGCUGUUUGAAUUUUGACAUUAUUCACUUUUCAUUUUUUUUUCUGUGUAUUUAUUACGUAAUGCUGAUUGUAUCCGACAAUCUACAAUACAAGUCAAGAUAACGACUUCUGAAUAAAGUUGAAUCUUUCGUUAGAAAAGAGCGACCCAAAGCAAAAUAUCUUCUUUUCUUUUCUUUUCUUUUUUUUUUUUUUUUUUUAGGAAUGCAAAGCAUCUUUCGAGAAACGAAAGCCACAAAAGUGUAAAGUCUAUCUUUAUGCAUCCUAAUGAAUCUUCAUCAUGUGUCUAGAAAAGGGCUUCAAACGCAAAUACAUAAACAAAACAAAACAAAACGCUAUGGACGGUUGGUCCGCCACGGAAGGACAGUCUAUCAAUUACCUUGGUAGACCCAAAUUUAAAAAAUCUGGCAGAAUCUAGAUCAUUGGGCAUUUAAAAAUCGAUUUACUCGUGUGAGCCAUCGCAGAGUACAAGUGUGAGCCAUUACGGAGUUGUGAGGUCAACCUUGAAAAAAUUCAUAAAGCAAACAAGGAAAGUUUUGAAAAUUAUAAGCUGGUCAUGCAUUUACACUCCCUCAAAUUUCUUGGAUUUCCUUUCUCCUUUAUAUAGUCCCUCUAACUUUCAAAGUAAUUGCAUUUAUUGCCUUCUUGAACGUGAAUUCAUUCAAAAUGAUAUUAUAUGUUAUUUAAAUCAAAUAAAGAAUCUUCAAACUUAGUAAGAAAAUUUUUGCCUUAGAUGAUAAUGUAAUGUAUAUUAAAGUAAUUGCCCCUAACCUUUGGAUCUUGAUUUCACCGUUGCCUCUGUGAAGAAUAUACUAUAUGUACACAUAUAUUGUAUAACAAAAUAUAUGUAUUUAUUAUAGAAGUACACAUAAUAUUUGUGCCGUGAGCGUUGCGAGAAAUGUGAUAGAAACAUCACCAAGUGCAAUUGCAAUAUGAGACUCUUAGAGGCACCUGGUGAAGAUCGAUCUACCUUUUGUCAAAUUUUGUUCACAAAAUGUACAAUUACCAUAAUUGUUCAAGGGUCAAAUUUGGCCAAGAAAACAAAAACUUAAUUAAGAAAUCGCACAGUUUGUUUGUAAAGAACUAUUUAAAAAUCUGUAUGCUGUCCAAUAGUGGAACCACUGCCCCAAAACUCCCGGGUGACAAUGUGAAAUCUGAAGGCACUACGCACCCAGAGCCAGAAGACGCAUAAAGAAGCCAAAUGAAGCAACAAGAUGAUACUAGUCAAUAGAAUUGCUCAAGUACAAAAGUGAAUGAGAAAACACAGGGCGAGCACUUGAACCUUAUUUUGUUCUUUUUCUUUUUCUGUUUUUUGGACAGACUGCACAUGAAAUUGGGUAAGAAUGAUAAUUAUCUUUGAAUUGACGUGUCCUAAUGUCGCUCUAUGUUACCUAAAAUCUGAACCAGAACUAAAUUUUCUGGACUUUCUGUUGAUUUAUUUAGCCCGCACGGCAUUCGGCGUCGCACUCCUCCUUGAAACAACGUUGAAUUUGGGUGUAGUGUGGGAGGAUGAUAUGAAUUUUUGCUGCGUAGCAAUUUUGGAAGUAUAUUUAUACUUUUACAUUUUCUAAGAAGGAAUAUCUUGGAAACAUUAGAAAAUAAAAGACUGUCUAUACCAGAUAAGCAUCAGCACUAAAUUGCCAAAACUUUGCAGUUUUUGUACUAAAAUCUAGAAUCCCUUUAGAAGGCAAUUGGGAAAAAAAAAAAAGAAACAUAAAUAUAACCAAUAAUAUUUUGGAAAAAACUGCUUUCAAGUUCAAGAUGAUUUUAAAUUUAAAAAGCAGAAAGACAAUGACAUUCUUAGUGGAAUGCUUACUAGUUUUCCUAUUUUUUUGGGCAAAUUAUAUUUUACCCCCCUGUGGUUUACCCUUUUUUUACAUAACCCCUAUGAUUUCAAAAACUAUACAUAAUCGCCUCAUAGUUUGGAUUAAAGUGUCAAAGUAACGGAAAUAGUCACUCGUAAUAGAACUUCUAAAAAUGUCGAAAUUACUCUUAUAAAUACAUGACACAUUUACCCCGUAUGAUUUUUAUAUUUUACCAUAUAACUCCCUUAUAGUUUAAUAAUUUACCAUAUAACCCCCUUAUGAUUUUCAAAAUAUACACAUAACCCCCCCCCCGAUUAAUACAUAAAUUUCAACUUUACAUAAGGGUAUUUUUGACAUUUUAGGUGACGCCGUUAUGAAUGAUCAUUCCCGUCACUUUGAUACUUUAUUCCAAACCAUAAGGGGAUUAUGUAUAACUUUUGAAACCAUAGGGGGUUAUGUAAAAAAAAUGCUAAAUCACAGGGGGGUAAAGUGAAAUUUGCCCUAUUUUUUUUAGUAGCUUUUGGAGUUAAAAUGGACUAAGCUAUUCAGAUGGUCCUUAUUAUCCCCCUUCUGAGAAAGGAAAAGGAAAACUAUUAGCAAGAGACGAGUCAUUAAGCAGUUAUCAUUUUGGCAUCCAAUUUGUCAUUUUCCACAUUAAUCCUCACAGAAAGCAAAUUUGAAAUUUUACCAUAUACCAUACACCUAAUCUACCAUAUAUAUACAUAUACUAACAAUUAUUGUCCUCCAUUCCAUUUAUAUAUUUUCUCUAUUUAAUCUUGCCUAUUUUCUUUCUCUAUUUAAUCUUACCUAUUUUCUUUUGUAUUUAUUUACUUUCCCUAAUUAAUCUUACAUUCCUAAAAAUAUGUUAUCUGAAAUAUAUCUUAACAAAUACCCUAUAAGUAUCCAUUAGAUAGACCUCAAAAACAGAAAAGAAAGAAAAACUAUAAUCGUUUAAGGGCAAAAUGUUGUAAUGGCUCUCAAACUAUUACAAAAUUUAACUUUUGACCAUCCAACUAUUAAUUAAUAAGUUUUAGUCCUCCAACUAAUUAAAACAUGUAAUCAUAAACCUUCCAUCAACUUAAAUCGUUAUAUUUAAUAGAAAUAGCACGAUAUGCACAAUAGUAGCGCUCAAACUAUUAUAAAGUUCAACUUUUGACCCUCCAAUUAUUAAAUUAUAAUUUUUCCCCUCUAACUAAUUAAAGUGUAUAAUCUUAAGGGAAAAUCGCCAAUUUAGUCCUUAAAGUAUUUUACUAAAGCUGAUUUGGUCCCUCAACAUUUUAUCGCACGAAUUAAGUCCCUUAACUAAAAUUCUUGUGCCAAUUAAGGACCUAUAUGGUGUUGCCAUCCAAAACACAUGUAUCUGUACAGAAACAAAUGGCGAGGCAUGGGCUUUUUUGGAAGUACACAAUAGAAUUUCUACGGGAAGCAAAGACAUAACCCAUUUCGCAUCCAAAUUGGGGGAAACCUGUGAAAUUAGGGGUUUCCAAGACUGAACCCAUUUUGCAUCCAAAUAGCGGAAGAAAUUAGGGGUUUUCCACCGAUGCAAAUUGCCAGCAAUGGAGGGAGAUUUUUGCACAUGAAACUUGAGAAAGGACUUAAGGGUUGAACAGACUAAAAAAUACAUAACAAUAAACUCAACCAUAAGGUCAUCAGCCCAAGUUUCUACAGGACUUGCAUUUCUAUGAGUAUAUCUGCCAAACAAACAUCCAACAUAAGAUUGACAUACAUGAUUGCAUAAAAGCUUAUUAAUACCUUCAACCAGCUAGAAACCAACUCAUUUUACAGGCUAAUAAGCUUUUCAAAUGAUACUUGGACUCACAAAGAUUAGAAAAAAGAUCAAGAAUCCAUGAACUCAUAGUAUUAUCACUUUUCUUCCAAGAAAUUAAUAGUACAACAUAAACUAGUAAACAAAAGGGAUAAAUUUGUACCUUACUUUAUUCGUGUAUCCAGUGUACAUCUGUACAAAGGUUUUCACCAUCAUGAGUUCCUCUAGUUUUGCCUUUUGCCCGUAAUAGAAUAUGCAGACUCCAACUAUAAACAAUGCAUGCGCUCAAGGGUGCUCGCAUUGCAGCAAAGUAAGUGACGAAAAAAGCAUCGUGGACGCAUAAAUUGGAUGGCGGACAAACCGCUAUGGCCCAAACAGCACAACAGCAGUCGGCACAACUACCUUCUCUGAAUACUUUGCCAAAUGCAACGUGGAGUGGUACUGCAUAAACAAUGUCAACAUUUAUCAAAAUCCAAAUGCCCAAAUUACUCCAGCCACCAGGAACAAGAUGUAAUUCUGGCCCCUCAAAUGCUGCAAACCAAUGGCCAACCAUCACUCCAACACAGAACAAGAGUUUUUGCCACUUGGGCAGGGUAAUAUCCCACACGGGAUCAUGCUCUCUGGGAUAAUAAUCACCAUACAACCGCUUUCGGACACUCACAUUGAAGAAAAAGAAGUAGUGGUAAACAAAGAAAAACACAAUAGGCCAUCCUUCGAGAAAACCAUUGAAAUGUGCUGGGGGUACUAAAGUGAGCCAAGUAAAUGCUGCAGUAACAAUUGAAAGCUGCUGAAAAGCAUUGGCAUUGCCGUGUAAAUGCCGGUAAAAGCAGUAAAGACCGUAAAUUGCAAGACUAAUAGCUACCAUCCAAGGCCAAAACAACCAAGUCCAGCUAAAAUAUAUCCAGAAGAAAGGGCUGAAUAGCACAUUGAUCGUCCACUUUCAGGCUGCAACUGCAAUGGAGGAAGCCAAAGACCAUUUGCAUACCUCGAAUGGGGUUAAAUUUAAAAGGGUCGAUUUUAGUGACUCGAAAGAAACGUUUCUGAGGGCUAUUAUGACUGGGUUCGGAGAGUCUGGGCUUGUUUUUACAUCAAAAUAGGGAAAAUCGCCAAUUUUUUGGAAAACCCCUAAUUUCACAGGUUUCCCCCAAUUUAGAUGCGAAAUGGGUUCUGUCUUUGCUUCCCGUAGAAAUUUUAUUGUGUACUUCCAAAAAAGACCCCUGCCUCGCCGUUUGUUUCUAUACAUAUACAUGUGUUUUGGGUGGCGACACCGUAUAGGUCCUCAACUGGCACAAGAAUUUUAGUUAAGGGACUUAAUUCGUGCGAUAAAAUGUUGAGGGACCAAAUCGACUUUAGUAAAAUAGUUUGAGGACUAAAUUGGCGAUUUUCCCUAAUCCUAAUCCUUUCAUCAACUUAAGUCAUUAUGUUGAACAAAAACACCACUACACAUGUGACGGGUGCAUAAUCGAGGGGCGUUUUCAUCUUCAUAGGAAAUGUGCUAGGCUAAAAUUGUUUUAUCCCCGUUUGACUCAUAAACUAAUUUACCAAAUCUCCAAUUGUUGAACUUGAGCAAAAUCAAUGAAAACCAAAACCCUAAAUAGAGAAAUUUCAGCAAGGAUAGGCAAUUUGAAGAAAUUGAGUUGCUUUCAUUCGGAAUUCAACUCAUUUUUCAAUGUUGUUCCAAAUUUACUAGGUUCAUGUGCUUCUCUUAAUGACAUAAAUUCGGCAUACAAUUCAUUUUUUUGGAAUAUUCCAACAACUUUUGGUCCCUUUUCAAGCUUGAACUCUCUAAAUCUUUCAAAUAAUCAAUUCUCAACUUCAUAUCACUACAUCAAACCAUUUUGAUUUGUCAAACAAUAGGUUAGUUGGGUACAUUCCAAAUUCUUUAUCAAUAAAUGUUUCUAUUCGACAUAAUGACUUAAGUUGAUGAAAGAGUUAAGGUUAUACAUUUUAAUUAGUUCAGGGGUUAAAACUUAUCAAUUAAUAAUUGGAGGAUCAAAAGUUAAAUUUUGUAAUAGUUUAAAGGCCAUCAAGGCAUUUUGCCUAUCUCCUGAACUCUGUUAGAUAUAAUGACUCAAGUUGAUGAAAAGGUUAAAAUUAUAUGUUUUAAUUAGUUUGAGGGAUAAUAAUUAGAGGGCAAAAAGUUAAAUUUUAUAAUAGUUUGAGGGCUAGCGGGACAUUUUGCCCAUAGUUUAAUGAUUUAGUAGUUUCCAUUUUGGCAACUAUUUCGUCAAUUUCAAACAUUAAUACUCAUAAAAAGCAAAUUUGAAAUUCUAUGGACUUAGAGCCUUCCAGAAUUUUGCCUACCAUACCAAUUAAUGUACUGCUGCUACAACAAUACAGCCAAAAGUAGAAGCAUCUCAAUUGAUUGAAGUACUCCGCUGAUUGCACUUCCAUCUCCAGCAGAGGAACUAGUCAACCAAUCUUCCGCUUAUGGGCUCUUCAGGAGAUAGUAGUUACAAGACCCUUCCACAAAAUGAGAAAAAACCAGUUUUAACACACACACAGUCUCAGGUGAGAAAGGAAGCUAGUGAUGAGCUAGAAAGGAUAUUGAGUAACACAGAGGUACCAUUUAUCAAGCGGGUGGUACCAGCAACAUGGAUAGAGAUCAAGCUUCUUGUUCACUUGGCUGCUCCCGCAGUCGUUGUUUACAUGAUAAACUACCUCAUGUCUAUGCUCACACAAAUCUUUUCUGGCCAUCUUGGAAAUCUUGAAUAUGCAGCUGCUUCCUUGGUAACAAUGGAGUUCAAACUUUUGCCUAUGGUCUCAUGGUACUCUUGAUCUUUCCUCACUUUAUUUAUUUAUUUGUUAAACAUUAAAAAGAUUUAUUCCAUGGUACAAUCCAAUUUCUUCUUCUUCUUCUUCUUCGUGGGACAUGAACUCCUACCGGUUACAUAAAGGAAGGAAAAAUGCCAAAGGGUACUCCCAAAUUGCAUUUUACUUGUUUAUGUACUUGUUUGCAUUUAGUGUCUAUGGUGGUGGGAAAUUUUCAAGGACCUUUUUCUUUAAAAUAAUGCAUCCAUAAAGAAAUCUUUUAUCGGUGUAUACCUGCUUUUUGGUCCAAGAAACCAAAAAUCCAAAAAUAGUAUUCCAGCUUUCCCUUGAUGAAUUUGUUGGUUCUUUGGCCUUUCUGGUGCACCAACUUUUUGCUUUUUCCUUUUACCCCUGGAAUUUGAAUGGUCUUUAUUUGGUAAUUUGUCUGAUAUUUUUGUCAUUUCUCUCAUGUUUCCUUCUUGAAGUCCAAUUGUAGUUAUAGAAAUUGUACAAUCCAUAACAUUUCUUUGUUUUUAAAACCUUACAUAGUUCAUUUUGAGACAGAGAAAGUAGAAAUUUUCCAGAUUAUAAUUCAAGUUUUGAUGAUCUGAUCCUCAUUUUUUUUUUGGGAAACAGCUGGGAAUGGGAAGUGCUGUUGAAACACUAUGUGGACAAGCAUAUGGAGCACGUAGGUACGGCAUGCUAGGCAUAUAUCUUCAAAGAUCAGCCAUCCUCCUAACUCUAACUGGAGUGUUACUUACAAUCAUAUACAUAUUUUCUAAGCCUAUUCUCUUAUUACUUGGUGAAGCACUAGACAUUGCAUCAGAAGCAGCAAUAUUCAUCUAUGGCUUAAUCCCUCAAAUAUUUGCCUAUACUGCCAACUUCCCUAUACAAAAAUUUCUCCAAGCACAGAGUAUUGUAGCCCCAAGUGCCUAUAUCUCUUUUGGAACACUAGCUUUUCAUGUCUUAUUCAGUUGGUGUACCCUGGUAUGCCGAUUUAGUGAAUUUCUUAGUGACUAAUCAAUUGCCUGCAGGGUGGCCAAAGGCUAAGAGAGACAAGUUGAAGAGUGAUGCUAAAUAUUACAUUUGGGACGACCCGUACCUUUGGAGACAAUGUUCGGAUCAAGUGCUCAAGAGGUGUGUAAGUGCAGGCGAAUUUCACUCUAUUUUAAAUUUCUGUCAUUCGUUUGCAUGUGGAGAGCAUUUUGGGCCCAAGCGAACAGCUCGCAAAGUGUUAGAGAGUGGCUUUUACUGGCCUACCCUGUUCAAAGAUGCUUAUUUAUUCUGUAAAUCCUGUGAUAGGUGUCAAAGGGUGGGAAAUAUUUUUCGUAGGGACCAAAUGCUUCAAACCCCCAUGUUGUUUGUUGAAAUUUUUGAUGUUUGGGGGAUAGAUUUUAUGGGUCCUUUUCCCUCAUCUUUUGGUUUCCUAUACAUUUUACUUGCUGUAGAUUAUGUCUCUAAAUGGGUGGAAGCCAAAACCACCCGUACUAAUGAUUCUAGAGUGGUUGCAGAGUUCUUAAAAUCUAAUAUCUUUGUCCGUUUUGGAAUGCCAAGAGCUGUAGUUAGUGAUAGAGGGACACAUUUCUGUAACAAGACUAUCACUGCCUUGUUUCGAAGAUACGGUGUACUCCAUAAGGUAUCCACACCGUAUCACCCGCAGGCAAACGGUCAGGCCGAAGUGUCAAACAGGGAAAUCAAGUCGGUCUUGGAGAAGAUGAUGCGUCCGGAUAGGAAGGAUUGGAGUUUAAAACUAGAAGACGCACUAUGGGCGUAUAGAACCGCGUAUAAGACGCCAAUUGAGAUGUCUCCGUAUAAACUUGUCUUCGGUAAGACUUGCCAUCUUCCCGUAGAAUUCGAACACAAGGUGUUUUGGGCAGUGAAGCAGUGUAACAUGGGAUUAGAUGAAGCAGGGGUCCAAAGGAAAUUGCAACUACAAGAGUUAGAGGAGAUAAGAAAUGAAGCGUAUGAGAAUGCCACGAUCUAUAAGGAAAAGAGUAAAACCUUUCAUGAUCAACGAGUUUCCAGAAAAUCUUUUGUAGUGGGGACAAAAGUCCUCUUGUAUCACUCGAGACUUAAACUUUUUCCCGAUAAGUUGCGUUCUCGUUGGAUUGGUCCAUUUGUCGUUUCUAAUGUGUUUCAUUAUGGUGCAGUGGAGAUCCAAAGUUUAAAAACGGAGAAAAAGUUCGUGGUGAAUGGCCAUCGUUUUAAACCUUAUUACGAGGGGUUCUCUAUUGAAGAAGUAGAAGUUGAACACCUCCAACAUCCACUUUAUAAUGCUUGAGCGUUUUGGCCAUGUCUAGCCAAAGACAGUAAAGAAAGACGCUACUUGGGAAGCAACCCAAGACUAUUUGUUUCAGUUUUCAUGCAUUUUUGAAGUUUUAGUUAAGUGUUAGUGUCAAUUAAUAGUUUGAUGUUUGGUUGCAGGAAAUUAGUAGUUAAGCGUGCUCACGCCAGGUGGUCACGCCUGAGGGGAAGGAAUUUUCGUUCAGGUUCUACGGACUCCAUAGCAGUUAGACGUGCCACGCCAAGUGGUCACGCCUGAUGGAAGGAAUUUUCGUUCAGGUUCUGCGGACUUCAUAGCAGUUAGACGUGCCCACGCCAGUUGGUCACGCCUGAUGGAAGGAAUUUUCAUUCAGGUUCUGCGGACUUCAUGGCAGUUGAGCGUGCCCACGCUAGGUGCUCACGCUAAAAAAAAAAAAAAAAAAAAAGGGCCAAAAGACGAAAUUGCCCUUAUUGAAAAAGAAGAAAAAAAAACCGUAGCCCUACUUCUUCUUUUCUUCCUUUUUCUUUCUUUCUUCUUCUUCUUCUUUCUUGUCUUUUUGUCCGCCGCCGCACCUCCCUUUCUCCACACGCCGCACGAUCACCGCACCGCACCUAGCCGCGCGCGACCCAGCUGCGCCGCACGACAGCACCACCAGCAGCUUCUCAGCGCGGACCACCAGCCGCAGUUCCAGCGCCUCAGCUCCACCGUGUGCGGUUCCGACGCCUCCUUCACCAGCCAAGCCCGCCUUGCUCCAGCAGCAGCCACGACCAGCAGCAACGCCGCCGCACUCGCCGCCACCUAGCCGCGCGCAGCAGGAGCCCACUGUGCGCGCAGCUUCACCAGCCACCAGCUGCCUUCGCACGGCCAGCUCGCGCGUGCAACCACCCACCGCACGCAUGGAUCAAGCCAGCUGUGCACGGUGCGCAGUCAACCGCCAAGCGCCUCGCCCAGCUCUUUUCUCUGCCCAUCGCGACUCCAGAUCGAGCAAGGCAAGGUCAGUCUGCACGCACCUGCUCGCCUACCCAGGCGUGCGCCAGACCAGCGCAGCUCUUCCCCCCUUUGCGCGCAUUCCCCUGCUCUCCAUUUCACUCACGGCCACUCACCCGCUCCGGGCGCAACCGGAGGCGCAGCAGCCAGCUAGCUCACGCGAGCCAGCCACGCGCAACAAGGGUCAACCGCGCGCCGCCUUCUUCCUCCUCUAGCGCCACCUGCGUUCUUUUUCUCUUCCACCCAUAGCAACUACCGGUUAUCCCCCAUGGUGAUUUCUUUCUUUAAUUUUUUGUCACUAAGUAGCUGAGGCCAGAUUACUAGCUUUUAUUAGCUGAUGACAGAUUUUAUUUUCGUAGCUGAGGCCAGAUUCUUUUUAGUUGCUAAUUGAGGACAGAUAUUUUGUGCUUGAUUUGGGUCCUGUGCCGUAUCUGUAGUUGAUUGUUGCUUAUUAGGUAUAUUUUGUGUUCAACCGGGGUUAUCAGGGGGAGGUUUUCACUUCGGUUGCCUGAUUAUUUCGUUUUUGAGGGGGUUUUGCUCUGUUUAUUUGAUUAAUUACUUUUUGGGUCAAAUUGGUAGUAUUUGGGAGAAUGUUGCUGUUCAUAGGCUUAAUUUAUUUUUGGGUGAGUUCAUUGCCUGCUUUUGCACGUGAUUGCGAGUGGGGAGUUGUGACUGAGAAUCAUUUACUUUGGGGCCACUUGUGACUUCUUUGGAACACCAUUUCCUUGCCUCCACCCUGCCCUCUGCAUUCAAAUGACUAAACCAAAAAAUAAGGGCAAGAGCAAACCUUCCACUUCCACCCCUCAACCUACGGUCCCCUUAGGGGGACCUGCCCCUCGACUGGGCCAGGAGGGCCCCGUACUCGCCUUGGACGGAAUAGGGAGGUGCAUAUCUCCUCUCCGGCCCAUUUCGGCAGCGAUUUAACCUUUACCCGGGCUGCCGACAAUGAGCGGUAUGCCUCGGCUUGCACAAGGAAGAUAAUUCCUUGUAAAUAUAUCCAUGGUCCUACACUUGAUAUGCUAAACCUGAGGGAUGAGGUCACGCAGCACUUGACUAAUGUAGGCUGGACCCGCUAUGCUUCUAUCAAUCUACCUGCUUUUAUUGAACUCACAUGGGAAUUCUAUGCUACUUUUGAAUUUAAUAUUCCUGAUGAAUUCCCCGUUACCACUCUUGGGGUAGUGAGAUUUCGAUUGAUGGGUAGAGAGUUCAACCAGUCUAUCACUGAGUUUAAUUUGGCUCUUGGGUUUAUUGAUAUUCCCUACUCCCAGAGUGAGGAGUAUAUGCACAGUGUGUGUGAGUACUCGGAGCCAUUUUUCUCUCAUUACAUUGAUUAUUGGAGAGAUUUGUCGGUUGACCGCCACAUCUAUGACCCCAGUCAGUCUAAGGCGUCUUAUCUUAAGAGUGCCGCCUACCGUUAUUUACAUAGAUUCAUGGCCUAUAGUUUCUCAGGUAGGAAGGAUAGCUCGGGUACUCUGACCAAACCCGAGUUCUUUUUCGUUUGGUGCAUGGUCACUCGGAUUAGGGUCAAUUUGGGUAGCUGGUUUGCCCUCCACCUCCGGACUGUGCUAAGUAAGAAAAAUAAGCCAUUAAUCUUAGGCUCAUUUAUCACUCAGUUGGCUGUUAAUCUUGGGGUUUUGGAAUUAAAUAAUCAUAACUUGCAUCGUGCUUGUGCUAUGGAACCCCUUGAUUUGGUUUGUUUGGAGAAAAUGGGUCUUGUGCGACAGGUGAAUGGCGUUUUUUAGUUUGCUCCACCGGGGCCAAUCUCCGUUCCUCCAAAGCGCAGCGCUUCCAAAUCCACUGCCCUGGAGGCUGGUGGUCCUUCCACGGAUGCCCCCGGACCAUCCGCUUCGGCAUCUCCACCAUCUUCCUCCGUCGAUAGCCAGCUUGCAGCCCUCCGGUUCCAGAUGCAGCACAUGGACACUCGUAUGGAUCGGAUGGAGCGUCAAAUGGGCGAGAUGGCCCAGAAUAUAGCGCAAUAUCUUCAUCACGUGGACUUUCGACCGCCUUUCCCUCCACAGCCAUGAUGUAUUUCUGCCCUCCUCCGUUUUAAGGGAAGUUUCGUUGCCCUGCUACCUCUGUUUUGCUCUUUCUUUGUUUACAUUGGGAGCAAUGUAAGGUUUAGAUGUGGGGGAGGGUUCACUACGCUUUGAGUCGUGUUUUUAGUUGUUGGGUGUGCAUUUUUCUGAUUUUAGUAGUUAAACGGUGAUGAAUGCGAUUGAGAUAUGAGUAUAAAUAGUAAGUUCAUGCCAUGGGGUGCUCUGCUUCCCUUAAUACGGAAUUGAUUGAUGAAUAUGCUGAAUUUAACAUCAUUUUGACCACUUGUGCGAUUUUUGGGCCUAAUCUUUCGUUUGCUUGAGUGGUUAUUGCACAUGGUUUGUCAUCCUAGAACUUGCUCGGUUAUGCAUGUCGAGACUGCAUUUAAAUGAGUUUAAUGCAUUAAAAUGAUAGGGCACCUAGGAAUGAGCCAUUUUUGAACUUUGCUUUUGGUUGUCCUACCUUGUGUGAAUUGAAUUGGGGAGCAGAAACAAUCUCGUGUUUUUCCUCCUGUGAUGGACCGAAGCGGGAGAAUCGAAUUGCAAACCUUUCCCAAUUCUCCACGCGCGGCCUACUUUCCACUAAUGGGGAACUAAACCCCUAAUUCUAGUCAAGGGGACAACUGACGAUUUGGUUCGGCAAUUACUGUGAGAUCUAAACCGUUUUUAAUUAUUUUCUUCAUUAAUUGAUAUUCAUAUGUUCCCUGAUUUUAAUUGCUAUAGCCUCGUGCAUGAUUGGUUAGUGCGCAAUAAUUAAUUAUUCAUAUAGGCUAUUUUGCUAAAUAGGGGUAAUUGAAUCCGUAAUUGUUCGUUAUCCCUGUCUUAGUAGCAACUGGUAUAAUUGGGUUUAUGUCAGGGGAAUAUACGAUCUAGUUUAAACAAACCCUCGUAGCGUGUUUGUUAAUUAGGAUUGGGUCUUUCUAAUUAUUAAUGCAAUCUAAAAAUUAAACCCUACGGUCGUACCUAGGGUUGUUUUUGGGUUAGAGAAAUAGCUAACGGUCGUACCUUAGCUAUCGAUAAAUUAAGGAAGGGUUGGUCGUUUAGCGCGUGCGAGACAAUUAUAACCAAUCUAUUAAUAAAUGUGGAAUUACCUUUGAAUCAAUGAUCAGUUGCAUGAACCAUUUCUGAAGUGUACCCUUGGCUAGAUGUUUCUCUUAAUUAUUUCUUUUAAUUGAUUAUUUUCUGCAUUUAAUUUGUUUAGUUGGCAUUUAAUCCCAAAACCCCCAUUCAUCUUGAUUUGAAAAGAAGCAAAAUAUCUUGCUAGUCCCUGAGGAGACGACCCUGCUUACCACUGUCUACUAGUUAGUGAUUUCAGUUAAAUAAUUAAUUCAGGUAUAUCGGAUCAAGCAAACUCUUCGGGAACAGGGUGAAUCAAGUAACCCAUUGCACACCUAGAGUCCCUGCUCCAGUACUCGAAUUGAUUAAUGACUGGUUUAGGUGGUAUUUAGGUUUUAUUAUUUAUUAUUAUUGCACAGGUUCGGCACCUGUCAUGAAUAUAAGAAAUGGCGCAGUUCGUAGUUCAACAUUAUAGGGAAGGUAGUCAGCAGAAGAAAACUUGAGCCUCACUAGAAAUAGGAGAAAGACAGAGAACAUGCAAUAGCUUAAAAUAAAGAAAGAAAAUGACAUAAAGAAAUUUAUAACGACGUCGAACCCAAAAAUAAAUAAGAAAGAAAGAGAAACUAAUGUACUUAAAACAAUUUUUCCAUCAGAACAACUCAAAAGGUGUUAGCAGUUUUGCACCUCAAGAGAGUUUAAAAAAAAAAAACCUACAAAGCUCAACAUGGAAAGUAUUAAUAUCGAUUCCUACACAAUAGCAAAUUCUAUGCUAGUGGAGAAGCAGAUCAUUUUGGGGGAAAAAAACCUCAAAGGGUGGCGACAGUUGGUAACAUUUAACGAAGGGGAGAAAACACGUACAUGAGAACCAGUCAGGAUUUUGAUCAAACAGGUGAUCUUCAAAUAUCUCAUCACUCUGUGGUAAAAUAUGGGUCAAGGGCAUUUUUGGCACUAGAAUUGUCCCACUCCAACGAUUCCCACCAUGCUUUAUUUCCCUUGAUUUUACGAAGAGUGCUGGGAAGAGAUGGUUGUCCGUCGAUGGUGGAAAGAAACAAAGGCAACCUCUUUACCUUUGGACAAUCUAACAUUUCAAUCUCCUCAAUUGAAUCGCAGAUCAUGGUUGCCUUGCAAACGUUCUUCAGUUGUGGCAGGUUAUCCAGACGCAACCACCUCAAUUUCGGAAGGAUGACAGUGGCAGUGGCUCCUUCACUUGAAGUCAAUUGGGUGCCUUCUCCUCCUCCUUGUCCUACUCCAUUGCCAUCUGCUGCUAUCUCCUCCAGUCCUUCACAAUCUUUAACUGCUAAUUUUCCAAGAUUUUGAAGGAUCUGCAGCAACUGCACCGUGAAUAGCUGCUUCAUGUUAUGAUAUCCAGAAAUGCUCAAUUUUUUGAGGGAAGAAAAGGUGCCAGCUGAAAGCAAAUAUGGUGGUCCGUCGAUGGUGGAAAGAAACGAAGGCAGCCUCUUUAAAUUUGGACAAUCUAACAUUGUAAUCUCCUCAAUUGAUUCGCAGAUCAUGGUUGCCUUGCAAAUGUUCUUCAGUUGUGGCAGGUUAUCCAGACACAACCGCCUUAAUUUCGGAAGGAUGACAGUGGCGGUGGCUCCUUCACUUGAAGUCAAUUGGGUGCCUUCUCCUCCUCCUCGUCCUACUCCAUUGCCAUCUGCUUCUAUCUCCUCCAGUCCUUCACAAUCUUCAACUCUUAAUGUUUCAAGAUUUUGAAGGUUCUGCAGCAACUGUACUGUGAAUAGCUGCUUCAUGUUGUCACAGUCAAAAACCCACAACUCUUUAAGGGAAGAAAAUGUGCCAGCUGGAAACAAAUAUGAUGGUUCUGAUUCUCCGUAAAAUAGACCAACCAGAUUUGGCAAACUCCAGAGGCGUAACUCUUCGAGACCACGGAGUGGACUAAAAGACGAGUCUUCCGGCUGAUCACGUGGAAAAGCAGAAGACAAUUGCCAGAGGAACUCUAUUCCAACCGAAUCCAUAAUAUCCAAUCUAGAUAAGUGGCUUAAAUUUAUAAAAUUCUUAAAAACAUCUGACAAGCACCUAAUGCCCAUGCCCUCACAAUCCUCGAUUAUCAGAGAUUUCAUAUCAUCUGGCAGAUAGUUCGAUCCUCUACCAAGCUUACACUGAUGGAAAUGCAGAUCUUGCACCAGGAACCGAUUAAUUCCACCAUCAACAAAACUCGGUUCCUCAGUUAAGAUGUCAUUGAUAUAAACAGUAUAAUAGUAUUUUGGUCACCGAGUGAUUUUAUAGAAGUCCAUAAAAGACAAACAUCCUCCAAAACUUUCUAAUUGGUUCAACACUUCUGGAUCAUUAACUUGUACCCUACCAUUGGAUGGCAAUAAUAACAGUUGAAGACGGUGAAAUUGGGAAAAUGUCCCUUUUGGUAUUAUCUUUUGGCUUAAAGCCCCAUACUCGUCCAAGUUAAGCCUUUCGAGGUUGACCAGUGACUUCCAACCUUCAGGUAAAUCCUCAAUCUUAGUGUAGGAUAGGUCCAAAUCCCUCAAUUGCUUGAGCUUUCCCAGUGGUGGCACAGAUCGGAGGUCCCGACAACCCCUCAAAAUCAGGGCAGUGAGAUUCACCAAGUCUGAAACAGAAUCAGGUAGCUCUAUUAUACCUCCGCACCGAGAUAGAUUCAAAACUUUAAGUCCACACAUGUGCCGAAAGAAUGAAUCUGGGAUUUCUUCUAUGGAAACAUCAGAAAGAAGCAAGGUUGAGAGCUUAAGACAAUUUGGUGACCAGGCUGGCGGAACUUUUAUUUCUGGGUGUGGAGCUGAAAAUGAAUGAAAGGAGACUGCAUGGAGAUCUUCUGUCCACUCUCCUUGUUCCAGUGUUACUUUAGAAUUUCCCUUUCCUAUGCUUUUCACCAAGAACUGUGGUACAUCCCCGUUCAUCUGUAGGUUGGAUUUUCCUUUCGUGAUUCUUAAUGCCAUAUCUCUGACCAAAUCAUGCAUCUUCACACAGUCACCCCUUCCGAAAUCUUUAGUUUCUUCUAGCAAGCAAACUUUUAUCAGUUUGUUUAAUAUUGUGUGACCUUCAUCAAAUUCUUUUGGUCUUGAGUCCCGUUUUGGCAUCAGCUCUGCCCAAAUAAAGAGGUCUAUUAGUUUCUCUCUGCUUAUAUCACUAUCUUCCGGAUAAAGACAGCAAUACAAGAAGCAAUUCUUUUCACAUUUAUUCAGGCGAUUGAAACUCCAUUCCAGGAUGCGAAACACAUCUCGUUCCAUCUCAUGAUACCCUAUUGAACAUGUUUUCAAUUGUUCCAAUGCAUUUCUCCACUCACAAAUGUCGGUCACACCUCUCAUGCUUCCAGCCACUGUGAUAAUGCCAAGAGGCAAACCAUCACACUCUUCCACAAUGGACUUGGCAAUACUUUCCAAAUCUCCUUGAAGCAAGGGCUCGCUACCAAGUUUAUACUUGAACAAAUCCCAAGCUUCGCCUGUGUCCAGAGUUUGCAAAUCAAACUUUCUUUGACAUUGUAUCCUGUUGCACACUUGCAGUGAGCGAGUAGUCAAAAUCAAUCUGCACUUGUUUGGAUGAAGUGGAAUCCCUACCCUGUCUAAACAAAAUUCUUCCCAAACAUCAUCCAAUAUGAGUACUAUUAAUUUCAGCAUUUUCCUGAAUAUGUCACGCAAUAUUCUUGCCCUGGUGUCUUCCUCGUCCCUACUGGAUAGAUUAAUGCCCAAGACAUUGGCAAUCUUAUCCUGCAAGCUGGUGACACUGAAGUCUUGAGAUACUGUAACCCAAAGCACCCGAUAAUUGUUCUUUUCUAAAAGAUGGUACUCAAUGUGCCUCGCCAGUGUGGUCUUACCAACUCCACCCAUACCAUAAAUCCCAAUGCUUGAUAUAUCAUCGGCCACCAAGCAUGGCCAAAUUCUCUUCAAAGCUUCAUCGAACUUUACUCCAAACAAUUUGGUUGGCAGGCAUGGCUCCCCGAUGUUGUCACAAGUAUCGAGCACAAGCCCAUCGAAACGACGGCUCUGAUCAACAAGGUCUUUCACCUGAAAUUGCAGCUUUCCUACAGGAUCCUCCUUUAGUGGAAGCCUCCAAGAUGAUCCUCUUGUUUCCAAUGCAUCAAUUUCAGGACUUAACUUUUUAACGUCCUUCAACCAAUUGUCAACUUCACUUUUCCUUUUCUUUUUACCUGACAUUUCUUCCCUAUUGACUUCUUGUUCUACGUCAAAUGCUUUGCAACUCAAUUCUUGCCAAUUCCUUUUUAGCGAUUGCACGUUGUCCAUGUGACUCCUUCCCGUGCAAUUUUCUAAUGCGAACUCCACCGUCUUUUCUAUCACCUUUUCCCCCGUCUUUUCUGCCAGAGCUUUUCCCCAAAAUGGUAGCAUCUAGAAUUUAAAUAUAUAUCAAGCUUAGGUGCAUAAAGCAAAUUGAAGCAAAUCCGAAAAUUAAAAUUGAAGAGAAACAUCAAAAGUUGCCAACGGAACUUAGUCAACACAUAGUUUAGUAAAGAUUAAUAACCAGAAAAAGAAAAUGUUUUUCACUCAAUUCAAUAAUUGUUCAGCUAUUAGCUAAUCUCGAAUUCUUCUGACUGAAUAGUUCAUUCAAUAUUUGGAGAAAUGACAAAAAUUCUGAAGAUUGAUUUUGAAAAACUUAGAAUAAAAACUUGAUUUUUGAAGCACUAAAGAAGAAAAACUUGAUUUUUGAAGCACUAAUUUGGUAGAAAGAAGACCGUAUAAACAUGAAGUUGUCCUAUUAUGCUGAUUCAAUUAAGCAUUUUAGUAAAUGAAACUGAUAUGCAUCUUUUUUUCAUAACAAAAAAAUUGAUAUGCAUUUGAUGUAAGAAAACUUUUAUAAAAAUUUAAGAUUUUACGUAAAAACUACUAAGUUAUAAGAUUAUGGCCAAGAUCCGUAUAUGUUUCCACACUUAACAGAGCCGACGGAUUUGAAUAUCAAUUUACUCCUAUUGAUCCAUCCUGUGCCCGGGUCUAGUUUGGUUAGUAUUAGUUAGGUAAGAAAUGUCAAUUAUGUAAAAAGCUUGAACAGAGCACCUUGUGCGUUGAGAGAAGAACAAGUGACCAAGAUAUUUGGGCCUCACAAAUCUAACUAUAAACAUGAUGAAAUGAGAAACAACUACAAAAAUUUACAGAUUCAAGAUCAAAAGUGAUAUUUUUCAAAAAAACAAGUUAUCAUUGUACCUUGAAAUUAGAACAAGUUAUCUUGAAGAUUUGAAGAAGUUGAGAAUCCCUGGACUCUGCCAAAAGACAAAAAAUUUGUAUUAUAUUUUAAUCUCGCUUUCGCUACUACAAGAACUAUAAUCGUUGAGUUUUGAUGAAUGAAUUAUAAUUGAAUCAAGAUGUUGAUGCCAAACAAAGCUAUUAUAACUAAAUUCAGAAGAACUCCAAAAGUUACUAAAUUCAGAUGGAUAUGAUCUCAUUAUACCUGAAACUGACUAGAAAACUUGAGGAAGCUGAAAACCUUGAGACUCUGCCAAGAUUAUGUCUUAUGAUUGUUGCGUGUUGAGGAAAGGAUCUAGAUUCAAUAGAAUUAGCCGGAUCUGGGAGUGGAUCAAACCAUUAUGGUUCACAUUUUAUCUUCUCCAAAAGUUGAUAAGAAUUUGCCCAACAACGCCAAAAAUGUAAAAAGCAUGAAGAGAGCAAUCCAUGUCGAAAGAAAAGGAACUGAUGUAUGAUUUUUGUGCUUCGUAAAGCUAUUUAAGAUCCAUUAUGCAUGAUAUCAUUUACCUUGAAAUCUUGGACAAGCAAAAUUCUCAGGCCAGGUUAUCUUGGAGACGAUGAGAACCACAAGACCCUGGCAAUAGAUGCAAAAGUGUGUAUUAUAUUUUCGUUAGUUUUCACUGCUAAGAAGCAACUCCAAAAAUAUCGAAUUAAGACUCCAACAAUUGAACUAAGAUUUCUGUGCCAAGUAAAGCAAUUAUGUACUUGAUGAGAUAAGAAACAACUCCGACAAUUACAAAAUUGUGAUGGAUAUGAUCUCACUGUACCUGAAAUUUUUACAAGCAAGCUUGAGGAGGCUGAAAAUCUUGAUACUGCCAAAGGUAUGUACUUUUUUAUGUUUUUCUUUUAAUUUUGUACGAGUAUGAUUGUUGAAUUUUGAGGAAUCAAUGAUAAAAGUUGAACUAAUAGGAGACCACGUGUGAUUUAAAGACUUGAGCAUUACAACAUCUAAGUCAAGGUCUUCCUUCCCAGUUCAUACCAUACUGCCAUUUUGAAGACUUAGGGUCUGUUUGGUUGGAAGUAAAAUGUUUUUCUUGGGAAAAUAUUUUCCGUGGAAGUAAUUUUCCAUGAAAAUUAUUUCCCUUUCAUCAUUUUUAGGUGUUUGAUUAGCUUAUUGAAAAUAUUUUCUUACUUCAUUUUUCUGGUGUUUGUUUAACUUUUGAAAUAUUUUCACUUUUAUCUCUAUAUUUACUUUCUACACAUUAUAACUACAUACUUCUUCCCAUGCAAAAUAAGAAAAUUUAUCUCAUUGUUUAACUUUAAAAAAUCAUGGAGAAAUGUAUAUAUGAAUAAAAAAUAUCUCCUUAAGCAAUAAACAAAUUGCUGGCCAUUUAGUGUCAAAUAUCAAUCACAUGCAAUGCUUAUUGUGACAUAUAUCUUGCACUCUCACUACUGAAAGUUUCUCUAAAAAAGAAUGUCCCUAUUAUACAUAAUUAAUUACUAGCAUAGGAUGAGCAGGAUGAUGUUUUUUUUUUUUAAUUUUGAAUAUACUAGGGGGAGGGUUGGGUGGUACGGAAGAGGGAGUGUAAGGAAGAGGUCUUGGAUUCGAGUCCUUCUGUUUCCUUCUGUUUACACUAAAAAAAAAAAAAGAAAAAGAACAUAUUACAAGAUGUUUUCAGUAAGUUUGGAACAUACUACAGGCGGGAUGCAUGCAUUUCGGAAAACAACUUCAGUAAAUUUGGAAGGGAAGUUGUUUUCCAUAAGAUGAGUGAAAAUAUUUUAUAUAGGAAAAUGCUUUCAGUAACUUUUGUGCAACCAAACACGGGAAAUUAGGAAAAUAUUUUCCUGGAAAACAUUUUCACCCGAAACAAAUGGACCCUUAAUGAAAGCUCCUUAAGGAAGUAGGGGACAUUUCCAGGAAGUAGGGGACAUUUCCAGGAAAUGGUGCGGCAAGGACUUUGAUGACUAAAGGGAAGAAUUUCUGACCCUUGAAAAAGGGGAAGUAAACUGCAUAUCAAUUGCAGCCAGAAUUUCUGAGAAGGAGCUGUUGAAGUGCAUAGUUGUUUCACAGUUUGUUUUCGGUAGGUUCUGAGUAACUUUUAAAGGCAGGAUGGAUGCUAAUGUAAUUGCUCCUGGAAAGUGCAUAACAGUUGCAGGAUAGGCUUUUUUUUCUUCAGUGCAAUUGUUCCUGUCAAACUAUUGAAGUGAAAUUAUCGAGUAUUUUCUUUAAGUUAGAUUUUUUUCUGUGUAUACAUCAACAUUAAAUGGAUAGUUUAAAUUAAACCUACUCCUUUUUUUUCUUUUUUUAAGAAAAAGUUUUAAACUCAGAAUCUUUUAAUUACUUAUAAUUCCUUGAUCCUCCAUUAAACCAUUAUUAGACGUCCACAAAUUAUUUUAAUCAAAAGUGGUUACUCAGAAGCAGCUGUGGAGAUAUUUGCAGAUGAUUUGCUUUUCACUUUUUAUCAUUCUUUUUUACAUUUUCUUACAGAAAGUAAGAAUUUCGGAAAUAAACCUAACUCCCAACAGUACCUCCAAAAGCCGGCAACUUUUGAAGGCUGCUGGGGACUUAUAACCCAAACCCCAACCCCCCCUAAUACCGAUGUGGGAACUAACAAUCCCCACAGGGGUGCCCCGCUGCUAAGAUCUAAAGAGACCCCAGACACCCACUGACACAGGAAUUUGUUCUUUCUUACAUUUUCUUACAGAAAGUAAGAAUUUCGGAAAUAAACCUAACUCACUUUUUAUCAUUCCACCCUCUCCACUAUUAGUAGAGGCCUAGAGGGCCACCACCGAAAGGGCAAAGACUUCGCCUUUGACGUUGCCGACGACGACAUUGUCGGGAGGAAAGUCCAUGAAGCUGCAUGCGGGGAUGCUUGAAGUGGGGAGUCUUCCCCGUGUCUACCCCUGCAAGUGCUCCGUGGCCCGUGGGGGGCCACUUCUAUUUUUAUUUGACUUUAUUUAUAUAUGUAUAAUAUGCAUGAUCGGGUUUGUUCGGAUAGAGAAUUAUUAGCCAAAAUUUAUUUGUUUACAUCAUCAUUACAAUUUCCAACACACAUUUUUAUCUUUCCAAUUACCUUUUUAUCUCACAUACAUCACAUCACAACAAAUGCUACAGUAAAAAUAUCUCAAAUAAUUUACAAUCCAAACAGAGCCUAAAUUUACUAAACAUUCUUCUGAAUUUUUAACCAAAAAUUCAACUUGAAACACAAUUUAAAAAUUAUUUUGAUCUUCGUAAAUUCAUUUCUUCAUAUAUAUAUAUAUAUAUAUAUAUAUAUAUAUAUAUAUAUAUAUAUCAUUUAAAUUAUUGAUAGGAUGGAGUGCGAGGUUUCCUUCCCCAUCCCUCACUCCAUUUAAAGUUGGGGGGCAAAAAUGCCCCCUCUUUUCUUCUCUCUUGCCCCCUCUCCGUGCAGCUCCAAUUCUUGUUGCCCUCAUCGCUAUCUUUAAAAUUGUUACGUAAAAUUAGAGUGAAAUAAUUGGCAUCUUGUGGGUGAUUAUUUUGCAAAGUAAACACUAGUAUUUGUGUCCCUGAAACUAGUUUAACCGGUAGAAACAUUAGUCAAGUAAUGAUCAGUUAAAGAUUAGAUUGAAAAUCUUCUCAGGCUCCCCUUUCUCUCCUGCCUUCUUCCUCUUUAUGGGAUUUAGUGUCUUCCUUUGAAUUAAAAAAAAAAUACUAAUAUUUGUAAGGUAUCCAUUAAUAGUCAAGGUUUCCUUACCUAUUUUAUGCCAAGUUAUUGGAAAAGUAUGAUUCUAAUUUUUUUCCUUUUUCUUUUUAUAAUGCAGUUGCUACUUUAAUCAAGACUCAAAACUUGACAGUUAAUAUCCUCACGUCCAACUUUCCUUGUAAAUCCCAGGUUCAACCGUUCAACUAUUACAUAGAUACAUGUGCAUAACUAUUUUGCUUUUUGCUUUUUGUUAUUUUGACAAAAAUAUAGGUGCAUGUCUGUGACUCUCUCUUGAGCCUGAUGUUGAAAAUUUUAGCAUUACUGAAACAUGUAGGUGGACAAAUUUUGCUUAUUCCUCUGAUUUUGAGUUGAUGCCAACCAACACAAAAGGAAUAAGAAUCUACUUUUCCAAGGAGCAACGGAGUCCACUCACUAGCAAUCAUUAUACGUGGAAACCACUUACAAAAACCAGCUUAAAAGUCACGGCAUUUUUUUCUUUUAAUUUAUAAUUAUCGCUUGUCGUAUUGUUGUUUAAUAUUGCUGGUGGACGGGGGUGUUUUCUUCGGGAGGAGGAUCAUUUCGACAAGUUGAAGGGGCAUUAGAAGAAAUGAGAAAUUUUUUUCUGGCUGCAAGGAAAUUGGAGAUUUAUUUUAACAGACUUGUAGAUUUUGUUUGUGACAAUAGGAUGCGGCUUUAUUCUUCUUCUGAAUUAGAUCAGGCAUUGAUAAAUUUUGAUGUGGUACUUCUACUUGUUUCUUUCUCUAAUUACAACAAUAGGCAUUAAAGAUUUUGUUGAUAACACGUCUCUGUUGCGAAAGCAGAGAGUGCUUUACCACUUGCCAGGCACUAGACUGUGCUGCCUGCUUUGAUUUCGUAAUGUGAUUCCUGAAUUCUAUAUAACCUCCCUCGUGUGAACAGAUCCACAAUGAGAAUCUCAUUUUCAUGUAGCUAUUUUCUUCAAGUUUCAACAGAAGUUAGUGGAACAAGAAUCAAAUAGUUCCUGAGGGUCAUAUUGUCUGAAAUUUGGACUUACCUAGCUCUGUUCCAUCAAUACCAAUCUUUGGCUUUUCUUUACCCAAAAAAAUGCUCCAUUCGUUGAGAUGACUAUAAAUGCUCUUAGGAAGUAGGUAAGUAAUGCUAAUCAUAGCCAUCUAAAUUUUUUUUUUCAAUAUUGAUUUAAAAUGCAGCCCAGACGCGUCCCUUGAAUCCGAAAGGGAUCUAAAACUACUUGAGAUCUGAACAAACAAAACCUGGAUUAGGCUCAAACUAACUUUGUUGUGGUGUGCAGAGUCCGAAUUAGGUGCAAAAAGUAGGCACUUUGACACUUUAAUUUUUAAAUAAGUAUAAUUUCAACAUUUUUUAAAGUUUCGUUACGAGUAAUCAUUUCCGUCAUUUUGAUACUUUAAUUCAAAUUAUAAGGGAAUUCUAUAUAACUUUUGAAAUUAUAAAAGAAUUAUGUAAAAAAAAAUACUAAAUUAUAAAAGGGAUAAAAAGUAAUUUGUCCAAAAAUGAAUGAAUUCCUUCGCGACUAAGGAUUCGAAUCGGUUCAUGCAGAGGGAAAAGAUGUGCAAAAUGAAACAAUGGCCCGCCUAUUGUCGACUAACUCCUUUGGCUCUAGCAUCUAUUCUCAAAAGUCUUCACUUCCGCGUAAAGGGAUGUAUAACAAAAGCGGGACAUGGAUGGGUAUAAUUUUGGCAAGUUUUGUCCGGUUGUGGUAUUCAAUAUACGAUGUACCAUCACAUUUUGUAUGUUGUUGUAUUUAAUAUAUGUGCAAUAUGUUAUUUAUGUACACUAACUUUUUUCCAAAGUAUUAACAAUAUAUUAUGAUUGUAUAGCAAAUAAUAUAACAGAUAUAAUAAAUGUUAAAAGCUGGAUAAAAAGACAACCGUAUUUGCCCCAAUUCCACUAAUAUCUAUUGCCCUAUUAGCAGAGUAGUAGUAAUAAUAAGGAAGAAUACUUGAUCGUUAACUUUGACUAGAAUGAAAUUCAAGGAAAGUGGCAAGGAAACUUCUUUAAAAUUUCGAGACCGAAGUUAUUUAGGGUUCACUUCGAUAAUAUGUUUUUUGAGUGUAUUUUACAAAGUUUGUUGUAACAAACUACAGUUAUUUUAUGUCAAUAUUAGAAAAAGAAAUGCUGAUGUUUAUUUAAAAUAUCCUAUUUUUUCAAUCCCCUUCCCCCCUCCCCCGCCACCCACAAAUGGCAGUCUUUACCACACACCACUAGUAUCCUACUUAAUGUGUAUUUUUUUUUGUAUUUUUGAAAACUUUUGGAUGCUUUAAAAUAUUAGCAUGAUUGAUAUUUUAAACAAGUUUUUUUUUUAUUUUUGGUUAGAAUAGGCCAUCCAAAUAAUAGAGGCCCAGCACCGGAAUGGAAAUGACUUGGCCGUUGACAACGACGACUCAAGGAAACUUCCAGGAAAUUGCGAGGAAGGCUUUCCGAAAUGCCGAACUGGAAAUUGAGUAAAACUUUUACAUCUCCCGGUGUCAUUAUUGGCAAAGUAAAUAGUUUGGUGUGGUAAUAAAACUAAUACUUGAGCAAAUAAAAGACAUGGACAUGUCUUGAAUUUUUUCAAUUUAAGUUCCAGUACUCUUUUAUGGUUUGUACUUCAUACCAUUUUGGAAAAAUAUUUCCUCACCUCACCUACACCAAGUUCUUGGAAAAAUAUAAAAUUUGGAUUGCUAUUUUCUGAAAUUUUUAUAAAAAAUAUAUAUUUUAAGAAUUUAAUACAUAUAAAAUAAAAAAGUAAGUGAGAAAUGUGUUCAUAAAAAUAUAAAAUUUUUUUAUAAAAACAAAUGACAAUCCAAACAAGACGUCUUUUGAUAAAAUACAACAUUCAUGCCUUCAACCACUACAUAGAUAGAGGUGCAUAUUUAUCUUACAACCCCAUAGCAAAAUUUUGGUGAAGUAAUUCUUUUUUUUUAUUAUUUACUAGAGCAUAUCAGUAAACAAUCAUAAAAAGAAGAAAACAAAUAACAUCAUACUAAUUAUUACCAAUCAAAGACUAAAAAGAUUUUCAUAAAUGAAGUUAACUAUUUCAUUUAAUUUUAUGUCUCAGGUUUCACCUCAACUCUUUCCUCUUGCUGAAACUUUCGCAGAGUCAUCAAAAGACAAAAGUAACCAAAAAAAAAAAUAUCUGCAUAUCUCUUGAAGGAGAUCUGACCCUACUUGGAUGUUCAUCCAAAUAACAGUCCCAUUAAUUUUAUCAUCAAUAGAAGUUUCUCCAACUUGAUUUUUGGGGCUUUUCAUUCUCCUGUUUUUUCAAGCAGAAGUCCAUUAAAAUGCGGAUGUUGCUGCAGUAUGUUUAGUAAUCAAAGAAGACGUGUGGAAAGUAAAGCAUAUGGCAAAGAAGCAGGCACGUGGAAAGGUAAAGAAUAUGUCAAAGAAACUGACAUGUACGGAUCAAGAAGGGUUAUUUUUACAAAAGUAAGUGGUGACCUAUAACCGGGAUUUGGAAAUGUUGCGUACUGCAGAAGCUAAAAGUGUGUUGGGAUGUCACGGAAUUAACAUAAAUAUAAAGGGCCUAAGAAUAAAACAUUUGUGAAGAAGCGUAAGCAGUACUAAUUACUAAACAAAGCCAUCCUGGGGCCACCGAUUAUGGGCAUUACAUCAACAAAAUACUAUCUAUUUAUUGGCAUUUUACUCUGAAUCAUUAUAUUUAUGUAAAAUACAUAAAUAUUUUGGAUAGCACGGAUAUUCACACUAGCUAUCCUUGUACUAAAUUUUAUGAGCAUUUUACUCUAAAUCAUUACAUUUUGGAUACUACUUUGAUUAGAAUUUAGUUUAAAGACAUUCACUGGAGUUUGGACGCAUCCAAAGAGCACCGAUCGAUGUAUGUUCAAGCGUAAAUUGAAAUAAUAUAUGCAACUUAAAUUUUUUAAAAAUAAAUUACUACUGCAUAUCAGAAAUUUACUUUUUGGAGAGUAGGUUUAGUUCAUACUAUUUUUCAUAGUAUUUUAAAAUAUAUAAGUACAACAAAUUUUAAAUUAUACCUAUAAUAAUGUAUUAUACGAAUAUAUUAUGAGUACUUACUAACUAAGGUACUAAGUUUUAAUCAUUGAUAAAACAUCUUAUCGUUAUUUCAAAUAAACUUCCUAAUAUUAGUUUGAAAUAAGUUUUAAAGUAAAAUAAUACAUGCGUCCCAUAAAUCAAUAAAUCUUGAUUAUUAAUCAAAUUUGCUAUGUUAUCAGUAAUAAUUACUAUUUAUGUAUAAAAACUUACUAUUACUUGAAUUAAACUUACUAAGGUAUAUUAUGAGUGCUUACUAACUAAGGUACUAAGUUUUAAUCAUUAAUAAAAACAUCUUAUCAUUAUUUCAAAUAAGCUUUCUAAUACUACUUUGAGAUAAGGUUUUAAUGUAAAAAUUGUACAUGCAUUCCAAAAAAUGGUAAAUUUUGAUCCUUAAUCAUUUUUAUUGCCAUGUUAUUAGUAAGAAUUACUAUUGAUGUAUAAAAACUUACUGUUAUUUGAACUAAACUUACUCUUUUAAAAGUAAGUUUGGGAUAUCAAGUAGUAAUCUAUUUAUUUAAAAAUUAAGUUUAAUAUUUAUUCCAAUUUACCUUUUGAGGUAUAAAAGUUACUAAUCUAUUACACUUAACUUACUAUUUUAGAUAGGAAACUUACUUCCAUAAUUUUAGGUGUUAUUUUAUUUAGGCGAAUAUGUCCAACAAUAAAUCAAAUGAUCGCUAAAAGUGUAACAACGUGUUAUAUCAGGUAAAAACUAUUGCGCUAUCAUAACUAUCGCUUAGUAUCUAUAUCUAAAUGUAUUGCUGAGGGGGUUUUAGAUAAGGAGCUUUCAAAAUUAUCAAAAGUCUGAAUGCUAUUUUAAUAGAAUUUUACAUUUUUUAAUUAAAAAAUAUUUAUCUCUUAACUAAUCAUGUAACCGGCCCUACAAAUCCUAUAAUCAUACUUAUAUUUUUUCCACAUUUCCCUUAUGUUUUUUCCACUACCCCAUAAAAUUCAAACUCCUAAACUUUAACUAACGGAUAAUAACCACCCCUGUAAAAUGAUAUUUGCAAAUUCCAAUUCACAUCUCACAUUUAUUACUGACACUUACCAUAUCACUUAGAGUAAUAACUAACCGUUAAUUUAAGAAAUUCGCAACUACGAAAGUCAAAUAUCCAAAAUUUAGGAGCCUGUUUAAAUUACAAUUUUCACAAUUCAACGUAUCUUAUUGUCAUAAUAUAUUUUACUCUCACAAUCAUUCACAAAUUAUAAAGGCAUUAAAAAUAAAUAAUUUUUUUAAUAAAAAUUAAUUCAAAGGUAGUUAAUUCACACACACACACAUAUAUACAUACAUAUAUAUAUAUUCUCAUAAUGCAUAUAUAUAUAAGAUUAUCAAAUCGAAUGCAUAAUAUUGGUAAGUAUUUCAUUUUAAAAUAAAAAAAAAUGCAAUUACAUUUAUUUCUAUCCAUAUAUCAUUCAUUUUCUAAUAUAAAUUAUUAUUAUUAUUUUAAGAUCCAUCUUUUGCAAAAACACAAUUCUUGAAUGAUUUACAGUUUUUGUCAUAUUUUGAACUAUUGUUAGACAAAUCUUAAAUUUUAAUUAUGUUGGUAUAAUUUUUUUAACUUUUUUCAAAUUAAAAUGGUAUAAUUUUUUAAUUUAUUUUAAUAAUGUAAGUACCGUGCGUAGCACGGAUAUUCACACUAGUUGUCUUUGUAUGACCGAGCCUGAGAGUUUGAGCAUGUUUUGGUUGAAUGUUAUAAUUCAAAAUUUGGGGUUUGGAGGGAAUAUGUUAUAUCCAUUGUAAUCAAAACUCAAAUAAAAGUGGGGAUAAGCCUGGUUGUCACAACGAACUAUAUAAAGUGGAUUUUUUUAUUUAUUUGCAGAAUGCUAUCUUAUUUUUUCAUGCAUCAGAAUGGAUUGAUUACAAGUUGCAUUUGCUUGCCUUUUGCUAGAAUUUUGGCUAAUUAACAAAUUAUACUAAUUGUAGAAUAGUAAGUUUGUAAUCAUUUUCAAUUUUUGAAAAAUUUAAAAGUUUAGAUAACAAUAACAACAAAUCUUCCUAGUUACAUGUAGAAUAUCACUUGUUUCUAUAUCACAAUUUUUAUAACUUAAAACCUAUGAAUAUAAUAAGAUAAAAUUAUUAUUUUAUAAUACGAUAAAAUUUUAUUAUUUUCUAAGGUUAUGUGAAAGGUCAAAAUAUUUUUCACAAAAUAUUUUAAAAUAUAUAAGUACAAAAGAAUAUUAAAUUAUACAUAUAAUCAUGCAUUAUACAAGUAUGUUACAAGUACUUACUAACUAAUGUACUAAAUUUUAAUCAUUUAUAGAAUAUUUUUAUUGUUAUUUCAAAUAAGCUUCCUAGUAUUCAUUUGGUAUAAGCCAUAAAGGAUUGAGUAAUUUGAGUCAGUUGCUUCUGUGUUAAUUUUGACUGUGGUUAACAAACUCAAUGAUUUAGUCCGUCUAACAUAGGUUAAUGGGAAAAUGGGUCACAGUUGGCUGGAAUAAAAUUGUAAUAAACCCGUUUUUCAAUAAAAAAAUAAACUCUUUAUGACUUUUCUCUAUUAUAAGAACAGAGUACCCAUUUUCUAAAAAAAAUUAUUUAUUAGAUAAAAUAAAAAUAAACCCAUUUUUCAAUAAAAUCCUAACUCUUUAUGCCUUUCCUCUAUUAUAAGAACCGUGUACCGAUUUUGCCAUAAACAAAUUUAUUUAUCGGAUAAAAAAAAUUUAUUUAUCGAAAAAAAAAUGAACCCGUUUCUCAAUAAAACAUCAGCUCUUUAUGGCUUCCCUCCCUUAUAAGAAAAGAGUAUCCAUUUUGCCAUAAACAUCGAAUAAAAUAAAAAUAAACUCUUUUUUCAAUAAAAAACCAGUUCUUUAUGACUUUCCUCAAUUAUAAGAAUAUAGUACCCAUUUUUCUAAAAAGAAAAAUAUCAUUUAUCGAAUAAAAUAAAAAUGAACCCGUUUUUCAAUAAAACACAAGUUCUUUAUAGUUUUCAUCUAUUAUAAGAACAGAGUACCCAUUUUUUCAUAAAUAAAUUUAUUUAUCGGAUGAAAAACUAAAUAUAUUUUUCAAUAAAACACCAGUUUUUUAUGGUUUUCCUCCCUUCACUACAACAAAAAAGGGUAUUAGCGACAACAACUUUAGGAAGAAAUAGAAAGCUUGACGCUCUUAAGAGGCUUAUAGCAAGGAAAAGGACAAUACCUCACCAAAAAUUGGAGCCAUCAUAUACUCUGCGAGGGCAACGACUUUUCUCGCUUAAAAUUCUCGCAAAAAAAGAGAGCGGGAAAGCUUCCCUCCAAAUACUAAUUCUAGUGGGCCAAAGUUUCUAUGUUAUUGGUGAGAAAUCAUGGGUGCUUUUUUGUGAAAAUUUCAAAAUUUUGCGCCCUUCCAAUUUUUAGCAGAGCCGCGGGAAAAUUUUUUAAUCAUUCCCGGCAUAGCACUUGUCAAGCCUAGCACCACAUGAAUUCCAAGCCUUCCAUACUUGCAAGGCUACUUUCCCAAAUAUUUGUUCUCAGAUCAGAGCGCUCGAAAGUUCAAUCGCAACCUCCUCUGCACCUUUCUCCUUCUAUCUCUCUUUCCCUCUCUAUUAAUUUUCAGUUUUCCAUAGACAUAUGGUUCCUCUCUUCCUCUCUAUCAUCUAGAUCUGAAUUUAUACAAUCAUGGACACACUUUAAAGACCCUUCCGAUGCAAUGGCAGACUUCAAGGAAAAGCGAUGGUGUAGGUUUUAUAAUAUGUUAUUUUCAUCUCUGUUUUGUCAAUUGCCUUUUUCUUGCAUUUUUGGUCAAUUUAACAAUCGCAAGAAAAACUUUUUGAAAUUGUAGACUUCUACUUCAGUGGAUUAGAGUGAAAUGCUUAUCUCAGUUGGAGUAGAGAAAUGGGUCUUACUGGAAGGCAAAAUGAAAACGGCCCGUCAAAAUUGGAUCUUGAACAUCUAUCAGUUUUUAGGAGUUUGUGUGAAUUUUGGGUUUUUUUUUCCUGAUUUUAUUCUAUGUGGUCUUGUCUGUAUGAUUGGAAAGUUCAAUUUCUGAUGUACUUUCAGGGGAGUUUGGCUGUAGCAGCAGGGAAGUGGGGAAGUGGGUGGCUUUCAGGUGGCACCGCCGGCUCAGUAUAACCCAUUAGACGAGCCGAGUCCAUUGGGAUUGAGGCUGAGGAAAAGUCCUUCCCUUUUGGAAUUGAUCCAAAUGAGGCUUUCUCAAGCUAAUUCACCUAAGGGUGCAAGUUCCAGUAAAAAAGAGCUUAAAGGGGCCGCUGCUUCUGGUUCCUCUGAGAAGCUCAAGGCUUCAAAUUUUCCAGCAACUAUUCUGCGAAUUGGGACCUGGGAGGUAUAUUUAUACAUUUGCAUUGGAUCAUGGAUUUUAGAAGCUUGUUUUAUUGGAUUGCUUAUGAUUUCGUUAAUUUUGAUUGCAUGUCUUUGUUCUAAUUUCUAGUAUAAGUCAAGAUAUGAAGGGGAUUUGGUAGCAAAGUGUUAUUUUGCAAAGCAUAAGCUUGUACGGGAGGUUCUUGAUGGCGGGCUCAAGAAUAAGAUUGAAAUUCAAUGGUCUGAUAUAAUGGCUUUGAAGGCGAAUUAUCCUGAUGACGGACCGGGGACUUUGGAUGUAGUGGUAUUAGCAACACUUACUGUGUCUUUGUUAAUUACUUUGUAUGUCGUUAUUAUGAAUUUUUUAUAGUGAAAACAUGUUUUUUUCUUUUUAAUGGUGUAGCUUGCAGGACAACCUCUUUUCUUUAGGGAGACAACUCCCUAAAAUCACCUCUGAAUUCUGAAUUCUCUGACCAUCUGACUUCCUUCACCGCAAUUUCUUAAUGCUUUUAAUCUCUCUUCACUGACAACUCACUCACAAGCCUCGCCUUACAUAUCUGUCCCGAAUUUGCCAGAAGACAUACUGACCCAUUCAUUUUCUUCCUCCCCACCCUUUGGCCUUCACCGAAGGAAUCCAAGGAAAUCUUUCUUUGAGAACAAAAUUCUUAGAGAAGGGGAAAAAAAGGGAUGAGGGACUGCAAGAUUUUUUGUUCUCUCAUUAGCAGUUGCAUUCUUCUUGUUUCUGUUCUCAAUGGAGCAAAUGCUGAUAACCCAUAUAGGUUCUACACUUGGAAAAUCACUUAUGGUGAUAUAUACCCAUUGGGUGUCAAACAACGGGUAAUGUAUAUGCACCAAAACAUGUUUUUAUGUUGUUAAUGACUUGUACUAUGAUAUGCAUGUGGCAAUGUGUUUCUUGAAUUUGCUCGAAUUUUUGGGUGGUUAAGAGUCGGAAGUGUAUAUGCUGCAGGGAAUCUUGAUAAAUGGGCAGUUUCUAGGGCCACACAUUGACUGUGUCACCGAUGAUAACUUGAUUAUCAGUGUUUACAACUACUUGAACGAGCCUUUCCUUAUUUCUUGGUAAGUUUUUCACAGUAAUCUCAAAGAACUCUUUCUCUUAAUUACUACUGAAGGAUAAUGGGGGAUGUUGCAGUUUGUAUGGAGUAAAAUGUGCAAUGUUUCCCCUGCAACAAUGGCGAUCUGCUUGGCUAUUUUCCUUUUUUUUUUGUCUUUAACUUUCAUAUAUUUUUCUGCACAAAGAUUGCAAAUUGUGCUCAAUGAAGAUGAUGACACUCUCAAAUGUUGAGGUGUUAAUUGUAAUUAAUAUCAGAAUGUGACGGAGCUCGAUUUAAUAAGGACUAGUAGUGCAAAAAGAAAGCAACUUUAUGACCGAAUUGGUAAGCCAAGCCUUGGAAGUAUGGUCGGGCAUACUGCUAUUGGCCCAGUGGGGCUCGUUCUGGUUAGCCUUUACUUCCCAGUUCCCACACAUUUGGUCUGAAAAUGGUGGUCCACGUAACUAGAUGUUAUUUUCUGACUAUUGUUUCUACAAUUAAUUAUUUUUACAGUGAAGUUAACUCGAGGAAGUUUUCUACGAUUUUAUGGACAACUGUACACUCUGCACAUGCUGGAUCUCCAGAUCUCGGACAUAUACCACAUUUUCUUUCUGUUAUUUGCUUAUCAGUGUAUGGUUGAGCAAUAUAAAUUAUGCCAUGAAGUGUUCCAUAUGUCUAUCGUCUAAAGGCAAUAUUACAGUUGACUAUGUAUGCCCAUUAGAGUCAUGGGGAGUGGGACGCAUCACAUAUGCUUGAUAAUAUCAUUAAACAUUAGGGUAUCAUACCUCAUUUGUCUUGUUGCUCUGGUGAGGAUAAGUUGUAGUUUAACAUCAUCAUCCUUACUGGAUGUAUUCCAUUCUAUAUUGCUACAAAGUGAGAUCUUUGCCUGUUGGAAGGGGCUUCUUGGCUGUGAAACCAUGUCAAUAUUUAAUUGCUAACUGACAAAAACAACAUUUCUUUCCUUCUUCUUCUUUUUUACUUUUUUUUCAUCUCGUUCACUCUCUGCUUUACCUCUAAUCCUGAUAUUACAUUCUUUUGUUAAGUAUGGCUUUAAUUUCUUUUUCAUGGAAACAUGAAUAACUUGAAUGGUAAUCUAAGAUAUGUCGAUAUUGAUGUGUUGACUAGCUUGGCAGUGUUACAAUUAUUUAAGUGACAGUUUUUUCUUUUCGUUGUUUUGCUCAAUCUCUGGAGACUAAGUGCAAUACAACAAUGGUCUGACUCACCGUUGAUUGGCAUUUUUUCUGGGAUUUCUGGCAGGCAUCAUUUUCUGCAGUGUCCACAAGGCUUGUUGGGAAAGCAUUUCGAAAAGCUUAUUCAAUGUGAUCCUCGUCUUAACUUCCUGAGUAAAUAAGGAGAGAUAACGUUGGAUUCUCCAUAUUUUGAACUCAGAAUCUCUGUGUUUGAUGACCCAAGUGAAAACAAAGCUGCAUUUGAUUUGAACAAUCAUGAGAGUCCCACUGUCUUCAACUUGAGGGGAUGCAGCAUCACCAUCAGGUGGUCAAUCAUCAUCUUCGAGGAAUGAACAAGACAUUGUUAGUAGACCUCGAGAAGACAUGAAACACCAUCACCCAGCUCAGGUAACCGGUCCUUUUAAUAGUCUUGAACCAAAAUUUGAUAUUCACUAAAAGUUUCUGACCAACAGAAAUGUAAAAUGUCAUUUUCAUUUGAUUUAUAAUCUGUACAGAGUAUUUCUUUUCCUCCAAGGAGGUUUAUAUAUGUAGUCGCGUCUCUCUAGUAGUAUUUGACUCUGUGUUUUGGUUUAUUCAGUAAUGGAUACGCAUGUAAUUGAAGAAAUAAAAAUGGUGGAGGAGAACAAACAUGAUAUGGUUAUGAAGCUCUCACAAGCUACUUCGAUUAUGGACUUCGCCAAUUAAUGCAAACAUGAUACUCAUUGUAUAUUGGCACAGGGUCUAUCUUAGCAUUUGUUAUCCCUAGCAAUUUUGGUUGUACAUAUUAAAGCCCAAUUAGAAUUUGAUUUGAGUAUCUUUGUGCUUUGUACUGUUGAUAGUAUUGGUUGUAAUAUAUUAUUGCUCGUUUUGUAUUUGUAAUGACAAAUUGGUUUGUUAUUUCGUAUACAAAUUUUGCUAUAUCUCAAUAUUGACAUUAAUGAUACCUCUUGCUAAAAAAAUGGUUGAAAAAAAAAGUAGCAACUACAGUCACAAAGCUGCUUUCGGCAACUUUCUUGCAAGAAAAUCAUUUAGCUGCAUUUGAUCGUCUUUGGUAAAGGGUCGAUGGUUUUCAAUAAAAUACCAGCUCUUUGUGACUUUCCUUCAUAAAUUUUCUAUUUUUCCUUUUUUCACUGAAAUACUUUAUUACUUGGAUAAAAUCAGAAACUCCAUUAUAAGAAAAGGUUUGGAGGGAAUAAGUUGUAAGCAAUUCAUGACAAUUACCGCCUCUACACACAUGUGAAGGAACAGGGGCUAUGACAAUUUGCUAUAUGUACUGUGCAAAUCUUAUCCCAUUGAAAAUCACAUUGAGAGGUGGGCCAGCAUUUUGCUAUAUCUCAAUAUUGACAUUAAUGAGUUUAUUUUUAUUUUAUCCGAUAAACAAAUUCCUUUUUGCCUUCAAAAUGAGUACUCUAUUCUUAUAAUAGACGAAAAUCAUAAAGAGCUGAUAUUUUAUUGAAAAAAUGGGUUUAUUUUUAUUUUAUCUGAUAAAUAAAUUUGUCUGAGAAAAAAUGGGUACUCUAUUCUUAAAAUGGAGGAAAGUCAUAAAGAGCUGAUCUUUUAUUAUAAAACGGCUUUAUUUUUAUUUUAUCCGAUAAAUAAAUUUAUUUAUGAAAAAAUGGGUACUCUAUUUUUAUAAUGGAGGAAAGCUAUAAAAAGUUGGUCUUAUAAUGAAAAAUAGAUUUAUUUUUAUUUUAUCUGAUAAAUAAAUUUGUUUAUGGAAAAAUGGGUACUCUGUUCUUAUAAUAUAGGAAAGUCAUAAAGAGCUGAUUUUUUAUUAGAAAAUGGAUUUAUUUUUAUUUUAUUCGAUAAAUAAAUUUAGUUAUGAAAAAAUGGGUAUUCUGUUCUUAUAAUGGAGGAAAGCCAUAAAGAGUUGGUCUUUUUUGGGAAAGUGAUACUUUACACAAAGUGACCGCGAUUUGGUUUAUAAAAUAAUCCCAAAUAAAAAUUUAGAAUGAAUUUAUUUGUUUUGAAAGUUGUAUAACGGUUGUUAAAAUUUUAAAGAUUGGCAAAAAAAUUUUGGGGUUACAGAAAGGUAGAGCAAAGAAGGAGAAGAAUUGAGUUUUUUGUCCGUUGCAAUUGUUCUGUUAAAAAUGGCUCUAUUCGGUUUUACCCAUUUUUUGUUGGAUAAAAUCGUUGGUUCUAAUGAUUAAUUCUUCAUUUCCCGUCAAUUGUCCUUAAUUGGCAAAAAUUACGAAACUUUGAGCAUGCAAUAUGUUUGGGGUGAAAUUUUGAGGAUGAAAUUGGUCAACCACCCAAAUUUUGAGAAUGAAAAGUGCAUUUUUUCGUAUAAGAUAUUUAAUCAAAUGUUAUUUCUUGUCUUAAUUUUAGUUAUGACUAUGCUACAUAUUUAUUAAAUAGACAUACCUUUAUAAUUAAAGUUAAUAUUUGAUAUUUUAGGAUGUCAUAUAUUUAAAUAGAUGAAAAUUAUUUUGAACAUAACAUAUUAAAAUAAUUUUAUUUAUCAAUCAUUUUGGCCCUUCCAUCAAGGAAAAAAUCUUGGUUUCGUCACUGCCUAGGAGGAAAUUGGGGUCUAUUGCUAACAAAAGAUUGUGAAAAUUUACCUUUAUAUCCUAAUUAUUUGAAAAAAAUAUCUAAUGAACAAAUUUUGCAAAAGAAACCUUGUUUCUUACCAACAAAUUAAGUAACUAAUAAAAUCACCUUUAAUAUUGCUUUAACAUAUUUAAUUUAUGUUAAAUACAAAUUUUACCAGUUUCUCUUUUGUAAAAAUAUAAGUAUAUUACUUUUUCAAUUUUAGUUACAAACAUUUAUGUAUUUUAUGUAAAUGUAGUGAUUCAGAGUAAAAUGCCCAUAAAUAGCUAGUAUUUUGUUGAUGUAAUGCAAAAAAAUCCAUAAAGAGCUGGUAUAUUAUGGGCGCAAUCUUUUUUACUUUCAAAUAUUUAAAAUUUGUUAAAUGCAAAAUCUACUAGUUUUCCUUUCGUAAAAGUAUAAGUAUAAUACUUUUUCAAUUUUAGUUACAAACAUAUAUGUAUUUUAUAUAAAUGUAAUAAUUCAGAGUAAAAUACCUAUAAAUAGUUAGUAUUUUGUUGAUGUAUUGCAAAAAACUCAUAAAGAGCUGGUAUGUUAUGGGCAAAAAUUUUUUACUUUCACAUAUUUAAAAUUUGUUUAAUAUAAAAUUUACUAGUUUUCCUUUCGUAAAAAUAUUAGUGUAACACUUUUUCAAUUUUAGUUACAAAUAUUUAUGUAUUUUAUAUAAAUGUAAUGAUUCAGAAUAAAAUACCCGUAAAUAGCUAGUGUUUUGUUGAUGUAAUGCAAAAAAAAAAAAUUAUAAAGAAUAGGUAUGUUAUGGGCAAUAUAUUUUUUACUUUCAUAAAAAUCAGUUUAUGUACCAAGCAUGGCUGUGUUUAGUACUGCUUACCCUUUCUCUUUGGUGUUUUAUUUCUAGACCCAUUAUAUAUAAGUUAAUUCCGUGACACCCCAAUACAUUUUCAGCUUCUGCCAUACACAACAUUUCCAAACCGGCCCGUGCCUGUUAUAGGUCACUAUUUGCUUUUGUAAACAUAUUCCUUUCAUCAUCCGUACAUGUCAGUUUCUUUGACAUAUUCUUUACCUUUCCACGUGCCUGCUUUUUUGCCAUAUAAUUUACUUUCCACACCUGUCUUUGAAAUAUGUGAAUACACUACAGAAUUUACCUUAAAAUGCCGGCUUUGUUCAGUUAAUUCAUUCGCCUGAUUUUUCAUCUUUCUGGCAUGGCCUUCAAUCAACAAACGGUUCAAAAUCCCCCCCUGUUGUUCCCUUCUCUGUAAUGCAAUGAAAUCAUUAUCUAAUAAUGUUUCUACUUCCUCCAGCCAAUGUUUGACCUCAGUUUUCCUCUUCUGUCGUCCGGACAGCUCGGCUCUUUCCACAUCCUCCUUUAUGUCAGAUGCUCUGCUCCUCAAUGCGUUCAGAUUCCUGGGCAGCAAUUGCAUAUCAGAUCCCAAGCUCAAGUAACUCGUCCCUGCGUCCACUGAUACAUUUGCAGCCCUUUCAAAUGCUACGUCCUCCGCCUUCUCACCGAACUUGCCAAGCAGUCGAUACAUUUCAGCUGUAGUCUUCGUAAUGAUAGUCGUAAUGAUUUGCAUCGCCAUAGCCAUGGCCUUCAAACUUGCAUCCAAAAUCUAAUAAAAACGAACAAACAAGGAAUGUUACUGUUAGUUUGUACGACAAAAAGAAUUGAUGAAAUGAAAUGCGCCGCCCUCCUCUCAAAUGCUAUGUCCUCCACCUUCUCUGUGAACUUGCCAAGCUGUGGUAUCAUUUCAGUUAUAGCCUUCCCACUGAUAUUAAAAAUGAUUUGCAUCACCAUAUCCAUGGCCUUCAAACUUGCAUCCAUCUAAUAAAAUAUAGACCAGAAGAGAAUAUGUUAGUUUUUACAACAUAAGGAAUUCAUGAAACAAAGUGCUCCCCUCUCAACUGCUGUGUCCUCCACCUUCUCUAUAACCUUGCCAAGCUGUAGUAUCAUUUUAGCUAUAGCGUUCCCAAUGAUAUGCACAAUGAUUUCCAUAUGGAUGGCCUUCCAAACUGCAUCUGUCAUCUGAUAAAAAGAGACCAAAGAAUUUUAGAUUUUACAACAGCAAUAAUUGAUGAAACAAAAUGUGCCCUCUCCCCCUGCAAAUCUCGUGCUUUGUUGCUAGAUUAUGUGUGUCAAAUAAAUUAUACCUUUAAACUUCAACAGGAAAGGUCUUUGAAGAAUGAAAUAUACCUUAAAGAUUUCUUGAGAAUGAAAUAUAUCUUAAAGCUAAUACGAUGAGAAUCGUCACAAGGACGGGAAGAACGGCUGAUGGACGAGGGAUAGGUGGGUUAAUAGAGGAAGAAGCAACCUCUUUUUAGACGUUGAGAAUGAGAUUGACGAUGAAAACCACGGAAACCUGAUAGGAAAGUCAUGGGAAGAAACUUGGCAACUGGUUAGAAACCUGGUAUAAAAUUGCUAAGAUUGUCCAGCCGAUAAAUCAAUUAAUUAACAGUAAGAUUAAUUAGAAGUCCAGAUUAAAGUUGCGGUAUUCCUAGCAAGAUCCUUCUGCUUUGGAUUGAAAUCUGCUACUACUUGAAAUAUGGUUGAGAAUCUUGUAAUAUCAUAGAUAUCAUUUCCAAUUAAUUAGAUAGUGCUCUUUUUCUAUAUUGAUUCAAUGAAACAACACAAGUGAUUUGUUUUUUCCAUUUUUGAUGAUCAUAUUUCAAGUGAACCCAAGAUGUACAAGUAAAAAUGGUCAAAUAUGAGUUUCAAUAAGACGCAAUUGAUAGAUUUGCCAGCUGAACGUGAUUGGGGUAUUGUGGAACAAAAUAUUUCUUUCAUUCAUAUAGCUCACAAGAUUCUUUAAUUUCAGCAAUUGCCCAAUAGCCCACAAGUCCACAAACUGGACCAAGAAUCGAUGGGGUCCUUACAAAUGCCAUCCCCUUACAGUUUUUCACCCUCGAAGUUAAGUUUCUUGCGGCAAGGCCCAGAAGCCUCCGAAACCCACUUUUUUUUUUUUUUUUUUUUUUGAGAAAAAACGCACCUUAUUCGACAUUGUACUUAUUCCGGAGGUAAGGCCUUUCAUUUAUCUCGUACUCUACUUUAUUGUCUAUUAUAAAGUAGUAGGCGUCUAUUAAAAAGAGUAGGCGACUAUUAAACUCCAACCAUAUUUCAAAAAAAAAAAAAAAAAGUUGGUCUUGCAUUUUUAUUGAUAGAAAAUAAUUCGAUCCUUUUCAGGAUGUCAAGUAUAUUAGAGCGUCAUAUAAUGUUUCUCCCUAAUUUCAAACUUUGUAAAGGGAUUUUUUUUUUUUUUUUUUUUUUGGGAGGGCUCACAAUCAUCACAAAGCAUCUUCUUUUUGAAAUCUUUUCUUUCAUAUCCUUUUGUCUUGCCGAGUUCCAAGUGAGCUAUAAAAAAAGCCAUUUAUCAGGAGGUAUUUUUUAGAAAGAAUGUCUCGUCCAAGGCGUAAUCUCACCACAUUAAAAUCCAUAACUUCAAACAAUGCCUUUAUUAUUUGGUUUUUCCCCUCAUAAAAGUUGCUGGCCUUUUCCAUCUUUUCCAUAAAACAAAUUUCAAGUUCGAAUCUUUCAUCAAAUUAAAUAUAAUUGCAGCUUGUGCCAUUUUCAGAACCUUAGUUUACUCAAUAAUUUGACAAGUUAUUGUUCCCUUCUUUUUGUUCAAGUAGUCAAAUUUUUAGGAGGCAUUUAAUGUUUCAUGUUUUGGGAUGAAUCAAUUCACAAAACUUGAGGAAUGAGAGAAGUUGUGCAAAUAAUGGUUCUUCUUCAACUACUGUUGCUUGAUAUCUGCGAGCACUGCACUCACUGGAUCCUUUGUUUAUUUGUUGCAAAUCUGCAUUUCUGGGGGUUUUCUUGCACUGUCUUUUGAAUGAUAUAUUUAGUAUUCUCGAGCAUGGUAGCUAAACCGUAUGGUAUCUGUAUCUCUGAGUUUAAUCGACUGUUUCAGUUCUGCAGAACUGCGUUAAUAACACAUUGAAAAGAAGUGAUCUUACUUUUAUCUGCGUUAACACCCGUUUGUUUUCUUUGAAAGGACUGUAUUUGUUAGCAAAAUGAGAGGAGUGACGACUCACAGGCACAGCACUCACAGGCUUGCUUAACCUGAGAAUUAUUGACAAACAGAACUUAUUAUGAUACUAAAGCAAAGUGCAAUCAUGUAAGUUACUUUGCAAUUCUACUUCCUUCCAACUUAUUAUGGUCUCAAUAUGAAAUUUGGAAUUUAAACAUUUGCAAAUAUAUAUGCCCUACAGCUUUAUCUGCAAAGCCUCUUCAGAAAAGGGGAAAAACAAGACAACCUUCAACAGCAGGAAAUGAAAGAAAAAGAAAAUAACACAGAGAUCAGAUCAUUCACAGAAUAAAUUAAUACAAACACUGAAUCUAGAAAUGAAGAAGAAGAGAUGCAGAGAGAGCAAAAAAAAAAAAAAAUUUAAAUUUCAGACAUAAGAAAUUCAACUUUUACACACAUGUCAUGAAUCUAACGUUGAUAGUGUAUACACCGUCAGUGUAGGAAAGAUUAACUCUAAGAAAAAUUUGAAAAAAAAAAUUAAAAUGCUGUACGCAGUAGAUAACAUCAGAUUGACUAUAAGAAAAGGUGCAGUUGGCAAUUUGGUACCAUCGAAAAGGAAGUCAGUAGAGCAGAACUUGAGCCACUCUAGAAAAAAGGGAUAGACAGAGAACAUUCAACAGCAUAAAAUGGAAAAAAAAAUAGAGAAAAUUUAUGAUGACAUUGAACUCCAAAAUAAACAAGAAUAAAGACAGAUAGAGAAAAUAAAGCACUUAAAUCCAUUUUCCCAUCAGACAAACUCAAAAAAAGAGGGGGGGGGGGGGGGGAGGGAGAGAACAUUAUAUGUAGUAAAUUACGCAAAUUAAUUGAAGAAAGGGUGUUGGCAACUCUACACUGCCACAAAGGUAGUUGACAAAGAAAAAAUUAAGCUCAACACAGAAAGACUUAAUAUUGAUUCCUAUGCAAUAUCAAAUUCUAUGCAAGUGGAGAAGCAGAUCAUUUUGGGGAAAAAGGUCAAAGAAAAGGGAUACUUGGUAACAUUAGAGGAAGGGGACAAAAGACGUACAUGAUCAUCAGAUCCUGUCGACGAUCUGUUGUAGUAAUAAAUGGGUCAAGGGCAUUUUUGGUGUAGGAAUUGUCCCAUUCUAAUGAUUCCCACCAUUCUUUAUCUCCCCUGAUUUUGUGAAGAGUAGUGGGAACAGAUGGUAGUCCGUUGAUGGUGGAAAGAAACGAAGGCAGCCUCUUUAAAUUUGGACAAUUAAAUAUUGCGAUCUCCUUGAUUGAAUCGCAGAUCAAGGCUGCCUUGCAAAUGUUCUUCAGUUGCGGCAGCCGCCCCAGAUGCAACAGCCUUAAUUUCGGAAGGACGACAGUGGCGGUGGCUCCUUCACUUGAAGUCAAUUGGGUGCCUUCUCCUCCUCCUUGUCCUACUCCAUUGCCAUCUGCUGCUAUCUCCUCCAGUCCUUCACAUUCUAUAACUGUUAAUGUUUCAAGAUUUUGAAGGCUCUGCAGCAACUGCACUGUGAAUAGCUGCUUCAUGUUGUGACAUUUAGAAAUGCUCAAUUUUUUAAGGGAAGAAAAGGUGCCAGCUGGAAGCAAAUAUGGUGGUCCGUCGAUGGCAGAAAGAAACGAAGGCAGCCUCUUUAAAUUUGGACAACCGAAUAUUGCAAUAUCCUCAAUUGAUUCGCAGAUCAUGGCUGCCUUGCAAACGUUCUUCAGUUGUGGCAGGUUACGCAGAUGCAACCGCCUCAAUUUCGGACGGUUGAUGACAGUGGCGGUGGCUCCUUCACAUGAGGUCAAUUGGGUGCCUUCUCCUCCUCCUUGUCCUACUCCAUUGCCAUCUGCUGCUAUCUCCUCCAGUCCUUCACAAUUGCAAACGUGUAAUUCUUCAAGAUUUUGAAGGCUCUGCAGCAACUGCACUGUGAAUAGCUGCUUCAUGUUGUGACAUUUAGAAAUCCACAAUACUCUGAGGAAAGAAAAGGUGCCAGCUGGAAGCAAAUUUGGUGGUCCGUCGAUGGCAGAAAGAAACGAAGGCAGCCUCUUUAAAUUUGGACAACCGAAUAUUGCAAUAUCCUCAAUUGAAUUGCAGAUCAUGGCUGCCUUGCAAACGUUCUUCAGUUGUGGCAGGUUAUCCAGAUGCAACCGCCUCAAUUUCGGAAGGUUGAUGACAGUGGCGGUGGCUCCUUCACAUGAGGUCAAUUGGGUGCCUUCUCCUCCUCCUUGUCCUUCUCCAUUGCCAUCUGCUGCUAUCUCUUCCAGUCCUUCACAAUUUUUAACAUCUAAUAAUUCAAGAUUUUGAAGGUUCUGCAGCAACUGCACUGUGAAUAGCUGCUUCAUGUUGUGACAUUCAGAAAUCCACAAAUAUUUGAGGGAAGAAAAGGUGCCAGCUGGAAGCAAAUAUGAUGGUUCUGAUUCUCCGUAAAAUAGACCAACCAGAUUUGGCAACCCGGAGAGGCUUAGCACUUGGAGAUCACAGAGUGGACUAAAAUACGAGACUUCCAACUGAUCACGUGGAGAAGCAGAGGACAAUUGCCAGAGGAACUCUAUUCCAACCAAAUCCUUAAUAUACAAUUCAGAUAAGUGGCUUAAAUUUAUAAAAUUCUUAAAAACAUCUGACAAGCACCUAAUGCCCAUGCCCUCACAAUCCUCGAUUACCAGACAUUCCAUAUCAUCUGGCAGAUUGUUCGAUCCUCUACCAAGCUCACACUGAUGGAAAUACAGUUGUUUCUGGUCCCCACAACCAUAAAAUGGAUACUUAGUUAAGAUGUCAUUGAUAUAAACCAUAUAGUAUUUUGGCCACCGAGUAAUUUUAUAGAAAUUCGUAAGAGACAAAUAUCCUUUAAAACAUUCUAAUUGGUUCAACACUUCUGGAUCAUUAACUUGUACCCUACCAUAGAGUGGCAAUGCUAGCCAUUGAAGACGGGUCAAUUUGGAAAAUGUCUCUUUUGGUAUUAUUAUCUUUCGUCUUAAACUCCGACACUCGUCCAAGUUAAGCCUUUCGAGGUUGACCAGUGACUCCCAACCUUCAGGUAAAUCCUCAAUCUUAGUGGAGGAUAGGUCCAAAUCCCUCAAUUGCUUGAGCUUUCCCAGUGGUGGCACAGAUUGGAGGUCACUACAAGACCUCAAAAUCAGGGCAGUAAGAUUCACCAUGUCCGAAACAGAAUUAGGCAACUCUGUUAUACCUUUGCACAAAGAUAGAUUCAAAACUUUAAGUCCACACAUGUGCCGAAAGAAUGAAUCUGGGAUUUCUUUUAUGGAAACCCAAGAAAGAAGCAAGGUCGAGAGCUUAGGACAAUUUGGUGACCAGGCUGGUGGAAUUUCUAUUUCUUUGAAAUUUUGUGAAUAGAAGGAAACCGCAUGGAGAUCUUCUGUCCAAUUUUGUGUUACUUUAGAAUUUCCCUUUCCCAAGCUUUUCACCAAGAAUCGUGGUACAUCAUCUCUGCUGCUCUCUGGUUUGGAGUUUCCAUGCGUGAUCCUUAUUGCCAUAUCUCUGACCAAAUCAUGCAUCUUCACACAGUCAUCUGUAGUUUUUUCCAGCAAGCAAACUCUAAUCAGUUUGUUUAAUAUUGUGUGACCUUGAUCAAAUUCUUCUGACCAUGAUUCCCGUUUUGACAUCAGCUCUGCCCUAAUAAACAGGACUAUUAGUUCCUUUCUUUUUAUAUCACUAUCUUCCGGAUAAAGACAGCAAUACAAGAAGCAAUUCCUUUCAUAUUUAUCCAGGCGAUCGAAACUCCGUUCCAGGAUGCGAGACACCUUUUCUUCCAUCUUACCGUGCUCUACUCUAUUCAAGUCUACCAAUGCAUUUCUCCACUCAUGGAUGUCGGUCACACCUAUCAUGCUCCCAGCCAUUACGACAAUACCAAGAGGCAAACCACCACACCUUUUCGCAACGGACUUGGCAGUAUCUUUCAAACCUCCGUCAAGCACGGUCUCGCUGCCAAGUGUACGCUCGAACAAACCCCAAGCUUCCUCUGUGUCCAAAGUUUUCAAUUCAAAUUUGCUUUGGCAUCGCAUGCGGUUGCACACUUCUAAUGAGCGUGUAGUCAAAAUCAGUCUGCAAUUUCUUGCACCAAUCCCUAAGCUGUUUAAACGAAAUUCUUCCCAAACAUCAUCCAAUAUGAGCACUACCAUUUCCUCCAUUUUCUCGAAUGUGUCACCCAACUUACGUGCCCUCACUUUUUCAUCAUCCUCGUGUGACAGAUCAAGCCCUAAGCGUUUAGCAACGUCACCUUGCAGCCCUUUGAUGGUAAAAUCUUGGGAGACAGAAACCCAAUAAACCCUUAAGGAUUGAGUAUUCUUAAGGAGGUGAUUAUGGAUGUGUUCCGCCAAUGUAGUCUUACCCACGCCACCCAUCCCCCAGAUCCCAAUCCUUAAGAUCUCAUUGGUGUCCAACUUUUCUCCAAUCCUUAAGAUGCUUAAGAUAUCUUUCAAAUCUCUGUCAAACUUUUCUCCAAAUAAUUUCGUUGUCACUCGUGGCUUACCUCUGCUCUCAAAAACCCCAAGGCAAAGCUCACCAAAAUCCUUACUUUGCUUAAUAAGGCCUUCUACAGUUGCGUCCAUUUCCGCCACUCUAUCCCCACCGCUAAAUGCAUUUUUCAGAAGACAACCCUGUUCUAUACUCGUUUUCAAUGCACCGAAUUCAUCCUCUAUGUUUGCUACCUUCUCAAACCAGUUCGCAACCUCACUUUUCCUUUUCUUAGUACCUGAUCUUUCUGCAUUUGUCACUUGCGACUCGAGGUCAGAUUUUCUGCCGCUUAAUCCUUCCAACUUCGUUUCUAGCGACCUUAGAUUAUCACGCAAAUAGUACCACUUCUUUGCUUUUUCGAAUGUCAAAUUCCAAAGAUCCGUGGCUAAUUUUCCAAUGCACUCCAUUACCUAUCAAGUGACGAGAGAAUCUCUAAAAAUUCCAGUUAUCAACCAAUAACGUUGUUCAAUAAAGGCAGCAUAAUAAUCCAUUGGAAAAUUUUGAAACAGGGCAUUUCCAAACUUAGUUUGACAAAUUUGAACCCGGUUAGGAAACUAAACAAUUAGCCGAUUAAUGUUGGAUUCUACAUAAUGGUAUCCUCAACUUUUAAUCAACAUUUCAAUGACGCAAAGGCACUAAUAGUAGUAUUAUUAGAAUUUUCUCAAUGUCAAGAUGAAAAGACUUUUCUCAUAUUCAACUAUUUAUCAAAUACAAGUUCUGUCAUAUCACAACUUUCUUGCGCUGAAUGAAAUGUACUUGAAGUAUACAAGCAGAAACACUCUUGGGUAUACAGUAGUAAUUUUAUAUUUUUUGGGUACAACAUGAUGUUUCUUCUCACUAAUAAUUUUUCUUUUUCUUAUUUGUGGCAAAUGGUAUCUUAAUUACUUUUUAAAAUUUUUUUGAUAAAUAAAUUUUAGGUCAAUUGGUGUGUAUGUCGAAUUACUCACCACUCAUUGCGUCUCAUUCGACAAAUACCAAACGACAAAAUAGUCCAAUUACUCAUCUAUGAUUCUUCCCAUUGGCAAAAAAAAUAAAAUAUUUACUACAAUAUGUGGAGAAAUAUCAAUGUGAUAUGAAGAACCAUGUAAAUUGCAUGAAAACCCGCUUCAUUAGUUUUCAAAUAGAUUACUAAGGUAGUUUUUUUUUUCUUUUCUGUCGAUUUUUAAAUUUUGAGUGUAUCAAACCAAAAAAUUUAAAUGAAAUAGGUAACAGGAGUUGCACCCUAAUACAUUAUAAAUUCAUAUUGGUCAAAUUUGAUCCAUACUUAGGUUUCCGACUAAUUUUUUAUUGGAAUCUAUCACGUGCCUUGCACGUGAUCAUUUUUUAAGGAUAAAAUUGUUAAAUUAAUUUUACACAAUUCAAUCCAUAAUCCCUCAUAUUUCUCAAUAUAAAUUUUUUCGUCCUUCACAUUUCAUAAAAUGAAUUUUUUGUCCAUCACAUUUCACAAAAUGAAGUUUUUCAUCACUCACAUUUUACAAAAUAACUUUUUUCAUUCCUCAUUGAUCAUGUGUAUGAAUAUUUUUCUUUAAAUCCAUAUAUAUAACUAUUUAAUUUCACUUGAACAACACAAAUAGCAUGUGUACAACUACAAUUAGGCUAUUUAGACAAAAUUAAAUAAUUUGGACAUUGUCAAGUGUUUUAUAUCGAAUUAAAUUUGAUAAAAAAAUAAUCAAAGAAAAAGUAUGACAAAAAGAAGUAAGUAAUCAGCACUUUCAAAUUUUAAGACAAUCACAAAUAAGUAAUUCAAUUGUUGGUCUUAAAGAUGGCGAGUAGAAGUUUCAAAAUUAAACUGCAAUUCAUUAGCAUGACUAUAGAAUUCAAAUUAGGACUCAUUAAUUAGAUGGCCUUAUUAUACAACUCAAUAAAUGAAGUAUUACAAAAAGAGAAAAGGCCACAAAUAUUGAACAAAUUCACAUGGUGAAAUCAAAUAAAUAUAUUCAUGGGUUAAAAAUAAAAUUGUUAGUUUUAAACCCAUGUAUAUAUCUAUUGAAUAGCAUGUGAAUAAUUACAAUUAACUUGUUGAAGUGAAAUCAAAUAGAGAUAUGUUAUAUGCUAUUCGUAUUAUUCAGGUAAAAUCAAAUAGAUAUAUACGUAGAUUAAAAAAAAACUAUUCAUAUACAUAGUCAAUGAGGGAUAAAAAAUUUUAUUUUAUAAAAUGCGAAGGAUGAAAAAAUUUAUUCUGUAAAAUAUGAGUGACGAAAAAAUUCAUUUUGCGAAAUGUGAGGGACUAUGAGUCAGAUUAUAUAAAAUUGAUUUGACAAUUUUACCCCUAAAAAAUAAUUACAUGCAAGGCACGUAAUGGAUUCCGACUAAAAAUUAGUAGGAAACCUAGGUAGGGACCAAAUUUGAUCAAUAUGAAUUUGUAAGGGACGUAAAACUACACUUUUAAAAGCAAGGGAUGAAAAAAGUUAUUUUAUAAAAUGUAAGGGAUGUUUUGAACAAUUUUCCCUAUAAAAAGCUUGAAGAGGGCACUCUAUGUAUUGAAAGGGCAAAAAAAAGUGAUCAAGAUUUUUUGGCCUUAGAAAUCUAAAUAUACAACUACAAAAAUUUACAAAAUCAAGGUUGAAUGUGAUAUCAUUGUAACUUGAAAUGAGAAAAAGUUAUCUUCAAGAAGUUGAGAACUACAAAACUCUGCCAAAAUAUAAAAGUUUGUAUUAUAUUUCGAUCAUCGCACCAUUGAUUUUGUGGUGUAAAUUUAUCCCACUUGAUGCGGCUAACUUUUUUUUUUUUUUUUAAGUGCAUGAUUCAUCUGUUAAAAAAAUUUCAUCAGGAAAAUGCAUGUUCUUUGUUUGUCCCAAAACAAAAAAGAAAAGAAGAGCUAUGCACGAAAACCUACUUCAUUAGCCUUUGGGUUAGAUACCUUGUGUAAUUUUUUAUUUCAUUAAUUUUAAUUUUGAGUACAUUAAAUUAAAAUUUCAAUUAUGCAUUUUAGUAAAUGAAACUGAUAUGCAACUUUUUUUUAUAACAAAAAAUUUGAUAUGCAUCUGGUGUAAGAAAAUUUUUAUAAAAAUUCAAGAUUUUAUGUAAAAGCUUAUAAAUUAUAAGAUUAAGGCCAAGAUCCGAAUAUGUUUCCACACUCAACAGGAUCAAUUUACUCCUAUAGAUCCAUCCUGUCCCCGGAUCUAGUUUUGGUAGUAUUAGUUA
rnacentral:lncRNA from 1 species